rnacentral:lncRNA from 1 species
AAGUAAAAGAAAUGUUUACAAUUGGAGAUUCAAAAAGGUUGCAAAAGAAAGAAGCAAACUUUCUAUUUAACAAAUAUCAAAGGGGGAAAAGAAUAAGAGUAAAAUCAGUAAGUAUAGGAGAAGUAUGAACACUAUAGUCAAUGAACAAAAUAUGAAUUGUAGUUUGGCCAUUUAGCAUCCAUCACUCUAACAGAGAAUCAGGACUUGCAAGAAGGUUGAAAGGUUUGCCUAUCGAGUCUUUCAAGAUUAUGAUUUGACCCUCUUUCAUAAGAAAGUCUUCAUCGAGGGUAUCUACCUUCCUUUUCAAUAUGUUGAUCUCAUAAUUCAACAGCAUGUUCAUCUCACUGUAGCUCUUAACUUCCUCCCACAUGAAAUCCCUCUCCUGAAACACUUUUGGUAGUAUCGCCUUCAUAACACCAAGUUCCUUCAUGCAUUCUCACAAAUCAUUAGUGAGCUGGUUGAUAUUUCCGUCCUUUUUUAGCACUUGCUAGAAUCAACCGUAAACCAUACAAAAACAAGAAAGACACAAAGAUCACCAAUAACAUUUCAUCUUAAAUUCAAAGCAAACUCAUAGCCUAGAAGUUCAAGUAAAUCAUGAAUCCUUUUUAACUGUUAAAAUUAACAGUAGAUAACUCGUGACCUUGUCCAAGAAUUAAGUCAGAUGAACGAGUAAACUUACCGAAACCCCUUCGGGUAACUUUACCACAUCAGAGCACAAUCAGAUCAAUGGGUUUGAGGAUAUCACAAAGUUUAUCAUGUUCUUGAUUGGUUCAAGUGAUUACACAUUAAGGCGAUCAGAUAUUUCACAGAAGACUACCACAUGCCAGCAACUCAUGUAUACAAGUUCAUAAAGAAAACCAUGAACUUCAGAUGGAACAAAGAUGAACCUAAAAUCAAACAAAAUUAGAAAGCUAAUACAGAGAGAGUAACAUGCAAACAGGCUAUCAUAUAUGAAGACGAGGUAUCCAAAGUUGAAAAAUAAAAACUAUUCCGUUGCAAUGAGAUCUUAACAUUGCCUGCUUACCUGAAGCUCAAGAUAUUUAAACUUGGAUGUGGCAUAAGAAAGAGCAUCCAACGCAUUUUGCACUUUACAUUUGAGAAUGUCGUUACCUCUAGCUAUUACGGCUAGAUCAGCCUGAAGUUGCUUUAUGUCCAUCUCCUCGGAAUAGAGCUUCUCCCUUAGCAUAGUUGUUAACAAAGUCUCCGAUUUAAGCUCUUUAACCUUUUCCUAGUAGUUUUCCCAAACAUAAUCUCUAUUGUCUUGAGCUACUCAAUUUUUUGCUUGUAACUGAGUGAGCUGCUGCCUUAGAUUUUGAUUCUCCUCUGACACUUGCUCUAUUCUCUUAGACAAAUCUUCAAGGUGUUUCUCCGAAAAUGACAUCUUAAUUCUAUUAUCUACUUCCUUCUCAUUAAAUGAAGAGACUUCCCUUUGUAGAGAUACAUUCUGCUCUGCAAGCUCCCUCGCCCUUUCACAGAGUCUAUGUUGUUCAAUUUGGUAUUUCUCAACUUUUAGAGACCAAUCGCUGGAUCUUCUAUCCAACUCCUUUUCCAGUACUGAUUGUAACUCAUUCUUUUCUGUCUCCAAUCUUUGUGUUCAUGAAUCUAUUUCUGCCUGUAAUAUGCUGGCUUCUUUCUUAGCAGAAGCCCUUUCAGCAACUUGAUUCCGUAGCAUGCUUGAAACUUCAGAAGCCAUUUGUACCUUCUUCUUUGUUAAUCUUCUAAUAGUCUGAAUCAACACUGGAAUGCUAAGGUCUCUGCCAUGAAGAAACAUUUGUCAUUACUUUGGACAAGCAAAUGCAAAUUAAAACAUCAGUUUAAGUGUAAAAAAGGAAGCUAUAGCAAAACGAUAUGCAUACCGGCUUGAAUCACGACCAGAUUUCUUAAGAUGAACUUUCUUACUGUGACUAUGGGGAGAUUCGCUCAGAUCCGUGAAAUUCUUUUUUCCUGACCCACUUUUAUAGAAGGAUCCACAUGAUAAUGAAAUACUCCUCCAAAAAGAAACUUCCUUGGACUUUAAUAGUGGUGAAGGGGUCUUGUUUGAAUCAUUAGUUGAUGAUUGAAAAAAGAAGAAGUUGUUCUUCAUCAUCUCUAUGUAUGGAGACUGUAUAUGAAUCAAACUAGUGUCCACGAGAUUUCAAAGGACAAAGCAAAACACUCAUAAAUAGCCACUCACAAAUCAUUAACCAUUUAUGAAAAUACUGCAAGCUAACUAAAUACUUAUGAGACAAAGCAAAACAUCUCUCUUUCUACAGGCUUCUUCUUCAACAACAACAUACGUAACCCCUACCUUGGCAAGUAGAAAAUUUGUUUCCCAUAAAUCCUCAGCAAGGAAAGCAAAAACACGAGGAUAUUAACAACAGUAGCAAGUAAGAAAAUAGAGGUAUACGAUACAACAAGUAGAAAAGAAAAGUAUAUACUAAUACUACUACCAGAAGAGACAUGACGCGAAACUAUUUACUACUAGUCUUCUAUUGAAAAUUAAUAAAAUACCCCACAAAUAAAUAGCACAAGAACAAAUCAAAAAACUUAUCAAAUCCUUCUAAUAAAACAAAUAAUCAUGGUAAAUAAUAAAAAAAAAGAAAUUACUGGAUCAAAGAGUUGAAAGAGUAAGAGCCGGCAAAAGGUUGUCAGAAUCUGUAGGAUUCUUGUCAUUUUUUCUUGAAAUGUAAAAAUAGCAAAAGACUAGAAUGGAGUAAACUUUUUUUCUGCGUCUUUCAUUCAUCAUUGUACAAUGCAUAUAUACAACUAACAAGGCUUUGUAAAUUGCAAGUAAAUAUUUACAAGGAUCUGUAUAUGGCAAGUGAAUACUUACAAAUAUCCAGAAAUAUGACAAGUGAAUAUUUACAUACUCAUAAUGAAAACUUGAGAAAUACCCAUGAGAGAGAAAGAGAGAGAAGAAAAGUGUAACAAAUAAUUUGUGUUAUUCAAUGGCUAUAAAUAGCCAUAUGAGGUCAAAUUUUCCAUAUAAUAGAAAUAAAAUGUAAACUAAAUUAACUCUUUUUCAAAUUAGCACACAAAUUAACUUAAAUUAUGAAAUUAAAGAUAUUUAUUUUUUCAAAAUUUAACUUUUCCAUAUAAACAUCACUGAAUUGAUAUAAGCAAUAUUUUGAAACGUGAUAAAUUAAUUAAAUAACACAAAAAUAUUGUAAUAUUGUAUUUCUUUUAUCUCUAGAUCUUUUUUAAUACAUAAGAAAUACUAAAGUCAUACAAUAAUCUCCUUUCUUUUUAUAGUCCAAACUUACCAUUUAAAAAUCGUUUCAUUUGAAUUAAUAAGAUCAUAGUAGAUUGUACAAAAUCAGUUAAUAAAUAAUAUAUAUUUCCAUUAAAUAAAUAAAGUACGAUAUAAUUGUAAUAAGACUACACAAUCAACUAAUUAAUUUCACUUAAUUAGAUUAAAUUUUAUGAUCAUAAUAUAUAGACUAAAGUUCCUUAAGUUUAAUGUUGUAAAUUUCAAAAUAUAUUUAUGGCUAAAGUAGUAGUCAAUGUUCGUUGUUUUUUUAAUCAAUAUAUGUAUAUCAAUUACGGAACUUUGCGUAUAUUCUUUAUUAAAAUAAUUGUCAAUAUUAACUGAUUUUUACCGCAAUUUAAGCUAAUUAGUUUGAUAACAAUACAAUUAUUAUUAAUAUUAUAUAUUUGUUAACCAUAAAUUUUUCCUAAUUUUAUAGCUUGAUUAUAUUUAAUUAAUCUACAAUUACAUAAAGGACUCAAAUAUGGAAACAAUUGAUAUUAAUUAUCUUUAUAAUUUCAAAAAUUUAAUCCCAUGAAUUUCUCAUAUUCUUAUAGUUUGAUUAUAUCAAAUUGAUAUUAAUUACCUUUAUAAUUUUGGGAAGAAUUUUUAAAAGGUAAUGAUUAUUUUUUCCUAAUUGCUGAUUUAUUUCUCAAAAAUUUCUUAUAAAUUUAUAAUUUGAUCAUAGUUAAUUGAUUAUUUAAUUAUCUUUAUAAUUUGCUAAAAACUCAAAUAAGGUAACAAUUAUUUUUUUGUCAAUUACAGAUUUUCUUUAAUUCAAUCUUUUAUUGUUUUACUAAACUAGUUCAAAUUUAAUUGUUUUGAGGCAUGACAUCUUUUUGUCUAUAAAUCUUUUUUAAUACAUAAGAAAUGCUAAAGUCAUAUAAUAUUCUCCUUUAUUUUAUCAUAGAUAGUAUCUUGCACAAAAUCAAUUAAUUAAUUAUAUGUAUUUUUAUAUAAAAAAUGAUGUAUGACAUAAUUGUAAUAAAAUUACACAAUCAACUAAUUAAUUUCAAUUAAUUAGAAUCAAUUUUAAUAUCAUAAUAUAUAGACUCAAGUUCUUUAAAUUCAAUGUUUUAAAUUUUAAAAUAUAUUUAUGGCUAAAGUAAAAGUCAGUGUUCGUUGUUUUUGUAACCAAUAUAUGUAUAUCAAUUACGAAACUUUGCAUAUAUUUUUUAUUAAAGUAAUUGUCAAUAUUAACUGAUUUCUAACUCAAUUUUAUCAAAUUAAUUUGAUAACAAUAAAAUUAUAAUUAAUAUCAUAUAUUUACUUACCAUAAAUCUAUCCUAAUUUUAUAGCUUGAUUGUAGUUAAUUAAUCUACAAUUACAUAAAGGGCUCAAAUAUGAAAACAAUUGAUUUUAAUUACCUUUAUAAUUUCGGCAAUUCAAUCCCAUGAAUUUAUUAUGUUUUUAAUAGAUUGAUUAUAUUAAAUUGAAAUCAAUUUCCUUUUUAAUUUUGGAAAGAAUUUAAAAAAGGUAACGAUUAUUUUUUUCCUAAUUACUUAUUUAUUUCUCAAACAAUUCUUAUAAAUUCAUAAUUUGAUUAUAGUCAAUUGAUUAUUUAAUUAUAUUUAUAAUUUGCUAAAAGCUCAAAUAAGGUAACAAUUAUUUUUUUCUAAAUUACGGAUUUUCUUAUAUUCAAUCUUUUAUUGUUUCACUAAAAUAGUUCAAAUUUAAUUAUUUUGAGGGAUGACAUUUUUUUGUCUAUAAAUCUUUUUUAAUACAUAAGAAAUGCUAAAGUCAUACAAUAAUCACCUUUAUUUUUUUAAUCCAAACCUAUCAUUUAAAAAUAAUUUCAUUUGAAUUAAUAAAAUCAUAGUAGAUUGCACAAAAUCAAUCAAUUAAUUAUAUAUAUUUUUAUUAAAUAAAUGAUGUACGAAAUUAUGUUCAUAUCUUCAUAUCUUAUAACAAAAAUUAUGUUCCAUCCAAAAAAAGAGUUGUCAUAUUAUUCAUCCCUGUCCUUUAUAUAGAGCUCUUCCCAUCUUUGUUCAAAUCCCUAGCCAACAAGAAUGAUGUCCCCCUUCAAAAAGUAUUACAUCUUACUCAGUCUUUCUAUUGCCUAUAAAUAGUCUAGCACAUCAAUGAUGUCUUCUGUUAGAGCUAAUUAUCAUGUUUACACUAAAAAUAAAGAAGUGCUAAACUAUUCAUGUUGAUCUUCUGGACAUCUUCAAAAAAACCCUUGUUUCUUUCUGUCCAAACUGUCCACCAUAUACAUGUUGAAUAAUUUUCCAUCUCUCCUCCUUUAUUACAUUUACGUCCUCGUUCUAACUGCUUAGUACUUUUUUAAUGCUCCCAGGUUCUACCCACCUGAUCCUUUUCAGGUUGAAAACAUUCUCUACAGUUGCUCUGUCUAUUUCCAAUGUAAGAAAAGAUGGUUGAUUGUGUAAAGAAUGGAUCUUGGGCCUAGCUCAACCCCAAAAGCUAGCACAUGAGGGGAGGAUUGCUCAAGUUCAUAUAAGAAGACCGACAGUUCACUCCCCAACAAUGUGGGACUUUCACCCACUCUAAUAACUAUGUAUGCUUGAUGUAAGCAUAAACAUUAAAAACAAAGACAUCAAAGACUCUCAUUGACAUAUAAAUAAUGGAUCCCAAAUAACUUCAAAAGUUACACGCAAAAAGAAAAUGGUACAAAAACCAAUUCCACCUUCAUAAUAACUGUGUCUGCUUGAUGUAAGCAUAAAUAUAAAGAACAUAAUGACAUACCAAAAAAUUAUCAAAAUGUUCUACAAUGUAGUGCAUAGUUUUUUUUGUUUUUUGAAAUUGAACGCAGUGCAUAGUUUAAAAAUGUGCAAACAACAUUUAAUGUGGCAGGUGAAGCAUCAGGUACUGGAAGAAAAAUUUAAUACAUGUUGGAGGCAAAUGAAAGAGGGUAUUUAAAAGAAUAAUCAGAGGGCAGGGUGGAACUCCCUCAUAGCAAGUCAAAUAAAGUGUAAAAUUAUAUAAAGAAGAUGAAACUAGAGGCUUCUGUAUGUGUCUCACAUACUUGGCAUAAACCAUGUGUGAAUGAGCAUAACAGAAUCAAAUGCACUGAGACAAAGUAGGCAUUUGAUUGCAGAUCAAAUGGAGGAGUCUGCCAACCGACUAGAUUUAAUAGCAGCUUUAGUCCAUGCACCAUUUUGAGGUAAAGUUAUAUGGUUAAAAAUUUGGACGUUACUUAAUAUAUGCACAAACUGAACAUGAACUGCCUAGUUAGACAAGUGUUUUUUGUAGCUGGCAAAUGAAAGAGAAUAUCUAAAAGAAUGAUCAGAGGGCAGGGUGGAAUUCCCUCAUAGCAAGUCAAAUGAAGUUUAAAACUAUAUAAAGAAGAUGAAACUAGAGGCUUCUGUAUGUGUCUCACACACUUGGAAUAAACUAUUUGUGAAUGAGCAUAACAGAAUCAAAUGCACUGAGACAAAGUAGGCAUUUGAUUGCAGAUCAAAUGGAGGAGUCUGCCAACCGACUAGAUUUAAUAGCAGCUUUAGUCCAUGCACCAUUUUGAGGUAAAGUUAUAUGGUUAAAAAUUUGGACGUUACUUAAUAUAUGCACAAACUGAACAUGAACUGCCUAGUUAGACAAGUGUUUUUUGUAGCUACCCAGUGACAACCUUAGUGAAAGAAUACAUCAAUGAGAAGUUAAUCCAGUAAGCUUAAUGAGCUUUCCCUGCAAGGAAUGAAAGUGUGGAUGACCCAACAUCAAAUAUACGAUUGUUAUUAUACACACAAUCUCCAUACAACAGCAACAACAUACCCGAUGUAUAUUCGGGCAGAAUAUAUGCAAACCAUACCUCUACCUCAGAGACGAGAAGAAAAUGGUAGCAACAAUCCUCACUAAAUACUUCAUAAGAUAAAAAACAUCCAAUACUUACAAAACCAAAUGAAGAAAAAGAAGUUCAUUGUCUUGAUCACCAGAAAGUAAAAGAAAUGCUUACAAUUGGAGAUUCAAAAAGGUUGCAAAAGAAAGAAGCAAACUUUCUAUUUAACAAGUAUCAAAGGGGGAAAGAAUAAGAGUAAAACCAGUAAGUAUACGAGAAGUAUGAACAAUAUAGUAAAUGGUUUCCCCAUUUAGCAUCCAUCACUCCAAUAGAGAAUCAGGACUUGCAAGAAGGUCAAAAGGUUUGCCUAUCGAGUCUUUCAAGAUUGUGAUUUGACCCUCUUUCAUAAUAAAGUCUUCAUCGAGGGUAUCUACCUUCCUUUUCAACAUGUUGAUCUCAUAAUUCAACAGCAUGUUCAUCUCACUGUAGCUCUUAACUUUCUCCCACAUGAAAUCCCUCUCCUGAAACACUUUUGGUAGUAUCUCCUUCACAAUGCCAAGUUCCUUCAUGCAUUCUUGCAAAUUAUUAGUGAGCUGGUUGAUAUUUUUGUCCUUUUUUAGCACCUGCCAGAAUCAACCGUAAACCAUGAAAAAUAAGAAAAACACAAAGAUCACCAAUAAUAUUUCAUCAGAAAUUUAAAACAAACUCAAAGCUUAGAAGUUCAACCAAAUCAUGAAUCCUUUUUAACUGUUAAAAUUCACAGUAGAUAACUCGUGACCUUGUCCAAGAAUUAAGUCAGAUGAAUGAGAAAACUUAUCGAAAUCCCUUCGGGUAACUUUACCACAUCAGAGCACAAUCAGAUCAAUGGGUUUAAUGGAUUUAAGGAUAUCACAAACUUAAUAAUGUUCUUGGUUGGUUCAAGUGAUUGCACAUUAAGGCGAUCAGACAUUUCAUAGAAGACUACCACAUGCCAGCAACUCAUGUAUACAAUUUCAUAAAGAAAACCGUUAACUUCAGAUGGAACAGGCUAUCAUAUAUGAAGAUGAGGUAUCCAAAGCUGAAAAAUAAAAACUAUUCCGUUGCAACGGGAUCUUAACAUUGCUUGCUUACCUGAAGCUCGAGAUAUUUCAACUUAGGUGUGGCAUAAGAAAGAGCAUCCGACGCAUUUUGUACUUCACAUUUGAGAAUGUCGUUACCUCUAACUAUUGCAGCUAGAUCAGCCUGAAGUUGCUUUAUGUCCAUCUCCUCGGAAUAAAGUUUCUCCCUUUGCAUAGUUGUCAGCAAAGUCUCCAAUUUAAAAUCUUUAACCUUUUCCUGGUAGUUUUCCCGAACCUAAUCUCUAUUGUCUUGAGCUACUCGAUAUUCCGCUUGUAACUGAGUGAGCUGCUGCCUUAGAUUUUGAUUCUCCUCUGACACUUGCUCUAUUCUCUUAGACAAAUCUUCAAGGUGUUUCUCCAAAAAUGACAUCUUGAUUCUAUUAUCUACUUCCUUCUCAUUAAAUGAAGAGACUUCCCUUUGUAGAGAAACAUUCUGCUCUGCAAGCUCCCUCGCCCUUUCACGGAGUCUAUGUUGUUCAAUUUGGUAUUUCACAAGUUUUAGAGACCAAUCGCUGGAUGUUCUAUCCAACUCCUUUUCCAGUACUAAUUGUAACUCAUUCUUUUCUGUCUCCAAUCUUCGUGUCCGUGAAUCUAGUUCUGCCUGUAAUAUGCUGGCUUUUUCCUUAGCAGAAGCCCUUUUAGCAACUUGAUUCUGUAGCAUGCUUGAAAUUUCAGAAGACAUUUGUACCUUCUCCUUUGUCAAUCUUCUAAUAGUCUGAAUCAACACUGGAACGCUAAUGUCUCUGCCAUGAAAAAACAUUUGUCAUUACUUUGGACAAGGAAAUGCAAAUUAAAACGUAAGUUUAAGUUUGAAAAAGAAAGCUACAGCAAAAUGAUAUGCAUACCGGCUUGAAUCACGACCAGAUUUCUUAGGAUGAACUUUCUUACUAUGACCAUGGGGAGAUUUGCUCAGAUCCGUGAAAUUCUUUUGUCCUGACCCACAGUCAUAGAAGGAUCCAGAUGACAGUGAAACACUCCUCAAAGAAGAAACUUCCUUGGACUUUAAUGGUGGUGGAGGGGUCUUGUUUGCAUCAUUAGUUGAUGAUCGAAAAAAGAAGAAGUUGUUCUUCAUCAUCUCUAUGUAUGGAGACUGUACAUGAAUCAAACUAGUGUCCAUGAGAUUUCAAAGGACAAAGCAAAACACUCAUAAANNNNNNNNNNNNNNNNNNNNNNNNNNNNAGAGGUAUACAAUACAACAAGUAGAAAAGAAAAAUAUAUACUAAUACUACAAUCAGAAGAGACAUGACACGAAACUAUUUACUACUAGUCUUCUACUGAAAAUUAAUAAAAUACCCCACCAACAAAUAGCACAAGAACAAUUCAAAGAACUUAUCAAAUCCUUCUGAUAAAACAAAUAAUCAUGGUAAAUAAUAAAAAAAAAAAGAAAUUACUGAAUCAAAGAGUUGAAAGAGUAAGAGCCGGCAAAAGGUUGUCAGAAUCUAUAGGACUCUUGUCAUUUUUUCUUGAAAUGUAAAAAUAGCAAAAGACUAGAAUGGAGAAAACUUUUUUUUUGUGUCUUUCAUUAUUCAUCGUACAAAUGCAUAUAUUCAACCAACAAGGAUCUGUAAAUUGCAAGUAAAUAUUUACAGGGAUCUGUAUAUGGCAAGUGAAUAUUUACAAGGAUCCAAAAAUAUGGCAAGUGAAUAUUUACAUACUCAUAAUGAAAAACCUGAGAAAUAACCAUGAGAGAGAGAGAAGAAGAAAAGUGUAACAAAUAUUUUGUGUUAUUCAAUGGCUAUAAAUAGCCAUAUGAGGUCUGAUUUUCCAUAUAAUAGAAAUAAAAUGUAAACUAUAAAUUAACUUUUUCAAAUUAGCACACAAAUUAACUUAAAUUAUGAAAUUUAAGAUAUUUAUUUUUUCAAAAUUUAACUUUUCCAUAUAAACAUCACUGAAUUGAUAUAAACAAUAUUUUGAAACGUGAUAAAUUAAUAACCCAAAAAUAUUGUACUAUUGUAUUUCUUUUAUCUCUAGAUCUUUUUUUAAAACAUAGGAAAUACUAAAGUCAUACAAUAAUCUCCUUUCUUUUUAUAGUCUAAACUUACGAUUUAAAAAUUAUUUCAUUUGAAUUAAUAAGAUCAUAGUAGAUUGUACAAAAUCAGUUAAUAAAUAAUAUAUAUUUCCAUUAAAUAAAUAAAGUACGAUAUAAUUGUAAUAAGACUACACAAUCAACUAAUUAAUUUCACUUAAUUAGAUUAAAUUUUAAGAUCAUAAUAUAUAGACUAAAGUUCCUUAAAUUUAAUGUUGUAAAUUUCAAAAUAUAUUUAUGGCUAAGGUAGUAUUUAAUGUUCAUUGUUUUUUUUAAAUCAAUAUAUGUAUAAAAAUUACGGAACUUUGUAUAUAUUAUUUAUUAAAAUAAUUGUCAGUAUUCACUGAUUUUUACCGCAAUUUAAUCUAAUUAGUUUAAUAACAAUACAAUUAUUAUUAAUAUUAUAUAUUUGUUAACCAUAAAUUUGUCCUAAUUUUAUAGCUUGAUUAUAUUUAAUUAAUNNNNNNNNNNNNNNNNNNNNNNNNNNNNNAAUUGAUAUUAAUUACCUUUAUAAUUUCAAAAAUUUAAUCCCAUGAAUUUCUCAUAUUCUUAUAGUUUGAUUAUAUCAAAUUGAUAUUAAUUACCUUUAUAAUUUUGGGAAUAAUUUUUAAAAGGUAACGAUUAUUUUUUUCCUAAUUGCUAAUUUAUUUCUCAAAAAUUUCUUACAAAUUUAUGAUUUGAUUAUAUUUAAUUGAUUAUUUAAUUAUCUUUAUAAUUUACUAAAAACUAAAACAAGGUAACAAUUAUUUUUUUUUCAAUUACAAAUUUUCUUAAAUUCAAUAUUUUAUUGUUUUACUAAAAUAGUUCAAAUUUAAUUGUUUUGAGGCAUGACAUCUUUUUGUCUAUAAAUAUUUUUAAUACAUAAGAAAUGCUAAAGUCAUACAAUAAUCUCCUUUGUUUUUAUAAUCCAAACUUACCAUAUAAGAAUAAUUUCAUUUGAAUUAAUAAGAUCAUAGUAGAUUGCACAAAAUCAAUCAAUUAAUUAUAUGUAUUUUUAUUAAAUAAAUGAUGUACGAAAUUGUUGUAAUAAAACUAUACAAUUAACUAAUUAAUUUCAAUUAAUUAGAAUCAAUUUUAUGAUUAUAAUAUAUAGACUCAAGUUCUUUAAAUUUAAUGUUGUAAAGUUUAAAAUAUAUUUAUGGCUAAAGUAGAAGUCAGUGUUCCUUGUUUUUAUAACCAAUAUAUGUAUAUCAAAUAUGAAACUUUGCAUAUAUUUUUUUAUUAAAAUAAUUGUCAAUAUUAACUGAUUUCUAACUCAAUUUUAUCAAAUUAAUUUGAUAACAAUAAAAUUAUAAUUAAUAUCAUAUAUUUACUUACCAUAAAUCUAUCCUAAUUUUAUAGCUUGAUUGUAGUUAAUUAAUCUACAAUUACAUAAAGGGCUCAAAUAUGAAAACAAUUGAUUUUAAUUACCUUUAUAAUUUCGGCAAUUCAAUCCCAUGAAUUUAUUAUGUUUUUAAUAGAUUGAUUAUAUUAAAUUGAAAUCAAUUUCCUUUUUAAUUUUGGAAAGAAUUUAAAAAAGGUAACGAUUAUUUUUUUCCUAAUUACUUAUUUAUUUCUCAAACAAUUCUUAUAAAUUCAUAAUUUGAUUAUAGUCAAUUGAUUAUUUAAUUAUAUUUAUAAUUUGCUAAAAGCUCAAAUAAGGUAACAAUUAUUUUUUUCUAAAUUACGGAUUUUCUUAUAUUCAAUCUUUUAUUGUUUUACUAAAAUAGUUCAAAUUUAAUUGUUUUGAGGGAUGACAACUUUUUGUCUCUAAAUCUUUUUUAAUACAUAAGAAAUGCUAAAGGCAUACAAUAAUCUCCUUUCUUUUUAUAAUCCAAACUUACCAUUUAAAAAUUAUUUCAUUUGAAUUAAUAAGAUCAUAGUAUCUUGCACAAAAUCAAUUAAUUAAUUAUAUGUAUUUUUAUAUAAAAAAUGAUGUAUGACAUAAUUGUAAUAAAAUUACACAAUCAACUAAUUAAUUUCAAUUAACUAGAAUCAAUUUUAUGAUCAUAAUAUAUAGACUCAAGUUCCUUAAAAUUUAAUGUUGUAAAUUUUAAAAUAUAUUUAUGGAUUAAGUAGUAGUCAGUGUUCGUUAUUUUUUUUACCAAUAUAUGUAUAUCAAUUACGAAACUUUGCAUAUAUUUUUUAUUAAAAUAAUUGUCAAUAUUAACUGAUUUCUAUCUUAAUUUGAUCUAAUUAAUUUUAUAAGAAUAAAAUUAUUAUUAAUAUUAUAUAUUUAUUAACCAUAAAUCUAUCCUAAUUUUAUAGCUUGAUUAUAUUUAAUUAAUCUAAAAUUACAUAAAGGACUCAAAUAUGGAAACAAUUGAUAUUAAUUACUUGUAUAAUUUCAAAAAUUUAAUCCCAUGAAUUUCACAUAUUCUUAUAGUUUGGUUAUAUCAAAUUUAUAUUAGUUACCUUUAUAAUUUUUGAAAGAAUUUUAAAAAGGUAAUGAUUAUUUCUUUUCCUAAUUACUGAUUUAUUUUUCAAAAAUUUCUUAUUAAUUUACAAUUUGAUUAUUUAAUUAUCUUUACAAUUUGCUAAAAACUCAAAUAAGGUGACAAUUAUUUCUUUUCUUAAUUAUGGAUUUNNNNNNNNNNNNNNNNNNNNNNNNNNNNNNNNNNNNNNNNNNNNNNNNNNNNNNNNNNNNNNNNNNNNNNNNNNNNNNNNNNNNNNNNNNNNNNNNNNNNNNNNNNNNNNNNNNNNNNNNNNNNNNNNNNNNNNNNNNNNNNNNNNNNNNNNNNNNNNNNNNNNNNNNNNNNNNNNNNNNNNNNNNNNNNNNNNNNNNNNNNNNNNNNNNNNNNNNNNNNNNNNNNNNNNNNNNNNNNNNNNNNNNNNNNNNNNNNNNNNNNNNNNNNNNNNNNNNNNNNNNNNNNNNNNNNNNNNNNNNNNNNNNNNNNNNNNNNNNNNNNNNNNNNNNNNNNNNNNNNNNNNNNNNNNNNNNNNNNNNNNNNNNNNNNNNNNNNNNNNNNNNNNNNNNNNNNNNNNNNNNNNNNNNNNNNNNNNNNNNNNNNNNNNNNNNNNNNNNNNNNNNNNNNNNNNNNNNNNNNNNNNNNNNNNNNNNNNNNNNNNNNNNNNNNNNNNNNNNNNNNNNNNNNNNNNNNNNNNNNNNNNNNNNNNNNNNNNNNNNNNNNNNNNNNNNNNNNNNNNNNNNNNNNNNNNNNNNNNNNNNNNNNNNNNNNNNNNNNNNNNNNNNNNNNNNNNNNNNNNNNNNNNNNNNNNNNNNNNNNNNNNNNNNNNNNNNNNNNNNNNNNNNNNNNNNNNNNNNNNNNNNNNNNNNNNNNNNNNNNNNNNNNNNNNNNNNNNNNNNNNNNNNNNNNNNNNNNNNNNNNNNNNNNNNNNNNNNNNNNNNNNNNNNNNNNNNNNNNNNNNNNNNNNNNNNNNNNNNNNNNNNNNNNNNNNNNNNNNNNNNNNNNNNNNNNNNNNNNNNNNNNNNNNNNNNNNNNNNNNNNNNNNNNNNNNNNNNNNNNNNNNNNNNNNNNNNNNNNNNNNNNNNNNNNNNNNNNNNNNNNNNNNNNNNNNNNNNNNNNNNNNNNNNNNNNNNNNNNNNNNNNNNNNNNNNNNNNNNNNNNNNNNNNNNNNNNNNNNNNNNNNNNNNNNNNNNNNNNNNNNNNNNNNNNNNNNNNNNNNNNNNNNNNNNNNNNNNNNNNNNNNNNNNNNNNNNNNNNNNNNNNNNNNNNNNNNNNNNNNNNNNNNNNNNNNNNNNNNNNNNNNNNNNNNUAUUUUAAUAAAAAUAAUUUCAAAUAAUAUUUUAUAAAAAUAAUAUAAAAUAUGGCAUAUUAAUAAUAUUUGCAUUAAUUAUGCUUCUAUUUUCUUACGCAGUAUUUGAUUUUACGUAUUAAAAAUAACAUUGAAUCAAUGGUGAAAGUGGAGGAAGUUCUUUCUUUAUUGGGGUUUUUCUUUUUGGGAAAGCUGACAAUUUCUUGACUAUCAACCACCCAACACAAAGCUGACACUUCUUGGUAGAUUGGUUAUUUUUUCAUACGAUACUAAUUUAUAUACAUUUUCCUUGAUAUUUGUUAUAUUUUUAGUUUUAUUUUGCGUAUCAUAUUAGUUUAUAUGCAUUUAUCUUUUAUGUUUGGUAUAUUAUUAUGAUCCUAAGCUGGGAGUCUAUCGGAAACAUCCUCUCUAGUUCACCUGAGUAGUGAUAUGAUCUGCAUACACUAACCUCCCCAGACCUCACUAUGUGGGAAUACAUUAGGUGUUAUUGUUGCUAUUGUUGUUUCUUAUACAGUAUUUGAUUCAAUGUAUUAAAAACAACACGAAUUACAUAAUUUCUUUUUUCUUUUUACAUAAUACCCCCACUUUAAGCAUGUUAAUGCAUGCAUUAGAUCCAUUGCAUUUCUAAUGCCAUAAAUUUUGAGGUAUUAGUAAUAUACACCUCAAUAUAUAAUAGAGUAUAUAACUAAUUUUUGCAUUAGUUAUACAUAAGAUAAAAAUAUAUAUAUAUCAAACAAGGGACUACUAAUACACAUAAAAUUAAUGGAUGCAUUAAUUUUUACGUAAUACAUUCCAUGCUUUAUCAUAGAUUUGAUUAUUAUUCCUUGUCUUGAGCCAGGAGUCUAUCGGAAACAACCUUUCUACUUCUCCAGAAGUAGUGAUAUGGACUAUGUACAUCUUACCCUCUCCAGAUCCCACUAUGUGGAAAUACACUGAAUUUAUUAUUGUUGUUAUUAAUUUUUUAAUGCACUCUAUCAAAAGACUCCAUGCUUCUCAUUUAAUUAUACCUUUAGCUCCUCUUUAAUUAUGAUAAUUGCUCUCUGACUCCACCUUGCAUUUUUAAAAUAUAAAUAAAUAGCAAUGAAUUUAAUUUUGCUCAUUACUCUACUAAUUGUAGUAAUAUUAGGUGAAUUCAUCAACUUAGAGUACAUUCACUCAUGCUACAUAUUAUAGAUAUAGUUCAAAAAAGGAAUUAUACGUUUGACAUAAUACAUAAAUAUGUUUUCAACUUUACAUUAUCAGCAAAUAUUUAUAUAGUUUAAUUUUGAGUGUUGCACAAAUAAAUACUUAGACUAUCAUAUAAAGGUACAAUAAAUAUAUAUAUGCGAGUCUUGUAUCGCAAUUUGUCAUGCAAAAUGUGUGCAUCUCAUACAAUUUGUCAAGUAAUUAAAGCGUUUGUGUUUAGGGGAGUGCAUCGGUCGGUUCGGUUGGGUUUUACAUAUUAUCGUUAGAUUUAUCGAUUUUUGGUUUUUAAAUAUGCUAAACCAAUAACCAAACCAAUAAAAUAUUUUUUUUAGUUUUUAGUCCUUAACGAUUUGGUUUUCGGUUUAACCGAUAAGAAAAUACUCAUAAAAUAAAAAUAGUAGUAACUAACAUGUAAAAAAUGAAUCUCAGUUGCAACAAAAACCAUACAUGAAGUGUUUAAAUUUACAAAAAUCUUCAAGUUUGAACUAAAUGUUGUUAGGAGAAAUUAAGAGUUUAUAUAAUUGAAAUAAUAGGUUUGUUAAUUUGUAGAAAUAAAAGAUAAUAUAUAAUAAAUCUUAUAUAUUUUCUUAUUGGGUUAUCGGUUUACCCAAUAACCUAAUAAGAAAAAAUCAAACCAAACCAAUAACCCAAUAAUUUUUUGUAACACCCCAUACUUUCAGACUUGAACGUAAAUUGUUAUUUCUACUUGUACACAUUUCAAAAACCAUAAAUCUAUUGUGAAUAUAGUGUUUUAAUCAACUAUGUGGUGUAUAAAUUUAGUUGAGCAUGAAUUGAUAUCAUAGAGGUCCCCUAACUUAAGGACGAGUUGAAAGCUUUUCCAUCGACUGAGUUUUAGUAAGCGUCAAAAGUUGGGUCAACUUCAAUCGGUCAUUACUCUUUGUAUCUAUUGAAUUAGAGUGCCUAUUAUAUAUCAAAUUAAAGGACUUCGAAUUAUCUUUCCAACAAUACAAAUUCCGCAAAAAUCCGACACCCGAGGAAGAAGUUAUGGCUUUGCAAAGUGGAGUGUGUCGUGUAGCAUAAGGUGUGCGACGCACACCCUAACUUAUGCCAUAAGGUGUGCGAUGCACAACCUAUGUGUGCGAUAAAGAGUGCGCCGCACAACCUAUAUUAUUUGAUAAGGUGUGCGCCGCAUACAUUACUACUCAAGUGACUUAAACACUCCGUUUUGGGGCAAAAUGGUCCUUUUCCCACCCUUAUUUAGCCAUAAACACGAAAUUCAGUUCCCAAAUACCCCAAAAUACACCUUCAUUCAUCAAAAUUGCUCAAGAAAUCUCCUUAGGGUUUCAAAAUAAAAACCCAAGCAACUCAAGAUUCAACCGUGGGUUUUUGAAACUAAUUGCAUAUUUGGAAUCCCCAGAACGUAGGCUUCAAGAAACACCUAUCAUCUUCGCAUAUAGAGGUACGUGGGGUUAUCCUAAAAUCUCAUGGGCCUUUAAAUUCAUGUUUUACAAUGGGGGUUUUUAAACUACAAAUAUAAUCAUGUUUUGAACAUUUUUAUAAUAUUGAUUUGGUCUUUAGGCCUAUUUCCGAAGUGAUUUGACAUAUUAUAUAUGUAUAUGCAUGUGUUUCUAAAAGGUGUUAAUUUGUGAGCAUGAAAUAUAUGGAAUCCCUCUCUUGAAGUGAAUUUGUUUUAAAUGUUCAUAUGGUGUAAAUUGUUUGAAAACAUCUUGAAAAGCAUGACAUAAAAUGUUUUGAGAAUUGAUAUGAUUUUGACUUGAAAACGAGAGGGCUAUUUGUGUUGAAACAUGUUGACUAAAAUGGUUGAAUGAGUAGAAUUAUGUGAUAUUGAUGGCUUACAAGUCGGGUAUGACGAUACCCUAUAGAAUAUGAUAUGUGAUUGAAUUAGAUGAAAUUUGAAUGCAUUGAUUUUACAUGAGAUAGGUGGAUGCUCGACGAAGGCAUUUGAGUGUAAGGGCUCAUCGUUGGAAACCGUGUUUGCCGACAUGGGAAUUUGGUAACCUGCUUUGUGAUCUUGCGUACCUGACUUUAUGUCAUUCCCAAGUUGGGACUAUGGUUAGGAGCCCUGCUUUAUGAUCUUGCGCACUACCAUUGGGUCAAGACACCCUGCUGUGUAUUCUUGUGUAUCUUCCCCUCACUUAUACUCUAAUCUCGGUGGCAACCGAGGUUUGACAGUUGGUGUAAAUAUGAUAUGUUGGGUAUUCCACCUAGCUCAGCUGCAUUACAUUGUUGUUGAAAACAAUUACAUUACGCCAAUGUGUUUUCAAAUGAUUUGAUAUGAAACUGCUUUAUAAUGGCUCUCAACUAUAUUUUUUUGAAAUGUUAUGUUUUGUUUUGAUAUCUCUGCGUACCAGUACUUUUAUAUUGACCCCCUUCCCUUCCAGGUUCGGAGGCACAGUCUAGCUGUCCAGAAAAUCAGUAGAUUCCUCAGACAGAUUUGCAGAGUCACUUGGUGAGCCUUCUAUAUUUUGGAAGGCCUGAUAUCUGGCAAUUUCAUUUAUCAUUUAUUAGUUUUGGAUCUACUGGGGGCCUUGUCCCAGUUUUCAGAUAGAUAUUUAUUUUAGUCAUGUAGUAGAGAUUUUGUAGACGUUAUAGAGAUGUUGUGUUGAGAUUGUGGGACAUUAUUCCCCGUUAUUGAUUUCAUAUGAUUCUUGACUAUGUUUUCGUAAGAUUGUUUGUCUUCCGCAUUUCUUUUAUCAUAUGGGUUAUGUGCAUGAUUAUCAGACAAAUAGGGGUGUUUUGAGCCUUUAUGGUUCGGAAUGCUCGUCACGGCCAGGCCCCAGUUUGGGUCGUGACAAACUUGGUAUCAAAGCACGGUUUAUGGUCCAGGGUGUCGGCAAAAUUAUGUUGGGUAGAGUCCUAUUUAUGGGUGUGUAGCGCGCCACACUUAUAAGCAGGAGGCUACUAGGCAUUCAGGAAUGUCUCUCUUUCUUCAUGUUCCAGUUCGUGCAAUAGAGUCAAAAUAGUUCUCUUUAUACUAUCAUUCAUGCUAUGGUGUCGCCCAUAUGAAGGUAAAGUCAUCCCAAAUUCUUUCUUUACUCUGAUGUUCUCAGACAUGUCCCAUUAUUGGGGUGAUUUAAGUGUAAAAAGUUUAGAAUCACAUGAUAUAGUCUUUUCCGAUUGUGUCUUAUAAGAAAAAAAAAUUGUGCAAAGACUCAAGAGGAGUCUAUUAGUGCUUCAAUAUGUGUUGAUUCUGAUGUAAACGUUGAUCCUGAUGGAAUCAUACGUUCCAUAUUAAGGUAUUAAGUGCAUCUAGUCCCUCCCAAAAAUCUUGAUACAGAUGUGGACGGUGUAUAGCAGAAUGUUGGAACUAUAUUUCCACCCGAAUAGUACCAUAAGUUAAAGUGUUGUUGUCAUGACCUAUCGGUAAUAAAAUUAGACCAAGAAGUUAGUGAUGUGAAGUCACAAAGUUAGAAGUCAGAGUGAGGGUGAUUUUUGGUGUAAAUGAAUAUUUUAGUUGAAUAACCGAUAUUUGAGGAUUAUUUACCCCUUUAUAGUGAUAAACUAAUGUGGUAGCUAGUAGCACGUGUGGAUGGUAUGGUAGUCCAUGGGGGAAGUAUUUUACUCAGAUUUUUAUUUAUACAGAGUAAGAUGUGUAUUCUUAGACCAUUAAAUAUUAUGUGUCAAUUUCCUAUCUCUUGUAAUAUGUAAUCUUGUUAUCAUGGUGUUUUUGAAAAAAAAUAAUUUAAAGUCUAGUGAAGCCGUGUGGGACUCUUUCGAUUCACUAGCUUAGUUGCCUUGUCAUCCAUCUCAUUUUCUUGUUCAAAAUACAAAACCAAAGUCUAGUGAAGCCGUGUGAGGACUAUUUCGAUUCACUAGCAACUUGUUGUCCAACUUGUUCUUUUGUUGGUUUAAUAUAUGUAUGGCUGAAUCUGUUUGGCAUGAGAUGGAAUUGGUAAAGAGGUGAUUCGUCCUUGUGAGUUAGUUUAGUAUAAGGUAGAGAAGGAGUUGUUAGUCAGGGUGAUUUGUUGGUUGCUUGAAUGUGAAAAUGGCUAAUUAGCGAGUGUAAGUUAUGAUUAUANNNNNNNNNNNNNNNNNNNNNNNCAGUCUAAAUGUAUGCUUGAGUAAGUAAGUAUGAGGUGAGAAAUCCACAUAAGCAGAUAAGAUCGUAUGGGGUUAUAAUAUCAGAUUAAGGUUGAUCAUGUCUAUUAUGUGACCUUACCCGUUGACUUUUUUCGUUGGUAGUUGUAAACUAGUACUACUUAUGAAAAGGUAUGUAGCAAAUUAUGAGAUAUUUGGAUAGUACUACAUGACUGGCACAGAUUUUUCGAAGUUUUGCAGGAGUUCUCGAAACUAUUUUCUAAAAAAUUAAGAGUACUUUGAAAAAAAUCUAUAUAAAUCUUUUACUUAGUGAUUGCCUAGACAUCAAUUAGGACGGGGAGUCAGGGGUGGAAGUCCCAACAUGAUGAAAUACCUAAAAGAUGGUGAGGGCAAAUCAAGGAUCAUAGGAGGUCAACACAGAGUAGUUUCUUUCAAACUAAUCAGUUUUUAUGGAUACAGGGAUCGAUACACAAAAUGAGCGUUUCUUUCAAAAAAUCCCCAAUCAAGUCGGGAGCCAUGACAGAGCAUAUAAGGCUUAAUAAUGGUACUUUUGGUAGCCCAAAAACCGGCUCAACACCUAUUUAUUGACGACCUUUCGAAUUGUCCAUCUCAUUUCUUGAGAUCAUGGAGUACAAACAAAAGUGUCUUGUCUUCUUUACAAAUAUUGUAUUUAGAAUUUUUCUAAAAAAAAUAGUCGCUAGCAAAAGCGACUUUGUGUCUACUAAUCGUCUACCUUGAGUACUGGUACAUGCAGAAAGCAAGACCCUGACAAAUGAUUUCAGGAGAAACUGUUUUUAAUUUACCGAAAGAAUCAUUGCAUGUCAUUGCAAAGAGGGCCAUUGCAUAUCAUCGUCAUUCAAUAUCUAUUGACGCUCUAGACACAAUGCUGGCAUCGAGGAUAUCAUCAGCAUUUAAUAUAUCCGUUGACACGCAAGACACAAUACUGGCGUCGAGGAUAUCAUCACCAUUCAAUAUCUAUUGACGCGCUAGACACAACGCUGGCGUCGAGGAUAUCAUCAUUAUUAUAUAUCUAUUGAAACGCAAGACAAAACGCUGGCGUCGAGGAUAUCAUUAUGAUGCAAUAUCUGUUGACAUGCAAGACACAAUGCUGGCGUUGAGGAUAUCAUCAUCAUGCAAUAUCUGUUGAUGUGCCAGACACAACACUGCCGUCGAGGAUAUCAUCAGCAUUCAAUAUAUCUAUUGACACGCAAGACACAACACUGGUGUCGAGGAUAUCAUCAGCAUUUAAUAUAUCUGUUGACACGCAAGACACAAUGCUGGUAUCGAGGAUAUCAUCAUCAUUUUAUAUCUGUUGAAACACAUGACAUAAACACUAGCGUUGAGGAUAUCUUAUCAUUUUAUGAAUUAGCAUCUGAAUGCAUCGAGAGCACACGAUUUGAAGGUACGCCUUUAAGUCUCUAUCUAAGGAUGAAUGAUAUAAAAGAUUUCCUAGAAAUUGAAAAUUUGAGGGUCAUCUAUAAGUCAUAUAAUUUGAAAUAAGAUAGUGUGCAAGAUCACCUAUGAGUUGAUAACCUGUAGGUCAUUCAGAAGCCACAACAACAUCCUAGCCAGAUAGUGUGCAAGAUCGCCCAAAAAUCGAUAGUUUAAAGGUUAUCCAUAAGUCGCAACUAAAUCCUUACCGGAGAAUAUGCAAGAUUAUCAAAUUGAUACGUCCAAGGGUUAUCUAUAAGCCGUGUCAUAUCCAUGAUCGAUUAUGUGCAGGAUUACCCAAAGACUAAUAAUUUGAGGGAUUAUCUAUGUCAUGUUGUAUGGAAGGUCGGAUGAUGUGCAGGAACACUUGAAAGCUAGUGAUUGGAGGGAUAUAUGUAAGCCAUCACUUAUUCAAAGUUGGAUAAUGUGCAGGAUUACCUAAAAUCUAGAAAUCAAAAGGAUAUCUAUAAGUCGCCUAGUAUCCAACAUCAAAUAAUGCGUAAGAUUAUCCCAAGAUUGAUAAUUUAAAGGAAAUUUAUAAAUCGAUCAUCGGCUAUAACCGUAGAGGUUAUCAUUCUACAUGCAAAAAAUGAUAUAGGUACCCAAAGGGUUGCCACAACAGUACAAGAUUACAUGGUUGUAGAGACCGUUCUACAUAAAGUAUCGCUAGUGUCCAAAAGGGCCACCCACUUUGAAGACAUAUUCAACCGACAAAUUUCAUAAUUAUACAACAACCAAAAGGGUUGUUGUGUUUGGUAUUGCCGAUUAUUUCAUUCCAAACAGGUACAUGAAGAGAUGACUCCGCUUUUCAGGCCACAACUCACGUGGAGAUAUGGUAAAAGACUGCAUACCUAUUUUGUGAAUUAUGUUUAGCACUAACACUUUUUGCUUGAAGCAACGAGAUAAAUGCUAAUAACAUUUGAUCAUUCAAUUUCAAUUCUUUUUAGAAAGGGCAGAGGAUGAAACAAUAUAUCGUUUAGUUAGUCGCAAGUGUGUAUUACGGCCAAAAAAAUCAUAGCGAGGGAGAUGCAACUUUAUUUAGAGAAACAGAGAUUCUCUCAGGCACUUUUUCCGAGGCUAAUCUUUUGUAAGCCUUUACUUUCAUUACAUCUCAACUACCUCUUCAGAGGCGAAUUCUGGCACUAAGUUUAUUUAGUCCAAUUUAUAUGGUUGACAACACAAUAUAUUUUGAAUUGGGUUUUAAGUUGCACGAUAUCAUCCGAAGUGAAAUCAAAACUGGGGUAUGGUACAAAAGGACAAAACAUGGUCGAAACUUGACCAGACAAACUACUUUCAGGUCUAAUUUGUUUGCACUUAUUGGAUUUAUAAACCUGUUCAGACCUCAAACCAUUAAGUGCAUUUGUUUUUAUUAGGAUUUUAGCUCUUUAUAGGUCUGAGUAGGUCUUAAUCAUUCAGAUGUGGAACCAAAUCUAAAUAUCAUUUACAUAUAUUCUUGUGUAGGAUAAAAUUCACCCCCACUCUAUCCACAAUCACCUGUCCCCACCACCAACCACUUCCACCAUCACAACCAAAAUCACUACCAACUACACUGCCAGCCGCUACCACACCUACCACGUCCAUUAUUCUAAUUAUAUCCAUUGCCAACUAGGGGUGUUCACAGUUUGGUUUUUAACCAAACUGAACCACGAUCCAAACCAAACCGAUUAAAAAAAAAUCUAUAUAUGGUUAGGUUUAGUUUGGAUUUGAAUUUUAAAAAAUCGAUACUAAUUUGGUUUGGUUUGGUUUGGUUUUACUCUAAAAUAACGGACAAAAUAACCAAAACGAACCGAUAUACAUAUAUAUUAUAAUUAUUUAUAUGUUUUUCAUAAAUGUAAUCUAAAUAUUUGUUACAUUUUAUAUUUUAAUCAUGAUUUAACUUUAGUCGUAACACAUUCAGUCAUAUGUCUUCAUCUAGUUGACAAUACAUUAUGAGAUUCUAAAUGAAUUUCAUAUUUUGAAUGACAAAUGAUACUAAUUGUGAAAAUAAUAUCUUGUUAUAUAUUGAAAUUUACAGCUGAAAUUCAUUAGAUUAUACGCAAUCACUAAUUUUAACUUUCUUUUGAACCUUGUUGAGCAAGAAGUUUAUGUGUACCUUUUGGGGGUUUAUCAUAUCAUUCUAUUAAAUAUAGUUUUUAAAUAUUUUUUUAAAAGCGUUCAUAUGGUGUUAUCAUGGCUUUGCCGAAGUAUGACACUCAGUUGACAUCAUAGUUUCAAGAUUGAGAUACAACACUCGGUUGACAUCUUAUAUGUUAGAUUGGAUUUGUUUUUUAAAAUUUUCAACUUUUAUCAUUAACUAAAGUUAUAAACCAAAAAACCCGAAUCAAACCGAACUAAACCGACAAGAACCAAACCGAUGAUUAUUUUUUUAUUUGGUUUGGUUUGGUUUUAGAAAUUUAAAAAUUGAUUAAGUUGGUUUGGUUAUGGUUUUGACCAAUAACCGACCCAUAUCGACCCAUGAACACCCCUACCGCCAAUGCCGCCACCAUCAACUGCUACCGGUAGAUCACUACUACCAACCAACUCAUCUAUCAGAGCUAGCACUACCACUAAUAACCACCAACACAUCAUCAACUUCCACAUAUUCUUCGGACACCAUCACCACCACUGUCACCGGCGUCACCACCUCUACCACCACCAUCCACUACACUCACUACAGUAUCUGUACUAACAACCAUUCCACCAUUACAACUAAUAGCGUCUCCAACGACCACCAACACAUUGUCAACCAUCAUGCAUACAAUUUUUCGUCACCACGAUCAACACCUCCAACUACUAACAUUAACCAACUUCACAUCACAACCACCACCACCACUACCAAUCGCCAAUAUCAUGACAGUUACUACAAUGCCAACUAUCUCUACUAUCACAACUAUCAUCACCAAUAUUACUAAUCCCUAAUAUCAAUUAAUUUAUUAAACCACCACCACCAUUACAAACCAUCUCCACUAUCACUAACAAACAUAAAUGUUUCUUUUUUUAAUCAAAUAAUAAUUUAAUUGCAUUAAAUUAAAAAAAAUUCCAAUAGAUAAUUAUAUUAUAUUUAGAGAUAUAUAAAUUUUGCACAUUCAGAUAUUGAGAAACACCCAACCUUAAUCAUUUAGUUUUCAGAUCUAGAGACAUUAUCUUAACCAUUCAAAUGUGCAUUCAAAAUGAUUCAAAUGUCUGAAUAUUAAUAAAAACAAAUGCAGUCUUAGCUGAAACACAAUGGUGUGGUUGUGUGAUACUUUAAAGGAGUCCUUGAAAGUCAAAGAAACUACGUGAAAACAUGGAAGUUUGAUGAUCACUUCUCAGAGUUGUAUUCAACGAAGGAGAAGUCAAUUACAAUUGUCCGUGAAGUAGCAUUUAAUACAUCUUCGCUAGACUGAAAGAAUCAUCUAUAUCUAUACUACAUUAAAAGCAUGGGACCCCUAACUUAAAAGUUUACAACAAUACCGUUCCAAUCAGCCUAAAUACCUACUAUCUAGUAAAAAAAAGUGGAAACUAAUUGGCAUAAAGAGAAACAACACAGAUGUUUAAUAGGAACAACCCGUCAUUGUUCUUAUCUCAACAAAAUAUGUGUUAUUUAAAAAAAAAGCAAGCAGAGGGGUAACUCUCAAAUCUCAAUCUCAUGCUUUUAUCCUACCAAGUAUGUUCUAUUCUUUAAUGCACUACAACAACAACAACAACAAACCCAGUAUAUUCCCAUAUAGUAAUGCACUAACUUCCUUUUUUUACCUAAUGAAUUGAACUUUUUAGUGAGGAUCUAAAUGAUUUUCAGACUUUGUUUAACAUUUGAUUCAUUAAGAUGUAUUAACAGGUUGAAUAUUUAAAAAAAACACUUAAUAGAAUGAUAUCUUAACCAUUCAGAUUUACACCUUCAUUAAGUGAAAGCAAAUGAAAAGGGAUUGUAGUGUAAAGUCUAUAAAUAUGGCUUAGUGUAACAAAUAUAGUUGACACAAUUCAAUACUCCUAUUAGCAAUCUAUUUCACCUGUUUCUCCAGCUCAUCCAUAACAUCUGUAAGUAUUUUGCUGUUGAUCCUGAAGUAUUUGAUGAGACAACUAGAUAUGCAGCAAAAUCUUUAAUCUGCAAGCAUACAAUAAAGAGGGAAAUUAUUGGAUGAAAAAUUCAAAAAGACGAAAUGGGAACUCAUGAAGGUAAUCACUCACUGAACACAAGAAAGAAAAAGUAACUUUGAUGCAAUAAUCAUGCUGGUUAGUUUUGCAUUAAGUAUUCCCAAAGCAACAUGCUCUUCCAUCAGUUUUUGGAACUCAUCACGAUUUUUACGUACAACUUUCCUUAUUUGAAUCAACGGUGUAUGCCCAGUGAGAAAGAGAUAAAUCAAAGUCUCCAAACAUAAAUUUAAUUUUAACCCCCGAGUCUAAUAAGCAAUAUACCAUCCGCAGUUUCCUUUGCUCCUCCUCUUCGCUCUCUAAAUCACGUAUGUAUUCCUAAAACAGAGAAGGUUGAAACAUAACUUUAAAACUGAGGUGUACAAAUGAGAUGUUUGGAAAAAGUUAUUUAUGAUGUAUUAGAAAAAUGAGUAGUACCUGGAAAAUCUCCAAGCGAUUUUCUCAAGGCGGGAGCAUCUUUCAUCAGUUUCCAAGCGGUCCUGAACUUUCCGCCACUAGCUACUGGCCUGAACAAAAUAAGUCAGCAACAAUAGAACUAUGAAAGUUCUAUCUCCUGGAAAUAGAAAAACCUCCUGGAAAUAGAAAAACAUAAUCUAGGAACUGAUGCUAAUUCCACUAGAACAAAUACCUUAAUAAAGUCACAGGAUUUUAAAAAUUCUAAGUACUCCACUCUAUUGCGCUUCUGCUCCUCCAAUGCCUUUGUAUGCUCCUAAUAAAAUCCAGAACAAACUAAAAAAAAUAAAAUUUCUCUAUAAAGAAGAAAAUAUUUACAAAGAGACUUUAACUACACUUGCAUGAAAGUAUUGAAAAACUUUUUCUAUUUUACGAUGGAGGGGGGAGAGGAAGAAGCAUAUCAUAGUUUCAAGUUUCAAGAAAAAUUACAUACAAUACAUGGAAGUCUUUUUAAAUUGGAAUUCAAUGGUGAACAAAUUUAAAUGUUGUACCCUUAAGCCAUUAAAAAUGUAUUCAAAUAACGCAAGAUUUUAAGUUGAAUAUCUACAACAUUCCUUCUUUCUACUCUUUAAGCAAAACAAAAAAAGGGAACAAACUAAAAGACAUCCUGCAAAGGAAAGGAAUGGAAUGAAUGUUGUUAAUCAAGUGGACCAGCACCUAACUCAACUUUGAUAACUAGGUAAGGUGGUGAAGAUUGUCCAAGAUCAUAUAAGGAAACUACAGAACAUACACCAUACUAGUUUGGGAUUCUCAUACAUUAGUCGCACACCAUGACUAGACAUUUGUAGCAUCAGUUAACCUAGGUCGGCUAACAUCUAAUAGGCUAACAUCAAGAUAGAUCUUCCUAUAAUACCAUGUUUAAGAAAUUGGACCUUGUUUCUAUCUCAAAUGAAAGGCUAACUUAAUUUGUGAGGAGCCAAAGACCAUAUAAGGAAACUACAGUCCGCACACUUAGUUUUUAACAUAUAGAAGCUUACAAGAAAGUUCUGCAAAAGAAGCUUCACCUUUUUCUCAAGUUCCUCCACAUAAUCUUCAAAAAGGUCCUCACGGUCUUUAGCUUGCUCAACAGCUUUAAAACAUUCAUCAUGUUCGAAUAUGGAGAUUGCCUUACCGAAUAAUCAAUAACAAAUAGUUAGUGGAUCAAAUGGAACUUACACAAGUAAUGGAUCAACUUCAAGGUACCAAAACACAUACAAACAAUGAACAAGAUUAGAAAACAAGCAGUAGACAACUUAAAAUUAUAAGUGAAAGACAAACCUCCAUCUUGACGAUGGUGACAACUCCUUGCAAUCCUGUAAGAUUGAGAACAACGAACAUUGUUGUGAAAAAUACCACUUAUUCUUUUAAACAAGUCAAAUACCAGUCUCUAAUACAUCAUGAAUAUUAUGAUAAUAUCUUUUUAUUUUUGAAACUGGUAAUGUGAAUAUCAUGAUAUACCAAAUGGAAGACACCCACAAAAGAAAAUUUCACUUACUUCUAACAUUAUCCUGAAAUGUUCUCGAGCUUUUUUCUGUUUAACACGCCUCUUUUCAGCUUCCAGUUUUUUCUUUUGGCUCAAAUACUGGAACAGACACACAACUUCAAAAUGAUCACUAUAGACCUUGGGUGUGUUUGGUAUGAAGGAAAAUGUUUUCCUAGAAAACAAGUUGGUUUCUUACUUGUUUUCUUAUGUUUGGUUGUUGAAAGGAAAACAUUUUUCAGAAAAUAUUUUCUAGUGUUUCGUUGGUGGAUAAAAAAAUAUUUUUCAAAAAAUACAUUUGAGAGUUGUAUAAACAUUUCAACUUAAGAGUAAGAUUCAGAGAGUUUUGGAAAAUGUUUUUCCUACUUUUUGAAGGGAAUUCAUUUUCCUUAAAUUUAAGAAAAAUAAGUUAAUUUGGAAAACAUUUUCCAAAAUAUUUAAGUCAACAAACAUGAAACAAUUGUAUAUCAAACACAAUCUAUCUUUUUGCAAUACGGUAUGCUGAAACAUUGAAGCAGCAAUUAACCCAUUCCAAUGCCGACUUGGAGAGAUACCUCAUUAAAAGCUUGCUUCCGCUCACAAAGGGAUUUUAGAGCUCCAUAUCUCCGGUCAUUAAUUACUGCUCUCAUGGCCUGAAAAAUACAAUUCAUGUCAAAUGAUCUCCCUCAAUUGUUUGGUACGCACAAAACAGUCAAGUAAUAAACCUGAUCCCACGUGCAAUCAGACCCAAUAUUUGCAGAUUCCAAAAGAGUUUAUUAGAUACUUAAAAUAGAAAUAAUAGAAAUUUCGAGAACAUACAUUAAAUGGGACAAAAAGCAAUAAUCAACUAUACCGCUUUGCUCUCAUAAACUAAUGGUCCUAGCUCGACUGUUUUCUCAUCUAAUGGAGUAGCACCUUCGAUUUCAGUUAUUGCAGCAUCUUUCUUAACAUUCUGCAUUUUAGGUACAACACCAAGCACAAAGGACAAAACCAAACCUCAGUGGAAUGGAGCAUAUUCUUCACCUAUUAGGAGUUGACUAACAACUGCACUACAAAAUUGUUGGAUCAACACCCAGCAUAACAGCUAUGAAAAGCUUUCUUGGUGUUUUAACCAGUAACCAGUAGUAAUUAACUAAUCACAUAAGUAUUUUAGAAGGACAAAGUACUUCUCUAUUCUCUGAAGAAAAUCCAUCACCAUACACUACUACAUCUUGAAUUGUAGUAGUCUCAGAACUAAAGAAAAAUUGAAUUCCAAAUAAGAACCAACACAAAACAGAGGCAAAUUUAUAACAUAUAAAUCUGAAAACAGCUGGCAAAGCAGGUUUUGAAGAAUUCUUCAUUUUGACUGUUUCAAUCAUCGGAGAAGAAACCUUAUCGGAUAAACUUGAUGAUACUGAAGCCAUAAUAGUUGGUAAGUUAGUAGCUGGUGACACAACAAUUGGGCUUGAUUUAGCACCGUUUUCCGAGACUAAUGAACCAUCUGCACCCGGGGAUGAUGUUUUAACAACAGAAAUGGAUCUAAAAUCAGAAGCGUGUGAAAUGGUGUCCUUUUCAUGAGCCAACUGUGAAUUUAUAAAUAAUUGAACUUUAUGAGAAUAGAGUAUCCAAGAAAAUAGAAUAUUGCCCCUUCUUAUCAUGCUAGCAACUGUGAAUGCAUAAAGAUUUUAUGAGAACUAGAGUAUCCAAGAAAACAGAAUAUUGUCACAUCUUAUCAUGCUAUUUAAAGCACAGAACAAUCCCUUCUUAUCAUGCUAUUUAAAGCACGGAACAAACCCAUAUUGGAUUUAAAUCUAACAUUACCUUGACUUCAUCAGGCAUUCUCCAUUUAGACGUUCUAGUAACCUUGUUGUAGUAAUACGUACAGAAAACAAACAAAGCAAUCAGCAUUAUGCACAAGUAACACACAAAAGUACCCACUGUAGAAGAACAAUUGGAAAGACGCUAAGAAAAUAUAUAAGUUACACACUUUCUUCCCUUAGGACUUGUAAAUUCUCUCCAGUCAGUUGAUGCGUCUGCCCUCUGUCCCAAUGAAAAUAGCAUGAAAGUAGGUCAAGUCAAAAAACAGAACAUAAAUAGUACCCUGAGAGUAGAAAUUAGUAACUUCCAGCAGUACAAUACUGGAUGGAAGUGUUAGAAUAUGAAUGACAUACUGUCCCACAUGGAAAAGGACUAGAAUGUACUGUGUAGAAUAUAACUACAAGCAGGGUGGAAACAUUGACAAGAUGCGACUGAGCUAUAGCUAUCCAAAGGUGAUCAACUGAACAACAUUCGCCAGAUAAUCACAUUUUGUAUAUGUAUAUAUAUAGGUCAAAUUCUAUCAUUUCUGAGUAUUUUUUAAUGAACACCCUUGCCACAAAAAACAAGACUGAGUGUGACAGUAAGGGUGUUUAAAUCCUGCACUGAGGUUCUAAGUUCCAUACUCAACACAGCCCCCCCAUAAUUUUUUUUCCAUUUGGACACGUUUGAAACUCAUAAACUACAGUUAUGCUUUUUUUCGAUGAAUCAAUUUCUGAACAUGUAUUUUUUUUCCCAAUUAGCUCUUGCAAAAGAUCUAGUAACUAGCAUGCGAUGUAUAAGAAUUUUGUUAAAAUAAACUCAAAGGUAAAUUUAUAAAUUGGUUGUUAUACUAGCUAGCUUGCAUGGGGCAGAGUGUUUGGCUGGUCAGGAGCUCGCAUUUUCAAAAGAUAAAUGCAGCAGAAAUGAGGAUGUUGAUAUUGGUGUGUGGGCGUACUAGGAGAGAUAGAAUAAGGAACAAAGAUAUGCGAGAAAAAAUGGCAGUGCUCUCUGUGGUGGACAAUUGACAAGAAGACUAGAGGGUUGGGGAUAAAGAACCUGAAAAUUCAAAGUAAGGCUCUCAUGAUGAAAUGGUUGUGAAAAUAUGCAAACAAUAACCAGCAGCUAUGGAGGAAAGUGAUUGGGGCUAAAUAUCCUAAAGAAUAUAGAUGGAUGACUAAUGAUGUGAACACACCUACGGGGUUAGCCUCUAGAGAUCUAUUAGAUCUAUUAGACACUAGUGGAAUGAAGUUAAAAGCAACUCAAAGGUUAAAGUGAUGGAUGGAAACAAGACUAGUUUCUGGAAGGAUAAUUGACAUGAGGAUGGGAAUAUGGAAGUGAUUUUUCCAGAUAUCUACAACUUGGUAUUGUUUAAAUAGAGGACUAUAGCAGAAUUAUGGACACCACAUGGGUGGAACUUCAAUUUCAGAAGGCAACUUAAUGACCGGGAAGUAAUGAGAGUAGUUGAAUUUUUUAAUACUGUGGACUUAUUCAAUGGACUGCAGACAGUGAAGGAUGUACUAUGGUGGAUGGGAAAUGAAAAAAGAAUGUUCAGUGUCAACAAAGCCUACAAGAUGAUGAACCAAAUAAAUCACCCAGAUCCAAGAUGGCCAUGGAAGCAAAUAUGGAAAAGUAGGAUACCUCACACAGUGUCGUACUUUGUCUUUUUCUGGUUACUGACCAAGGAAGUAGUUCUUACAUAAGAUAAUGUCAUGAAGAAAGGGAAAACCUUGUGCUCAAGAUGUUUCCUCUGUGGAGAAACUUUAGAGACGGUUAACCAUGUAUUUCUACAUUGUAAGUACACCCAACAACUUUGGAGAAUCGUCUUAAGACUAAAAGGCAUUUCCAGGACAAUGCCUAGGAAAGUAUCCGAGACUUCAAUAUACUGGGAGAAGCAGGUGUACAUGUGAAGGACAGAGGCAGAUGAAGAAUUAUCCCUAGUGCUAUAUGGUGGACUAUAUGGAAAGAAAGGAAUUCUAAAUGUUUUGAGAGCAUAGAGAAUAGUGUGCAGAAGGUUAAACUCAACUGCAUUUUGCUUUUAUGUUUUUGGUGUAAUCAACUAUACUCUAAUGAUACUGCCUCGAUAAUUGAUGUUCUAGACUAAAUUUAGAUAUAGAACAAUCGAUUUAGGAGUACUCUUGUAUAUAAAGGUUUCAGUACAACCCAUUUAAUGUGUGAUAUAAUACAAAGUUACCAAGUUAAAAAAAAAGAUAAUAAUUUUUCGAGUACUAAAAGUUUAUAAAAUAACAAAUAAAGCAAUUAAAUCUGAGUUCAAAUUGGGUGGGUUGGGUUAUGACCCGCAUUUUAGAGCAUUUCAACCCAACCCAUUUCAGCCCAAGUAGCUUUGGGGCGGGUUAAUAACCCGCCCAUUUAUUAACUUAGACCUCUUUGAUCCGCCCAAAUCUAGCCAACCCCGCCCAUUUGACACCUUUAGUUUAAUAGAAGUAAAGUGGACCAUGCCAGAACACAUACCAGAUCUAUUGAGCUGAAGUAAAGUGGACUAUCAAAGGACACACAACAAUCUGUUGAGCUGUUGGAUUAGAGGGGAUUAGCAAGAGUUUGAAGAAAUGGGGGACAACAAUCCUUCCUUGUAUUUGGUGGGCUGUAUGGAGCGAGAAAAGUUGAAGGUAUUUUGAAGAUAAAUAUAAUUCCAUUCAGAAAGAUAAAUGGAAUAGCAUUGUAGAUUUUUGUUUUUUGUUUAAGGGCCAAUGUGUACAGGAUGCAUAACAGGUAGUAGAUCUCUUUGAAUCCUCUCAUUAUUUUCAUUAUUUUUCAUUUCUUUUGGACUGCUAGCAUAACCUUAACGCUGACGAAUACAAAGUAAUAUCUCCGAAAAAGAACUGUUUUUCUCAAAAAGAAAAGAAUAUAAAUGUUCAAACUUCCUUACAGCUCCAGUUGUUGGUCCGUUAAUACAUGUCCCUCACAACCAACCAAACAUUCUUUGAUAACCGUCGUGUUUGGGCCAGCUUGCUCCUUGACUAGUUACACCAGGUACUGCUACCUCCCACCAGCACAGAUACUGGGUAAAUUUGUCCAUCAAGGCUUGGAAAGAUGGUAAGAAAUCACCUAGUGUUUUUAUCUCUCUUGGAAAUUAAACUUGAGACCUCAUGGUUCUCAAUCUAUUACAUUGACCACUAGGUCACACUCUUGGGUGCAAGUGUACAACCAGCCAAACUAUUAUUCUGUAAACCAGAAUGAGAAGUGUGAAGCGCAAUAUUAUAUCAAGUUUCCUCUCUCCAUAUCGCCAUAGAGUUACAAUAACAUUACAUUAAUCAGAAAGUAAAUAAAAUUGUUUAAACUAGACCAAAUAUAAUCCUGUCGUGUAUGCUUAAACACAUUUUUUAGAACAAUAGUGUUAAAUAUAAAAUAUUUUAGAACUAUAUUGGAAAUAAAAGGUCAAUGCAAAUCCCAAAUGAAGCCUACAUAGUAUAGUAAGAUCGAGGAAAUCUGCUCGCUAAACAAACUUUCAACAGAAAUCACAUAUACUUUAGGAAAGAAAAAGUGGUUCUACGAAGCUUCAUAGAAAAAGAAUUGUGUACUUCUUUUUUCAUUGAUAAGCACAGGAAACUGGAUAAAACCACCCAUAAAAAUCUCGAUGACACGAGACCUCACCUCCAUUUCUGUCAUCAGCUCUCGAGGUUUCUCCCAGGUAAAGAUUCUUGUCCUUCUAUUAUAAUAGUAUCUAAAAAUCAAUUCAAGAAUUGUAAGAAUGUUAUUAAUUGGUUGGAGUAAUAAAGCCAUAGGAAAUAUGACAACAUUAGCAACCAUAAUUGGCCUAAUGAUCAUAAAAGAUGCUGAAAAUAGCAAUACCUACUACCAUUUAGCCACAUGUAAAAUAUGUAUGAUAAUAGAGAAAUGGGGUCAAAAUGAAGUUAUCGGUAGAGGUGUAUCAAGUUCUGCUGAUCAACAGUCCGGUAGAAUUUGGUAGCGGUGAACGGUAGCCCAUAUGAUAACUUUGACAAAGAGGACUGAAACAAAGGGGCCUAUUAUCUCCAGUGCUAAUGGAAGCAGAAUGAUGUACAAAGCACUAGAUGUGGAUACUUGAGGGAUUUCUUAGCAGUGAGGGGGCCAACAUAUCCACCACUUGUUCAUAGAAAAUACAUUAAGUGUUUGUGAUGCAGACAUUAACCUAUUCAUAUGAGUAACCUAUGUGAAUAUAAUCCAAAAGCAAGAAUUUCAGAAAUCCAAAUCGGCAUGCUCUUUUUUCUAUCUGGAGAACAAAAAGUGGUAAAAAGAUUGGAUCUGAAUGAAAAUGAUAUUUUUGCCGAGCUUCUUUUCUUGUAUACCACAGUUUUACACCUUUAUUGUUCACUGGAAUCUUAAUUUGCUUACCAAAAACUAUCGUUGAAUUCAAAUGUUGACUCUCUCAGUCAACACACACCCAUUAACCCAUUAAGCAUGUUACUUGUUGACAAUAUUUAUGCAAAACGGGUACAAUAAAACACAUUUUAUUCUCACCAGAACAACCAAGGGAGCUGCUAAUUCUUCAGUCUUCUGCAUAGUUGUCGCAGAAUUCACAUUAUGAUUACUUAUUGGAAUCCAGGGUUGAACCCCUGAUGGAAACCUUUGAUCAUUUAUCUGUGUCUGAUACUGGGAGCCAGAAAAAUCUGCAUUUACCUUCUGUUAAAGACAAUAACAAAAUAUAAUUCAUCAAUAUAGGAAUAGAACAUCGGAAACUGAUUGACAAUAACCACAAAAGAUCUUCCCAAGGCCUUACAUUAUAUGAAGAAGAAAGAGGUAAAUUUGGGCCACUAGAACCAGGCAUGUGGUUAUUUGACAUCGGAAGAUUUCGCUGAAAAUCAUGGGGAAUAGGUGGUCCCUGAGGCAUACUAUGCAUUCCUACUACAGGUCUACCAGUAACCUGUUGCAUAGCUUGAGGAAAUUGGAUUUGAGAAGGUUGAUACAUCACAACAUUUGCAUUUCCAAGUGGCAUAAAUUGUUGAGAUGGCCCGAAACCAUAAGGUUGUGCCUGCUGGGCUAGAAGCAUAGGCUGGAACUGCUAAAGAUGUGGGGAAAAUAGUUAUCAUAAUGUCUCUACAUUCAAAAGUCAUUUAUCCCUCCCCUAAGCAUCCAUAACUUUACCUGCAGUAACAUGGAUGGAAUAGCACCGGGAGCAGGACCAGCCAGAGGAGGUAUAGCAGGACCAAUAUCCAUGCAAGGAAGAACAGAUGAAAUCAGAAUAUAGCUACUUUUCAAUCAUAUUUAGUUAAUUUUCCAAUCAAUGUUGAAAGCUUGUAUCCAUGCGCAACUCCCUAAAUUGAUUUGAAAGACAAGGCAAGAAUUUUGAAGCCAAACCACAUAGUAACAUGAAACCCUUUUCUUCAUCUAAUAAAUAGAAAGCUUGAAACGAGAAUAAAGAGAGAUAGGAAAUAGAUGACCUAUCACAGCGUUAGACGAGAAUGGACAAAAUGAUAAGCAUCUUUACCUUAUGGCUUNNNNNNNNNNNNNNNNNNNNNNNNNNNNNNNNNNNNNNNNNNNNNNNNNNNNNNNNNNNNNNNNNNNNNNNNNNNNNNNNNNNNNNNNNNNNNNNNNNNNNNNNNNNNNNNNNNNNNNNNNNNNNNNNNNNNNNNNNNNNNNNNNNNNNNNNNNNNNNNNNNNNNNNNNNNNNNNNNNNNNNNNNNNNNNNNNNNNNNNNNNNNNNNNNNNNNNNNNNNNNNNNNNNNNNNNNNNNNNNNNNNNNNNNNNNNNNNNNNNNNNNNNNNNNNNNNNNNNNNNNNNNNNNNNNNNNNNNNNNNNNNNNNNNNNNNNNNNNNNNNNNNNNNNNNNNNNNNNNNNNNNNNNNNNNNNNNNNNNNNNNNNNNNNNNNNNNNNNNNNNNNNNNNNNNNNNNNNNNNNNNNNNNNNNNNNNNNNNNNNNNNNNNNNNNNNNNNNNNNNNNNNNNNNNNNNNNNNNNNNNNNNNNNNNNNNNNNNNNNNNNNNNNNNNNNNNNNNNNNNNNNNNNNNNNNNNNNNNNNNNNNNNNNNNNNNNNNNNNNNNNNNNNNNNNNNNNNNNNNNNNNNNNNNNNNNNNNNNNNNNNNNNNNNNNNNNNNNNNNNNNNNNNNNNNNNNNNNNNNNNNNNNNNNNNNNNNNNNNNNNNNNNNNNNNNNNNNNNNNNNNNNNNNNNNNNNNNNNNNNNNNNNNNNNNNNNNNNNNNNNNNNNNNNNNNNNNNNNNNNNNNNNNNNNNNNNNNNNNNNNNNNNNNNNNNNNNNNNNNNAUUAUAUAUGUAACAUCAUACUUCACUACGAAUCAAAUAAACUUAAGCUCUUGCAUAUAUCGUUCAAGCCUAUUAGAUUACUUCUAUAAAACUAGUAUCAUUAACCAAGAAAUCAUCACAUCCACCUUCAUGGAGAUCAAUUGUUCAAAACUUAAUGUUUAGUGGUAAACAUGAUUUUACAACCCAACCUUAUGCAUGAUUCUCACUUGGAUACCAUGAAAUAGACAUUAAGAAACACUAGUACACUAGAACUUCCAAACAACAAAUAAUUGAUCUUGACCUUACGGUCUUUCUUUUCAUACCUCAUUAGAACGUACUAUUUUAACACAUCAAGCCUACUAAUUCUUUCCCACAGAACAUACAUCAUUAAUCUCAUGCCACUAUUUUUACCACCACAUUCUACAUUAAAUUCAAGCACAUAGUCCUGUACCAAUCAUCUAUCACUACUGAAAAAUGCAACAAACUAUGCUAGUUCAUAAAAUUUGGGACAUACUAUACAAGCGCCUAAAAAAUCACUACAUACCUUCUCAUAAGUAGUACUAGUUUACAAUUAUUAACGAAAAGAAGGUCAGGGGUAAAGUUACAUAAUAGACAUGAUCAACCUUAAUCUUAUAUUAUAACCCCAUACAAUUUUUUUUACUUAUACGGAUUUCUCACCUCAUACUUACUUACCAAAACAUACAUUUAGACUACCUUCAAAUUCCACUAAUAACCAUGAGUCUAUACUUACAACUUACUGGCUAAUAUAGCCAUUUUCACACUUCAAGCAAUCGAGAAAUCACCCUAACUAACAACUCCUUCUCUACCUUCUACUAAACUAACACACAAGGAAAAAUCACCUCUUUACCAACUCAAUCUCAUGCAAACAGAUUGGUAGUCCUGUACCAAUCAUCUAUCACUACUGAAAAAUGCAACAAACUAUGCUAGUCCAUCGAUUAUUCAACCAAAAUAUUCAUUUACACAAAGUCACCCUUGCUCUGACUUCUAACUUUGUGACUUCACAUCACCAAAUUCUUGGUCUAAUUUCACUACCAAUAGGUCAUGACAACAACACUUUGACGCAUACUACAAUUCGGGUGGAAAUAUAGUUCCAACAUUCUACUACACAACAUCCCCCCCUUAAGCAAGACAUUUGUAACAUAAAUUUGAAGAGGACUACAUGCAAUUAAUACCUCAAGCUGAAAAGCAUGAUUCAAUCAGGAUCAAUGUUUACAUCGGAAUCAAUACACAUUGAAGCACUAACGGACUCUUCUCAAGUCCUUGCACAAAUUUUAACUCUUAUAUGGUUCAAUCAGAAAGGACCAUACCAUUUAGAUUCUAAAUUUCUGCACUUGAAUCACCUCAAUAAUGAGACAUAUCUGGGACAUUAGAGUAAGGAAAGAAUUGGGGAUGACUUUUUUUUACUUUUGUAUGGGCGACACCAUAGCACAAAUUAGAGUAUGAAAGAGGAACAUUCUGACUCUAUUGCAUGAACUAGAACAUGAAGAAAGAGAGACAUUCCUAAAUGCCUAGUAGCCUCCUGCUUAUAAGUAUGGCGCGCUACACACCCAUAAACAAGACUCUACUCGACGCGAUUUCACAGACACCCUGAGACUAUGAACUGUGCUUUGAUACCAAGUUUGUCACGACCCAAACCGGGGCCCUGGCCGUGACGAGCAUUCUAACCAUGAAGGCUCAAAACACCCCUAUCUAUUUGGUAAUCAUGUACAUAAUUCAUAUGAUAAUAAGAUAUGCGUAAGAUACACAAUAAUGUGAAAAAUAUGGUCAUAAAUCAAAUGAAAUCAACAAAGGGGAAUUAAUGUCCCAUAAUGUAUAUCGACAUCUGAACAACCGUCUGCGAAAUCUCUAAUACAUGACUGAAACAAAUUACUGUCUGAAAACUGGGACAAGGUCCCCAGUAGACCUAAAACUACUAAAUGAUAAAUGAACUGACAGACAUCAGGCCUUCCAAAAUAUAGAAGGCUCACCACUUGAUUCUGUAAAUCUGUCGGAAGAGAUCUACUAGUUAUCUGGACCCCUAUACUAUGCCUCUAAACCCGGGAGGGAAGAGGGUCAAUACAAAAGUACUAGUAUGCAGAGAAACCAAAAACAAAAUGUAAUAUUUUUUUCCAAAUAUAGGUGAGAGCCAUUAUAAAGCAGUUCCAUAUCAAAUCAUUUAAAAACACAUGGGCAUAAUGUAAUAGUUUUCAACAACAAUGUAAUGCAGCUGAGCUAGGUGGAAUACCCUACAUAUAACAUUUACACCAACUGUCAAAUCUCGAUCCUAACCAUAGUCCCAAAUUGGGAAUGACAUAAAGUCAAGUACAUAAGAUCACUUAUCCUGGUACCAAAUCCCCAUGUCGGCAAACACGGUUUCCAGCGAGGAGCCCUUACACUCAAACGCCUUCUUCGGGCAUUCACCUAUCUCAUGUAAAAUCAAUGCAUCAAACUCUAUUUAAUUCAAUCACAUAUCUUAUUAUUUAGGGUAUCGUCAUAUCCGACUUGCAAGCCAUCAAUAUCACAUCAUUCUUUCAUGCAACCAUUAUAUUCAUCAUAUUUCAACAUAACAACCCUCUCAUUGCAAGUCGAAACCAUGACCAUUUUCAAAAUAUUUCAUGUCACGCUUGUCAAGAUGAUUUCAAACAUUUCACAUCAUAUGAGAAUUUAAAACGAGAUCAUAUAAAAAGAGGGAUUUCAUAUAAUUCAUCCUCUCAAGUUAACAUCUUUUCGGAAUACAUGCAUAUACAUAUAUCAAACCACUUUGAGAAUAGGCCUAAAGACCAAAUGAAUAUCAUAAAACGUUUAAAACUGGAUUAUAUUCAUAAUUUCAAAACUCCCAUUUUUAAAACAUGAAUUUUUAAGCCCAUGAGAUUUUUGAGAUAACCCCACGUACCUCUAUAUGCGAAGAUAAUAUCUGCUUCUUGAAGCCUACGUUUUGGGAAUUCCAAAUAUGCAAUUAGUUUCAAAAACUCACGGUUGAAUCUUGAGUUGCUUGGUUUUUUAUUUUAGAAUCCUAAGGAGAGUUCUUGAGCAAUUUUGAUGAAUGAAGGUGUAUUUUGGGGUAUUUUGGGAACUGAAUUUUGUUUUUAUGGCUAAAUAAGGGUGGGAAAAGGACCAUUUUGCCCCAAAAAUGGAGUGUUUAAGUCACUUGAGUAAUAAUAUAUGCGGUGCAAACAUUAUCGCAUAAUAUAGGUUGUGCGGCGCACUCUUUAUUGCACACAUUAGGUUGUGUGUCGCACACCUUAUGGCAUAAGUUAGGGUGUGCAUCGCACACCUUAUGCCAUAGGUUAGGGUGUGCGUCACACACCUUAUGUUGCACGACACACUCAACUUUGCAAAGACAUAACUUCUUCCUUGGGUGUCAGAAUUUUGCAAAGUUGGUAUCGUUGGAAAGAUAAUUCGAAUACGUUUCAUUUGAUAUAUAAAGGACACUCUAAUUCAAUAUAUACAAAGAGUAAUGGUCAAUUGAAAUUGAUCUAAGUUUCAACGCUCACUAAAAUUCAAACAAUAGGAAAACUUUCAACUUGUCCUUGAGCUUGGGGACCUCUAUGAUCUCAAUUCAUGCUCAAAUAGGUUUCCACACUACAUAAUUUAUUAACACACUAAAAUUGCAUUGGAUUUAUGGCUUUUGGAACCUUUACGUAAAGAAAAUGACGAUUUUCAUUCUCGUCCAAAAUGCGGGGUGUUACAAAAUUUGUUAGAAAAUGGAAAAUACAACCAUAUGGAGUACAUUUUAGCUGCACCGUACUCUAAAUACACUAAACUGAACUUUAAAAGUACUAAUGCAUUUCUUACCUGUUGGUGUGUAGCAUUCAAAAGUUUUAUUGUCUUUGGUAGGAAGAUAGCCACAACGCCGGUUUCAAGAAUGAAGAUUAAACUAAAAAGAAGCCAUGCUUGCUCUAGAGUUCCUGCUAUAUGAUACGACAUUACUCUACAACGUUGAACCCACUUUCCUAAUCCUUGGAGUCUAAGUUCUUCCGAGAAUGAAAUAUGAUUAGGUAACACAUCCUCAACAUCAUUUGAAUCAGUGACAGGAGGGUUACUGUCGUGAUGUUCUCGAUCAGCGUCCAAACUAUUUCUCUACAACAAGGCUAGAAUCAUUGGGUCCAAUCCAUUCUCCUUCAGCACCACUGCAAAAUUAGGAUCAAGCCCUUCAUCUUGCAAUAAAUUAGCUAAUUCAAGAUCAGUGUGUCUUCCUUUCCGCUUUAACAUAGAUGUAAUCCUGGGAUCACUCAACUUUUUUUGAAAUGCAAGUGCCAAAUUCAAGUCCAGUAUCUGUUGGUUUGAAGAAGUGGAUGUACUAGAAUCACCGCCUUGGCUUUCAAGGCCACUGCUAGAACAAACAACCAAUGAACUAUUAUGCUUUAAAUUUCUGUCAACAUAUGAUGAUCCUACUUAGGCUCUUGAACAACUGAACGACAGAACUACUACGUAGAGCUAGACUUGGUCUUCCACUAUCUCUACUCUUAUCACUAUUAAUCCCCUCAAUGUUAUUCAAGGGACUGCCAUCACCAGUGCAAGGCACAGUUGCAUUACCAAGAUGACCAGCAUCAGCACUACUACUGCGUUUGACACUUGAGCCACACCCCUCAAAAGAGCUUGCGGACCUAUUUUGGUCUUUUCUGUGGAAACUUCUCUAAGGCAGAUAAUUGUGCUCUUCAAGGCAUCUCAUCUAGCUGCUAAUGGGUCUGUAACUAAUAAAUGCCGUGAAACAGUAACACCCAACAGAACAGAUGCUACAACUGCAUAACUAAUAUAAUGUCCAGAGUACCUGAAACAAAAUUGUUGCAGUAAAAGAUUAGAAGAUAUUUUUUUGAUAACAAAAGAUUAGAAGUUUCUAUUCACCAAAUAAUAUUAAAAGGGAUACAUAUGACACAAGUAUAAGAAGACUUGAUUAUGGAAGAAAAUGAAUUAGCAUGGGUUAACAAUAAACCAGUAAUGAACUCCAACACAAGUAUAAGAAGACUUGAUUAUGGAAGAAAAUGAAUUAGCAUGGUUUAACAACAAACCAGUAAUGAACUCCAAAACAGAUCAGGAACACCCGAGAUGUACCGGCAACAAAAACUACAACAACUCAACUUUUCAGAAGCUAAAAACCAUACAAGCAAGAUCCCAAGUUCCAAUUUGAUUGGAUGAAAAGGUAGUGAAUUCAUUACUUACCACAAAGAAAUAAGAAAUUAUUUCACAAUACGAGUUAGAAAAGGAGACAGAUAUAUGUAGGAAAUGAACUACCAAGGAUUAUCAUGGCAGCUGAUGUUGUUGCCCCAAGCUAGUUUGAUUCCUUUGCUGUCAGACCAUACAGGAUAGAAUACACAAGAAGUACUACAAGUGAACCAACAUAUAGAAUUCCAAGAUGCAGAGCCCUGCAGAGCCCAAGUUCAAAGUGAAGAAGAGUAAAUUAUAGAGUUCAGAGAAAAUGUUGAAAAGAUAGUGCAGAAAAUAUGAUGAGCAGUAUAAAUGAGAACCCACUGAACACAUAAUAUAACAAGGUGACUUUCUAAUCUAAAGCAGCAUUUAAAUUAAUUUGCUUAGAAGUGAGAUUUUAAGAUCUACUAUUUUUACUGGACUACUGGAGAGUGUGUUUUGUUCUCUCAGAGUUAGUAUUCCUUUUAUUCAAAUUGAUUUGAGUUACACCCAUUGUUUAGCGUUCUUUGGCUCUUAAUUUUAAAAGUCUGUUAGUUGAGAACAUUUUGGCCUAUCUUCCAUAUCUUAUAACAAAAAUUAUGUUCCAUCCAAAAAAAGAGUUGUCAUAUUCGUCAUCCAUGUCCUUUAUAUAGAACUCUUCCUAUCUUUGUUCAAAUCCCUAGCCAACAAGAAUGAUGUCCCUCUUCAAAAAGUAUUAUGUCUUACUCUGUCUUUCUAUUGCCUAUAAACAGUCUAGCACAUCAAUGAUGUCUUCUGUUAGAGCUAAUCAUCGUGUUUACACCAAAAAUAAAGAAGUGCUAAACUAUUCUUGUUGAUCUUCUGGACAUCCUCAAAACAACCCUUGUUUCUUUCUGUCCAAACUGUCCACCAUACAUAUGUUAAACAAUUUUCCAUCUCUCCUCCUUUAUUACAUUUACAUCCCCAUUCCAGCUGCUUAGUACUUUUUUAAUGCUCCCAGGUUCUACCCACCUGAUCCUCUUCAGGUUGAAAACAUUCUUUACAGCUGCUCUGUCUAUUUCCAAUGUAAGAAAAGAUGGUUGAUUGUGUAAAGAAAGGAUCUUGGGCCUAACUCAACCCCAAAAGCUAGCACAUGAGGGGUGGAUUGCUCAAGUCCAUAUAAGAAGACCGACAGUUCACUCCCAAUAAUGUGGGACUUUCACCCACUCUAACACCUUCACGCCCAGGCCUAACAAGAGCAUGGUCUGGGAACUCAAAUGUGGAUGGACCUGCUAUUUGAGAAGGAAUAUCAACUGUUGUUUGUAUGCAAGAGAGAACAGAUGAGCUGUUGUUAUUGAAUGCAUUGGGUCUAUCAGCACGUACAGGUUCAUGCAUUAUGCCAUUAGGUUUUGCAGCAGUUCCAACAUUUUCAGCAGCACUACAAGUCAAAUUUUGAUGCACUGCAGUAAGGAAAGAAAACUUAAACAUUAACUUGAGACAACAACACAAGCUUCUCAAAUGUAGGUUCUAGCAAGAACAAAGAUAACAAGCAAAUAGAAGGCAAUGAAUAUAAGGAUAAGUCUAGACGGGCUUAGGGACAGGCUCCAAAAUGAACACAAUGCUCAUCAUUCUUGUGCAGAUAAGAUCAGACAACUUAUUGUUUUGAUGUUAAGAGUUUCUUGUAGAGGGUGCUGAAUCCAUUUUGCAACUUUGGAGGCCUUGUAAAGCAUAGAGAGGCUCAUUUUUUUUAAAGAAAAUAUUACCCACAUAGUAUAUAUGCUAUCAUUUUCAAAAAAAUAUGGUGCUUGCUGGUUUUACCAAUAUCAUGUAUGGUUGUACCUUCCAAUGCAACCUCCUGGCAAAAAAUCUAACCACUAAUAGGCAUCUUUCAGCAUAGAAGAUACUAAGAUUGUCUUACUAGGAAUUAGGUAAGUACAAGUUCUUGAAGGGAAAUUGUUUGCAUCAUUGAAGAUCAGAAAGCCAGGUAUACAGGAGAUUAGACAUGUUAAAGAAAAAAUGACAGGUUUAAUAUCUGGAAAGACAUCAAAAACUCUCCUUGAUAUAUAAAUGAUGGAUCCCAAAUAACUUCAGAAGUUACACACAAAAGUAAAAUGGUACAGAAACCAAUUCCACCUUUAUAAUAACUAUGUCUGCUUGAUGUAAGCAUAAACAUUAUCAGGAAAGUCAUCAAAGACUCUCAUUGACAUAUAAAUAAUGGAUCCCAAAUAACUUCAGAAGUUACACGCAAAAGAAAAAUGGUACAAAAACCAAUUCCACCUUCAUAAUAAUUGUGCCUGCUUGAUGUAAGCAUAAACAUAAAGAACAUACUGACAUACUAAAAGAUUAUCAAAAUGUUCUACAAUGUAGUGCAUAGUUUUUUUCGUUUUUUGAAAUUGAACGCAGUAUAUAGUUUAAAAAUGUACAAACAACAUUUAAUGUGGCAGGUGAAACAUCAAGUACUAGAAGGAAAAUUUAAAACAUGGUAGAGGCAAAUGAAAGAGGGUAUCGAAAGAAUGAUCAGAGGGCAGGGUGGAACUCCCUCAUAGCAAGUCAAAUGAAGUUUAAAACUAUAUAAAGAAGAUGAAACUAGAGGCUUCUGUAUGUGUCUCACAUACUUGGUAUAAACCAUGUGUGAAUAAGCACAACAGAAUCAAAUGUACUGAGACAAAACAGGAAUUUGAUUGUAGAUCAAAUAGAAGAGUCUGCUAACCGACUAGAUUUAAAAGCAGCUCUGGUCCAUGCACCAUUUUGAGGUAAAGUUAUAUGGUUAAAAAUUUGGACGUUACUUAAUAUAUGCACAAACUGAACAUGAAGUGCCCAGUUAGACAAGUACUUUUUUGUAGCUACCCAGUGACAACCAACUCAGCAAGGUUAAUGACCUUUCCCUUGCAUGGAAUGAAAGUGUGGAUGACCCGACAUCAAAUAUACGAUUGUUAUUAUACACACAAUCUCCAUACAACAGCAACAACAUACCCGAUGUAUAUUCGGGCAGAAUAUAUGCAAACCAUACCUCUAUCUCAGAGACGAAAAGAAAAUGGUAGAACCAAUCCUCAAUAAAUAAUUCAUAAGACAAAAAACAGCCAACACUUACAAAACCAAAUGAAGAAAAAAAGUUCAUUGUCUUGAUCACCGGCAAGUAAAAGAAAUGUUUACAAUUGGAGAUUCAAAAAGGUUACAAAAGAAAGAAGCAAACUAUCUAUUUAACAAGUAUCAAAGCGGGGAAAGAAUAAGAGUAAAACCAGUAAGUAUACUAGAAGUAUGAACACUAUAGUCAAUGAACAAAAUAUGAAUUGUAGUUUGGCCAUUUAGCAUCCAUCACUCCAACAGAGAAUCAGGACUUGCAAGAAGGUUGAAAGGUUUGCCUAUCGAGUCUUUCAAGAUUGUGAUUUGACCUGUUUCAUAAGAAAGUCUUCAUCGAGAGUAUCUACCUUCCUUUUCAACAUGUUAAUCUCAUAAUUCAACAGCAUGUUCAUCUCACUAUAGCUCUUAACUUCCUCCCACAUGAAAUCCCUCUCUUGAAACACUUUUGGUAGUAUUGCCUUCACAAUGCCAAGUUCCUUCAUGCAUUCUUCCAAAUCAUUAGUGAGCUGGUUGAUAUUUCCGUCCUUUUUUAGCACCUACUAGAAUCAACCGUAAACCAUGAAAAACAAGAAAGACACAAAGAUCACCAAUAAUAUUUCAUCAGAAAUUUAAAAUAAACUCAUAGCCUAAAAGUUCAACCAAAUCAUGAAUCCUUUUUAACUGUUAAAAUUCACAAUAGAUAACUCGUGACCUUGUCCAAGAAUUAAGUCAGAUGAACGAGCAAACUUACCGAAACCCCUUCGGGUAACUUUACCAUAUCAAAGCACAAUCAGAUCAAUGGGUUUGAGGAUAUCACAAAGUUUAUCAUGUUCUUGGUUGGUUCAAGUGAUUACACAUUAAGGCGAUCAGACAUUUCACAAAAGGCUACCACAUGCCAGCAACUCAUAUAUACAAGUUCAUAAAGAAAACCAUGAACUUCAGAUGGAACAAAGAUGAACCUAAAAUCAAUUAGAAGUAGAAAGCUAAUGCAGAGAGAGUAACAUGCGAACAGGCUAUCAUAUAUAAAGACGAGGUAUCCAAAGUUGAAAAAUAAAAACUAUUCAGUUGCAACGAGAUCUUAACAUUGCCUACUUACCUAAAGCUCGAGAUAUUUCAACUUGGGUGUGGCAUAAAAAAGAGAGUCCAAUUAAUUUUGUACUUCACAUUUGAGAAUGUUGUUACCUCUAACUGUUGUGGUUAGAUCAGGCUGAAGUUGCUUUAUGUCCAUCUCCUCGGAAUAGAGCUUCUCCCUUAACACAGUUUUCAGCAAAGUCUUUGAUUUAAGCUCUUUAACCUUUUCGUGGUAGUUUUCCCGGACAUAAUCUCUAUUGUCUUGAGCUACUCGAUAUUCCGCUUGUAACUGAGUGAGCUUCUGCCUUAGAUUUUGAUUCUCCUCUGACACUUGCUCUAUUCUCUUAAAUAAAUCUUCAAGGUGUUUCUCCGAAAAUGACAUCUUGAUUCUAUUAUCUACUUUCUUCUCAUUAAAUGAAGAGACUUCCCUUUGUAGAGAGACAUUCUGCUCUACAAGCUCCCUCACCCUUUCACGGAGUCUAUGCUGUUCAAUUUGGUAUUUCUCAAGUUUUAGAGACCAAUCGCUGGAUCUUCUAUCCAACUCCUUUUCCAGUACUAAUUGUAACUCAUUCUUUUCUGUCUCCAAUCUUCGUGUCCGUGAAUCUAGUUCUGCCUGUAAUAUGCUGGCUUCUUCCUUAACAGAAGCCGUUUUAGCAACUUGAUUCUAUAGCACGCUUGAAACUUCAGAAGCCAUUUGUACCUUCUCCUUUAUCAAUCUUCUAAUAGUCCAAAUCAAUACUGGAGCGCUAAGGUCUCUGCCGUGAAGAAACAUUUGUCAUUACUUUGGACAAGCAAACGCAAAUUAAAACAUCAGUUUAAGUGUGAAAAAGGAAGCUACAGCAAAAUAAUAUGCAUACCGGCUUGAAUCACGACCAGAUUUCUUAGGAUGAACUUUCUUACUGUGACCAUGGGGAGAUUUGCUCAGAUCCGUGAAAUUCUUUUUGCCUGACCCACUGUCAUAGAAGGAUCCAGAUGACACUGAAACACUCCUCUAAGAAGAAACUUCCUUAGACUUUAAUGGUGGUGGAGAGGUCUUGUUUGCAUCAUUAGUUGAUGAUCGAGAAAAGAAGAAGUUGUUCUUCAUCAUCUCUAUGUAUGGAGACUGUACAUGAAUCAAACUAGUGUCCAUGAGAUUUCAAAGGACAAAGCAAAACACUCAUAAACAACCACUCACAAAUCAUUAUCCAUUCAUGAAAAUACUGCAAGCUAACUAAAUACCUAUGAGACAAAGAAAAACAUCUCUCUUUCUACAUGCUUCUUCUUCAACAACAACAUAUGUAACCCCUACCUUGGCAAGUAGAAAAUUUGUUUCCCAUAAAUCCUCGGCAAGGAAAGAAAACACACGAGGAUAUUAACAACAGUAGCAAGUAAGAAAACAAAGGUAUACGAUACAACAAGUAGAAAAGAAAAAUAUAUACUAAUACUACUGCCAGAAGAGACAUAACACGAAACUAUUUACUACUAGUCUUCUACUAAAAAUUAAUAAAAUACCCCACAAACAAAUAGCAUGAGAACAAUUCAAAGAACUUAUCAAAUCCUUCUGAUAAAACAAAUAAUCAUUCUAAAUAAUAAAAAAAAAGAAGAGAAAUUACUGAAUCAAAGAGUUGAAAGAGUAAGAGCCGGCAAAAGGUUGUCAGAAUCUGUAGGAUUCUUGUCAUUUUUUCUUUAAAUGUAAAAAUAGCAAAAGACUAGAAUGGAGAAAACUUUUUUUUUCCUGUGUCUUUCAUUCAUCAUCGUACAAUGCAUAUAUACAACUAACAAGGAUCUGUAAAUUGCAAGUAAAUAUUUACAAGGAUCUGUAUAUGGCAAGUGAAUAUUUACAAGGAUCCAGAAAUAUAGCAAGUGAAUAUUUACAUACUCAUAAUGAAAAACUUGAGAAAUACCCAUGAGAGAGAGAGAAGAAAAGUGUAACAAAUAUUUUGUGUUAUUCAAUGGCUAUAAAUAGCCAUAUGAGGUCAAAUUUUCCAUAUAAUUGAAAUAAAAUAUAAACUAUAAAUUAACUUUUUAAAAUUAGCACACAAAUUAACCUAAAUUAUGAAAUUUAAGAUAUUUAUUUUUUCAAAAUUUAACUUUUCCAUAUAAACAUCACUGAAUUGAUAUAAACAAUAUUUUGAAAUGUGAUAAAUUAAUUAAAUAACCCAAAAAUAUUGUAAUAUUGUAUUUAUUUUAUCUCUAGAUCUUUUUUUAAAACAUAAGAAAUACUAAAAUCAUACAAUAAUCUCCUUUCUUUUUAUAGUCUAAACUUACCAUUUAAAAAUUGUUUCAUUUGAAUUAAUAAGAUCAUAGUAGAUUGUACAAAAUCAGUUAAUAUAUGAAAUAUAUUUCCAUUAAAGAAAUAAAGUAUGAUAUAAUUGUAAUAAGACUACACAAUCAAAUAAUUAAUUUCACUUAAUUAGAUUAAAUUUUAUGAUCAUAAUAUAUAGACUAAAGUUCCUUAAAUUUAAUGCUGUAAAUUUAAAAAUAUAUUUUUGGCUAAAGUAGUAGUCAACGUUUGUUGUUUUUUUUAAUCAAUAUGUGUAUAUCAAUUACGGAACUUUGCAUAUAUUCUUUAUUACAAUAAUGGUCAAUAUUAACUGAUUUUUACCACAAUUUAAUCUAAUUAGUUUGAUAACAAUACAAUUAUUAUUAAUAUUAUAUAUUUGUUAACCAUAAAUUUGUCCUAAUUUUAUAGCUUGUUUAUAUUUAAUUAAUCUACAAUUACAUAAAGGAUUCAAAUAUGGAAACAAUUGAUAUUAAUUACCUUUAUAAUUUCAAAAAUUUAAUCCCAUGAAUUUCUCAUAUUCUUAUAGUUUGAUUAUAUCAAAUUGAUAUUAAUUACCUUUAUAAUUUUGGGAAUAAUUUUUAACAGGUAACGAUUAUUUUUUUCCUAAUUGCUGAUUUAUUUCUCAAAAAUUUCUUAUAAAUUUAUAAUUUGAUUAUAGUUAAUUGAUUAUUUAAUUAUCUUUAUAAUUUGCUAAAAACCCAAAUAAGGUAACAAUUAUUUUUUUCUCAAUUACAGAUUUUCUUAUAUUCAAUCUUUUANNNNNNNNNNNNNNNNNNNNNNNNNNNNNNNNNNNNNNNNNNNNNNNNNNNNNNNNNNNNNNNNNNNNNNNNNNNNNNNNNNNNNNNNNNNNNNNNNNNNNNNNNNNNNNNNNNNNNNNNNNNNNNNNNNNNNNNNNNNNNNNNNNNNNNNNNNNNNNNNNNNNNNNNNNNNNNNNNNNNNNNNNNNNNNNNNNNNNNNNNNNNNNNNNNNNNNNNNNNNNNNNNNNNNNNNNNNNNNNNNNNNNNNNNNNNNNNNNNNNNNNNNNNNNNNNNNNNNNNNNNNNNNNNNNNNNNNNNNNNNUCGUUGUUUUUGUAACCAAUAUAUGUAUAUCAAUUACGAAACUUUGCAUAUAUUUUUUAUUAAAAUAAUUGUCAAUAUUAACUGAUUUCUAACUCAAUUUAAUAUAAUUAAUUUUAUAACAAUAAAAUUAUUAUUAAUAUUAUAUAUUUAUUUACCAUAAAUCUGUCCUAAUUUUAUAGCUUGAUUGUAGUUAAUUAAUCUACAAUUACAUAAAGGGCUCAAAUAUGAAAACAACUGAUAUUAAUUACCUUUAUAAUAUUGGUAAUUCAAUCACAUGAAUUUCUCAUGUUUUUUAUAGAUUAAUUAUAUUAAAUUGAUAUAAAUUACCUUUUUAAUUUUAGGAAGAAUUUUAAAAAGGUAACGAUUAUUUUUUUCCUAAUUACUGAUUUAUUUCUCAAAAAAUUCGUAUAAAUUCAUAAUUUGAUUAUAGUCAAUUGAUUAUUUAAUUAUCUUUAUAAUUUGCUAAAAGCUCAAAUAAGGUAACAAUUAUUUUUUCUAAAUUACGGAUUUUUUUAUAUUCAAUUUUUUUUUUUUUUUUACUAAAAUAGUUCAAAUUUAAUUGUUUUGAGGGAUGAUAACUUUUUGUGUCUAAAUCUUUUUUAAUAUAUAAGAAAUGCUAAAGGCAUACAAUAAUCUCCUUUUUUUUUUAUGAUCCAAAAUUACCAUUUACAAAUUAUUUCAUUUGAAUUAAUAAGAUCAUAGUAGCUUACACAAAAUCAAUUCAUUAAUUAUAUGUAUUUUUAUAUAAAAAAUGAUGUACGACAUAAUUGUAAUAAAAUCACACAACCAACUAAUUAAUUUCAAUUAAUUAAAAUCAAUUUUAUGAUCAUAAUAUAUAGACUCAAGUUCCUUAAAAUUUAAUGUUAUAAAUUUUAAAAUAUAUUUAUGGCUAAAGUAGCAGUCAGUGUUCGUUGUUUUUUUUUUUUACCAAUAUAUGUAUAUCAAUUACGAAACUUUGCAUAUAUUUUUUAUUAAAAUAAUUGUCAUUAUAUUAACUGAUUUCUAUCACAAUUCGAUAUAAUUAAUUUUAUAACAAUAAAUUUAUUAUAAUAUUAUUAUAUAUUUAUUUGCCAUAAAUCUAUCAUAAUUUUAUAGCUUGAUUAUAUCUAAUUAAUCCACAAUUACAUAAAUGACUCAAAUAUGGAAACAAUUGAUAUUAAUUACUUUUAUAAUUUCAAAAAUUUAAUCCCAUGAAUUUCACAUAUUCUUAUAGUUUGGUUAUAUCAAAUUUAUAUUANNNNNNNNNNNNNNNNNNNNNNNNNNNNNNNNNNNNNNNNNNNNNNNNNNNNNNNNNNNNNNNNNNNNNNNNNNUUUUUUAAUACAUAAGAAAUGCUAAAGUCAUACAAUAAUCACCUUUAUUUUUAUAAUCCAAACCUAUCAUUUAAAAAUCAUUUCAUUUGAAUUAAUAAAAUCAUAGUAGAUUGCACAAAAAAAAUCAAUUAAUUAUAUGUAUUUUUAUUAAAUAAACGAUGUACAAAAUUGUUGUAAUAAAACUAUACAAUCAACUAAUUAAUUUCAAUUAAUUAGAAUCAAUUUUAUGAUCAUAAUAUAUAGACUCAAGUUCCUUAAAUUUAAUGUUGUAUGUAAAUUUUAAAAUAUAUUUAUAGCUAAAGUAGUAGUCAACGUUCGUUGUUUUUUUACUAAUAUAUGCAUAUCAAUUACGAAUCUUUCCGUAUAUUUUUUUUAUUAAAGUAAUUGUAAAUAUUAACUAAUUUCUAUUUCAAUUUAAUCUAAUUAAUUUGAUAGCAAUAAAAUUAUUAGUAAUAUUAUAUAUUUAUUUACCAUAAAUCUGUCCGAAUUUUGUAGCUUGAUUAUAUUUAAUUACUCUACAAUUGUAUAAAGGGCUCAAAUAUGAAAAUAAUUGAUAUUAAUUACCUUUAUAAUUUCGGAAAGUCAAUCCCAUGAAUUUCUCAUGUUUUUAUAGACUGAUUACAUUAAAUUGAUAUCAAUUACCUUUUAAAUUUUGAAAAGAAUUUUAAAAGGUAACAAUUAUUUAUUUUCCUAAUUACUAAUUUAUUUUUCAAAUAUUUCUUAUAAAUUUAUAAUUUAAUUAUACUCAAUUGAUUAUUAUUAUCUUUAUAAUUUGCUAAAAACUCACAUAAGGUAACAAAAAUAGGUAAAACUUAUUUGUUUACAAAAAUAGGUAAAACUUAAUUAUUUUGAGGGAUGAAACCUUUUUUUAAUAUUUUUUUAUUCAGAAUGAUUACAAUAUUUUCUAUAUAAAUUGAUCAAUUACUAUUUAUUAAUUGGUUAUUCUCUUAAAUAAUUUUUUUUUGUAAUAUUUCUUUUAGUCAAUUGUAAUGAAAUCAUUCAUAUUUAUUUUCUUACAAUACUAUUAUAAAAAACAUAUGAAAUGUAAUUUAUUAAAUAUGAAAUAUGAAAUAAUAUUAAAUAGUUAAAUAAUCAACAAAAUAGCUUUUUGUAAUGAAAUGAUGGUUUAUUGUUGUAAAAAUUCAAAUAGGUAGUUCUCAAUAUGACACUUGUCUUAGUUUUAGGCUAGACUAUCCUCCUUUAUUAUAUAGAUAGAUAAUUUCAACAAAAUUAAUUAGAGUAUUUUCUUAUAAAAUUUUAUAAAAAUAAUAUAAAAUAUGGUAUAUUAAUAAUAUUUACAUUAAUUAUGCUUCUAUUUUCUUACACAGUAUUUGAUUCUACGUAUUAAAAAUAACAUUGAAUCAAUGGUGAAAGUGGAGGGACUUCUUUCUUUAUUGGGGUUUUUCUUUUUGGGAAAGCUGACACUUUCUUGACUACCAUCCACCCAACACAAAGCUGACACUUCUUGGUAGAUUGGCUAUUUUUUCACACGGUACUAAUUUAUAUACAUUUUCUUUGAUAUUUGUUAUAUUGUUAUUUUUAUUUUGCGUAUCUUAUUAGUUUAUAUGCAUUUAUAUUUUAUGUUUGGUAUAUUAUUAAGAUCCUAAGCUGGGAGUCUAUCGAUAACAUCCUCUCUACUUCACCUGAGUAGUGAUAUGAUCUGCAUGUACUAACUUCCCCAGACCCCAAUAUGUGGAAAUACACUGGAUGUUGUUGUUGUUGUUUCUUAUACAGUAUUUGAUUCAAUGUAUUAAAAAUAACACAAAUUACAUAAUUUUUUUUUUUAACAUAAUACCCCCACUUUAAGUAUGUUAAUGCAUGCAUUAGAUCCAUUGCGUUACUAAUGUCAUAAAUUUUGAGGUAUUCGUAAUACACACCUCAAUAUACAAUAGAGUAUAUAACUAAUUUUUGCAUUAGUUAUACAUAAGAUAAAAAGAUAUAUAUCAAACAAGGGACUUCUAAUACACAGUAAAUUAAUGGAUGCAUUACUCUUUCAGUCAUUACUCUUUGUAUAUAUUGAAUUAGAGUUCCUACUAUAUAUCAAAUAAAAGGUCUUCGGAUUAUCUUUCUAACGAUACUAAUUUUGCAAAAAUCCGACACCUGAGGAAGAAGUUAUGGCUUUGCAAAGUGGAGUGUGUUGUGCAGCAUAAGGUGUGCACCGCAUACAUUACUACUCAAGUGACUUAAACACUCCGUUUUCGAGGCAAAAUGGUCCUUUUGCCUCCCUUAUUUAGCCACAAAUAGGAAAUUCAGUUCCCAAAUACCCCAAAAUACACCUUCAUUCAUCAAAAUUACUCAAGAACUCUCCUUAGCAUUUAAAAAUCAAAACCCAAGCAACUCAAAAUUCAACCAUGGGUUAUCCUAAAAUCUCAUGGGCCUUUAAAUUCAUGUUUUACAAUGGGGGUUUUGAAACUACGAAUAUAAUCAUAUUUUAAAUGUUUUUAUAAUAUUGAUUUGGUCUUUAGGCCUAUUUCUGAAGUGAUUUGACAUAUUAUAUAUGUAUAUGCAUGUGUUUCGAAAAGGUGUUAAUUUGAGAGCAUGAAUUAUAUAGAAUUCCUCUCUUGAUAUGAAUUUAUUUUAAAUGUUCAUAUGAUGUAAAUUUUUUGAAAACAUCUUGAAAAGCAUGACAUGAAAUGUUUUGAGAAUUGAUAUGAUUUUGACUUGAAAACGAGAGGGCUAUUUAUGUUGAAACAUGUUGAAUACAAUGGUUGAAUGAGAAGAAUAAUGUGAUAUUGAUGGCUUGCAAGUUGGGUAUGACAAUACCCUACAGAAUAUGAUAUGUGAUUGAAUCAGAUGAAAUUUGAAUGCAUUAAUUUUACAUAAGAUAGGUGGAUGUCCGAAGAAGGCAUUUGAAUAUAAGGGCUCAUUGUUGGAAACCGUGUUUGCUGACAUAGGAAUUUGGUACCCUACUUUGUGAUCUUAUGUACCUGACUUUAUGUCAUUCCCAAGUUGGGCCUAUGGUUAGGAGCCUUGCUUUGUGAUCUUGCGCACUACAAUUGGGUCGAGACACUCUGCCGUGUGAUCUUGUGUGUCUUCCCCUCACUUAUACUCUAAUCUCGGUGGAAACCGAGGUUUAACAGUUGGUGUAAAUGUGAUAUGUAGGGUAUUCCACCUAGCUUAGCUGCAUUACAUUAUUGUUGAAAAUAAUUACAUUACGCACAUGUGUUUUUAAAUGAUUUGAUAUGAAACUGCUUUAUAAUGGCUCUCAACUAUGUUUUGUUUUGAUAUCUUUGCAUACCAGUACUUUUGUAUUGACCCCCUUCCCUCUCAGGUUCGGAGGCACAGUCUAGGGGUCUAGAAAAUCAGUAGAUUCCUCAGACAGAUUUACAGAGUCAUUUGGUGAGCCUUCUAUAUUUUGGAAGGCCUAAUAUCUGGCUAUUUCAUUUAUCAUUUAUUAGUUUUGGAUCUACUGGGGGCCUUGUCCUUGUUUUUCGAUAUAUAUUUAUUUCAGUCAUGUAGUAGAGAUUUCGCAGACGUUAUAGAGAUGUUGUGUUGAGAUUGUGGGACAUUAUUCCCCGUUAUUGAUUUCAUAAGAUUUUUGACCAUGUUUCCAUAAUAUUGUUUAUCUUUUGUAUUUUUUUUAUCAUAUGAGUUAUGUGCAUGAUUAUCAGACAAAUAGGGGUGUUUCGGGCCUUCAUGGUUCCCCAUGCUCGUCAUGGCCAGGCCCCCGGUUUGGGUCGUGACAAACUUGGUACCAGAGCACAGUUUAUGGUUCCAGGGUGUCUGCAAAAUCACGUCGGGUAGAGUCUUAUUUGUGGGUGUGUAGCUCGCCACACUUAUAAGCUGGAGGCUACUAGGCGUUUAGGAAUGUCUCUCUUUCUUCAUGUUCCAGUUCGUGCAAUAGAGUCAAAAUGUUCCUCUUUCAUACUGUUAUUCGUGCUAUGGUGUCAUCCAUAUGAAGGUAAAGUCAUCCCAAAUUCUUUCCUUACUUUGAUGUUCUCAGACAUGUCCCAUUACUGGGGUGAUUCAAGUGCAAAAAGUUUAGAAUCUAUAUGAUAUAGUCUUUUUCGAUUGUGUUAUAUAAGAAAAAAAAUUGUGCAAAGACUCGAGAGGAGUCUGUUGGUGAUUCAAUAUGUGUUGAUUCUAAUGUAAACAUUGAUCCUGAUGGAAUCAUGCUUUCUAGCUUAAGGUAUUAAAUGCAUCUAGUCCCUCCCAAAAAUCUUGAUACAAAUGUGGAUGGUGUAUAGCAGAAUGUUGGAACUGUAUUUCCUCCCGAAUAGUAGCGUAAGUUAACGUGUUGUUGUCAUGACCUAUCGGUAAUGAAAUUAGACCAAGAAGUUAGUGAUGUGAAGUCACAAAGUUAGAAGUCUGAGGGUGAUUUUUGGUGUAAAUGAAUAUUUCAGUUGAAUAACUGAUAUUUGAGGAUGAUUUACCCCUUUAAAGUGAUAAACUAAUGUGGUAGCUAGUAGCAUGUGUGGAUGGUAUGGUAGUCCAUGGGGGAAGUAUUUUACUCAGCUUUUAAUUUAUACAGAGUAAGAUGUGUAUUCUUAGACCAUUAAAUAUUGUGUCAAUUUCCUAUCUCUUGUAAUAUGUAAUCUUGUUAUCAUGGUGUUUUUGAAAAAAAUAAAUUUAAAGUCUAGUGAAGCCGUGUGGGGCUCUAUCGAUUCACUAGCAUAGUUGCCUUGUCAUCCAUCUUAUUUUCUUGUUCAAAAUACAAAACCAAAGUCUAGUGAAGCUGUGUGAGGCCUAUUUUGAUUCACUAGCAACUUGUUGUCCAGCUUGUUGUUCUUUUGUUGGUUUAAUAUAUGUAUGGCUGAAUCUGUUUGCAUGAGAUUGAGUUAGUAAAGAGGUGAUUCAUCCUUGUGAAUUCGUUUAGUAUAAGGUAGAGAAGGAGUUGUUAGUCAGGGUGAUUUGUUGGUUGCUUGAAUGUGAAAAAUGGCUAUAUUAGCGAGUAAGUUAUGAUUAUAGACUCAUGGUUGUUUGAGGAAUUUGAAGGCAGUCUAAAUGUAUGCUUGAGUAAGUAAGUAUGAGGUGAGAAAUCCUCAUAAGUAGAUAAGAUCUUAUGGGGUUAUAAUAUCAGAUUAAGGUUGAUCAUGUCUAUUAUAUGACCUUACCCCUUGGCAUUUUUCGUUGGUAGUUGUAAACUAGUACUACUUAUGAGAAGGUAUGUUGCAAAUUAUGAGGUAUUUGGAUAGUACUACAUGACUGGCACAAAUUUUUUGAAGUUUUGCAGGAGUUCUCAAAACUAUUUUCUAAAAAAUUAAGAGUACUUUGAAAAAAAUCUAUAUAAAUCUUUUACUUAGUGAUUGCCUAGACAUCAAUUAGGAUGGGGAGUCAGGGGUGGAAGUCCCAACAAGAUAAAAUACCUAAAAGAUGGCGAGGGCAAAUCAAGGAUCGUAGGAGGUCAACAUGGAGUAGUUUCUUUGAUACACAAAAUGAGCGUUUCUUUCAAAAAAUCCCCAAGAAAGUCGAGAGCCAAGACAGAGCAUAUAAGGCUUAAUAACGGUACUUUUGGUAGCCCAAAAACUGGCCCAACACCUAUUUAUUGAUGACCUUUCAAAUUGUCCAUCUCAUUUCUUGAGAUCAUGGAGGACAAACAAAAGUGUCUUAUUUUCUUUACAAAUAUUGUAUUUAUAAUUUUUCUAAGAAAAUAGUUGCUAGCAAAAUUGACUUUGUGUCUACUAAUCGUCUACCUUGAGUACAAGUACAUACAGAAAGCAAGACCCUGACAAAUGAUUUCAGGAGAAACUAUUUUUAAUUUACCAAAAGAACCAUUGCAUGUCAUUGCCAACAGGGCCAUUGCAUUGUCAUUCAAUAUCUGUUGACGCGCUAGACACAAUGCUGGCAUCGAGGAUAUCAUUAUCAUUCAAUAUAUCCAUUGACAUGCAAGACAAAACGAUGGCAUUGAGAAUAUCAUCAUUAUUCAAUAGCUAUUGACGCGCUAGACACAAUGAUGGCGUCGAGGAUAUCAUCGACAUUCAAUAUAUUUGUUGACCCACAAGAAACAACACUGGAGUCGAGGAUAUCAUCAUCAUUCAAUAGAUGUUGAUGUGCUAGACACAACGCUGGCGUCGAGGAUAUCAUCAGCACUCAAUAUAUCUGUUGACACGCAAGACACAACGCUGGCGUCGAGGAUAUCAUCAUCAUUCAAUAUUUGUUGAUGCGUUAGACACAACGCUGGCGUUGAGGAUAUCAUCAUUAUUAUAUAUCUAUUGGCACGCAAGACACAAUGCUGGCAUCGAGGAUAUCAUUAUCAUGCAAUAUCUUUUAACAUGCAAGACACAAUGCUGGCAUCGAAAAUAUCAUCAUCAUGCAAUAUCUGUUGACGCACAAGACACAACGCUGGCGUCGAGGAUAUCAUUAGCAUUCAAUAUAUAUGUUGACACGCAAGACACAACAAUGGCGUUGAGGAUAUCAUCAACAUUUAAUAUAUCUGUUGACAUGCAAGACACAAUGUUGGCGUCGAGAAUAUCUUAUCAUUUUAUGAAUCAACAUCUGAAUGUAUUGAGAGCACACGAUUUGAAGGGACGCCUUUAAGUUGCUAUCUAAGGAUGAAUGAUAUAUAAGAUUUCCUAGAAAUUGAUAAUUUGAUGGUUAUUUAUAAGUCAUAUUAUUUGAAAUAGGAUAGUGUGAAAGAUCACCUAUGAGUUGAUAGCCUGUAGGUAAUCCGUAAGUCACAACAACAUCCUAACCGAACAGUAUGCAAGAUCGCCCAAAAAUCAAUAGUUCAAAGGUUAUCCAUAAGUCGCAACUAAAUCCUUACCGGAGAAUUUGCAAGAUUAUCAAAUUGAUACGUCCACGGGUUCUCUAUAAGCCAUGUCAUAUCCAAGAUCGAUUAUGUGCAGGAUUACCCAAAGACUUACAAUUUGAGGGACUAUCUAUAAGUCAUAUUGUAUUCAAGGUCGGAUGAUGUGCAGGAAUAUCUUAAAGCUAGCGAUUGGAGGGAUAUCUGUAAGCCAUCUCUUAUUCAAAGUUGGAUAACGUGCAGGAUUACUUAAAAGCUAGAAAUUAAAAGGAUAUCUAUAAGUCGCCUUAUAUCCAACAUUAAAUAAUGCGUAAGAUUAUCCAAAGAUUGAUAAUUUAAAGAAAAAUUUAUAAAUCGAUCAUCGGCUAUAACCGGAGAGGUUAUCAUUCCACAUGCAACAAAUGAUAUAGGUACCCAAAGGGUUGCCACACUAGCACAAGAUUACACGGUUGUAGAAACCGUUCUGCAUAAAGUAUCGCCGGUGUCCAAAAGGGCUACCCACUUUGAGGACAUAUUUAACCGACAAAUGUCAUAAUUAUACAACAACCAAGAGGGUUGUUGUUUUUGGUAUUUCUAGUUAUUUCAUUCCAAAUAGGUACAUGAAGAGAUGACUCUGCUUUUCAGGCCACAACUCACAUGGAGAUAUGGUAAAAGACUGCAUACCUCUUUCGUGAAUUAUGUUUAGAAAUAACACUUUUUGCUUGAAGCAUUGUCGAGAGAAUCCAAGAGGUUGAAAAUCUCAAAUCAAAACCAUGGGUGCAGAUGACUUCAAAUAGGACGCAGUACCCGAAUCAAACCCUUUUUCUUUUUCCUCUUUAUGAUCACGCCCGUUCCAUGUGAAUCCAUACGAGAAGAUGCGAGAAUCUUUUAGAAACACACUUAGGUGUCUCAUCCAACGUUCAAAUCACAAAAUUCUCGGAUAGAGGUUUACGAAUUCAUACAUAGGUGGAGUAUUUUCAUUGGCUUGUGAAGAUUAUUCCCUUUCCACCAAUUUCUAUGGGCCACUUUUUGGAAUUCCGUUUAACGAAAUCAAAAUAGAGGUACAGUUCGUUAGGGUCCGGAUCUUUUGAAUUUCAAAAAUGAACCCUUAAUCCCCUUCUAUAAGUAGCUCUCUUUAGAGCAAGAAAAAGGGAUUUUUUUGGGGAUUUUGGAAUUUUUUUCACUGGCCUCUCCUUUCCUUUAUGGGUUCUCCUCUUCUUUCUCUUUGGAGUUCGAAAUUUUAGACGCAAAGGGGGUUCAAAAGUUUUGGGUUGAAAAUUUGGGGUUAGAGAAAAUCUUCAAAAAUUUAGAAAUCCACAAAAAAAGGGGGUUAGAAAGGGGGGCUCUCAGAGGGAAAAAAUAUUCUCUUUACGCCUAAGAAACAUACAUUCUUAGGAGGUGCGUCUGAACUGUCGAAGCAGCUGCGAGUUUUUCGGUGGUCGGAAUCCUAUCUUCAGCUUAUUAUCCCAUUUUGCUGCCCCAAAAGAGGUAAAUACAUCUUUCUUUUUAAUUUUGUUGUGGUUAUCAUUUUCUUCUUCAUGGUUCCACUUCUGUUUACUGGGAAUGACUACUGUAGAGGCCUGGAAGGCAUAGGCUUUUCGUGUUUGAUAUAUUGUUCUACUAAAAAACUCAUUCUUGCCGUGUUUGAUUGGCUGUCGUUCAUGCUUGAUCUCUCUCAUUUUAUUCUAUCUGAAUAUUACUAGUCAGCUUUAAUGCUUCGACUUUAGAAACUAUUUUGCUGGUCUCAUUUUGAUGUUGCUUUCUAGUUCAUAGAGUAGGAGGGUAAAAUCUUUACGUAUUUUUGAAAUUCGAAAAAAAUUUUCAAAGAAUAGAUAUUAGGCAGCAUGUUCGCACAUUUUUUCGCUCAAACGCAGGAAAUUGUUAUAAAUAAGAACUCGCAUGUUAUUUUCUUCUGACUUGCCAUUCUCGAUGUACAAUAGUCUCAUUUGAUUCUAAAGUUUAUUUUAAAAUAUGAGAGUGGACCAUAGGGAUGAAUUAUGUUUUCUUCAUGGCUAAUUCAAUUUGCUGUAACUGACUCAUGAGAACAAAUUAAAGUUUGACAGGCUAAUGUUUCUUUCCUUUCUUGCUUUUCUUGUUCGCAUAUAAGUUGUGGCAUCUUGUCUCAUGAUUAAAUUACCUAAAAUUGGGUUUUUGUAGUUUUUGACUCUCAUUUGUUUGUUAACCCAGUGGUAACGAAGGAAUUAAGAUUUCAGCCUUGCUUUUCUUGAAGUUUCAGCUAUCGUAUUCCUUGCCUAAAGUGAUUAAGUCUUUAACUUUGUAUGUUUGGCAUUCUGGAAUUUGAACGUUGCUUGUGAUCCAUCGUUUAUGUAGUAUGAUCCAAGAGUUUUAACUCUUUUUUGUGACAUGCUUAAUUGGGUCCUUUUGUGGCAUUAAAGUGAUAAAUUAUUUUUUUUAUUUCGAUAAAGACCAUAAGAAUUCUUGUUGAAGCUUUAUUUCCUCCUGUAGUUGAAAUUUCUUUAAUUGAUUAUGAACAUUUUCUUCAAACAUUAUAGACUUUUUCUCCUGUGGCAUUUUUACCUGUGUAUGAGUGUAUUUGAAUGAAGCAGGAAUGCUAUAGCUUAUUAAUUGUUAAAAUCUUGGACGUAUGUUAAUUUCUUCAUUCCUUUCUUUGCAUGCACCCCCCUUGGAAUUCAAAUGGGCCCCUUCUCUCUUUGCAUUUCAUAAAUGGGCCAAUGAGGCCUAUCCUUCCGAGUUAAGCCAAAAAGAAAAUCCAAGAAUCCAUCGCAUGGCGUAUGGAUACGAGGAAUUGAAAGAAGAAUGGGUUAAAGUUCCAUCUUUGAAGCGGCAAACGGGACUUGAAAAUCUAGUUAUUUCUUCUUUAUUGAUUUAUUUAUCCAUUGUUUCCAUUAUUUAUUUAUUUACUUAUUUAUAUUUUUGUUUAUUUAGUGACUAAUUUAUUUAUUCAUUUGGGCCUCAAAGCCAAAGUUGUAAAUUUAAAACAGGUGGAGCGAGACUCGAGCCAAAAAGGUCUCGAAAACAUAAAAUAAAGACAGGUGAAAGAUGGGUCAAAAACCUAACUAGAUUAGAACAGGGUCGACGGUUUGGGCUUAAAAUCCUAAAUCACUACUUCUCCUCUUUCCCCUUUUUCUAUUUGCUUACUUGUUUUACGUUUGUUUUGCGAACCUAGUAAAAUCCUUAGUCAAGUCGCUAAAAAACUGGUUUUGCAUAAACACCAAAAUAUUCCUAAAAAUCGCUUUUCUUUUCAAAAAAUAAACUUUUUCAAAGUUAAUCAAAAGACGAUUUUCAAACAUUUGGAUAACCGCAAGUUAAAGGACAUUUUAGGUGCCUAAUACCUUCCUAAAAUGCUAGUAGGAACCGCUUAUCUAGAAUCUCUAACUUAAAAUGAUUUUUCUAUUUUGAAUCGUUUGCAGUAACUCUCUAAAGGUUUCUUAAUUCCUUUUAAAAAUUAAGUGGCUACUCUCAAAAAGUCAUAAUUUCCACAAAACAAUAUCAAUCACAAUCACAUCCACACAUCUACUACCCCCACCCGAAAGUAGCAGAUGAAUAAGGGUUUGUAGUAAUUCAAGUACCUUAUCCUCUUGACGCAUGCACUCCUUCUCUUUUAGUUCAUUAACAAAUUUGUUAAAUAUUUCAAGUAGAAAGCCCUCAUCACCCAUGAUUCUGUAAAAUAAUAACAGCAAAGAAAUUCACAUUCAAUGAUACGACAUAAUGAGAAUCAUGAGAUUAUGAAUAAAAAAGUAAAAAUCCAGAGCAUUUCAUUUUAUAGUCAAAGAGGCUAGACAAAUUAAAACUAGAGAUUUAGCAGCAUACUUCAUCAGAACCGUGAAACAAUUACAAAUGCCAGAAAUUAAAAAACUAAAACAAUCACAAACGUCAGAAAUUUAAAAACAAACUGCUAGAGCUAUUAAACGCCCAGUGUUGGAACAACUAAUAAUUGACAUCUACCAAUUUCUAGAGGGAUAAGUACAACAUUAGAAAUCACUUAGCAAAAUGGUAAUUCAUGCUAAUACUAUAAAGAAAUAGCCUACCAAAAUGUUGAGGAAUAUAAAACAACAAAUCAUUCAACACAACUAUUCUUCUAAGGUACAUUCUAGAACUAUGUGAAUUACUGAGUUUAGAAUAUUGAAGGAGUUGGUCCUUGAAAAUAAUAUCAAUUAUCAUUCUCCAAUGGUCCUUGCAAUCAUGUUACUAAUUCUAGAUCAAUAAAAGCAAAAGAAGCUACUUGCCUAUCUCUGAAGAGGGAUUUGCAGUCCUCCCAUUUCGAUGAUGCAGAAUUUCCUGCAACCACAGCAAACAAAUAGAUUAUGGUUUAAAGGAAAUAUCAUGGGAUCCCAUCCAUUACAAUGUGAGAGAUUGUAAACUGUUUACUAUACCUUUGAUGCAUGAAGAAGUUCAUAGAACUCAUCAGCUAGACGUUUAAGCUUUUUAGCUUUUUUUUCUUCUUUCUUCCUGGCCCUUUCCAGUAACUCCUCAAAGACAAACUAUGCAGAUGAAAUAUGCACAUUCAAUACUCAAUGACCCGGCAAGCCCAAACGCGUAGAACAUAUAGUUUAGAAAGGAAGAAUGGAAUAAGAUUCAGUAUAAUCCAUGUAUGUCCUCUUAUUCCUUCGUUUGGAAGGCAAGGGGGAUAUAAUGUAAGAGUAUUAUUACCAUCUUUUGGAGUAACUCCUCACAUUAUAAUCUUUGAUAAAAUGCUUUACAAAAGUUUUGAGCUAUUGAAAGUAAACUAAAAGCCUUAAGAGACCCAACCGUCUAAGCAUAAUUCUUCGACAAGAUACCCCUUGCAAUUCCCUCUUCCCACAUACAUAGAUUAUACGCCAUGACCAUAAAUAACCUCCAAAAUCCAAACGAUAUAUAAAGAAUAUCCUCAUUACAAAAAUAGCAAAUGAUCGUUUAUAUCAUCCAGUUAUGUUGUUUAACCAGUUUCGUAGAGUAAAACUCUUAUCCACUAACCGUAAAAAUAGAAAACUACAAGGCAAAUUGCUUUGAAUUAAGUAACUUAAGCUAUGUGUGGUAGGUGUAAUUGUAACACCCUAGAAAAUGGGUCCCGAAGCGUCACACGGUGCUUGAGGCUACGAGUAUCCCCAAGCUAACUCUUUGAGCCAUUUUCAUUCAGUUCAACACAAAUCAACGAGGUUUCCAUAAAUAACCCUCAAAUAUCAACAGAGUAAUCAUNNNNNNNNNNNNNNNNNNNNNNNNNNNNNNNNNNNNNNNNNNNNNNNNNNNNNNNNNNNNNNNNNNNNNNNNNNNNNNNNNNNNNNNNNNNNNNNNNNNNNNNNNNNNNNNNNNNNNNNNNNNNNNNNNNNNNNNNNNNNNNNNNNNNNNNNNNNNNNNNNNNNNNNNNNNNNNNNNNNNNNNNNNNNNNNNNNNNNNNNNNNNNNNNNNNNNNNNNNNNNNNNNNNNNNNNNNNNNNNNNNNNNNNNNNNNNNNNNNNNNNNNNNNNNNNNNNNNNNNNNNNNNNNNNNNNNNNNNNNNNNNNNNNNNNNNNNNNNNNNNNNNNNNNNNNNNNNNNNNNNNNNNNNNNNNNNNNNNNNNNNNNNNNNNNNNNNNNNNNNNNNNNNNNNNNNNNNNNNNNNNNNNNNNNNNNNNNNNNNNNNNNNNNNNNNNNNNNNNNNNNNNNNNNNNNNNNNNNNNNNNNNNNNNNNNNNNNNNNNNNNNNNNNNNNNNNNNNNNNNNNNNNNNNNNNNNNNNNNNNNNNNNNNNNNNNNNNNNNNNNNNNNNNNNNNNNNNNNNNNNNNNNNNNNNNNNNNNNNNNNNNNNNNNNNNNNNNNNNNNNNNNNNNNNNNNNNNNNNNNNNNNNNNNNNNNNNNNNNNNNNNNNNNNNNNNNNNNNNNNNNNNNNNNNNNNNNNNNNNNNNNNNNNNNNNNNNNNNNNNNNNNNNNNNNNNNNNNNNNNNNNNNNNNNNNNNNNNNNNNNNNNNNNNNNNNNNNNNNNNNNNNNNNNNNNNNNNNNNNNNNNNNNNNNNNNNNNNNNNNNNNNNNNNNNNNNNNNNNNNNNNNNNNNNNNNNNNNNNNNNNNNNNNNNNNNNNNNNNNNNNNNNNNNNNNNNNNNNNNNNNNNNNNNNNNNNNNNNNNNNNNNNNNNNNNNNNNNNNNNNNNNNNNNNNNNNNNNNNNNNNNNNNNNNNNNNNNNNNNNNNNNNNNNNNNNNNNNNNNNNNNNNNNNNNNNNNNNNNNNNNNNNNNNNNNNNNNNNNNNNNNNNNNNNNNNNNNNNNNNNNNNNNNNNNNNNNNNNNNNNNNNNNNNNNNNNNNNNNNNNNNNNNNNNNNNNNNNNNNNNNNNNNNNNNNNNNNNNNNNNNNNNNNNNNNNNNNNNNNNNNNNNNNNNNNNNNNNNNNNNNNNNNNNNNNNNNNNNNNNNNNNNNNNNNNNNNNNNNNNNNNNNNNNNNNNNNNNNNNNNNNNNNNNNNNNNNNNNNNNNNNNNNNNNNNNNNNNNNNNNNNNNNNNNNNNNNNNNNNNNNNNNNNNNNNNNNNNNNNNNNNNNNNNNNNNNNNNNNNNNNNNNNNNNNNNNNNNNNNNNNNNNNNNNNNNNNNNNNNNNNNNNNNNNNNNNNNNNNNNNNNNNNNNNNNNNNNNNNNNNNNNNNNNNNNNNNNNNNNNNNNNNNNNNNNNNNNNNNNNNNNNNNNNNNNNNNNNNNNNNNNNNNNNNNNNNNNNNNNNNNNNNNNNNNNNNNNNNNNNNNNNNNNNNNAAAUAAUUCUCGAAUCUGUCCUUUGGUGGACUGUUUUGAUAGUCUGAAGUAGAUCAACCAUAAUGUUUUACUCCGAUAUUCAAAUUGGAUGAAACCAAUUUCAUUAGAAAGAGGACUCUCAUAUAUUUCCGUUGAUAUAUAGUAUCUCACCCAUAUCAUUGUGUACGAGGAGUUAUGAUCGUUUGAAGUUGACCCAAAAAUUCACUUUUGAUAGGCUGAGUAGAUCGACCAUAACUUUUUGCUUUGAUAGUCAAAUUGGAUGAAACCAAUUUCAUUGGAAAAAGGACUCGCAGAGCUUUCCAUUUAUAUAUAGUAGAUCACCCAGAUCAUUAUGUACAAGGAGUUAUGAUCAUUUAUAGUUGGAGCAAAAAUACGCUAGGCCUCAGUACUUUUUCCUGCACGUUUUACUGUUCACUACUAUUCACAGUUCGAUCGGAAUGUUUUAUAACUCGUCGCUUGGGUGUCCAUUUUGGAUGAUCCACAUAUCAUUGAAAAUAUUAUUCGAUACUCUACACAAUGGUGAGUCAUAAUCUAAGACAUUUCGCACGAAAAAUUUAUAAUUCAUUCUAGAAUAUAGAACCCAACAUGUUUACGCACAAAAUUUUAUCGAAAAAUUUCCUGGGGUAUUACAGUAAUAUUAAACACCUCCGUCCAGGAAAUAAAAACUAAGGAAAAUGGUACCAAAACUGAAGAAUUGGAAGCAAAAGCUAACACCAAAUAUUUGAUCAAUUGGUCCUCGUCUUUAUUCUUGAAGGUUUCAGGCUUACUUGCUAACUGACACACUACUCUUCUAUUAACUCCAUUACAAGAACAUCCAAAUUUAAUGUGGGAUAGGUUAUGGUUGAUACUAAAGGAAAAUGCCACUAACCACAGUUGACUACCUAUGAGUUGCCAAUUUAGCAAUCACAAACUGGCCGAUUUCCAGUGAAACAUAACAUGGAAGUACUACUAAUGCUUCUGCACUCAAUCCACUCAUCUUAUGCAUGACCUGUCCCAAAGACAAAAUGGGGAAAAAUACAUAGAAAUCCAUUUAGUGAAUGGGGUACUUCAAUUUUCACAACAUUCAAUUCAAUAUGGGUCGAUGUGAAACAGUAUACAGUGCUUAGCCAUAAUUAGACCUUUAAGUUGGUAUCUGACAUUGGUGGAGAGCUAAUAUACUUGGCGAUUGCAACCUUAAAAUCAUCAAGCGUCCAGGCUGAUGUCAAUCCAAUCUGAAAGUAGAGACGGCUCAGCCAAAAUAUUAGGUACUAACCGAAGCACAACAGAGGUUAAAAUGAAGAGUGGUGAUUACCUCGGCCAUCCUAACUGCAUCUUGAAUUUGUGACUUGUCAUCAAGAUACUGAAGCAACAUACAAGUAAUAUAAAUUCAGAAUGCUUAUCAGUAACAAAAAUAGGAUACCAAAUGGAGCCUUGUCAAUGCAUUUGAGUUACCAUAAAGUCUAUAAAUUACAAUUAAGGUGAUGGGGAUGAAAUUUCUUUCAUGAAUACCAACAUUUCUCCACUUGUUCAAAGUCAUCUACAAUAUCACAAGACACUUGACACAUAAACUUAAUUGCACUGAUCAGGUGAAAUUGAAGGAAAAAUCAAGCACCCCUGUUUGGAUAAUAGAAAAAAAGUGAAUAAAUAAAAAUGGAUAGCAUCUCUGUUAACAACGCUUUCGUUAUAUUUACUUAAUAAGAAUCAUUUAUGCAUACAAACAGUAAUACAAACUUUAAAGAUAGAAGUUCACAUCUUUAUUUUACAAGGGAAAAAGAAAAGAUUUUCAGCAUCGGAGUUUAUGUAUAACUCUCACCAUCCCAUAGCAAGAGCCUAACUCAAGAAAACAUUACCAAAUUCAAUCAUUGAAUAAGAGUACGAACAGGAUCAUUACCAUGCUAGGAUACUAGGCAAACUCCCUCUUUCAUCAAGCAACGAGAUAAAUGCUAAUAACAUUUGAUCAUUCAAUUUCAAUUCUUUUUAGAAAGGGCAGAGGAUGAAACAAUAAAUCGUUUAGUUAGUCGCAAGUGUGUAUUACGGCCAAAAAAAUCAUAGCGAGGGAGAUGCAACUUUAUUUAGAGAAACAGAGAUUCUCUCAGGCACUUUUUCCGAGGCUAAUCUUUUGUAAGCCUUUACUUUCAUUACAUCUCAACUACCUCUUCAGAGGCGAAUUCUGGCACUAAGUUUAUUUAGUCCAAUUUAUAUGGUUGACAACACAAUAUAUUUUGAAUUGGGUUUUAAGUUGCACGAUAUCAUCCGAAGUGAAAUCAAAACUGGGGUAUGGUACAAAAGGACAAAACAUGGUCGAAACUUGACCAGACAAACUACUUUCAGGUCUAAUUUGUUUGCACUUAUUGGAUUUAUAAACCUGUUCAGACCUCAAACCAUUAAGUGCAUUUGUUUUUAUUAGGAUUUUAGCUCUUUAUAGGUCUGAGUAGGUCUUAAUCAUUCAGAUGUGGAACCAAAUCUAAAUAUCAUUUACAUAUAUUCUUGUGUAGGAUAAAAUUCACCCCCACUCUAUCCACAAUCACCUGUCCCCACCACCAACCACUUCCACCAUCACAACCAAAAUCACUACCAACUACACUGCCAGCCGCUACCACACCUACCACGUCCAUUAUUCUAAUUAUAUCCAUUGCCAACUAGGGGUGUUCACAGUUUGGUUUUUAACCAAACUGAACCACGAUCCAAACUAAACCGAUUAAAAAAAUCUAUAUAUGGUUAGGUUUGGUUUGGAUUUGAAUUUUAAAAAAUCGAUACUAAUUUGGUUUGGUUUGGUUUGGUUUUACUCUAAAAUAACGGACAAAAUAACCAAAACGAACCGAUAUACAUAUAUAUUAUAAUUAUUUAUAUGUUUUUCAUAAAUGUAAUCUAAAUAUUUGUUACAUUUUAUAUUUUAAUCAUGAUUUAACUUUAGUCGUAACACAUUCAGUCAUAUGUCUUCAUCUANNNNNNNNNNNNNNNNNNNNNNNNNNNNNNNNNNNNNNNNNNNNNNNNNNNNNNNNNNNNNNNNNNNNNNNNNNNNNNNNNNNNNNNNNNNNNNNNNNNNNNNNNNNNNNNNNNNNNNNNNNNNNNNNNNNNNNNNNNNNNNNNNNNNNNNNNNNNNNNNNNNNNNNNNNNNNNNNNNNNNNNNNNNNNNNNNNNNNNNNNNNNNNNNNNNNNNNNNNNNNNNNNNNNNNNNNNNNNNNNNNNNNNNNNNNNNNNNNNNNNNNNNNNNNNNNNNNNNNNNNNNNNNNNNNNNNNNNNNNNNNNNNNNNNNNNNNNNNNNNNNNNNNNNNNNNNNNNNNNNNNNNNNNNNNNNNNNNNNNNNNNNNNNNNNNNNNNNNNNNNNNNNNNNNUACAACACUCGGUUGACAUCUCAUAUGUUAGAUUGGAUUUGUUUUUUAUAAUUUUCAACUUUUAUCAUUAACUAAAGUUAUAAACCAAAAAAUCCGAAUCAAAGCGAACUAAACCGACAAGAACCAAACCGAUGGUUAUUUUUUUGUUUGGUUUUAGAAAUUUAAAAACCGAUUAAGUUGGUUUGGUUAUGGUUUUGACCAAUAACCGACCCAUAUCAACCCAUGAACACCCCUACCGCCAACGCCGCCACCAUCAACUACUACCGGUCGAUCCUUACUACCAACCAACUCAUCUAUCAGAACUAGCACUACCACUAAUGACCACCAACACAUCAUCAACUUGCACACAUCGCUAACAACCACUAACACAUCAUCAACUUCCACACAUUCUUCGGACACCAUCACCACCACUGUCACCAGCGUCACCACCUCUACCACCACCAUCCGCUACACUCGCUACAGUAUCUAUACUAACAACCAUUCCACCAUCACAGCUAACAGCAUAUCCAACGACCACCAACACAUCAUCAACCAUCAUGCAUACAGUUUUCCAUCACCACGAUCAACACCUCCAACUACUAACAUUAACCAACUUCACAUCAUAACCACCACCACCACUACCAAUCGCCAAUAUCAUGACAGUUACUACAAUGCCAGCUAUCUCUACUAUCACAACUAUCAUCACCAACAUUGCUAAUCACUAACAUCAAUUAAUUUAUUACAACCACCACCACCAUUACAAAUCAUCUCCAUUAUCACUAACAAACAUAAUUUUUUUUUAAUCAAAUAAUAAUUUAAUUGCAUUAAAUUAAAAAAAUUCUAAUAUUUAAUUAUAUUAUAUUUAAAAAUAAAUAAAUUUUGCACAUUCAGAUAUUGAGAAACACCCAACCUUAAUCAUUUAGUUUUCAGAUCUAGAGACAAUAUCUUAACCACUUAGAUGUGCAUUCAAAAUGAUUCAAAUGUCUGAAUAUUAAUAAAAACAAAUGCAGUCUUAGCUGAAACACAAUGGUGUGGUUGUGUGAUACUUUAAAGGAGUCCUCGAAAGUCAAAGAAACUACGUGAAAACAUGGAAGUUUGAUGAUCACUUCUCAGAGUUGUUCUGCUCGAUAAACUAUAACAAUUAAGGUAAUAUAACCAUUAACANNNNNNNNNNNNNNNNNNNNNNNNNNNNNNNNNNNNNNNNNNNNNNNNNNNNNNNNNNNNNNNNNNNNNNNNNNNNNNNNNNNNNNNNNNNNNNNNNNNNNNNNNNNNNNNNNNNNNNNNNNNNNNNNNNNNNNNNNNNNNNNNNNNNNNNNNNNNNNNNNNNNNNNNNNNNNNNNNNNNNNNNNNNNNNNNNNNNNNNNNNNNNNNNNNNNNNNNNNNNNNNNNNNNNNNNNNNNNNNNNNNNNNNNNNNNNNUUUUUUUUUUUAAAAAAGCAAGCAGAGGGGUAACUCUCAAAUCUCAAUCUCAUGCUUUUAUCCUACCAAGUAUGUUCUAUUGUUUAAUGCACUACAACAACAACAACAAACCCAGUAUAUUCCCACAUAGUAAUACACUAACUUCCUUUUUUACCUAAUGAAUUGAACUUUUUAGUGAGGAUCUAAAUGAUUUUCAGACUUUGUUUAACGUUUGAUUCAUUAAGAUGUAUUAACAGGUUGAAUCUUUAAAAAAAAAGCACUUAAUGGGCUGAUAUCUUAACCAUUCAGAUUCAGACCUUCAUUAAGUGAAAUCAAAUGAAAAGGGAUUGUAGUGUAAAGUCUAUAAAUAUGGCUUAGUGUAACAAAUGUAGUUGACACAAUUCAAUACUCCUAUUAGCAACGUAUUUCACCUGUUUCUCCAGCUCAUCCAUAACAUCUGUAAAUAAGUCUUUUGUUGUUGAUCCUGAAGUAUUUGAUGCAACAGCUAGAUAUGCAGCAAAAUCUUUAAUCUGAAAGCACAAAAUAAAGAAGGAAAUUAUUGGAUGAUAAAUUCAAAAAGACAAAAAGGGAACUCAAGAAGGUAAUCACUCACUGAACACAAGAAAGAAAAACUAACUUUGAUUCAAUAAUUACGCCAGUUAGUUUUUGCAUUAAGUAUUCCUAUAGCAACAUGCUUUUCCAUCAGUUUUCAGAACUCAACACGUUUUUUACGUUCAGCUUUCCUCAAUUCUUCCUAUUUGAAUCAACGGUGUAUGACCAGUGAGAAAGAGAUAAAUCAGAGUCUCCAAAUAUAAAUUUAAUUUUAACCCCCGAGUCUAAUAAGCAAUAUACCAUCCGCAGUUUCCUUUGCUCCUCCUCUUCGCUCUCUAAAUCACGUAUGUAUUCCUAAAAUAGAAAAGGUUGCAACUUAACUUUAAAACUGAGGAGUACAAAUAAGAUGUUUGGAAAAAGUUAUUUAUGAUGUAUUAGAAAAAUGAGUAGUACCUAGAAAAUCUCCAAGCGAUCAAUUUUCUCAAGGCGGGAGCGUCUUUCAUCAGUUUCCAAGCAGUCCUGAACUUUCUGCCACUGGCUACUGGCCUGAACAAAAGAAGUCAACAACAAUGGAACUAUGGAAGUUCUAUCUUCUGUAAAUAGAAAAACAUAAUCUAGGAACUGAUGCUAAUUCCACUAGAACAAAUACCUUAAUAAAGUCACAGGAUUUUAAAAAUUCUAAGUACUCCACUCUAUUGUGCUUUUGCUCCUCCAAUGCCUUCUGAUGCUCCUAAUAAAAUCCAGUACAAAGUAAAAAAAAUAAAAUUUCUCUAUAAUGAAGACAAUAUUUACAAAGAGACUUUAACUACACUUGCAUUAAAGUAUUGAAAAACUUUUUCUAUUUUACGAUGGAGGGGGGAGAGGAAGAAGCAUAUCAUAGUUUCAAGUUUCAAGAAAAAUUACAUACAAUACAUGGAAGUCUAUUUAAAUUGGAAUUCAAUGGUGAACAAAUUUAAAUGUUGUACCCUUGAGAAGCCAUUAAAAAUGUAUUCAAAGAACACAAGAUUCUAAGUUGAAUAUCUACAACAUUCCUUCUUUCUACUCUUUAAGCAAAACAAAAAAAGGGAACAAACUAAAAGACAUCCUGCAAAGGAAAGGAAUGGAAUAACUGUUGUUAAUCAAGUGGACCAACGCCUAACUCAACUUCAAAAACUAGUUCAGGUGGUGAAGAUUGUCCAAGAUCAUAUAAGGAAACUACAACACAUACACCUUACUAGUGUGGGAUUCUCAUACAUUAAUCCCACACCAAGACUAGACAUUUGUAGCAUCAGUUAACCUAGGUUGGCUAACAUCUAAUAGUAUAACAUCAAGAUAGAUCUGCCUCAAUUGGACCUUGUAUCUAUCUCAAAUGAAAGGCUAACUUAAUUAGUGAGGAGCCAAAGACCAUAUAAGGAAACUACAGUCCGCACACUUAGUUUUUAACAUAUAGAAGCUUACAAGAAAGUUUUGCAAAAGGAACUUCACCUUUUUCUCAAGUUCCUCCACAUAAUCUUCAAAAAGGUCCUCACGGUCUUUAGCUCGCUCAACAGCUUUAAAACGUUCAUCAUGUUCGAAUAUGGAGAUUGCCUAACUGAAUAAUCAAUAGCAAAUAGUUAGUGGAUCAAAUGGAACUUACACAAGUAAUGGAUCAACUUCAAGGUACCAAACACAUACAAAAAAUGACCAAGAUUAGAAAACAAGCAGCAGACAACUUAACAUUACAAGUGAAAGACAAACCUCUAUCUAGACGAUGGUGACAGCUCCUUGCAAUCCUGUAAGACUGAGAACAACAGACAUUGUUGUGAAAAAUACCACUUAUUCUUUUGAACAAGUCAAAUACCAGUCUCUAACACAUCAUGAAUACUAUGAUAAUAUUUUUUUAUUUUUGAAACUGGUAAUGUGAAUAUCAUGAUAUAUCAAAUGGAAGACACCCACAAAAGAAAAUUUCACUUCUAACAUUAUCCUGAAAUCUUCCUGAGCUUUUUNNNNNNNNNNNNNNNNNNNNNNNNNNNNNNNNNNNNNNNNNNNNNNNNNNNNNNNNNNNNNNNNNNNNNNNNNNNNNNNNNNNNNNNNNNNNNNNNNNNNNNNNNNNNNNNNNNNNNNNNNAUUGAAAGAGAGUUUUGGAAAAUGUUUUUCCUACUUUUUGAAGGGAAUUCAUUUUCCUUAAAUUUAAGGAAAAUAAGUUGAUUUGGAAAACAUUUUCCAAAAUAUUUAAGUCAACCAAACAUGAAGCAAUUGGAUAUCAAACACAAUCUAUCUUUUUGCAAUACGGUAUGUGAAACAUUGAAGCAACAAUUAACCCAUUCCAAUGCCGACUUGGAGAGAUACCUCAUUAAAAGCUUGCUUCCGCUCACAAAGGAAUUUUAGAGCACCAUAUCUCCGGUCAUUAAUUACUGCUCUCAUGGCUUGUCAAAUACAAUUCAUGUCAAAUGAUCUCCCUCAUUUGUUUGGUACACACAAAAUAGUCAAGUAAUAAACCUGAUCCCACGUGCAAUCAGACCCAAUAUUUGCAGAUUCCAAAAGAGUUUUGAAUGCACUCUUUGCCUCCUAAAUAAAAUUAGAUACUUAAAAUAGAAAUAAGAGAAAUUUCGAGAACAUACUUUAAACGGGACAAAAAGCAAUAAUCAACUAUACCGCUUUGCUCUCAUAAACUAAUGGUCCCAGCUCGACUGUUUUCUCAUNNNNNNNNNNNNNNNNNNNNNNNNNNNNNNNNNNNNNNNNNNNNNNNNNNNNNNNNNNNNNNNNNNNNNNNNNNNNNNNNNNNNNNNNNNNNNNNNNNNNNNNNNNNNNNNNNNNNNNNNNNNNNNNNNNNNNNNNNNNNNNNNNNNNNNNNNNNNNNNNNNNNNNNNNCAUAACAUCUACGAAAAGCUUUCUUGGUGUUUUAACCAGUAACCAGUAGUAAUUAACUAAUCGCAUAAGUAUUUCAGAAGGACAAAGUACCUCUCUAUUCUCUGAAGAAAAUCCAUCACCAUACACUACUGCAUCUUGAGUUGUAGUAGUCUCAGAACUAUACAAAAAUUGAAUUCCAAAUAAGAAGCAACACAAACCAGAGGCAAAUUUAUAACAUACAAAUCUGAUAAUAUACACCGGUGGCGCGAUAGAAUUUCCAAGGUUACUGCUAUUCCAAUUUUCUCCGAAUUAGCAACAGCUGGCGAAGUAGGUUCUGAAGAAUUCUUCAUUUCGACAGUUUCAAUCAUCAGAGAAGAAACCUUACCAUAUAAACUUGAUGAUUCUGAAGCCACAAUAGUUGGUAAGUUAGCAGCUGGUGACACAACAAUUGGGCUUGAUUUAGCACCGUAUGCCGAGACUAAUGAACCAUCUGCACCCGGGGAUGAUGUUUUAACAACAGAAAUGGAUCCAAAAUCAGAAGCGUGCUAAAUGGUGUCCUUUUCACAAGCCAACUGUGAAUUUAUAAAUAAUUGAACUUUAUGAGAAUAGAGUAUCCAAGAAAACAGAAUAUUGCCCCUUCUUACACGCUAUCAACUGUGAAUGUACAAAGAAUUUAUGAGAACUAGAGCAUCCAAGAAAACAGAAUAUUUUCCCUUCUUAUCAUGCUAUUUAAAGCACAGAACAAUCCCUUCUUAUCAUGCUAUUUAAAGCACGGAACAAACCCAUAUUGGAUUUAAAUCUAACAUCACCUUGAAUUCAUCAAGCAUUAACCUUGUUGUAGUAAUACCUACAGAAAACAAACAAAGCAAUUAGCAUUAUGCACAAGUAACACACAAAAGUACCCACUGUAGAAGAACAAUUGGAAAGAGGCCAAGAAAAUACAUAAGUUACACACUUUCUUCCCUCAGGACUUAUAAAUUCUCUCCAGUUAGUUGAUGUGUCUGCCCUCUGUCCCAAUGAAAAUAGCAUGAAAGAAGGUCAAGUCAAAAAAUAGAACAUAAACAGUACCCUGAGAGUAGAAAUCAGUAACUUCCAGCAGUACAAUACUGGAUGAAAGUGUUAGAAUAUGAAUUAUAUAAUGUCCCACAUGGAAAAGGACUAGAAUGUACUGUGUAGAAUAUAACUACAAGCAGGGUGGAAACAUUGCCAAGAUGCGGCCGAGCUACAGCUAUCCAAGGGUGAUCAACUGAACAACAUUCGCCUUCUGUCAUUUCUGAGUAUUUUUUAAUGAACACCCUUGCCACAAAAAACAAGACUGAGUGUGAUAGUAAGGGUGUUCAAAUCCUACACCGAGGUUCUAAGUUCCAUACUCAACACAGCCCCCCACAUAAUAUUUUUUCCAUUUGGACACAUUUGAAACUCAUAAACUACAGUUAUGCUUUUUUUCGAUGAAUCAAUUUUCGAACAUGUGUUUUUUGUCCCAAUUAGCUCUUGCAAAAGAUCUAGUAACUAGCAUGCCAUGUAUAAGAAUUUUGUUAAAAUAAACUUAAAGGUAAAUUUAUAAAGUGCUUGUUAUACUAGAUAUCUUGCAUGGGGCAGAGUGUUUGGCUGGUCAAGAGCUCGCAUGUUCGAAAGAUAAACAUAGCAGAAAUGAGGAUGUUGAGAUUAAUGUGUGGUCAUACUAGGAGAGAUAGAAUAAGGAACAAAGAUAUGCGAGAAAAAGUGGUAGUGCUCUCUGUGGUGGACAAUUGACAAGAAGACUAAAGGGUUGGGGAUAAAGAACCUAAAAAUUCAAAGUAAGGCUCUCGUGAUGAAAUGGUUAUCGAAAUAUGCAAACAAUAACCAACUGCUAUGGAGGAAAGUGAUUGGGGCUAAAUAUCCUGAAGAAGAUAGAUGGCUGACUAAAGAAGUGACCACACCAUACGGGAUUAGCCUCUAGAGAUCUAUUAGAUCUAUUAGACACUAGUGGAAUGAAGUUAAAAGCAACUCAAAAGUUAAAGUGAUGGAUGGAAACAAGACUAGGUUCUGGAAGGAUAAUUGACAUGAGGAUGGGAAUAUGGAAGUGAUUUUUCCAGAUAUCUACAACUUGGUAUUGUUUCAAUAGAGGACUAUAGUAGAAUUAUGGACACCACAUGGGUGGAACUUCAAUUUCAGAAAGAAACUUAAUAACCUAGAGGUAAUAAGAGUAGUUGAAUUUUUUAAUACUGUGGACUUAUUCAAUGGACUGCAGACAAUGAAGAACGUACUAUGGUGGAUAGGAAAUGAAAAAGGAAUGUUCAGUGUCAACAAAGCCUACAAGAUGAUAAACCAAAUAAAUCACUCGGAUCCAAGGUGGCCAUGGAAGCAAAUAUGGAAAAGUAGGAUACCUCACACAGUGUCAUGCUUUAUCUUUGUCUAGUUACUGACCAAGGAAGUAGUUCUUACACAAGAUAAUGUCAUGAAGAAAGGGAAAACCUUGUACUCCGGAUGUUUCCUCUGUGGAGAAACUUUAGAGACGGUUAACCAUGUAUUUCUACAUUGUAAGUACACCCAACAACUUUGGAGAAUCUUCUUAAGACUAAAAGGCAUUUCCAGCACAAUGCCUAGGAAAGUAUCUGAGACUUUAAUGUGCUGGGAGAAGAAGGUAUAGAUGUGAAGGACAGAAGUAGAUGGAGAAUUAUCCCAGGUGCUAUAUGGUGGGCUAUAUGGAAAGAAAGGAAUUCUAGAUGAUUUGAGAGCAUAGAGAAUAGUGUGUAGAAGGUUAAACUCAACUGCAUUUUGCUUUUAUGUUUUUGGUGUAAUCAACUAUACUCUAAUGAUACUGCCUCGAUAAUUGAUGUUCUAGACUAAAUUUAGAUAUAGAACAGUCGAUUUAGGAGUACUCUUGUAUAUAAAGGUUUCAGUACAACCCAUGUACUGUAUGAUAUAAUACAAAGUUACCAAUUUCAAAAAAAAAAGAUAAUAAUUUUUCAAGUACUAAAAGUUUAUAAAAUAACAAAUAAAUCAAUUAAAUCUGAGUUCAAAUUGGGUGGGUUGGGGUAUGACCCGCAUUUUAGAGCAUUUCAACCCAACCCAUUUCAACCCAAGUAGCUUUAGGGCGGGUUAAUAACCCACCUAUUUAUUAACUCAGACCUCUUUGAUCCAGCCAACCCCACCCAUUUGACACCUUUAGUUUAAUAGAAGUAAAGUGGACCAUGCCAGAACACAUACAAGAUCUAUUGAGUUAAAGUAAAGUGGACUAUCAAAGGACACACAACAAUCUGUUGAGCUGUUGGAUUAGAGGGUAUUAGCAAGAGUUAGAAGAAAUGGGGGAGAACAAUCCUUCCUUGUAUUUGGUGGACUGUAUGGAGCGAGAAAAUUUGAAGGUAUUUUGAAGAUAAAUAUAAUUCCAUUUAGAAAGUUAAAUGGAAUAGCAUUAAAGAUUUUUAUUUUUUGUUUAAGGGCCAAUGUGUACAGGAUGCAUAACAGGUAGUAGAUCUCUUUGAAUCCUCGCAUUAUUUUCAUUAUUUUUCAUUUCUUUUGGACUGCUAGCAUAACCUUAAUGCUGACGAAUACAAAGUAAUAACUCCAAAAAAAACUAUUUAUCUCAAAAAGAAAAGAAUCAAAAUGUUCAAACUUCCUUACAGCUCCAGUUGUUGGUCCCUUAAUACUUGUCCCUCACAACCAGCCAAACUUUCUUUGAUAACCGUCAUGUUUGGGUCAACUUUCACCUUGACUAGUUACACCAGGUACUGCUACCUCCCACCAGCACAGAUACUGGGUAACUCUAUCCAUCAAGGCUUGGACAGACAGUAAGAAAUCACCUAGUGUUUUUAUCUCUGUUGGAAAUUAAACCUGAGACCUCAUGGUUCUCAAUCUACUUCAUUGACCAUUAGGUCACACUCUUGGGUGCAAGUGUGCAACCAGCCAAACUAUUAUUCUAUAAACCAGAAUGAGAAGUGUGAACCGCAAUAUUAUAUCAGGUUUCCUCUCUCUAUAUCGCCAUUGAGUUACAAUAACAUUACAUUAAUCAGAAAGUAAAUAAAAUUGUUUAAAAUAGACCAAAUAUAAUCCUUCCUUGUAUGCUUAAACACAUUUUUUAGAACAAUAGUGUUAAAUAUAAAAUCUUUUAGAACUAUAUUGGAAAUAAAAGGUCAAUGCAAAUCCCAAAUGAAGCCUACAUAGUAUAGUAAGAUCGAGAAAAUCUGCUCGCUAAACAAACAUUCAACAGAAAUCACAUAUACUUAGGAAAGAAAAAGUGGUUCUACGAAGCUUCAUAGAAAAAGAAUUGUGUACUUCUUUUUUCAUUGAUAAGCAUAGGAAACUGGAUAAAACAACCCAUAAAAAUCUCGAUGAAACGAGAGCUCACCUCCAUUUCUAUCAUCAGCUCUCGAGGUUUCUCCCAGGUAGAGAUUCUUGUUCUUCUAUUAUAAUAGUAUCUAAAAAUCAAUUCAAGAAUUGUAAGAAUGAUAUUAAUUGGUUGGAGUAAUAAAGCCAUAGGAAAUAUGACAAUAUUAGCAACCAUAAUUAGCCUACUGAUCAUCAAAAGAUACUGAAAAUAGCAAUACCUACUAGCAUUUAGCCACAUGUAAAAUAUGUAAGAUAAUAGAGAAAUGGGGUCAAAAUAAAGUUAUCGGUAGAGGUGUAUCAAGUUCUGCUGAUCAACAGUCAGGUAGAAUUUGGUAGCGGUGAACGGCAGCCCAUAUGAUAACUUUGACAAAGAGGACUGAAACAAAGGGGCCUAUUAUCUCCAGUGCUAAUGGAAGAAGAAUGAUGUACAAAGAACUAGAUGUGGAUACUUGAGGCAUUUCUUGGCAGUGAUGGGGGCCAACAUAUCCACCACUUGUUCAUAGACAAGAAAUUAAGUGUUUGUGAUGUAGACAUUAAAUUAUUCAUAUGAGUAACCUAUGUGAAUAUAAUCCAAAAGGAAGAAUUCCAGAAAGCCAAAUUGGCAUGCUCUUUUUUUUGUCUGGAGAACACAAAGUGGUAAAAAGAUUGGAUCUGAAUGACAAUGAUAUUUUUGCAGAGCUCCUUUUCUUGUAUACCACGGUUUUACACCUUUUUUGUUCACUGGAAUCUUAAUUUUCUUACUAAAAACUAUCAUAGAAUUCAAAUGUUGACUCUCUCAAUCAACACACACCCAUUAACCCAUUAACUUAAGCAUGUUACCUGUUGACAAUAUUUAUGCAAAACGGGUACAAUAAAACACAUUGAAUUCUUACCGGAAUAACCAAGGGAGCUGCUAAUUCUCCAGUCUUCUGCAUAGUUGUUGCAGAAUUCACAUUAUGAUUACUUAUUGGCAUCCAGGGUUGUACCCCUGAUGGAAACCUAUGAUCAUUUAUCUAUGUCUGAUACUGGGAGCCAAAAGAAUCUACAUUUACCUGCUGUUAAAGAUGAUAACAAAAUGUAUUUCAUCAAUAUAUGAAUGGAACAUCGGAAACCGAUUGACAAUAACCACAAAAGAUCUUCCCAAGGACCUACAUUAUAUGAAGAAGAAAGAGGUAAAUUUGGGCCACCAGAACCAGGCAUGUGGUUAUUUGACAUCGCAAAAUUUCACUGAAAAUCAUGGGGAAUAGGUGGUCCCUGAGGCAUACUAUGCAUUCCUACUACAGGUCUACUAGUAACCUGUUGCAUAGGUUGAGGAAAUUGGAUUUGAGAAGGUUGUGACAUCGCAACAUUUGCAUGUCCAAGUGGUAAAAAUUGUUGAGAUGACCCAGAACCAUAAGGUUGUGCCUGCUGGGCUAGAAGCAUAGGCUGGAACUGCUAAAGAUGUGGGGAAAAUAGUUAUCAUAAUGUCUCUACAUUCAAAAGUCAUUUAUCCCUCCCCCAAGCCUCCAUAACUUUACCUACAGUGACAUGGAUGGAAUAGCACCAGGAGCAGGACUAGCCAGAGGAGGUAUAGGAGGCUUCUUAACUAAUAUCCAUGCAAGGAAGAACAGACGAAAUCAGAAUAUAGCUACUUUUCAAUCAUAUUUAGUUAAUUUUCCAAUCAAUGUUGAAAGCUUGUAUCCAUGCACAACUCCCUAAAUUAAUUUAAAGGACAAGGCAAGAAUUUUGAAGCUAAACCACAUAGUAACAUGAAGCCCUUUUCUUCAUCUAAUAAAUAGAAAGCUUGAAACGAGAAUAAAGAGAGAUAGGAAAUAGAUGACCUAUCACAACGUUAGACUAGAAUGGACAAAAUGAUAAGCAUCUUUACCUUAUGGCUUGGGUUCAACAGCUACUGAUGGCCUAAGUAUCUUUUCUUCGGGUGUAAAGAAGCACGUCUGUUAAUGCAAAACUAUGAUCAUUGAACUGAAACAUGAGGUAUGAGUAGGUAUUAGGAUAACCAAAAAAUACUGAGACUGGAAUGGGUUGAGCCUCAAUCUUCCCUUCUGAUGUUCUAUGUGAUACUGACAUCACUACUAGAAUCUGAAAGCCUGACUUGGUUAUUCUCUCUAUCAUCUCUCCCUUAGCUUUAAGCCAUCAAAUUAAGUUUGGGAGAUCCCUUACUAGACUCUAAACUAAAGUACACUCACUGUACUCUGGGGUCUGGAAAACUACUAUACACGCAUAUCAUGGCACUUAACCCUAAUGACUACACCUGAAAUUGGAAAACCCACUAUUAAUACUACCUUCUGAGAUACACUUUAUCAUUCUAUAGACCCAGUAGUCAUCAUAUAAUACUUGCAUACUUACUAACUUCGGGUCUUCAUGGGUAUCCCCAUAGUCGAAGUGCACACCCUCUAGUGCUUUAACUCUUAUUUCUAUUAGUUAAGCCUUUAAAAACUCAAACUUAGAAUCUAGCACUCAACAUGGAUAUAACCAAGCCUUCAAUGAAUCAUACCACUUCCUACAUAGCCUACCAAUAUUGCGACUCUAAACUUACAUCUCUCUACUAUAAGAAUCAAGAUCAUAUAAAAGGGCUCAACACUAUUAAUCAAAACUCCUUAAUUUGGCUAUUCAGAACACCAUAUACCAUCUAACUAGUCUUUCUCCACCUAGCAACUCAACGGUACCACUUGUCACACAAAACAUGUAAUAGUCUUAGAAAAUACCGCAACCUCAGAUCACCUUGGGCAUACUUCUACAUUAUAUAUGCAACAUCAUACUUCACUGCGAAUCAAAUAAACUUAAGCUCUUGCAUAUAUCAUUCAAGCCUAUUAGAUUACUUCCAUAAAACUAGUAUCAGUAACCAAGAAAUCAUCACAUCCACCUUCAUGGACAUCAAUUGUUCAAAACUUAAUGUCUAGUGCUAAACAUGAUGUUACAACCCAACCUUACGUAUGAUUCUCACUUGGAUACCAUGAAAUUGACAUCAAGAAACACUAGUACACUAGAACUUCCAAACAACAAAUAAUUGAUCUUGAUCUUACGGUCUUCCUUAUCAUAACUCAUUAGCACGGACUAUUUUAACACAUCAAGCCUACUAAUUUUUUCCCACAAAACAUAGAUCAUUAAUCUCAUGCCACUAUUUUUACCACCACAUUGUACAUUAAAUUCAAGAAUAUAGUCUUGUACCAAUCAUCUAUCACUACUAAAAAAUGCAACAUAACAUGCUAGUUCAUAAAAUUUGGGACAUACUAUACAAGCGCCUCAAAAAUCACUACUUACCUUCUCACAAGUAGUACUAGUUUACAAUAGAAGGUCAAGGGGUAAAGUUACAUAAUAAACAUUAUCAACCUUAAUCUUAUAUUAUAACCCCAUACAAUCUUUUCUACUUAUACGGAUUUCUCUCCGCAUACUUACUUACCCAAACAUACAUUUAGAGUACCUACAAAUUCCACAACAACCAUGAGUCUAUACUUACAACUUACUGGCUAAUAUAGCCAUUUUCAUACUUCAAGCAAUCGAGAAAUCAACCUAACUAACAACUCCCUCUCUAUCUUCUACUAAACUAACACACAAGGACAAAUCACCUUUCUACCAACUCAAUCUUAUGCAAACAGAUUCAGCUAUAUAUAUAUAUAUAUAUAUAUAUAUAUAUAUAUAUAUAUAUAUAUAAAAAAAACAAAAAAAANNNNNNNNNNNNNNNNNNNNNNNNNNNNNNNNNNNNNNNNNNNNNNNNNNNNNNNNNNNNNNNNNNNNNNNNNNNNNNNNNNNNNNNNNNNNNNNNNNNNNNNNNNNNNNNNNNNNNNNNNNNNNNNNNNNNNNNNNNNNNNNNNNNNAAGUCAACUAUGCUAGUGAAUCGAAAGAGCCCCACAGGGCUUCACUAGACUUUAUUUUUUUCAACAACACCUUGAUUACAAGAUUACAUAAGAUAGAAAUUUAAUAUGCAAUAUCCAAUGAACUAGGAAUACACAUCUUUCUCUGUAUAAAUAAAAUUAGAGUCAAACAAUUCCUCCACGGACUACCAUACCUUCCACACAUGCUACUAGUUACCACAUUAGUCUAUCACCAUAAGGGGUAAAUCAUUCUCAAACAUCGUUUAUUCAACUAAAAUAUUCAUUUACAUAAAAGUCACCCUCGCUCUGACUUCUAACUUUGUGACUUCACAUCACCAACUUCUUGGUCUAAUUUCACUACCAAUAGGUCAUGACAACAACACUUUAACGCAUACUACUAUUUAGGUGGAAAUAUAGUUCCAACAUUCUACUACACACCAUCCCACCCCUUAAGCAAGACAUUUGUAACAUAAAUUUGAAGGGGACUAAAUGCAAUUAAUACCUCAAACUGAAAAGCACGAUUCCAUCAGGAUCAAUGUUUACAUCAGAAUCAAUACACAUUGAAGCAAUCAACUAAUUAAUUUCAAUUAAUUAGAAUCAAUUUUAUGAUCAUAAUAUAUAGACUCAAGUUCCUUAAAUUUAAUGUUGUAUGUAAAUUUUAAAAUAUAUUUAUAGCUAAAGUAGUAGUCAAUGUUCGUUGUUUUUUACCAAUAUAUGCAUAUCAAUUACGAAUCUUUCCAUAUAUAUAUUUUUUAUUAAAGUAAUUGUCAGUAUUAACUAAUUUCUAGUUCAAUUUAGUCUAAUUAAUUUGAUAGCAAUAAAAUUAUUAUUAAUAUUAUAUAUUUAUUUACCAUAAAUCUGGCCUAAUUUUAUAGCUUGAUUAUAUUUAAUUAAUCUACAAUUGUAUAAAGGGCUCAAAUACGAAAAUAAUUGAUAUUAAUUACAUGUUUUUAUAGAUUGAUUACAUUAAAUUGAUAUCAAUUACCUUUUUAAUUUUGGAAAGAAUUUUAAAAAGGUAACAAUUAUUUAUUUUUCUAAUUACUAAUUUAGUUUUCAAAUAUUUCUUAUAAAUUUAUAAUUUAAUUAUAGUCAAUUAAUUAUUAUUAUAUUUAUAAUUUGCUAAACACUCAAAUAAGGUAACAAUUUUCUUUUUUCCUAAUUACGGAUUUUCUUAUAUUCAUUCAUUUAUUUGUUUACAAAAAUAGGUCAAACUUAAUUAUUUUGAGGGAUGACACCUUUUUUUAAUAUUUUUUACUCAGAAUGAUUACAAUAUUUUUUUAUAUAAAUUGAUCAGUUACUAUUUAUUAAUUGGUUAUUCUCUUAAAUAAUUUUUUCUUGUAAUAUUUCUUUUAGUCAAUUGUAAUUAAAUCAAUAAUAUUUAUUUUCUUAUAAUACUAUUAUUAAAAACAUUUGAAAUGUAAUUUAUUAAAUAUGAAAUAUGAAAUAAUAUUAAAUAUUUAAAUAAUCAACAAAAUAGUUUUUUGUUAUGAAAUGAUGGUUUUUUGUUGUAAAAAUUCAAAUAGGUAGUUCUCAAUAUGACACUUGUCUUAGUUUUAGGCUAGACUAUCCUCCUUUAUUAUAUAGAUAGAUAAUUUCAACAAAAUUAAUUAGAGUAUUUUCUUAUAAAAUUUUAUAAAAAUAAUAUAAAAUAUGGCAUAUUAAUAAUAUUUGCAUUAAUUAUUCUUCUAUUUUCUUACGCAGUAUUUGAUUCUACGUAUUAAAAAUAACAUUGAAUCAAUGGUGAAAGUGGAGGGACUUCUUUCUUUAUUGGGGUUUUUCUUUUUGGGAAAGCUAACACUUUCUUGACUACCAACCACCCAACACAAAGCUGACACUUCUUGGUAGAUUGGCUAUUUUUUCAUACGGUACUAAUUUAUAUACAUUUUCUUUGAUAUUUGUUAUAUUGUUAGUUUUAUUUUGCAUAUUGUAUUAGUUUAAAUGCAUUUAUCUUUUAUGUUUGGUAUAUUAUUAUGAUCCUAAGCUGGGAGUCUAUCAGAACAUCCUCUCUACUUCACCUGAGUAGUGAUAUGAUCUGCAUACACUAACCUCCCUAGACCUCACUAUGUGGGAAUACACUGGGUGUUGUUGUUGUUGUUGUUCUUUCUUACACAGUAUUUGAUUCAACGUAUUAAAAAUAACAUUUAUUACAUAAUUUUUUUUUUACAUAAUACCCCCACUUUAAGCAUGUUAAUGCAUGCAUUAGAUCCAUUGCAUUACUAAUGUCAUAAAUUUUGAGGUAUUAGUAAUACACACCUCAAUAUACAACAGAGUAUAUAACUAAUUUUUGCAUUAGUUAUACAUAAGAUAAAAAGAUAUAUAUCAAACAAGGGACUACUAAUAGACAUUAAAUUAAUGGAUGCAUUAGUUUUUACGUAAAACAUUCCAUGCUUUAUCACAGAUUUGGUUAUUAUUCCAUGUCUUGAGCUGGGAGUCUAUCAUAAACCACCUUUCUACUUCUCCGGAGGUAGUGAUAUGGACUACGUACAUCUUACCCUCUCCAAACCCCACUAUGUGGAAAUACACUAAAUUUAUUGUUGUUGUUGUUAUUAAUUUUUUAAUACACUCUAUCAAAAGACUCCAUGCUUCUCAUUUAAUAAUACCUUUAGCUCCUCUUUAAUUAUGAUAAUUGCUCUCUGACUCCACCUUGCUUUUUUAAAAUAUACAUAAAUAACAAUGAAUUUAAUUUUGCUCAUUACUCUACUAAUUGUAGUAAUGUUAGGUGAAUUCAUCAACUUAAAAUUAGAGUACAUUCACUUAAGCUACAUGUUAUAGCUAUAGCUCAAAAAAGGAAUUAUACGUUUGACAUAAUACAUAAAUGUGUUUUCAACUUGACAUCAUCAGUAAAUAUUUAUAUAUUUUAAUUUUGAGUGUUGCACAAAUAAAUACUUAGACUAUCAUAUAAAGUUAAAAUAAAGAUAUAUAUGCUAGUCUUGUAUCGCAAUUUGUCAUGCAAAAUGCAUGCAUCUCAUACAAUUUGUCAAGUAAUUAAAGCAUUUGUGUCUAGGAGAGUGCAUCAGUCGGUUCGGUUGGGUAUUACAUAUUAUCGUUAGAUUUAUCGGUUUUCAAUUUUUAAAUAUGUUAAACCAAUAACCAAACUAAUAAAGUAUUUUUUUCGGUUUUUAGUCCUUAACGAUUCGAUUUUUGGUUUAACCGAUAAGAAAAUGCACAUAAAAUAGAAAUAGAAGUAACUAACAUGUAAAAAAUGAAUGUUAGUUGCAAGAAAAAUCCUACAUGAAGUGUUUAAAUUUACAAAAAUCUUCAAGUUUGAACUAAAUAUUGUUAGGAGAAAUUAAGAGUUUAUAUAAUUGAAAUAAUAGGUUUGUUUAUUUGUAGAAAUAAAAGAUAAAUAUAAUAAUAAGUCAUAUAUAUUCUUAUUGGGUUAUCGGUUUACCCAAUAACCCAAUAAGAAAAAAUCGAACCGAAACAAUAACCCAAUAAUUUUUUGUAACACCCCAUACUUUCAGACUUGAACGUAAAUUGUUAUUCUACUUGUACACAUUCCAAAAACCAUAAAUAUAUUGUGAAUAUAGUGUUUUAAUCAACUAUGUGGUGUAUAAAUCUAGUUGAUCAUGAAUUGAGAUCAUAGAGGUCCCCUAACUCAAGGACGAGUUCAAAGCUUUUCCAUCGAUUGAGUUUUAGUAAGUGUCAAAACUUGGGUCAAUUUCAAUCAGUCAUUAAUCUUUGUAUAUAUUGAAUUAGAGUGCCUACUAUAUAUCAAAUAAAAUCCCUUCGAAUUAUCUUUCCAACGAUAUCAAUUUCGCAAAUAUCCAACACUCAAGGAAGAAGUUAUGACUUUGCAAAGUGGAGUAUGUCAUGCAGCAUAAGGUGUGCGACGCACACCCUAACUUAUUCCAUAAGGUGUGCGACGCACAACCUAAUGUGUGAGAUUAAGAGUGCGCUGCACAACCUAUAUUAUGCGAUAAGGUGUUGUCCGCAUACAUUACUACUCAAGUGACUUAAACACUCCAUUUUUGGGGCAAAAUGGUCCUUUUCCCACCCUUAUUUAGCCAUAAACACGAAAUUCAGUCACUAAAUACCCCAAAAUACACCUUCAUUCAUCAAAAUUGCUCAAGAACUCUCCUUAGCAUUUCAAAAUAAAACUCGGGCAACUUAAAAUUCAACCGUGGGUUUUUGAAACUAAUUGCAUAUUUGGAAUCCCUAAAACGUAGGCUUCAAGAAACACCUAUCAUCUUUGCAUAUAGAGGUACGUGGGGUUAUCCUAAAAUCUCAUGGGCCUUUAAAUUCAUGUUUUAAAAUGGGGGUUUUGAAACUACGAAUAUAAUCAUGUUUUGAACUUUUCUAUAAUAUUGAUUUCGUCUUUAGGCCUAUUUCCGAUGUGAUUUGACAUAUUAUAUAUAUAUGCAUGUGUUUUGAAAAGGUGUUAAUUUGAGAGCAUGAAUUAUAUGGAAUCCCUCUCUUGAUGUGAAUUUGUUUUAAAUGUUCAUAUGGUGUAAAUUGUUUGAAAACAUCUUGAAAAGCAUGACAUAAAAUGUUUUGAGAAUUGAUAUGAUUUUGACUUGAAAACGAGAGGGCUAUUUGUGUUGAAACAUGUUGACUAAAAUGGUUGAAUGAGAAGAAUGAUGUGAUAUUGAUGGCUUACAAGUCGGGUAUGACGAUACCCUAUAGAAUAUGAUAUGUGAUUGAAUCAGAUGAAAUUUGAAUGCAUUGAUUUUACAUGAGAUAAGUGGAUGCUCGACGAAGGCAUUUGAGUGUAAGGGCUCAUCAUUGGAAACCGUGUUUGUCGACAUGGGAAUUUGGUAACCUGCUUUGUGAUCUUGCGUACCUGACUUUAUGUCAUUCCCAAGUUGGGAUAUGGUUAGGAGCCCUGCUUUAUGAUCUUGCGCACUACCAUUGGGUCGAGACACCCUGCUGUGUAAUCUUGUGUAUCUUUCCCUCACUUAUACUCUAAUUUCAGCGGCAACCGAGGUUUGACAGUUGGUGUAAAUAUGAUAUGUAGGGUAUUCUACCUAGCUCAACUGUAUUACAUUGUUGUUGAAAACAAUUACAUUACGCCAAUGUGUUUUCAAAUGAUUUGAUAUGAAACUGCUUUAUAAUGGCUCUCAACUAUAUUUUUUUAAAAUGUUAUGUUUUGUUUUGAUAUCUCUGUGUACCAGUACUUUUAUAUUGACCCCCUUCCCUUCCAGGUUUGGAGGCACAGUCUAGCUGUCCAGAAAAUUAGUAGAUUCCUCAGACAGAUUUGUAGAGUCACUUGUGAGCCUUCUAUAUUUCGGAAGGCCUGAUAUCUGGCAGUUUCAUUUAUCAUUUAUUAGUUUUGGAUCUACUGGGGGAAUUGUCCCAGUUUUCAGAGAGAUAUUUAUUUCAACCAUGUAGUAGAGAUUUCGCAGACGUUAUAGAGAUGUCGUGUUGAGAUUGUGGGACAUUAUUCCCAGUUAUUGAUUUCAUAAGAUUCUUGACCAUGUUUUCGUAAUAUUGUUUAUCUUCCGUAUUUCUUUUAUGAUAUGAGUUAUGUGCAUGAUUAUCAGACAAAUAGGGGUGUUUUGGGCCUUCAUGGUUCGGAAUGAUCGUCAUGGCCAGGGCCCCGAUUCGGGUCGCGAAAAACUUUGUAUCAGAGCACGGUUCAUGGUCCCAGGGUGUCUGCAAAAUCAUGUCAGGUAGAGUCUUAUUUAUGGGUGUGUAGCGCGCCACACUUAUAAGCAGGAGGCUACUUAGCGUUUAGGAAUGUCUCUCUUUCUUCAUGUUCCAGUUCGUGCAAUAGAGUCAAAAUGUUCCUCUUUCAUACUGUCAUUCAUGCUAUGGUGUCACCCAUAUGAAGGUAAAUUCAUCCCAAAUUCUUUCCUUACUCAGAUGUUCUCAGACAUGUCCCAUUAUUGGGGUGAUUCAAGUGCAAAAAGCUUAUAAUCUCUAUGAUAUAGUCUUUUUCGAUUAUGUCAUAUAAGAAAAAAAAAUUGUGCAAAGACUCGAGAGGAGUUUGUUGGUGCUUCAAUAUGUGUUGAUUCUGAUGUAAACAUUAAUCCUGAUGGAAUCAUGCUUUCCAGCUUAAGGUAUUAAGUGCAUCUAGUCCCUCCGAAAAAUCUUGAUACAGAUGUGGAUGGUGUAUAGCAGAAUGUUGGAACUGUAUUUCCACCAGAAUAGUAGCAUAAGUUAAAGUGUUGUUGUCAUGACCUAUCGGUAAUGAAAUUAGACCAAGAAGUUAGUGAUGUGAAUUCACAAAGUUAGAAGUCAGAGUGAGGGUGAUUUUUGGUGUAAAUGAAUAUUUCAGUUGAAUAACCGAUAUUUGAGGAUGAUUUACCCCUUUAUAGUGAUAAACUAAUGUGGUAGCUAGUAGCACAUGUGGAUGGUAUGGUAGUCCAUGGGGGAAGUAUUUUACUCAGAUUUUAAUUUAUACAAAGUAAGAUGUGUAUUCUUAGACCAUUAAAUAUUGUGUCAAAUUCCUAUCUCUUGUAAUAUGUAAUCUUCUUAUCAUGGUAUUUUUGAAAAAAAAAAAUUAAAGUAUAGUGAAGCCGUGUGGGGCUCUAUCGAUUCACUAGCAUAGUUGCCUUGUCAUCCAUCUCAUUUUCUUGUUCAAAAUACAAAACCAAAUUCUAGUGAAGCCGUGUGAGGCCUAUUUCGAUUCACUAGCAACUUGUUGUCCAGCUUGUUGUUCUUUUGUUGGUUUAAUAUAUGUAUGGCUGAAUCUGCUUGCAUGAGAUGGAGUUGGUAAAGAGGUAAUUUAUCCUUGUGAGUUAGUUUAGUAUAAGGUAGAGAAGGAGUUGUUAGUCAGGGUGAUUUGUUGGUUGCUUGAAUGUGAAAAAUGGCUAUAUUAGCGAGUAAGUUAUGAUUAUAGACUCAUGGUUGUUUGAGGAAUUUGAAGACAGUCUAAAUGUAUGCUUGAGUAAGUAAGUAUGAGGUGAGAAAUCCUCAUAAGUAGAUAAGAUCGUAUGGGGUUAUAAUAUCAGAUUAAGGUUGAUCAUGUCUAUUAUGUGACCUUACCCCUUGACUUUUUUCUAUGAGAAGGUAUGUAGCAAAUUAUGAGGUAUUUGGAUAGUACUACAUGAUUGGCACAGAUUUUUUGAAGUUUUGCAGGAGUUCUCGAAACUAUUUUCUAAAAAAUUAAGAGAUUUAGCAGCAUACUUCAACAGAACCGUGAAACAAUCACAAAUGCCAGAUAUUAAAAAACUAUAACAAUCGAAACUAACUGCUAGAGCUAUUAAACGCCCAGUGUUGGAACAACUAAUAAUUGACAUCAACCAAUUUCUAGAGGAAUAAGUUCAACAUUAAAAAUCACUUAGAAAAAUGGUAAUUCAUGCUAAUACUAUAAAGAAAUAGCCUACCUAAAUGUUGAGGAAUAUAAAACAACAAAUCAUUCAACACAGCUAUUAUUUUAAGGUACAUUCUAGAACUAUGUGAAUUACUGAGUUUAGAAUAUUGAAAGAGUUGGUCCUUGAAAAUAAUAUCAAUUAUCAUUCUCCAAUGGUCCUUGCAAUCAUGUUACAAAUUCUAGAUCAAUAAAAGCAAAAGAAGCUACUUGCCUAUCUCCGAAGAGAGAUUUGCAGUCCCCCCAUUUCGAUAAUGCAAUAAUUUUCUACAACCACAGCAAACAAAUAGAUUAUGGUUUAAAGGAAAUAUCAUGGGAUCCCAUCCAUUGCAAUGUGAGAGAUUGUAAACUGUUUAAAAUACCUUUGAUGCAUGAAGAAGUUCAUAGAACUCAUCUGCUAGACGUUUACGCUUUUUAGCUUCUUUUUCUUCUUUCUCCCUAGCCCUUUCCAGUAACUCCUCAAAGACAAACUAUGCAGAUGAAAUAUGCACAUUCAAUACUCAAUGACCUGGCAAGCCCUACCGCGUAGAAAUAAUGUUUAGAAAGGAAGUAUGGAAUAAAAUUAAGUAUAAUCCAUGUAUGUCCUCUUACUCCUUCGUUUGGAAGGCAAGGGGAAUAUAAUUUAAGAGUAUUAUUACCAUCUUUUGAAGUAACUCCUCACGUUAUAAUCUUUGAUAAAAUGCUUUACAAAAGUUUUGAGCUAUUGAAAGUAAACUAAAAGCCUUAAGAGACCCAACCAUCUAAGCAUAAUUCUUCGACAAGAUACCCCUUGCAAUUCCCUCUUCCCACAUACAUAGAUUAUACGCCAUGACCAUAAAUAACCUCCAAAAUCCAAAUGAUAUAUGAAGAAUAUCCUCAUUACAAAAAUAGCAAAUGAUUGUUGAUAUCAUCCAGUUAUGCUGUUAAACCAGUUUCGUAGAGUAAAACUCUUAUCCACUAACCGUAAAAAGAGAAAACUACAAGGCAUAGUGCUUUGACUUAAGUAACUUAAGAUAUGUGCGGUAGGUUUAAUAUUAAACACCGUCGUCCAGGAAAUAAAAACUAAGGAAAAUGGUACCAAAACUGAAGAAUUGGAAGCAAAAGCUAACACCAAAUAUUUGAUCAAUGUGGUCCUCGUCUUUAUUCUUGAAGGUUUUAGGCUUACUUGUUAACUGACACACUGCUCUUCUAUUAACUCCAUUACAAGAAGAUCCAAAUUUAAUGUGGGAUAGGUUAUGGUUAAUACUAAAGAAAAAUGCCACUAACCACAGUUGACUACCUAUGAGUUGCCAAUUUAGCAAUCACAAACUGACCAAUUUCCAGUGAAACAUAACAUGGAAGUACUACUAAUGCUUUUGCACUCAAUCCACUCAUCUUAUGCAGGACCUGUCCCAAAGACAAAAAGGGGACAAAUACAUAGAAAUCCAUUUUGUGAAUGGGGUACUUCAAUUUUCACAACAUUCAACUCAACAUUGGUCGAUGUGAAACAGUAUCCAGUGCUUAGCCAUAAUUUGACUUUUAAGUUGGUAUCUGACAUUGGUGGAGAGCUAAUAUACUUGGCGAUUGCAACCUUAAAAUCAUCAAGCGUCCAGGCUGAUGUCAAUCCAAUCUGAAAGUAGAGACGGCUCAGCCAAAAUAUUAGGUACUAAUCGAAGCACAACAGAGGUUAAAAUGGAGAGUGGUGAUUACCUCGGCCAUCCUAACUGAAUCUUUAAUUUGUGACUUGUCAUCAAGAUACUGAAGCAACAUACAAGUAACACAAAUUCAGAAUGCUUAUCAGUAAAAAAAAUAGGAUACCAAAUGGAGCCUUGUCCAUGCAUUUGAGUUCCAUAAAGUCUAUAAAUUACAAGCAGUGUGAUGGGGAUGAAAUUUCUUUCAUGAAUACCAACAUUUCUCCACUUGUUCAAAGUCAUCUACAAUAUCACAAGNNNNNNNNNNNNNNNNNNNNNNNNNNNNNNNNNNNNNNNNNNNNNNNNNNNNNNNNNNNNNNNNNNNNNNNNNNNNNNNNNNNNNNNNNNNNNNAAAAAAGUGAAUAAAUAAAAAUGGAUAGCAUCUCUGUUAACAGCGCUUUCGUUAUAUUUACUUAAUAAGAAUCAUUUAUGCAUACAAACAGUAAUACAAACUUUAAAGAUAGAAGUUGACAUCUUUAUUUUACAAGGGAAAAAGAAAAGAUUUUCAGCAUCGGAGUUUAUGUAUAACUCUCACUAUCCCAUAGCAAGAGCCUAACUCAAGAAAACAUUACCAAAUUCAAUCAUUGAAUAAGAGUACGAACAGGAUCAUUACCAUGCUAGGAUAGCAGGUAAACGCCCUCUUUCAUCAAGAAUGGAGAUAAAUGCUAAUAACAUUUGAUCAUUCAACUUCAAUUCUUUUCAGAAAGGGCAGAGGAUGAAACAAUAUAUCGUUUAGUUAGUCGCAAGUGUGCAUUACGGCGAAAAAAAUCACAGUGAGGGAGAUGCAACUUUAUUUAGAGAAACAAAGAUUCUCUCAGGCACUUUUUCCAAGGCUAAUCUUUUCUAAGCCUUUACUUUCAUUACAUCUCAACUACCUCUUCAGAGGCGAAUUCUGGCACUAAGUUUAUUUAGUCCAAUUUAUAUGGUUGACAACACAAUAUAUUUUGAAUUGGGUUUUAAGUUGCACGAUAUCAUCCGAAGUGAAAUCAAAAUUGGGGUGUGGUACAAAAGGACAAAACAUGGUCGAAACUUGACCAGACAAACUACUUUCAGGUCUCAUUUAUUUGCACUUAUUGGAUUUAUGAACCUGUUCAAACCUCAAACCAUUAAGUGCACUUGUUUUUAUUAGGAUUUUAGCUCUUAAUAGGCCUGAGUAGGUCUUAAUCAUUCAGAUGUGGAACCAAGACUAAAUAUCAUUUACAGAUAUUCUUGGGUAGGAAAAAAUUCACCACCACUCUAUCCACAAUCACCUGUCACCACCACCAACCACUUCCACCAUCACAACCAACAUCACUACCAACUACACUGCUAGCCGCUACCACACCUACCACUUCCAUUAUUCUAAUUAUAUCCACCGCCAACUAGGGGUGUUCACGGUUUGGUUUUUAACCAAACUGAACCGCGAUCCAAACCAAAUUGAUUAAGAAAACCUAUAUUUGGUUAGGUUUGGUUUGGAUUUGAAUUUUAAAAAAUCGAUACUAAUUUGGUUUAGUUUGGUUUGGUUUUACUCUAAAAUAACCAAACCGAACCGAUAUACAUAGAUAUUAUAAUUAUUUAUAUGUUUUUCAUAAAUGUAAUCUAAAUAUUUGUUGCAUUUUAUAUUUUAAUCAUGAUUUAACUUUAGUCGUAACACAUUCAUUCAUAUGUCUUCAUCUAGUUGACAAUACAUUAUGAAAUUCUAAAUGAAUUUCAUAUUUUGAAUGACAAAUGAUACUAAUUGUGAAAAUAAUAUCUUGUUAUAUAUUGAAAUUUACUGCUGAAAUUCAUUAGAUUAUACACAAUCACUAAUUUUAACUUUCUUUUGAACCUUGUUGAGCAAGAAGUUUAUGUGUUCACCUUUUGGGGGUAUAUCAUAUCAUUCUAUUAAAUAUAGUUUUUAAAUAUUUUUCUAAAAGCGUUCAUAUGGUGUUAUCAUGGCUUUGCCGAAGUAUAACACUCAAUUGACAUCAUAGUUUCAAGAUUGAGCUACAACACUCGGUUGACAUCUCAUAUGUUAGAUUGGAUUUGUUUUUUUAAAAUUUUCAACUUUUAUCAUUAACUAAAGUUAUAAACCAAAAAACCCGAAUCAAACCGAACUAAACCAACAAGAACCAAACCGAUGGUUAUUUUUUUUUUUUUGGUUUGGUUUGGUUUUAGAAAUUUAAAAACCAAUUAAGUUGGUUUGGUUAUGGUUUUGACCAAUAACCGACCCAUAUCGACCCAUAAAUACCCCUACCGCCAACGCCGCCACCAUCAACUCCUACCAGUCGACCCCUACUACCAACCAACUCAUCUAUCAGAACUAGCACUACCACUAAUAACCACCAACACAUCAUCAACUUCCACACAUCGCUAACAACCACUAACACAUCAUCAACUUCCACACAUUCUGCGAACACCAUCACCACCACUGUCACCAGCAUCACCACCUCUACCACCACCAUCCGCUACACUCGCUACAGUAUCUAUACUAACAACCAUUCCACCAUCACAGCUAACAGCGUCUCCAACGACCACCAACACAUCAUCAACCAUCAUGCAUACAGUUUUCCGUCACCACGAUCAACACCUCCAACUACUAACAUUAACCAACUUCACAUCACAACCACCACCACCACUACCAAUCGCCAAUAUCAUGAUAGUUACUACAAUGCCAACUAUCUCUACUAUCACAACUAUCAACACCAACGUUGCUAAUCACUAACAUCAAUUAAUUUAUUAGAACAACCACCACCAUUAAAAACCAUCUCCACUAUCACUAACAAACAUAAAUGUUUCUUUUUUUCAUCAAAUAAUAAUAUAAUUGCAUUAAAUUUAAAAAAAUUCUAAUAUAUAAUUAUAUUAUAUUUAGAAAUAAAUAAAUUUUGCACAUUCAGAUAUUGAGAAACACUCAACCUUAAUCAUUUAGUUUUCAGAUCUAGAGACAAUAUCUUAAUCAUUCAGAUGUACAUUCAAAAUUAUUCAAAUAUCUGAAUAUUAAUAAAAACAAAUGCAGUCUUAGCUGAAACACAAUGGUGUGGUUGUGUGAUACUUUAAAGGAGUCCUCGAAAGUCAAAGAAACUACGUGAAAACAUGGAAGUUUGAUGAUCACUUCUCAGAGUUGUUCUGAUCGAGAAACUAUAACAAUUAAGGAAAUAUAACCAUUAACAGCAUUCAAUGGAGGAGAAGUCAAUUACAAUUAUCCGUGAAGUAGAAUUUAAUACAGCUUGACUAUAUUGAAAGAAUCAUCUAUAUCUAUACUACAUUAAAAGCAUGGAACCCCUAACUUAAAAGUUUACGACAAUACCAUUCCUGUCAGCCUAAUUACCUACUAUCUAGUAAAAAAAAAAGAGGAAACUAAUUGGCAUAAAGAGAAACAAUGCAGAUGUUUAAUAGGAACAACCGGUCAUUGUUUUUAUCUGAACAAAAUAUGUGUUAUUUAAAAAAAAAAAAAGCAAGUAGAGGGGUAACUCUCAAAUCUCAAUCUCAUGCUUUUAUCCUACCAAGUAUGUUCUAUUUUUUAAUGCACUACAACAACAACAACAAACCCAGUAUAUUCCCACAUAGUAAUGCACUAACUUCCCUUUUUACCUAAUGAAUUGAACUUUUUAGUGAGAAUCUAAAUGAUUUUCAAACUUUGUUUAACAUCUGAUUCAUUAAGAUGUAUUAACAGGUUGAGUCUUUAAAAAAAACACUUAAUGGGUUGAUAUCUUAACCAUUCAAAUUCAGACCUUCAUUAAGUGAAAGCAAAUGAAAAGGGAUUGUAGUGUAAAGUCUAUAAAUAUGGCUUAGUGUAACAAAUGCAGUUGACACAAUUCAAUACUCCUAUUAGCAACCUAUUUCACCUGUUUCUCCAGCUCAUCCAUAACAUCUGUAAAUAAGUCUUUUGUUGUUGAUCCUGAAGUAUUUGAUGAGACAGCUAGAUAUGCAGCAAAAUCUUUAAUCUACAAACACAAAAUAAAGAAGGAAAUUAUUGGAAAAAAAAUUUAAAAAGACGAAAAGGGAACUCAUGAAGGUAAUCACUUACUGAACACAAGAAAGAAAAACUAACUUUGAUGCAAUAAUCACGCCAGUUAAUUUUUGCAUUAAGUAUUCCCGCAGGAACAUGCUCUUCCAUCAGUUUUUGAAACUCAUCACGAUUUUUACGUUCAGCUUUCCUCAAUUUUUCCUAUAUGAAUCAACAGUGUAUGCCCGGUGAGAAAGAGAUAAAUCAAAGUCUCCAAACAUAAAUUUAAUUUUAACCCCCGAGUCUAACAAGCAAUAUACCAUCCGCCAUUUCCUUUGCUCCUCCUCUUCGCUCUCUAAAUCACGUAUGUAUUCCUAAAACAGAAAAGGUUGCAACAUAACUUUAAAACUGAGGCGUACAAAUGAGAUGUUUGGAGAAAGUUAUUUAUGAUGUAUUAGAAAAAUGAGUAGUACCUGGAAAAUCUCCAAGCGUUCGAUUCUCUCAAGGCGGGAGCAUCUUUCAUCAGUUUCAAAGCAGUCCUGAACUUUCCGCCACUGGCUACUGGCCUGAACAAAAGAAGUCAGCAACAAUAGAACUAUGAAAGUUCUAUCUCCUGGAAAUAGAAAAAAAUAAUCUAGGAACUAAUGCUAAAUCCACUAGAACAAAUACCAUAAUAAAGUCACAAGAUUUUAAAAAUUCUAAGUACUCCACUCUAUUGCACUUCUGCUCCUCUAAUGCCUUCGCAUGCUCCUAAUAAAAUCCAGUACAAAGUAAAAAAAAAAAAAAAUUUCUCUAUAAAGAAGACAAUAUUUAAAAAGUGACUUUGACUACACUUGCAUGAAUGUAUUGAAAAACUUUUUCUAUUUUACGACGGAGGGGGGAGAGGAAGAAGCAUACCAUAGUUUCAAGUUUCAAGAAAAAUUACAUACAAUACAUGGAAGUCUGUUUAAAUUGGAAUUCAAUGGUGAACAAAUUUAAAUGUUAUACCUUUGAGAAGCCAUUAAAAAUGUAUUCAAAGAACACAAGAUUUUAAGUUGAAUAUCUACAACAUUCCUUCUUUCUACUCUUUAAGCAAAACAAAAAAAGGGAACAAACUAAAUGACAUCCUAUAAAGGAAAGGAGUGGAAUGACUGUUGUUAAUCAAGUGGACCAGCGUCUAACUCAACUUUAAAAACUAGGUCAGGUGGUGAAGAUUGUCCAAGAUCAUAUAAGGAAACUACAGUACAUACACCUUACUAGUGUGGGAUUCUCAUACAUUAAUCCCACACCAUGACUAGACAUUUGUAGCAUCAGUUAACCUAGGUUGGCUAACAUCUAAUAGUCUAACAUUAAUAUAGAUCUACCUCUAAUACCAUGUUUAAGAAAUUGGACCUUGUUUCUAUCUCAAAUGAAAGGCUAACUUAAUUUGUGAGGAGCCAAAGACCAUAUAAGGAAACUACAGUCCGCACACUUAGUUUUUAACAUAUAGAAGCUUACAAGAAAGUUCUGCAAAAGGAGCUUCACCUUUUUCUCAAGUUCCUCCACAUAAUCUUCAAAAAGGUCCUCACGGUCUUUAGCUUGCUCAACAGCUUUAAAACGUUCAUCAUGUUCGAAUAUAGAGAUUGCCUUACUGAAUAAUCAAUAGCAAAUAGUUAGUGGAUCAAAUGGAACUUACACAAGUAAUGGAUCAACUUCAAGGUACCAAACACAUACAAACAAUGACCAAGAUUAGAAAACAAGAAGCAGACAACUUAACAUUACAAGUGAAAGACAAACCUCCAUCUUGACGAUGGUGAUAGCUCCUUGCAAUCCUGUAAGAUUGAGAACAACGGACAUUGUUGUGAAAAAUACCACUUAUUCUUUUGAACAGGUCAAAUACCAGUCUCUAACACAUCAUGAAUAUUAUGAUAAUAUCUUUUUAUUUUUGAAACUGGUAAUGUGAAUAUCACGAUAUAUCAAAUGAAAGACACCACAAAAGAAAAUUUCACUUACUUCUAACAUUAUCCUGAAAUCUUCCCAAGCUUUUUUCUGCUUAACACGCCUCUCUUCAGCUUCCAGUGUUUUCUUUUGGCUCAGAUACUGAUACUGGAACAGACACACAACUUCAAAAUGAUCACUAUAGACCUUGGGUGUGUUUGAUAUGAAGGAAAAUGUUUUCCUAGAAAACAAGUUGGUUUCUUACUUGUUUUCUUAUGUUUGGUUGAUGAAAGGAAAACAUUUUUCAGAAAAUGUUUUCUAGUGUUUGGUUGGUGAAUAAAAAAAUAUUUUUCAAAAAAUACAUUUGAGAGUUGUAUAAACAUUUCAACUUAAGAGUGAGAUUGAAAGAGAGUUUUGGAAAAUGUUUUUCCUACUUUUUGAAGGGAAUUAAUUUUCCUUAUAUUUAAGGAAAAUAAGUUGAUUUGGAAAACAUUUUCCAAAAUAUUUAAGUCAACCGAACAUGAAACAAUUGUAUAUCAAACAAAAUCCAUCUUUUUGCAAUACGGUAUGCUGAAACAUUGAAGCAGCAAUUAACCCAUUCCAAUGCCGACAUGGAGAGAUACCUCAUUAAAAGCUUGCUUCCGCUCACAAAGGGAUUUUAGAGCACCAUAUCUCCAGUCAUUAAUUACUGAGCUCAUGCCUUGACAAAUACAAUUCAUGUCAAAUGAUCUCCCUCAAUUGUUUGGUACGCACAAAACAGUCAAGUAAUAAACCUGAUCCCACGUGCAAUCAGACCUAAUAUUUACAGAUUCCGGAAGAGUUUUGAAUGCACUCUUUGCCUCCUAAAUAAAUCAGAUACUUAAAAUAGAAAUAAGAGAAAUUUCGAGAACAUACAUUAAAUGGGACAAAAAGCAAUAAUCAACUAUACCGUUUUGCUCUUAUAAACUAAUGGUCCCAGCUCGACUAUUUUCUCAUCUGAUGGAGUAGCACCUCUAAUUUCAGUUACUGCAGCAUCUUUCUUGACAUUCUGCAUUUUAGGCACAACAUCAAGCGCAAAGGACAAAAGCAAACCUCAUUGGAAUUUCGAGCAUAUUCUUCACCUGUUAGCAGUUGACUAACAACUGCACUACAAAAUUGUUAGAUCAACAUCCAGCAUAACAGCUACGAAAAGCUUUCUUGGUGUUUUAACCAGUAACCAGUAGUAAUUAACUAAUCGCAUAAGUAUUUCAGAAGGACAAAGUACCUCUCCAUUCUUUGAAGAAAAUCCAUCACCAUACACUACUGCAUCUUGAGUUGUAGUAGUCUCAGAACUAUACAAAAAUUGAAUUCCAAAUAAGAAGCAACACAAACCAGAGGAAAAUUUAUAACAUACAAAUCUGAAAACAUACACCGGUGGCGCGACAGAAUUUCCCAAGGUUACUACUAUUCCAAUUUUCUCCGAAUUAGCAACAGCUGGCGAAUCAGGUUCUGAAGAAUUCUUCAUUUCGACAGUUUCAAUCAUUGGAGAAGAAACCUUACCAAAUAAACUUGAUGAUUCUGAAGCCAUAAUAGUUGGUAAGUUAGCAGCUGGUGACACAGCAAUUGGGCUUGAUUUAGCACCGUGUGCCGAGACUAAUGAACCAUCUGCACCCGGGGAUGAUGUUUUAAUAACAGAAAUAGAUCCAAAAUUAGAAGCGUGCGAAAUGGUGUCUUUUCACGAGCCAACUGUGAAUUUAUAAAUAAUUGAACUUUAUGAGAAUAGAGUAUCCAAGAAAACAGAAUAUUGCCCUUUCUUAUCAUGCUAGCAACUGUGAAUGCAUAAAGAUUUUAUGAGAACUAGAGCAUCCAAGAAAACAGAAUAUUUUCCCUUCUUAUCAUGAUAUUUAAAGCACAAAACACGGAAUAUUUUUCCUUCUUAUCAUGCUAUUUAAAGCACAGAACAAUCCCUUCUUAUCAUGCUAUUUAUAGAACGGAACAAACUCAUAUUGGAUAUAAAUAUAACAUCACCUUGACUUCAUCAGGCAUUAACCUUGUUGUAGUAAUACCUACAGAAAACAAACAAAGCAAUCAGCAUUAUGCACAAGUAACACACAAAAGUACCCACUGUAGAAGAACAAUUGGAAAGAGGCCAAGAAAAUAUAUAAGUUACACACUUUCUUCCCUCAGGACUUGUAAAUUCUCUCUAAUGAGUUGAUGCAUUUGUCCUCUGUCCCAAUGAAAAUAGCAUGAAAGUAGGUCAAGUCAAAAAACAGAACAUAAAUAGUACCCUGAGAGUAGAAAUCAGUCACUUCCAGCAGUACAAUACUUGAUGGAAGUGUUAAAAUAUGAAUGAUAUAAUGUCCCACAUGGAAAAGGACUAGAAUGUACUAUGUAGAAUAUAACUACAAGCAGGGUGGAAACAUUGCCAAGCUGCGGCUGAGCUACAGCUAUCCAAGGGUGAUCUUCUGUCGUUUCUGAGUAUUUUUAAUGAACACCCAUGCUACAAAAAACAAGACUGAGUGUGACAGUAAGGGUGUUCAAAUCCUGCACUAAGGUUCUAAGUUCCAUGCUCAACACAGCCCCCCAUAAUUUUUUUUCCAUUUGGACACGUUUGAAACUCAUAAACUACAGUUAUGCUUUUUUUCGAUGAAUCAAUUUCUGAACAUGUGUUUUUUGUCCCAAUUAGCUCUUGCAAAAGAGCUAGUAACUAGCAUGCCAUGUAUAAGAAUUUUGUUUAAAUAAACUUACAGGUAAAUUUAUAAAGUGGUUAUUAUACUAGCUAUCUUGCAUGGGGCAGAGUGUUUGGCUGGUCAAGAGCUCACAUGUUCGAAAGAUAAACGUAGCAGAAAUGAGGAUGUUGAGAUUGGUGUGUGGGCAUACUAGGAGAGAUAGAAUAAGGAACAGAGAUAUGCGAGAAAAAGUGGUAGUGCUCUUUGUGGUGGACAAUUGACAAGAAUACUAGAGGGUUGGGGAUAAAGAACCUAAAAAUUCAACAUAAGGCUCUCAUGAUGAAAUGGUUGUGGAAAUAUGCAAACAAUAACUAGCUGCUAUGGAGGAAAGUGAUUGGGGCUAAACAUCCUGAAGAAGAUAGAUGGAUGACAAAAGAAGUGACCACACCAUAUGGGAUUAGCCUCUAGAGAUCUAUUAGAUCUAUUAGACACUAGUGGAAUGAAGUUAAAAGCAACUCAAAGGUUAAAGUGAUGGAUGGAAACAAGACUAGGUUCUGGAAGGAUAAUUGACAUGAGGAUGGGAAUACGAAAGUGAUUUUUCCAGAUUCUACAACUUGGUAUUGUUUCGAUAGAGGACUAUAGCAGAAUUAUGGACACCACAUGGGUGGAACUUCAAUUUCAGAAGGCAACUUAAUGACCGGGAGGUAAUGAGAGUAGUUGAAUUGUUUAAUACCGUGGACUUAUUCAAUGGACUGCAGACAGUGAAGGACGUACUAUGGUGGAUGGGAAAUGAAAAACGAAUGUUCACUGUCAACAAAGCCUACAAGAUAAUGAACCAAAUAAAUAAAUCACCUGAAUCCAAGAUGGCCAUGGAAGCAAAUAUGGAAAAGUAGGAUACCUCACACAGUGUCGUGCUUUGUCUUUGUCUGGUUACUGACCAAGGAAGUAGUUCUUACACAAGAUAAGGUCAUGAAGAAAGGGAAAACCUUGUGCUCCAGAUGUUUCCCCUGUGGAGAAACUUUAGAGACGGUUAACCAUGUAUUUCUACAUUGUAAGUACACCCAACAACUUUGGAGAAUCGUCUUAAGACUAAAAGGAAUUUCCAUGACAAUGCCUAGGAAAGUAUCCGAGACUUUAAUGUGCUGGGAGAAGUAGGUAUACAUGCGAAGGACAAAAGUAGAUGGAGAAUUAUCCCUGGUGCUACAUGGUGGGCUAUAUGGAAAGAAAGGAAUUCUAGAUGUUUUGAGAGCAUAGAGAAUAGUGUGUAGAAGGUUAAACUCAACUAUAUUUUGCUUUUAUGUUUUUGGUGUAAUCAACUAUACUCUAAUGAUACUGCCUCGAUAAUUGAUGUUCUAGACUAAAUUUAGAUAUAGAACAGUCGAUUUAGGAGUACUCUUGUAUAUAAAGGUUUCAGUACAACCCAUGUACUGUGUGAUAUAAUACAAAGUUACCAAGUUCAAAAAAAAAAAAGAUAAUAAUUUUUAAAGUACUAAAAGUUUAUAAAAUAACAAAUAAAGCAAUUAAAUCUGAGUUCAAAUUGGGUGGGUUGGGUUAUGACCCGCAUUUUAGAGCAUUUCAAUCCAACCCAUUUCAGUCCAAGUAGCUUUAGGGUGGGUUAAUAACCCACCCAUUUAUUAACUCAGACCUCUUUGAUCCAGCCAACCCCGCCCAUUUGACACCUUUAGUUUAAUAGAAGUAAAGUGGAGCAUGCUAGAACACAUACCAGAUCUAUUGAGUUGAAGUAAAGUGGACUAUCAAAGGACACACAACAAUCUGUUGAGCUGUUGGAUUAGAGGGGAUUAGCAAGAGUUAGAAGAAAUGGGGGAGAACAAUCCUUCCUUAUAUUUGGUGGACUGUAUGGAGCAAGAAAAUUUGAAGGUAUUUUGAAGAUAAAUAUAAUUCAAUUCAGAAAGUUAAAUGGAAUAGCAUUGUAGAUUUUUGUUUUUUGUUUAAGGGACAAUGUGUAUAGGAUACCUAACAGGUAGUAGAUCUCUUCAAAUCCUCGCAUUAUUUUCAUUAUUUUUCAUUUCUUUUGGACUGCUAGCAUAACCUUAACGCUAACUUAUACAAAGUAAUAUCUCCAAAAAAAAACUGUUUAUCUCAAAAAGAAAAGAAUAAAAAUGCUCAAACUUCCUUACAACUCCAGUUGUUGGUUCCUUAAUACUUGUCCCUCACAACCAACCAAACUUUCUUUGAUAACCGUCGUGUUUGGGCCAGCUUGCACCUUGACUAGUUACACCAGGUACUGCUACCUCCCACCAGCACAGAUACUGGGUAACUCUGUCGAUCAAGGCUUGGACAGAUGGUAAGAAAUCACCUAGUGUUUUUAUCUCUGUUGGAAAUUAAACCUGAGACCUCAUGGUUCUCAAUCUACUUCAUUAACCAUUAGGUCACACUCUUGGGUGCAAGUGUGCAACUAGCAAAAUUAUUAUUCUAUAAACUAGAAUGAGAAGUGUGGACCACAAUAUUAUAUCAAGUUUCCUCUCUCCAUAUCGCCAUAGAGUUACAAUAACAUUACAUCAAUCAGGAAGUAAAUAAAAUUAUUUAAAAUAGACCAAAUAUAAUCCUUCCGUGUAUGCUUAAACACAUUUUUUCAGAACAAUAGUGUUAAAUAUAAAAUAUUUUAGAACUAUAUUGGAAAUAAAAGGUCAAUGUAAAUCCCAAAUGAAGCCUACAUAGUAUAGUAAGAUCAAGGAAAUCUGCUCGCUAAACAAACAUUCAACAGAAAUCACAUAUACUUAGGAAAGAAAAAGUGGUUCUACGAAGCUUCAUAGAAAAAGAAUUGUGUACUUCUUUUUUCAUUGAUAAGCACAGGAAACUGGAUAAAACUACCCAUAAAAAUCUCGAUGAAACGAGACCUCACCUCCAUUUCUGUCAUCAGCUCUCAAGGUUUCUCCCAGGUAGAGAUUCUUGUUCUUCUAUUAUAAUAGUAUCUAAAAAUCAAUUAAAGAAUUGUAAGAAUGUUAUUAAUUGGUUGGAGUAAUAAAGCCAUAGGAAAUAUGACAACAUUAGCAACCAUAAUUGGCUUACUGUUCAUCAAAAGAUGCUGAAAGUAGCAAUACCUACUAGCAUUUAGCCACAUGUAAAAUAUGUAUGAUGAUAGAUAAAUAGGGUCAAAAUGAAGUUAUCGGUAGAGGUGUAUCAAGUUCUGCCGAUGAACAGUCAGGUAAAAUUUGGUAGCGGUGAACGGCAGCCCAUAUGAUUACUUUGACAAAGAGGACUGAAACAAAGGGGCCUUUUAUCUCCAGUGCUAAUGGAAGCAGAAUGAUGUACAAAGCACUAGAUGUGGAUACUUGAGGGAUUUCUUGGCAGUGAUGGGGGCCAACAUAUCCACCACUUGUUCAUAGACAAGACAUUAAGUGUUUCUGAUGCAGACAUUAAACUAUUCAUAUAAGUAACCUAUGUGAAUAUAAUCCAAAAGAAAGAAUUACGGAAAGCCAAAUCGGCAUGCUCUUUUUUCUGUCUGGAGAACACAAAGUGGUAAAAAGAUUGGAUCUGAAUGAAAAUGAUAUUUUUACAGAGCUUCUUUUCUUGUGUACCGCGGUUUUACACCUUUUUUGUUCACUGGAAUCUUAAUUUUCUUACUAAAAACUAUCAUAGAAUUCAAAUGUUGACUCUCUCAGUCAACACACACCCAUUAACUUAAGCAUGUUACUUGUUGACAAUAUUUAUGCAAAACGGGUACAAUAAAACACAUUGAAUUCUCACCAGAACAACCAAGGGAGCUGCUAAUUCUCCAGUCUUCUGCACAAUUGUCUCAGAAUUCACAUUAUGAUUACUUAUUGGCAUCCAGGGUUGUACCCCUGAUGGAAACCUAUGAUCAUUUAUCUGUGUCUGAUACUGGAAGCUAGAAGAAUCUGCAUUUACCUGCUGUUAAAGACGAUAACAAAAUGUAUUUCAUCAAUAUAUGAAUGGAACAUCGGAAACCAAUUGACAAUAACCACAAAAGAUCUUCCCAAGGCCUUACAUUAUAUGAAGAAGAAAGAGGUAAAUUUGGGUCACCAGAACCAGGCAUGUGGUUAUUUAACAUCGGAAGAUUUCCCUGAAAAUCAUGGGGAGUAGGUGGUCCCUGAGGCAUACUAUGCAUUCCUACUACAGGUCUACCAGUAACCUGUUGCAUAGGUUGAGGAAAUUGGAUUUGAGAAGGUUGAGACAUCGCAACAUUUGCAUGUCCAAGUGGAAAAAAUUGUUGAGAUGACUCGGAACCAUAAGGUUGUGCCUGCUGGGAUGGAAGCAUAGGCUGGAAUUGCUAAAGAUGUGGGGAAAAUAGUUAUCAUAAUGUCUCUGCAUUCAAAAGUCAUUUAUUCCUCCCCCAAGCCUCCACAACUUUACCUGCAGUGACAUGGAUGGAAUUGCACCAGGAGCAGGACCAGCCAGAGGAGGUAUAAGAGGCUUCUCAACCAAUAUCCAUGCAAGGAAGAACAGAUGAAAUCAGAAUAUAGCUACUUUUCAAUCAUAUUUAGAAAGCUUGAAUCCAUGCGCAACUCCCUAAAUUAAUUUGAAGGACAAGGCAGAAUUUUGAAGCCAAACCACAUAGUAACAUGAAACCCUUUUCUUCAUCUAAUAAAUAGAAAGCUUGAAAUGAGAAUAAAGAGAGAUAACAAAUAGAUGACCUAUCACAGCGUUAGACGAGAAUGGACAAAAUGAUAAGCAUCUUUACCUUAUGGCUUGGGUUCAACAGCUACUGAUGGCCUAAGUAUCUUUUCUUCGGGUGUAAAGAAGCACGUCUGUUAAUGCAAAGCUAUGAUCAUGGAACUGAAACGUGAGGUAUGAGUAGGUAUUAGGAUAACCGAAAAAUACUUAGACCGGAAUAGGUUGAGCCUCACUCUUCCCUUCUAAUGUUCUAUGUCAUACUGACAUCACUACUAGAAUCUGAAAGACUGACUUGGUUAUUCUCUCUGUCAUCUCCCCCUUAGCUUCAAGCCAUCAAAUUAAGUUUGGGAGAUCCCUUACUAGACUCUAAACUAAAGUACACUCACUGCACUCUGGGUCUGGAAAACUAUUAUACACACAUAUCAUGGAACUUAACCUGAAUGAAUACACCUGAAAGUGGAAAACCCACUGUUAAUACUACCUUCUGAGAUACACUUUAUCAUUCUAUAGACCCAGUAGUCAUCAUAUAAUACUUGCAUACUUACUAACUUCAGGUCUUCAUGGGUAUCCCCAUAGUCAGAGUGCACAGCCUCUAGUGCUUUAACUCUUAUUUCUAUUAGUUCAACCUUUAAAAACUCAAACUUAGAAUCUAGCACUCAACAUGGAUAUCACCAAGCCUUUAAUGAAUCAUACCACUUCCGACACAGACUACCAAUAUCGCGACUCCAAACUUGCAUCUCUCUACUAUGAGAAUCAAGAUCAUAUAAAAAGGCUUAACACUAUCAAUCAAAUCUCCUUAACUUGGAUAUUUAGAAAACCAUAUACCAUCUAACUAGUCUUUCUCCACCUAGCAACUCAACGGUACCACUCGUCACACAAAACGUGUAAUAGUCUUAGAAAAUACCGCAACCCCUUACGCAUGAUUCUCACUUGGAUACCAUGAAAUAGACAUCAAGAAACACUAGUACACUAGAACUUCCAAACAACAAAUAAUUGAUCUUGACCUUACGGUCUUCCUUAUCAUAACUCAUUAGCACGUACUAUUUUAACACAUCAAGCCUACUAAUUUUUUCCCACAAAAUAUACAUCAUUACUCUCAUGCCACUAUUUUUAUCACCACAUUCUACAUUAAAUUUAAGCAUAUAGUCCUGUACCAAUCAUCUAUCACUAUUGAAAAAUGCAACAUAAUAUGCUAGUCCAUAAAAUUUGGGACAUACUAUACAAGCGCCUCAAAAAUCACUACUUACCUUCUCACAAGUAAUACUAGUUUACAAUUACCGACGAAAAGAAGGUCAAGGGGUAAAGUUGCAUAAUAGACAUGAUCAACCUUAAUCUUAUAUUAUAACCCCAUACAAUCUUUUCUACUUAUACGGAUUUCUCACCUCAUACUUACUUACCCAAACAUACAUUUAGACUACCUUCAAAUUCCACAAACAACCAUGAGUCUAUACUUACAACUUACUGGCUAAUAUAGCCAUUUUCACACUUUAAGCAAUCGAGAAAUCACCCUAACUAACAACUCCUUCUCUACCUUCUACUAAACUAACACACAAGGACAAAUCACCUCUUUCAAUCUCAUGCAAACUGAUUCAGCUAUAUAUAUAUAUAUAUAUAUAUAUAUUAAACUAACACAAGAACAACAAGUUGGACAACAAGUUGCUAGUGAAUCGAAAUAGGCCUCACACGGCUUCACUAGACUUUACUUUUGUAUUUUUAACAAGAAAAUGAGAUGAAUGACAAGUCAACUAUGCUAGUGAAUCGAAAGAUCCCCACAGGGCAAGAUUAAUACGCAAUAUCCAAUGAACUAAGAAUACACAUCUUACUCUGUAUAAAUAAAAUAGAGUCAAACACUUCCUCCACGGACUACCAUACCAUCCACACAUGCUACUAGUUACCAUAUUAGUCUAUCACCAUAAGGGGGUAAAUCAUUCUCGAACAUCGGUUAUUCAACUAAAAUAUUCAUUUACACAAAAGUCACCCUCGCUCUGACUUCUAACUUUGUGACUUCACAUCACCAACUUCUUGGCCAAAUUUCACUACCAAUAGGUCCUGAUAACAACACUUUAACGCAUACUACUAUUCAGGUGGAAAUAUAGUUCCAACAUUCUACUACACAUCAUCCCCCCUUAAUCAAGACAUUUGUAAUAUAAAUUUGAAGGGGACUAAAUGCAAUUAAUACCUCAAGCCGAAAAGCACGAUUCCACCAGGAUCAAUGUUUACAUCGGAAUCAAUACACAUUAAAGUACUAACGAACUCUUCUCAAGUCCUUGCACAGAUUUUAACUCUUAUAUGGUUCAAUUAGAAAGGAACAUACCAUUUAGAUUCUAAACUUCUGCACUUGAAUCACCUCAAUAAUGAGACAUAUCUGAGGACAUUAGAGUAAGGAAAGAAUUUGGGAUGACUUUUUUUUUACUUUCGUAUGGGCGACACCAUAGCACGAAUUAGAGUAUGAAAGAGGAACAUUCUGACUCUAUUGCAUGAAGUAGAACAUGAAGAAAGAGAGACAUUCCUAAACGCCUAGUAUCCUCCUACUUAUGAGUAUGGCGUGCUACACACCCAUAAAUAAGACUCUACCCGAUGCAAUUUCACAGACACCCUAGGCCCAUGAACUGUGCUUUGAUACCAAGUUUGUCAUGACCUGAACUGGGGCUCUGACCGUGACGAGCAUUCCGAACCAUGAAGGCCCGAAACACCCCUAUCUAUCUGGCAAUCAUGCACAUAAUUCAUAUGAUAAUAAGAUAUGUAGAAGAUACACAAUAUUAUGAAAAACAUGGUCAUAAAUCAAAUGAAAUCAACAAAGGGGAAAUGAUGUCCCACAACAUAUAUCGACAUCUGAACAAUCGUCUAUGAAAUCUCUAAAACAUGACUGAAAUAAAUUACUGUCUGAAAACUGGGACAAGGCCCCCAGUAGACCCAAAACUACUAAAUGAUAAAUGAAUUGACAGACAUCAGGCCUUCCAAAAUAUAGAAGUCUCACCACUUGAUUCUGCAAAUCUGUCGGAAGAGAUCUACUGGUUAUUUGGACCCCUAAACUAUGCCUCCAAACCUGGGAGGGAAAGUGUUCAAUACAAAAGUACUAGUACGCAGAGAAACCAAAAACAAAAUAUAAUGUUUUUUCCAAAUAUAGGUGAGAGCUAUUAUAAAGCAGUUCCAUAUCAAAUCAUUUGAAAACACAUGGGCAUAAGUUAGGGUGUGCGUCGCACACCUUAUGGCAUAAGUUAGGGUGUGCGUCGCACACCUUAUGCUGUACGACAUACUCCACUUUGUAAAGCCAUAACUUCUUCCUCGGGUGUCGGAAUUUCGCAAAAUUGGUAUCGUUGGAAAGAUAAUUUGAAUACCUUUCAUUUGAUAUAUAGUAGGCACUGUAAUUCAAUAUAUACAAAGAUUAAUGGUCGAUUGAAGUUAACCUAAGUUUCAACGUUCACUAAAAUUCGAACGAUAGGAAAACUUUCAACUUGUCCUUGAGCUUGGGGACCUUUAUGAUCUCAAUUCAUGCUAAAAUAGGUUUCUACACUACAUAAUUUAUUAACACACUAAACUUGCAUUGGAUUUAUGGCUUUUGGAACCUUUACGUGAAGAAAAUGACGAUUUUCGUUCUCGUCCGAAAUGCGGGGUGUUACAAAAUUUUGUUAGAAAAUGGAAAAUACAACAAUAUGGAGGACAUUUUAGCUGCACCGUACUCCCAAUAUACACCGUCCUCCUAAUACACUAAACUGAACAUUAAAAGUACUAAUGCAUUUCUUACCUGCACCGUACUCCAAAUACACUAAACUGAACAUUAAAAGUACUAAUGCAUUUCUUACCUGUUGGUGUGUAGCAUUCAAAAGUUUUAUUGUCUUUUGUCGGAAGAUAGCCACAACGACGGUUUCAAGAAUGAAGAUUAAACUUAAAAGAUGCCAUGCUCGCUCUGGAGUUCCUGCUACAUGAUACAACAUGACUCUACAAUGUUGAAGCCACUUUCCUAAUCCUUGGAGUCUAAGUUCUUACGAGAAUGAAAUAUGAUUAGGUAACACAUCCUCAACAUUAUUUGAAUUAGUGACAGGAGGGUUACUGUCGCGAUGUUCUCGAUCAGCGUCCAAACUACUUCUCUGCAACAAGGCUAGAAUCUUUGGGUCUAAUCCAUUCUCCUUCAGCAUCACUGCAAAAUUAGGAUCAAGCCCUUUAUCUUGCAAUAAAUUAGCUAAUUCACGAUCAGUGUGUCUUCCUUUCUGCUUUAAUAUAGAUGUAAUCCUGGGAUCACUCAACUUUUCUUGAAAUGCUAGUGCCAAAUUCAAGUCGAGUAUCUGUUGGUUUGCAGAAGUGGAUUUACUAGAAUCACCACCUUGGCUUUCAAGUCCACUGCUAGAACAAACAACCAAUGAAAUAUUAUGCUCUAAAUUUCUAUCAACAUAUGAGGAUCCUACUUCAGGCUCUUGAACAACUGAACGACAGGAACUACUACGUAGAGCUAGACUUGGUCUUCCACUGUCUAUGCUCUUAUCACUAUUAAUCCCCUCAAUGUUAUUCCAGGUACUGCCAUCACCAGUGCAAGGCAUAGUUGCAUUACCAAGAUGACCAGCAUCAGCACUUCUAAUGCGUUUGACACUUGAGCCACACCCCUCAGAAGAGCUUACGGAGCUAUUUUGGUCUUUUCUGCGGAAACCUUCUCUACGGCGGAUAACUAUACUCUGCAAGGCAUCUUGUUAGCUGCUAAUGGGUCUGUAACUGAUAAAUGCUGUGAAACAGCAGCACCCAACAGCACAGAUGCUACAACUACAUAACUGAUACAACAAAAUUGUUGCAAUAAAAGAUUAGAAUAUUUUUUUUUGAUAACAAAAGAUUAGAAGUUUCUAUUCAACAAAUAAUAUUAAAAGGGAUGCAUAUGCCACAAGUAUAAGAAGAUUUGAUUAUGGAAGAAAAUGAAUUAGCAUAGGUUAACAACAAACCAGUAAUGAACUCCAAAACAGACCAGGAACACCCGAGAUGUUCCGACAACAAUAAGUAUGAUGACUCAGCUUUUCAAAAGCUUAAAACCAUACAAGAAAGCUUCCAAGUUCCAAUCUAAUUGAAUGAAAAGAUAGUGAAUUCAUUACUUACCACAAAGAAAUAAGAAAUUAUUUCACAAUACGAGUCAGAAAAGGAGACAGAUAUAUGUAGGAAAUUAACUACCAAGGAUUAUCAUGGCAGCUGAUGUUGUAGCCCCAAGCCAGUUUGAUUCCUUUGUUGUCAGACCAUACAGGAUCGAAUACACAAGAAGUACUACAAGUGAACCAAUAUAUAGAAGUCCAAGAUUGAGAGCCCUGCAGAGCCCAAGUUCAAAGUGAAGAAGAGUAAAUUAUAGACUUCAGAGAAAAUGUUGAAAAGAUAGUGCAGAAAAUAUGAUGAGCAGUAUAAAUGAGAACCCACUGAACACAUAAUAUAACAAGGUGACUUUAUAAUCUAAAGCAGAAUUUAAAUUAAUUUGCUUAGCAGUGAGAUUUUAAGAUCUACUGUUUUUACUGGACUACUGGAGAGUGUGUUUUGUUCUCUCAGAGUUAGUAUUCCUUUUAUUCAAAUAGAUUUGAGUUACACCCAUUGUUUAGCGUUCUUUGGCUCUUAAUUUUAAAAGUCUGUUAGUUGAGAACAUUUUGGCCUAUCUUCAUAUCUUCCAUAUCUUAUAAAAAAAAUUAUGUUCCAUCCAGAAAAAGAGUUGUCAUAUUAGUCAUCCCUGUCCUUUAUAUAGAGCUCUUCCCAUCUUUGUUCAAAUCCCUAGCCAACAAGAAUGAUGUCCCCUUCAAAAAGUAUUACAUCUUACUCUGUCUUUCUAUUGCCUAUAAACAGUCUAGCACAUCAAUGAUGUCUUCUGCUAGAGCUAAUCAUCAUGUUUACACCAAAAAUAAAGAAGUGCUAAACUAUUCAAGUUGAUCUUCUGGACAUCCUCAAAACAACCCUUGUUUCUUUCUGUCCAAACUGUCCACCAUAUACAUGUUGAACAAUUUUCCAUCUCUCCUCCUUUAUUACAUUUACAUCCCCAUUCAUGCUGCUUAGUACUUUUUUAAUGCCACUAGGUUCUACCCACCUGAUCCCCUUCAGGUUGAAAACAUUCUCUACAGUUGCUCUGUCCGUUUCCAAUGUAAGAAAGAUGGUUGAUUAUGUAAAGAAAGGAUCUUGGGCCUAACUCAACCCUAAAAGCUAGCACAUGAGGGGAGGAUUGCUCAAGUCCAUAUAAUAAGACCGACAGUUAACUCCCCAACAAUGUAGGACUUUCACCUACUCUAACACCACCUUCACGCCCAGGCCCAAUAAGAGCGUGGUACGAGAGCUCAAACGUGGAUGGACCUGUUGUUUGAGAAGGAAUAUUAACUGCUGUUUGUAUGCAAGAGAGAAUAGAUAAGAUGUUUUUACUGAAUACAUUGGGUCUAUCAGCACAUACAGGUUCAUGCAUUAUGCCAUUAGGUUUUGCAGCAGUUCCAAUAUUUUCAGCAGCACCACAAGUUGAAUUUUGAUGCACUGCAGUAAGGAAAGAAAACUUAAACAUUAACUUGAGACAACAACACAAGCUUCUCAAAUGCAGGUUCUAGCAAGAACAAAGAUAACAAGCAAAUAGAAGGCAAUGAAGAUAAGGAUAAGUCUAGAUGAGCUUGGGGACAGGCUCCAAACUGAACACAGUGCUCGUUAUUCUUGUUGUAGAUAAGAUCAGACAACUUAUUAUUUUGACGUUAAGAGUUUCUUGUAGAGGAUGCUGAAUCCAUUUUGCAACUUUGGAGGCCUUGUAAAGCACAGAGAGGCUCAUUUUUGUAAAGAAAAUACUGCCCACAUAGUAUCUAUGCUAUCAUUUUUAAAAAAAUAUGGUGCUUGCUGGUUUUACCAAUAUCUUGUAUGCUUGUACCUUCCAAUGCAACCUCCCGGCGAAAAAACUAACCACCAAUAGGCAUCUUUUAGCAUAGAAGAUUCUAAGACUGUCUUACUAGGAAUUAGGUAAGUACAAGUUCUUGAAGGGAAAUUGUUUGCAUCAUUGAAGAUCAGAAAGCCAGGUAUAUAGGAGAUUAGACAUUUUAAAGAAAAAAUAACAGGUUUAAUAUCAGGAAAGACAUCAAAAACUCUUAUUUACAUAUAAAUGAUGGAUCCCAAAUAACUUCAGAAGUUACACACAAAAGGAAAAUGGUACAGAAACCAAUUCCACCUUCAUAAUAACUAUGUCUGCUUGAUGUAAGCAUAAACAUUAUCAAGAAAGACAUCAAAGACUCUCAUUGACAUAUAAAUAAUGGAACACAAAUAACUUCAGAAGUUACACGCAAAAGGAAAAUGGUACAGAAACCAAUUCCACCUUCAUAAUAAUUGUGUCUGCUUGAUAUAAGUAUAAACAUAAAGAACAUACUGACAUACCAAAAAAUUAUCAAAAUGUUCUACAAUGUAGUGCUAAUUUUUUUUGUUUUUUGAAAUUAAACGCAGUGUAUAGUUUAAAAAUGUGCAAACAACAUUUAAUGUGGCACGUGAAGCAUCAGGUACUGGAAGGAAAAUUUAAAACAUGGUGGAGGCAAAUGAAUCAAAUAUACUAAGACAAAGAAGGCAUUUGAUUGCAGAUCAAAUGGAAGAGUCUGCCAACCGACCAGAUUUAGGAGCAGCUCUGGUCCAUGCACCAUUUUGAGGUAAAUUUAUAUGGUUAAAAAUUUGGAUGUUACUUAAUAUAUGCACAAACUGAACAUGAACUGCCCGGUUAGACAAGUGCUUUUUGUAGCUACCCAGUGACAACCUUAGUGAAAGAAUACAUCAAUGAGAAGUUAACUCAGUAAGCUUAAUGAGCUUUCCCCUGUAAGGAAUGAAAGUGUGGAUGACCCGACAUCAAAUAUACGAUUGUUAUUAUACACACAAUCUCUAUACAAUAGCAACAACAUACCCGAUGUAUAUUCGGGCAGAAUAUAUGGAAACCAUACCUCUACCUCAAAGACGAGAAGAAAACGGUAGCACCAAUCCUCACUAAAUACUUCAUAAGAUAAAAAAACAGCCAAUACUUACAAAACCAAAUGAAGCAAAAGAAGUUCAUUUUCUUGAUCACCAGCAAGUAAAAGAAAUGUUUACAAUUGGAGAUUUAAAAAGGUUGCAAAAGAAAGAAGCAAACUUUCUAUUUAACAAGUGUCAAAGUGGGGAAAGAAUAAGAGUAAAACCAAUAAGUAUACGAGAAGUCUGAACACUAUAGUCAAUGAACAAAAUAUGAAUUGUAGUUUGGAAAUUUAGUAUCCAUCACUCCAACAGAGAAUCAGGACUUGCAAGAAGGUUGAAAGGUUUGCCUAUCGAGUUUUUCAAGAUUGUGAUUUGACCCUUUUUCAUAAGAAAGUCUUCAUCGAGGGUGUCUACCUUUCUUUUCAACAUGUUGAUCUCAUAAUUCAACAACAUGUUCAUCUCACUGUAGCUCUUAACUUCCUCCCACAUGAAAUCCCUCUCCUGAAAUACUUUUGGUAGUAUCGCCUUUACAACGCAAAGUUCCUUCAUGCAUUCUUGCAAAUCAUUGGUGAGCUAGUUGAUAUUUUCAUCCCUUUUUAGCACCUGUGAGAAUCAACCGUAAACCAUGAAAAACAAAAAAGACACAAAGAUCACCAAUAACAUUUCAUCAGAAAUUCAAAACAAACUCAUAGCCUAGAAGUUCAACCAAAUCAUGAAUCCUUUUUAACUAUUAAAAUUCAUAGUAGAUAACUCCUGAGCUUGUCCAAGAAUUAAGUAAGAUGAACGAGCAAAGUUACCAAAACCCCUUCGGGUAACUUUACCACAUCAGAGCAUAAUCAGAUCAAUGGAUUUGACGAUAUCACAAAGUUUAUCAUGUUCUUGGUUGGUUCAAGUGAUGACACAUUAAGGCGAUCAGAAAUUUCACAGAAGACUACCACAUGCCAGCAACUCAUGUAUACAAGUUCAUAAAGAAAUCUGUGAACUUUAGAUGGAACAAAGAUGAACCUAAAAUCAAAUAGAAGUAGAAAGCUAAUGCAGAGAGAGUAACAUGCGAACAGGCUAUCAUAUAUGAAGACAGGGUAUCCAAAGUUGAAAAAUAAAAACUAUUCAGUUGCAACGAGAUAUUAACAUUGCCUGCUUACCUGAAGUUUGAGAUAUUUCAACUUGGGUGUGGCAUAAGAAAGAGCAUCCAGUUUAUUUUGCACUUAACAUUGGAGAAUGUCGUUACCUCUAACUGUUAUGGCUAGAUUAGCCUGAAGUUGCUUUAUGUCCAUCUCCUCGGAAUAGAGCUUCUCCCUUAGCACAGUUGUCAGCAAAGUCUCUGAUUUAAGCCCUUUAACCUUUUCCUGGUAGUUUUCUCAGACAUAAUCUCUAUUGUCUUGAGAUACUCGAUAUUCCACUUGUAACUAAGUGAGAUGCUGCCGUAGAUUUUAAUUCUCCUCUGACACUUGCUCUAUUCUCUUAGACAAAUCUUCAAGGUGUUUCUCCGAAAAUGAUAUCUUGAUUCUAUUAUCUACUUCCUUCUCAUUAAAUGAAGAGACUUCCCUUUGUAGAGACACAUUCUGCUCUGCAAGCUCCCUCGCCCUUUCACGGGUCUAUGUUGUUCAAUUUGGUAUUUCUCAAGUUUUAGAGACCAAUUGUUGGAUCUUCUAUCCAACUUCUUUUCCAAUACUGAUUUUAACUCAUUCUUUUCUGUCUCCAAUCUUCGUGUCCGUGAAUCUAGUUCUGCCUGUAAUAUGCUGGCUUCUUGCUUAGCAGAAGCCCUUUCAGCAACUUGAUUCCAUAGCAUGCUUGAAACUUCAGAAGCCAUUUGUACCUUCUCCUUUGUCAAUCUUGUAAUAGUCCGAAUCAAUAAUGGAACGCUAAGGUCUCUGCCAUGAAGAAACAUUUGUUAUUACUUUGGACAAGCAAAUGCAAAUUAAAACAUCAGUUUAAGUGUGAAAAAGGAAGCUAAAGCAAAAUGAUAUGCAUACCGGCUUGAAUCACGACUAGAUUUCUUAGGAUGAACUUUCUUACUGUGACCAUGGGGAGAUUUGCUCAGAUCCAUGAAAUUCUUUUUUCCUAACCCACUGUCAUAGAAGGAUUCGGAUGAUAAUGAAACACUCCUCCAAGAAGAAACUUCCUUGGACUUUAAUGGUGGUGAAGGGGUCUUGUUUUCAUCAUUAGUUGAUGAUCGAAAAAAGAAGAAGUUGUUCUUCAUCAUCUCUAUGUAUGGAGACUGUACAUGAAUCAAACUAGUGUCCAUGAGAUUUCAAAGGGCAAAGCAAAACACUCAUAAAUAGCCACUCACAAAUCAUUAUCCAUUCAUGAAAAUACUGCAAGCUAACUAAAUACUUAUGAGACAAAGCAAAACAUCUCUCUUUCUACAUGCUUCUUCUUCAACAACAACAUACGUAACCCCUACCUUGGCAAGUAGAAAAUUUGUUUCUCAUAAAUCCUCGGCAAGGAAAGCAAAANNNNNNNNNNNNNNNNNNNNNNNNNNNNNNNNNNNNNNNNNNNNNNNNNNNNNNNNNNNNNAUACAACAAGUAGAAAAGAAAAAUAUAUACUAAUACUACUACCAGAAGAGAUAUGACGUGAAACUAUUUACUAAUAGUCUUCUACUGAAAAUUAAUAAAAUACCCCAUAAACAAAUAGCACAAGAACAAUUCAAAGAACUUAUCAAAUCCUUCUGAUAAAACAAAUAAUCAUGGUAAAUAAUCAAAAAAUAAGAGAAAUUACUGAAUCAAAGAGUUGAAAGAGUAAGAGCCGGCAAAAUGUUGUCAUAAUUUGUACGAUUCUUGUCAUUUUUUCUUGAAAUGUAAAAAUAGCAAAAGACUAGAAUUCUGUGUCUUUCAUUCAUCAUCGUACAAUGCAUAUAUACAACUAACAAGGAUCUGUAAAUUUCAAGUAAUAUUUACAAGGAUCUGUAAAAUUCAAGUAAAUAUUUACAAGGAUCUGUAUAUGGCAAGUGAAUAUUUACAAGGAUCCAGAAAUAUGGCAAGUGAAUAUUUAUAUACUCAUAAUGAAAAACUUAAGAAAUACCUAUGAGAGAGAGAAGAAAAGUGUAACAAAUAUUUUGUGUUAUUCAAUAGCUAUAAAUAGCCAUAUGAGAUCAAAUUUUCCAUAUAAUAGAAAUAAAAUUAAAACUAUAAAUUAAAUUUUUCAAAUUAGCACACAAAUUAACUUAAAUUAUGAAAUUUAAGAUAUUUAUUUUUUCAAAAUUUAACUUUUUCAUAUAAACAUCACUGAAUUGAUAUAAACAAUAUUUUGAAAUGUGAUAAAUUAAUUAAAUAACCCAAAAAUAUUGUAAUAUUGUAUUUNNNNNNNNNNNNNNNNNNNNNNNNNNNNNNNNNNNNNNNNNNNNNNNNNNNNNNNNNNNNNNNNNNNNNNNNNNNNNNNNACUUACCAUUUAAAAAUUGUUUCAUUUGAAUUAAUAAGAUCAUAGUAGAUUGUACAAAAUCAGUUAAUAAAUGAUAUAUAUUUCAAUUAAAUAAAUAAAGUACAAUAUAAUUGUAAUAAGAAUACACAAUCAACUAAUUAAUUUCACUUAAUUAGAUUAAAUUUUAUGAUCAUAAUAUAUAGACUAAAGUUCCUUAAAUUUAAUGUUGUAAAUUUCAAAAUAUAUUUAUGGCUNNNNNNNNNNNNNNNNNNNNNNNNNNNNNNNNNNNNNNNNNNNNNNNNNNNNNNNNNNNNNNNNNNNNNNNNNNNNNNNNNNNNNNNNNNNNNNNNNNNNNNNNNNNNNNNNNNNNNNNNNNNNNNNNNNNNNNNNNNNNNNNNNNNNNNNNNNNNNNNNNNNNNNNNNNNNNNNNNNNNNNNNNNNNNNNNNNNNNNNNNNNNNNNNNNNNNNNNNNNNNNNNNNNNNNNNNNNNNNNNNNNNNNNNNNNNNNNNNNNNNNNNNNNNNNNNNNNNNNNNNNNNNNNNNNNNNNNNNNNNNNNNNNNNNNNNNNNNNNNNNNNNNNNNNNNNNNNNNNNNNNNNNNNNNNNNNNNNNNNNNNNNNNNNNNNNNNNNNNNNNNNNNNNNNNNNNNNNNNNNNNNNNNNNNNNNNNNNNNNNNNNNNNNNNNNNNNNNNNNNNNNNNNNNNNNNNNNNNNNNNNNNNNNNNNNNNNNNNNNNNNNNNNNNNNNNNNNNNNNNNNNNNNNNNNNNNNNNNNNNNNNNNNNNNNNNNNNNNNNNNNNNNNNNNNNNNNNNNNNNNNNNNNNNNNNNNNNNNNNNNNNNNNNNNNNNNNNNNNNNNNNNNNNNNNNNNNNNNNNNNNNNNNNNNNNNNNNNNNNNNNNNNNNNNNNNNNNNNNNNNNNNNNNNNNNNNNNNNNNNNNNNNNNNNNNNNNNNNNNNNNNNNNNNNNNNNNNNNNNNNNNNNNNNNNNNNNNNNNNNNNNNNNNNNNNNNNNNNNNNNNNNNNNNNNNNNNNNNNNNNNNNNNNNNNNNNNNNNNNNNNNNNNNNNNNNNNNNNNNNNNNNNNNNNNNNNNNNNNNNNNNNNNNNNNNNNNNNNNNNNNNNNNNNNNNNNNNNNNNNNNNNNNNNNNNNNNNNNNNNNNNNNNNNNNNNNNNNNNNNNNNNNNNNNNNNNNNNNNNNNNNNNNNNNNNNNNNNNNNNNNNNNNNNNNNUAUUUAUUUACCAUAAAUCUGUCCUAAUUUUAUAUCUUGAUUGUAGUUAAUUAAUCUACAAUUACAUAAAGGUCUCAAAUAUGAAAACAAUUGAUAUUAAUUACCUUUAUAAUUUUGGCAAUUCAAUCCCAUGAAUUUCUCAUGUUUUUUAUAGAUUGAUUAUAUUAAAUUUAUUUCAAUUACCUUUUUAAUUUUGGUAAGAAUUUAAAAAAGGUAACGAUUAUUUUUUUUCCUAAUUACUGAUUUAUUUCUCAAAAAGUUCUUAUAAAUUCAUAAUUUGAUUAUAGUCAAUUGAUUAUUUAAUUAUCUUUAUAAUUUGCUAAAAGCUCAAAUAAGGUAACAAUUAUUUUUUUCUAAAUUAUGGAUUUUCUUAUAUUCAAUCUUUUAUUGUUUUACUAUAAUAGUUCAAAUUUAAUUGUUUUGAGGGAUGACAACUUUUUGUGUCUAAAUCUUUUUUAAUACAUAGGAAAUGCUAAAGGCAUACAAUAAUCUCCUUUCUUUUUAUAAUCCAAACUUACCAUUUACAAAUUAUUUCAUUUGAAUUAAUAAGAUCAUAGUAGCUUGUACAAAAUCAAUUAAUUAAUUAUAUGUAUUUUGAUAUAAAAAAAAAUGAUGUACGACAUAAUUGUAAUAAAAUUACACAAUCAACGAAUUAAUUUCAAUUAAUUAGAAUCAAUUUUAUAAUCAUAAUAUAUAGACUCAAGUUCCUUANNNNNNNNNNNNNNNNNNNNNNNNNNNNNNNNNNNNNNNNNNNNNNNNNNNNNNNNNNNNNNNNNNNNNNNNNNNNNNNNNNNNNNNNNNNNNNNNNNNNNNNNNNNNNNNNNNNNNNNNNNNNNNNNNNNNNNNNNNNNNNNNNNNNNNNNNNNNNNNNNNNNNNNNNNNNNNNNNNNNNNNNNNNNNNNNNNNNNNNNNNNNNNNNNNNNNNNNNNNNNNNNNNNNNNNNNNNNNNNNNNNNNNNNNNNNNNNNNNNNNNNNNNNNNNNNNNNNNNNNNNNNNNNNNNNNNNNNNNNNNNNNNNNNNNNNNNNNNNNNNNNNNNNNNNNNNNNNNNNNNNNNNNNNNNNNNNNNNNNNNNNNNNNNNNNNNNNNNNNNNNNNNNNNNNNNNNNNNNNNNNNNNNNNNCAUGAAUUUCACAUAUUCUUAUAGUUUGGUUAUAUCAAAUUUAUAUUAAUUACCUUUAUAAUUUUGGGAAGAAUUUUAAAAAGGUAACAAUUAGUUUUUUUUUCCAAUUACUGAUUUAUUUCUCAAAAAUUUCUUAUCAAUUUACAAUUUGAUCAUUUAAUUAUCUUUACAAUUAGCUAAAAGCUCAAAUAAGGUGACAAUUAUUUCUUUUCUUAGUUACGGAUUUUCUUAUAUUCAAUCUUUCAUUGUUUCACUAAAAUAGUUCAAAUUUAAUUGUUUUGAGGCAUGACAUCUUUUUGUCUAUAAAUCUUUUUUAAUACAUAAGAAAUGCUAAAGUCAUACAAUAAUCACCUUUAUUUUUAUAAUCCAAACUUAUCAUUUAAAAAUCAUUUCAUUUGAAUUAAUAAAAUCAUAGUAUAUUGCACAAAAUCAAUAAAUUAAUUAUAUGUAUUUUUAUUAAAUAAAUUAUAUACGAAAUUGUUGUGAUAAAACUAUACAAUCAAGUAAUUAAUUUCAAUUAAUUAGAAUCAAUUUUAUGAUCAUAAUAUAUAGACUCAAGUUCCUUAAAUUUAAUGUUGUAUGUAAAUUUUAAAAUAUAUUUAUAGCUAAAGUAAUAGUCAACGUUCGUUGUUUUUUUUACCAAUAUAUGCAUAUCAAUUACGAAUCUUUCCAUAUAUUUUAUUAUUAAAGUAGUUGUCAAUAUUAACUAAUUUCUAGUUCAAUUUAAUCUAAUUAAUUUGAUAGCAAUAAAAUUAUUAUUAAUAUUAUAUAUUUAUUUACCAUAAGUCUGUCCUAAUUUUGUAGCUUGAUUAUAUUUAAUUAAUCUACAAUUGUAUAAAGGGCUCAAAUAUGAAAAUAAUUGAUAUUAAUUACCUUCAUAAUUUUGGAAAUUCAAUCCCAUGAAUAUCUCAUUUUUUUAUAGAUUGAUUACAUUAAAUUGAUAUCAAUUACCUUUUCAAUUUUGGAAAGAAUUUUAAAAAGGUAACAAUUAUUUAUUUUCCUAAUUACUAAUUUAUUUUUCAAAUAUUUCUUAUAAAUUUAUAAUUUAAUUAUAGUCAAUUAAUUAUUAUUAUCUUUAUAAUUUGCUAAAAACUCAAAUAAGGUAACAAUUAUUUUUUUCCUAAUUACGGAUUUUCUUAUAUUCAUUCAUUUAUUUGUUUACAAAAAUAGGUCAAACUUAAUUAUUUUGAGGGAUGACACCUUUUUUUAAUAUUUUUUAUUCAAAAUGAUUGCAAUAUUUUCUAUAUAAAUUGAUCCGUUACUAUUUAUUAAUUGGUUAUUCUCUUAAAUAAUUUUUUCUUGUAAUAUUUCUUUUAAUCAAUUGUAAUGAAAUAAUUCAUAUUUAUUUUCUUAUAAUACUAUCAUUAAAAACAUAUGAAAUGUAAUUUAUUAAAUUCUUAGUUUUAGGCUAGACUAUCCUCCUUUAUUAUAUAGAUAGAUAAUUUCAACAAAAUUAAUUAGAGUAUUUUCUUAUAAAAAUAAUAUAAAAUUUUAUUUUAUAAAAAUAAUAUAAAAUAUGGUAUAUUAAUAAUAUUUGCAUUAAUUAUGUUUCUAUUUUCUUACAUAUUAUUUGAUUCUACGCAUUAAAAAUAACAUUGAAUCAAUGGUGAAAGUGGAGGGACUUCUUUCUUUAUUGGGGUUUUUCUUUUUGGGAAAGCUGACACUUUCUUGACUACCAACCACCCAACACAAAGCUGACACUUCUUGGUAGAUUGGCUAUUUUUUCAUACGGUACUAAUUUAUAUGCAUUUUCUUUGAUAUUUGUUAUAUUGUUAGUUUUAUUUUGCGUAUCGUAUUAGUUUAUAUGCAUUUAUUUUUUAUGUUUGGUAUGUUAUUAUGAUCCUAAGCUAGGAGUCUAUCGGAAACAUCCUCUCUACUUCACCUGAGUACUGAUAUGAUCUACAUAUACUAACCUCCCCAGACCCCACUAUCUGGAAAUACACUGAUUUUUGUUAUUGCUGUUGUUGUUUCUUAUACAGUAUUUGAUUCAAAGUAUUAAAAAUAACACGAAUUACAUAAUUUUUUUUUACAUAAUACCCCAACUUUAAGCAUGUUAAUGCAUGCAUUAGAUCCAUUGUAUUACUAAUGUCAUAAAUUUUGAAGUAUUAGUAAUACACGCCUCAAUACACAAUAGAGUAUAUUACUAAUUUUUGCAUUAGUUAUACAUAAGAUAAAAAGAUAUAUAUCAAACAAGGGACUACUAAUACACAUUAAAUUAAUGGAUGCAUUAAUUUUUACGUAAUACAUUCCAUGCUUUAUCACAGAUUUGAUUCCUUGUCUUAAGCUGGGAGUCUAUCGGAAAUAGCCUUUCUACUUCUUCGGAGGUAGUGAUAUGAACUACGUACAUCUUACCCUCUUUAGACCCCACUAUGUGGAAAUACACUGAAUUUAUUGUUGUUGUUGUUAUUAAUUUUUGAAUACACUCUAUCAAAAGACUCUAUGCUUCUCAUUUAAUUAUACCUUUAGCUCCUUUUUAAUUAUGAUAAUUGCUCUCUGACUCCACCUUGCUUUUUAAAAAUAUAAAUAAAUAGCAAUGAAUUUAAUUUUGCUCAUUACUCUACUAAUUGUAGUAAUGUUAGGUGAAUUCAUCAACUUAAAAUUAGAGUACAUUCACUCAAGCUACAUGUUAUAGAUAUAGUUCAAAAAAGGAAUUAUACGUUUGACAUAAUACAUAAAUGUGUUUUCAACUUGACAUCAUUAGCAAAUAUUUAUAUAUUUUAAUUUUGAAUGUUGCACAAAUAAAUACUUCGACUAUCAUAUAAAGUUAAAAUAAAUAUAUAUAUAUGUGAGUCUUGUAUCGCAAUUUGUCAUGCAAAAUGUGUGCAUCUCAUACAAUUUGUCAAGUAAUUAAAGCGUUUGUGUCUAGGGGAGUGCAUCGGUCGGUUCGGUUGGGUUUUACAUAUUAUCAUUAGAUUUAUCGAUUUUCGGUUUUUAAAUAUGCUAAACCAAUAACCAAACCAAUAAAAUAUUUUUUUUUGGUUCUUAGUCCUUAACGAUUUGGUUUUGGGUUUAACCGAUAAGAAAAUACUCAUAAAAUAGAAAUAGUAGUAACUAACAUGUAAAAAAUGAAUCUUAGUUGCAACAAAAAUCCUACAUGAAGUGUUUGAAUUUACAAAAAUCUUCAAGUUUGAACUAAAUGUUGUUAGGAGAAAUUCAGAGUUUAUAUAAUUGAAAUAACAGGUUUGUUAAUUUGUAGAAAUAAAAUAUAAAUAUAUAAUAAUUCAUAUUAUAUAUGUAUAUGCAUAUGUUUUGAAAAGGUGUUAAUUUGAGAGCAUGAAUUAUAUGGAAUCCCUCUCUUGAUGUGAAUUUGUUUUAAAUGUUCAUAUGAUGUAAAUUGUUUGAAAACAUCUUGAAAAGCAUGACAUGAAAUGUUUUGAGAAUUUAUAUGAUUUUGACUUGAAAACUAGAGGGCUAUUUGUGUUGAAACAUGUUGAAUACAAUGGUUGAAUGAGAAGAAUGAUGUGAUAUUGAUGGCUUGGAAGUCGGUUAUGAUGAUACCCUACAGAAUAUGAUUUGUGAUUAAAUCGGAUGAAAUUUGAAUGCAUUGAUUUUACAUGAGAUAGGUGGAUAUCCGAAGAAGGCAUUUGAGUAUAAGGGCUCAUCGCUAGAAAUCGUGUUUGCCGACAUGGGAAUUUGGUACCCUGCUUUGUGAUCUUGCGUACCUGACUUUAUGUCAUUCCCAAUUUGGGACUAUGGUUAGGAGCCCUGCUUUGUGAUCUUGUGCACUACCAUUGGGUCGAGAUAUCCUGUUGUGUGAUCUUGUGUGUCUUCCCCUCACUUAUACUCUAAUCUUGGCGGCAACCGAGGUUUGACAGUUGGUGUAAAUAUGAUAUGUAGGGUAUUCCACCUAGCUCAGCAGGAUUAUAUUGUUGUUGAAAACAAUUAUAUUAUGCCCAUGUGUUUUCAAAUGAUUUGAUAUGAAACUGCUUUAUAAUGGCUCUCAACUAUAUUUUGUAAAACUAUUAUGUUUUGUUUUGAUAUCUCUGCGUACCAGUACUUCUGAAUUGAACCCCUUUCCUCCCGGGUACAAAGGCACAGUCUAGGGGUCCAGAAAAUCAGUAGAUUCCUCAAACAGAUUUACAGAGUCACUUGGUGAGCCUUCUAUUUUUUGGAAGGCCUGAUAUUUGGAUCUACUGGAGGCCUUGUCCCAGUUUUCAAAUAGAUAUUUAUUUCAGUCAUGUAGUAGAGAUUUCACAAACGUUAUAGAGAUGUUGUGUUGAGAUUGUGGGACAUUAUUCCCCGUUAUUGAUUCAUAUGAUUCUUGACCAUGUUUCCAUAAUAUUGUUUGUCUUCCAUAUUUCUUUUAUCAUAUGAGUUAUGUGCAUGAUUAUCAGACAAAUAGGGGUGUUUCGGGCCUUUAUGGUUCGGAAUGCUCGUCACGGACAGGGCCCCAAUUUGGGUCGUGACAAACUUGGUAUCAGAGCAAGGUUCAUGGUCCCAGGGUGUCUACAAAAUCAUAUCGGGUAGAGUCUUAUUUAUGGGUGUGUAGCGUGCCACACUUAUAAGUAGGAGGCUCCUAAGCAUUUAGGAAUGUCUCUCUUUCUUCAUGUUCCAGUUCGUGCAAUAGAGUCAAAAUGUUCCUCUUUCAUACUGUCAUUCAUGCUAUGGUGUCGCUCAUAUGAAGGUAAAGUCAUACCAAAUUCUUUCCUUACUCUGAUGUUCUCAGACAUGUCCCAUUAUUGGGGUGAUUCAAGUGCAAAAAGUUUAGAAUCUACAUGAUAUAGUCUUUUUCGAUUGUGUCAUAUAAGAAAAAAAAUUGUGCAAAGACUCGAGAGGAGUCUGUUGGUGCUUCAAUAUGUGUUGAUUCUGAUAUAAACAUUGAUCCUGAUGGAAUCGUGCUUUCUAGCUUAUGGUAUUAAGUGCAUCUAGUCCCUCCCAAAAUUCUUGAUACAGAUGUGGACGGUGUAUAGCAGAAUGUUGGAACUAUAUUUCCACCCAAAUAGUAGCAUAAGUUAAAGUGUUGUUGUCAUGACCUAUUGGUAAUGAAAUUAGACCAAGAAUUUAGUGAUGUGAAGUCACAAAGUUAGAAGUCAGAGUGAGGGUGAUUUUUGGUGUAAAUGAAUAUUUCAGUUGAAUAACCAAUAUUUGAGGAUGAUUUACCCCUUUAUAGUGAUAAACUAACGUGGUAGCUAGUAGCACGUGUGGAUGGUAUGGUAGUCCAUGGGGAAGUAUUUUACUCAAAUUUUAAUUUAUAAAGAGUAAGAUGUGUAUUCUUAGACCAUUAAAUAUUGUGUCAAUUUCCUAUCUCUUGUAAUAUGUAAUCUUGUUAUCAUGGUAUUUUUGAAAUAAAUUUUAAAGUCUAGUGAAGCCGUGUGGGGCUCUUUCGAUUCACUAGCAUAGUUGCCUUGUCAUCCAUCUCAUUUUCUUGUUCAAAAUACCAAACCAAAGUCUAGUGAAGCCGUGUGAGGCCUAUUUCAAUUCACUAGCAACUUGUUGUCCAACUUGUUGUUCUUUUGUUGGUUUAAUAUAUGUAUGGCUGAAUCUGUUUGCAUGAGAUGGAGUUGGUAAAGAGGUGAUUCAUCCUUGUGAGUUAGUUUAGUAUAAGGUAGAGAAGGAGUUGUUAGUCAGGGUGAUUUGUUGGUUUCUUGAAUGUGAAAAAUGGCUAUAUUAGCGAGUAAGUUAUGAUCAUAGACUCAUGGUUGUUUGAGGAAUUUGAAGGCAGUCUAAAUGUAUGCUUGAGAAAGUAAGUAUGAGGUCAGAAAUCCGCAUAAGUAGAUAAGAUCUUAUGGGGUUAUAAUAUCAGUUAAGGUUGAUCAUGUCUAUUAUGUGACCUUACUCCUUGACUUUUUUCGUUGGUAGUUGUAAACUAGUACUACUUAUGAGAAGGUAUGUAGCAAAUUAUGAGGUAUUUGGAUAGUACUAUAUGACUGGCAGAGACUUUUCAAAGAUUUGCAGGAGUUCUCGAAACUAUUUUCUAAAAAAUUAAGAGUACUUUGAAAAAAAUCUAUAUAAAUCUUUUACUUAGUGAUUGCCUAGACAUCAAUUAGGAUGGGGAGUCAGGGGUGGAAGUCCCAACAUGAUGAAAUACCUAAAAGAUGGCAAGGGCAAAUCAAGGAUCGUAGGAGGUCAACACGGAGUAGUUUCUUUCAAACUAAUCAUUUUUUGUGGCUGCAGGGAUUGAUACACAAAAUGAGCGUUUCUUUCGAAAAAUCCCCAAGCAAGUCGGGAGCCAUGACAGAGCAUAUAAGGCUUAGUAACGGUACCUUUGGUAGCCCAAAAACCGGCUCAACACCCAUUUAUUGACGACCUUUCGAAUUGUCCAUCUCAUUUCUUGAGACCAUGGAGGACAAACAAAGUGUCUUGUCUUUUUUACAAAUAUUGUAUUUAGAAUUUUUCUAAAAAAAAAAAUAGUCGCUAGCAAAAGCGACUUUGUGUCUACUAAUCGUCUACCUUGAGUACGGGUACAUGCAGAAAGCAAGACCCUGACAAAUGAUUUCAGGAGAAACUAUUUUUAAUUUAUCGGAAGAACCAUUGCAUGUCAUUGCCAAGAGGGCCAUUACAUAUCAUCGUCAUUCAAUAUCUGUUGGCGUGCUAGACACAAUGCUAGCAUCGAGGAUAUCAUUAGCAUUCAAUAUAUCCAUUGACAUGCAAGACACAACACUGGCGUCGAGGAUAUCAUCAUCAUAUAAUAUCUAUUAACGCGCUAGACACAACGCAGGCAUUGAGGAUAUCAUCAACAUUCAAUAUAUCUGUUGACACGCAAGACACAAUGCUAGCGUCGAGAAUAUUAUCAUCAUUCAAUAUCUAUUGACGAUCUAGAUACAACGCUGGCGUCGAGGAUAUUAUCAGCAUUCAAUAUAUCUGUUGACACGCAAGACACAAUGCUGGCGUCGAAGAUAUCAUCAUCAUUCAAUAUAUGUUGACGCGCUAGACACAACGCUAGCGUCGAGGAUAUCAUCAUUAAUAUAUAACUAUUGACACGUAAGACACAACACUGGCAUUGAGGAUACCAUCAUGAUGCAAUAGCUGUUGACAUGCAAGACAUAACUCUGGCGUCGAGGCUAUCAUCAUCAUGCAAUAUUUGUUGACGCGGAAGACACAAUGCUAGUGUCGAGGAUAUCAUCAGCAUUCAAUAUAUCUGUUGACACGUAAGACACAACACUGGCAUCGAGGAUAUCAUCAUCAUUCAAUAUAUCUGUUGAUACGUAAGACACAACGUUGGCGUCGAGGAUAUCAUCAUCAUUUUAUUUCUGUUGACAUGCAAGACAUAAACACUAGCGUCGAGGAUAUCUUAUCAUUUUAUGAAUCAGCAUCCGAAUGCAUCAAGAGCACAUGAUUUGAAGGGACGCCUUUAAGUCGCUAUCUAAGGAUGAAUGAUAUAUAAGAUUUCCUAGAAAUUUACAAUUUGAGGGUCAUCUAUAAGUUAUAUUAUUUGAAAUAUGAUAGUGUACAAGAUCACCUAUGAGUUGAUAGCCGGUAGGUCAUCCGUAAGCCACAACAAAAUUCUAACCGGAUAGUGUGCAAGAUCGCCCAAAAAUUGAUAGUUCAAAGGUUAUCCAUAAGUCGCAACUAAAUCCUUACCAGAGAAUAUGCAAGAUUAUCAAAUGGAUACAUCCAAGGGUUCUCUAUAAGCCGUGUCAUAUCCAAGUUCGAUUAUAUGCAGGAUUACCCAAAGACUAACAAUUUGAGGGAUUAUCUAUAAGUCAUAUUAUAUCCUAGGUCGGAUGAUGUGCAGGAACACCUGAAAUCUAGCGAUUGGAGGGAUAUAUGUAAGCCAUCUCUUAUUUAAAGUCGGACAAUGUGCAGGAUUACCUAAAAGCUAGAAAUCAAAAGGAUAUCUGUAAGUCGCCUCGUAUCCAACAUCAAAUAAUGUGUAAGAUUAUCUAAAGAUUGAUAAUUUAAAGGAAAUUUAUAAAUCGAUCAUCGGCUAUAACUGGAGAGGUUAUCAUUCCACAUGCAACAAAUGAUAUAGGUACCCAAAGGGUUGCCACACCAGCACGCCAUUGUCCAAAAGGGCCACCCACUUUGAAGACAUAUUCAACCGACAAAUGUCAUAAUUAUACAACAACCAAGAGGGUUGUUGUGUUUGGUAUUGUCGGUUAUUUCAUUCCAAACAGGUACAUGAAGAGAUGACUCCACUUUUCAGGCCACAACUCACGUGGAGAUAUGGUAAAAGACUGCAUGCCUCUUUCGUGAAUUAUGUUUAGCACUAAAAAUUUUUGCUUGAAGCAUUGUCGAGGGCAUCCGUGAGGAUGAAAAUCUUAAAUCAAAACCACAGGUACGGAUGACUUCAAAUAGGAUGCAAUACCCGAAUCCAACCCGUUUUCUUUUUCCUCGUUAUGAUCACGCACGUUCCACAUGAAUCCAUACGAGAAGAUGCUAAGAAUAUUCUAGAAACACACUUAGGUGUCUCAUCCAACGUUCAAAUCUCAAAAUUCUCGCAUAGAGGUUUACGAAUUCGUACAUAGGUGGAGUAUUUUCAUUGGCUUGUGAAGAUUAUUCCCUUUCCACCAAUUUCUAUUGGCCACUUUUUGGAAUUCCGUUCAAGAAAAUCAAAAUAGAGGUAUAGUUUGUUAGGGUCCAGAUCUUUUUAAUUUAAAAAAUGAACCCUCAAUCCCCUUCUAUAAGUAGCUCUCUUUAGAGCAAGAAAAAGGGAUUUUUUAGGGGAUUUUGGAAUUUUUUUUCACUGGCAACUCCUUUCCUUUGUGGGUUUUCCUCUUCUUUCUCUUUGGAGUUUGAAAUUUUAGAAGCAAAAGGGGUUCAAAAGUUUUUAUUUGAAAAUUUGGGGUUAGAGAAAAUAUUCAAAAAUUCAGAAAUACACAAAAAAAAGAGGGUUAGAAAGGGGGGCUCUCAGAGGGAAAAAAUAUUCUCUUUACGCCCAAGAAACAUACAUUUUUAGGAGGUGCGUCUGAACUGUCGAAGCAGUUGUGAGUUUUUCGGUGGUUGGAAUCCUAUCGUCAGCUCGUUAUACCAUUUUGCUGCCCCGAAAGAGGUAAAUACACCUUUCUUUUUAAUUUUGUUGUGGUUAUCAUUUUCUUCUUCGUGGUUCCACUUCUGUUUGCUGGGAAUGACUGCUGUAGAGGCCUGAAAGGCAUAGGAUUUUCAUUUUUGAUAUAUUGUUCUACUAAAAAACUCAUUCUUGAUCAUGUUUGAUUGGUUGUCGUUCAUUCUUAAUCUCUCUCAUUUUAUUCUGUCUGAAUGUUACUAGUUAGCUUUAAUGCUUCAACUUUAGAAACUAUUUUACUGGUCUCAUAUUUGUUGUUGCUUUGUAGUUCAUAGAGUAGGAGAGUAACAUAUUUACGUAUUUUCGAAAUUCGAAAAAAUGUUCAAAGAAUAGAUAUUAGGCAGCCUGUUUGCAUAUCUUUUUCGCUCAGACGUAGGAAAUUGUUAUAAAUAAGAACUCCAAUGUUAUUUUCUACCGACUUGCCACUCUCGAUGUACGAUAGUCUCAUUUGAUUCUAAAGUUUAUUUUAAAAUAUGAGAGUGGACCAUAGGUCUGAAUUAUGUUUUCUUCAUGGCUAAUUCAAUUUGCUGUAAUUGACUCAUGAGAACAAAUUAAAGUUUGACGGGCUAAUGUUUCUUUCCUUUCUUGCUUUUCUUGUUCGGAUAUAAGCUGUGGCAUCUUGUCUUAUGAUUAAAUUACCUAAAAUUAGGUUUAUGUAGUGUUAGAAUCUCAUUUGUUUGUUAACCCAGUGGUAACGAAGGUAUUAAGAUUUCAGCCUUGCUUUUCUUGAAGUUUCAGCUAUCGUAUUCCUUGCCUAAAGUGAUUAAGUCUUUAAUUUUGUAUGUUUGGCAUUCUGGAAUUUGAAAGUUGCUUGUGAUCUAUCGUUUAUGUAGUAUGAUCUAGGAUUUGUAACUCUUUUUUGUGACAUGCUUAAUUGGGUCCUUUUGUGGCAUUAAAGUGAUAAAUUAUUUUCUUUAUUUUGCUAAAGACCAUAAGAAUUUCUUGUUGAAGCUUUAUUUCCUCCUGUAGUUGAAAUUUCUUUAAUUGAUUAUUAACAUUUUCUUCAAACAUAAUAGACUUUUUAUCCUAUGGCAUUUUUACCUGUGUAUGAGUGUAUUUGAAUGAAGAAGGAAUGCUAUAGCUUAUUAUAUGUUAAAAUCUUGGACGUAUGUUAAUUUCUUCAUUCCUUUCUUUACAUGUUCAUUCCUUUCUUUACAUGCACCCCCUUUGGAGUUCAAAUGGACCCCUUCUCUCUUUGCAUUUCAUAAAUGGGCCAAUGAGGCCUAUCCUUCUGAGUUAAACCCAAAAGAAAAUCCAAGAAUCCAUCACAUGGCGUAUGGAUACAAGGAAUCGAAAUAAGAAUGGGUUAAAGUUCAAUCUUUGAAGCGGCAAAGGGGACUUGAAAAUCUCGUUAUUUCUUAUUUAUUGAUUUAUUUAUCCAUUGUUUUCAUUAUUUAUUUAUUUAUUUACUUAUUUAUAUUUUUUUUUAUUUAGUGACUUAUUUAUUUAUUCAUUCGGGCCUCGAAGCCAAAGUUGUAAAUUUAAAACAGGUGGAGCGAGACUCGAGCUGAAAAGGGCUCAAAAACAUAAAAUUAAGACAGGUGAAAGAUGGGUCAAAAACCUAACUAGAUUAGGACAGGAUCGACUGUUUGGGCUUGAAAGCCUAAAUCACUACUUCCCCCCUUUCCCUUUUUUCUAUUUGCUUACUUGUUUUACGUGUGUUUUGCGAACCUAGUAAAAUCCUUAGUCAAGUCGCUAAAAAAAUUGGUUUUGCAUAAACACCAAAAUAUUCCUAAAAUUGCUUUUCUUUUCAAAAAAUACACUUUUUCAAAGUUAAUCAAAAGAUGAUUUUCAAACAGUCCGGAUAACCGCAAGUUAGCGGACAUUUUAGGUGCCUAAUACCUUCCUAAAACGUUAAUAGGAACCGCUUAUCUUGAAUCUCUAACUUAAAACGAUUUUUUUGUUUUGAAUCGUUUGCAGUAACUCUCUAAAGGUUUCUUAUUUCCUUUUCAAAAUUAAGUGGCGACUCUCAAAAAGUCAAAAUUUCCACAAAAAAAUAUCAACCACAAUCACAUCCACACAUCUACUACCCCCACCCGAAAGUAGUAGAAGAAUAAGGGUUUGUAGUAAUUCAAGUACCUUAUCCUCUUGACGCUUGCACUUCUUCUCUUUUAGUUCAUUAACAAAUUUGUUAAAUAUUUCAAGCAGCAAGCCCUCACCACCCAUUAUUCUGUAAAAUAAUAACAGCAAAGAAAUUCACAUUCAAUGUUACGGCAUAAUGAGAAUCAUGAGAUUAUGAAUAAAAAAGUAAAAAUCCAGAGCAUUUCAUUUUAUAGACAAAGAGGCUAGACAAAUUGAAACUAGAGAUUUAGCAGCAUACUUCAUCAGAACCGUGAAACAAUCACAAAUGCCAGCAAUUAAAAAACUAAAACAAUCACAAAUGUCAGAAAUUUAAAAAACUAACUGCUAGAGCUAUUAAACGCCCAGUGUUGGAACAACUAAUAAUUGACAUCAACCAAUUUCUAGAGGGAUAAGUUCAACAUUAAAAAUCACUUAGCAAAAUGGUAAUUCAUGCUAAUACUAUAAAGAAAUAGCCUACCUAAAUGUUGAGGAAUAUAAAACAACAAAUCAUUCAACACAGCUAUUAUUCUAAGGUACAUUCUAGAACUAUGUGAAUUGCUGAGUUUAGAAUAUUGAAGGAGUUGGUCCUUGAAAAUAAUAUCAAUUAUCAUUCUCCAAUAGUCCUUGCAAUCGUGUUACGAAUUCUAGAUCAAUAAAAGCAAAAGAAGCUACUUGCCUAUCUCUGAAGAGGGAUUUCCAGUCCUCCCAUUUCGACGAUGCAGUAAUUUCCUGCAACCAUAGCAAACAAAUAGAUUAUGGUUUAAAGGAAAUAUCAUGGGAUCCCAUCCAUUGCAAUGUGAGAGAUUGUGAACUGUUUUCUAUAUCUUUGAUGCAUGAAGGAGUUCAUAGAACUCAUCUGCUAGACGUUUACGCUUUUUAGCUUCUUUUUCUUCUUUCUCCCUGGCCCUUUCCAGUAACUCCUCAAAGACAAACUAUGCAGAUGAAAUAUGCACAUUCAAUACUCAAUGACUCGACAAGCCCAAACGCGUAGAACAUAAAGUUUAUAAAGGAAGUAUGGAAUAAGAUUCAGUAUAAUCCAUGUAUGUCCUCUUAUUCCUUCGUUUGAAAGGCAAGGGUGAUAUAAUGUAAGACUAUUAUUACCAUCUUUUGGAGUAACUCCUCGCAUUAUAAUAUUUGAUAAAAUGCUUUAAAAUAGUUUUGAGCUAUUGAAAGUAAACUAAAAGCCUUAAGAGACCCAACCGUCUAAGCAUAAUUCUUCGACAAGAUACCCCUUGCAAUUCCCUCUUCCCACAUACAUAGAUUAUACGCCAUGACCAUAAAUAAACUCCAAAAUUGAAAUGAUAUAUGAAGAAUAUCCUCAUUACAAAAAAAGAAAAUGAUCGUUGAUAUCAUCCAUUUAUGCUGUUUAACCACUUUCGCAGAGUAAAACUCUUAUCCACUAACCGUAAAAAUAGAAAACUACAACGCAAAUUGCUUUGAAUUAAGCAACUUAAGAUAUGUGCGGUAGGUGUAAUAUUAAACACCGCCAUCCAGGAAAUAAAAAGUAAGGAAAAUGGUACCAAAACUAAAGAAUUGGAAGAAAAAGAUAACACCAAAUAUUUGAUCAAUGUGGUCCUCGUCUUUAUUCUUGAAGGUUUCAGGCUUACUUGCUAACCGACACACUACUCUUCUAUUAACUCCAUUACUAGAAGAUCCAGAUUUAAUGUGGGAUAGGUUAUGGUUGAUACUAAAGGAAAAUUCCACUAACCACAGUUGACUACCUACGAUUUGCCAAUUUAGCAAUCACAAACUGACCGACUUCCAGUGAAACAUAACAUGGAAGUACUACUAAUGCUUUUGCACUCAAUCCACUCAUCUUAUGCAGGACCUGUCCCAAAGACAAAAAGGGGACAAAUACAUAAAAAUCCAUUUAACGAAUGGGGUACUUCAAUUUUCACAACAUUCAAUUCAACAUAGGUCGAUGUGAAACAGUAUACAGUGCUUAUCCAUAAUUAGACCUUUAAGUUGGUAUCUGACAUUGGUGGAGAGCUAAUAUACUUGGCGAUUGCAACCUUAAAAUCAUCAAGCAUCCAGGCUAAUGUCAAUCCAAUCUGAAAGUAGACAUGGCUCAGCCAAAAUAUUAGGUACUAACCAAAGCACAACAGAGGUUAAAAUGAAGAGUGGUGAUUACCUCGGCCAUCCUAACUGCAUCUUUAAUUUGUGACUUGUCAUCAAGAUACUGAAGCAACAUACAAGUAACACAAAUUCAGAAUGCUUAUCAGUAACAAAAAUAGGAUACCAAAUGGAGCUUUGUCCAUGCAUUUGAGUUACCAUAAAGUCUAUAAAUUACAAGCAGGGUGAUGGGGAUGAAAUUUCUUUCAUGAAUACCAACAUUUCUCCACUUGUUCAAAGUCAUCUACAAUNNNNNNNNNNNNNNNNNNNNNNNNNNNNNNNNNNNNNNNNNNNNNNNNNNNNNNNNNNNNNNNNNNNNNNNNNAAAAAUGGAUAGCAUCUCUGUUAACAGCGCUUUCAUUAUAUUUACUUAAUAAGAAUCAUUUAUGCACACAAACAGUAAUACAAACUUUAAAGAUAGAAGUUGACAUCAUUAUCUGACAAGGGAAAAAGAAAAAAUAUUCAGCAUCUGAGUUUAUGUAUAACUCUCAACAUCCCAUAGCAAGAGCCUAACUCAAGAAAACAUUUCCAAAUCCAAUCAUUGAAUAAGAGUACGAACAGGAUCAUUAUCAUGCUAGGAUACCAGGUAAACUCCCUCUUUCAUCAAGCAAGGAGAUAAAUGCUAAUAAAAUUUGAUCAUUCAACUUCAAUUCUUUUCAGAAAGGGCAGAGGAUGAAACAAUAUAUCGUUUAGUUAGUCGCAAUGGUGUAUUACGGCCAAAAAAAUCAUAGUGAGGGAGAUGCAACUUUAUUUAGAGAAACAGAGAUGCUCUCAGGCACUUUUUCCGAGGCUAAUCUUUUCUAAGCCUUUACUUUCAUUACAUCUCAACUACCUCUUCAGAGGCGAAUUCUGGCACUAAGUUUUUUUAGUCUAAGCUAUAUGGUUGACAACACAAUAUAUUUUGAAUUGGGUUUUAAGUUGCAUGAUAUCAUCCGAAGUGAAAUCAAAACUGGGGUGUGGUACAAAUGGACAAAACAUGGCCAAAACUUGACCAGACAAACUACUUUCAGGUCUCAUUUGUUUGCACUUAUUGGAUUUAUGAACCUGUUCAGACCUCAAACCAUUAAGUGCAUUUGUUUUUAUUAGGAUUUUAGCUCUUAAUAGGUCUGAGUAGGUCUUAAUCAUUCAUAUGUGGAACCAAGUCUAAAUAUCAUUUACAGAUAUUCUUGUGUAGGAUAAAAUUCACCACCACUUUAUCCACAAUCACCUGGCACCACCACCAACCACUUCCACCAUCACAACCAACAUCACUACCAACUACACUACCAGCCGCUACCACACCUACCACUUCCAUUAUUCUAAUUAUAUCCACCUCCAACUAGGGGUGUUCAAGGUUUGGUUUUUAACACAACUUAACCGCGAUACAAACAAAACCGAUUAAAAAAAACUAUAUUUGGUUAGGUUUGGUUUGGAUUUGAAUUUUAAAAGACCGAUACUAAUUUGAUUUGGUUUGGUUUGGUCUUACUCUAAAAUAACCAACAAAAUAACCAAAACGAACCAAUAUACAUAUAUAUUAUAAUUAUUUAUAUGUUUUUCAUAAAUGUAAUCUAAAUAUUUGUUACAUUUUAUAUUUUAAUCAUGAUUUAACUUUAGUCGUAACACAUUCAGUCAUGUGUCUUCAUCUAGUUGACAAUACAUUAUGAGAUUCUAAAUGAAUUUCAUAUUUUGAAUGACAAAUGAUACUAAUUGUGAAAGUAAUAUCUUGUUAUAUAUUGAAAUUUACAGCUGAAAUUUAUUAGACUAUACACAAUCACUAAUUUUAACUUUCUUUUGAACCUUGUUGAGCAAGAAGUUUAUGUGUUCACCUUUUGGGGGUUUAUCAUAUCAUUCUAUUAAAUAUAGUUUUAAAAUAUUUUUUAAAAGCGUUCAUAUGGUGUUAUCAUGGCUUUGCCGAAGUAUAACACUCAGUUGACAUCAUAGUUUCAAGAUUGAGAUACAACACUUGGUUGACAUCUCAUAUGUUAGAUUUGAUUUGUUUUUUAAAAAUUUCAACAUAUAUCAUUAACUAAAGUUAUAAACUAAAAAACCCGAAUCAAACCAAACUAAACCGACAAGAACCAAACCGAUGGUUAUUUUUUUGUUUGGUUUGGUUUGGUUUUAGAAAUUUAAAAACCAAUUAAUUUGGUUUGGUUAUGGUUUUGACCACUAACCGACCCAUAUUGACCCAUGAACACCCCUACCGCCAACGUCGCCACCAUCAACUGCUACCAGUUGAUCCCUGCUACCGACCAACUCAUCUAUCAGAACUACCACUACCACUAAUAACCACCUACACAUCAUCAACUUCCACACAUCACUAACAACCACUAACACAUCAUCAACUUCCACACAUUCUUCGGACACCAUCACCACCACUGUCACCGGCGUCACCACCUCUACCACCAGCAUCCGCUACACUCGCUACAGUAUCUGUACUAACAACCAUUCAACCAUCACAGCUAACAGUGUCUCCAACAACCACCAACACAUCGUCAACCAUCAUGCAUACAGUUUUUCAUCACCACGAUCAACACCUUCAACUACUAACAUUAACCAACUUCACAUCACAACCACCACCACCACUACCAAUCGCCAAUAUUAUGACAGUAACUACAAUUCCAACUAUCUCUACUAUCACAACUAUUAUCACCAACAUUGCUAAUCACUAACAUCAAUUAAUUUAUUACAACCACCACCACCAUUACAAACCAUCUCCACUAUCACUAAUAAACAUAAAUGUUUCCUUUUUUAAUCAAAUAAUAAUUUUAUUGCAUUAAAUUAAAAAAAUUUCUAAUAAAUAAUUAAAUUAUAUUUAGAAAUAAAUAAAUUUUGCAUAUUCAGAUAUUGAGAAACACCCAACCUUAAUCAUUUAGUUUUCAGAUCUAGAGACAAUAUCUUAACCAUUCAGAUGUGCAUUCAAAAUGAUUCAAAUGUCUAAAUAUUAAUAAAAACAAAUGCAGUCUUAGCUGAAACACAAUAGUGUGGUUGUGUGAUACUUUAAAGGAAUCCUCGAAAGUCAAAGAAACUACAUGAAAACAUGGAAGUUUGAUGAUCACUUCUCAGAGUUGUUCUGCUCGAGAAACUAUAACAAUUAAGGUAACAUAACCAUUAACAGCAUUCAACGGAGGAGAAGUCAAUUACAUAUGUCUGUGAAGUAGUAUUUAAUAUAGCUUGGCUAGAUUGAAAGAAUCAUCUAUAUCUAUACUACAUUAAAAGCAUGGAACCCCUAACUUAAAAGUUUACGACAAUAUGAUUCCUAUCAGCAUAAAUACGUACUAUCUAGUAAAAAAAAAGAGGAAACUAAUUGGCAUAAAGAGAAACAACACAGAUGUUUAAUAGGAACAACCGAUCAUUGUUCUUAUCUCAACAAAAUAUGUGUUAUUUAAAAAAAAAAAAAGCAAGCAGAGGGGUAACUCUCAAAUCUCAAUCUCAUGCUUUUAUCCUACCAAGUAUGUUCUAUUCUUUAAUGCACAACAACAACAACAACAACAACAACAAACCCAGUAUAUUCCCACAUAGUAAUGCACUAACUUACUUUUUUACCCAAUGAAUUGAACUUUUUAGUGAGGAUCUAAAUGAUUUUCAGACUUUGUUUAACAUCUGAUUCAUUAAGAUAUAUUAACAGGUUGAAUCUUUUUUUAAAAAAAGCACUUAAUAGGCUGAUAUCUGAACCAUUCAGAUCCAAACCUUCAUUAAGUGAAAGCAAAUGAAAAGGGAUUGUAGUGUAAAGUCUAUAAAUAUGGGUUAGUGUAACAAAUGUAGUUGACACAAUUCAAUACUCCUAUUAGCAACCUAUUUCACCUGUUUCUCCAGCUCAUCCAUAACAUCUGUAAAUAAGUAGUACCUGGAAAAUCUCCAAGCGAUUGAUUUUCUCAAGGCAGGAGCAUCUUUCAUCAGUUUCCAAGCGGUCCUGAACUUUCCACCACUGGCUACUAGCCUGAACAAAAGAAGUCAGCAACAAUGGAACUAUGGAAGUUCUAUCUUCUUGAAAUAGAAAAACAUAAUCUAGGAACUGAUGCUAAGACCACUAGAACAAAUACCUUAAUAAAGUCAAAGGAUUUUAAAAAUUCUAAGUACUCCACUCUAUUGCGCUUCUGCUCCUCCAAUGCCUUCGCAUGCUUCUGGUAAAAUCCAGUACAAAGUAAAAAAAAUAAAAUUUCUCUUUAAAGAAAACAAUAUGGACAAAGAGACUGUAACUACACUUUCAUGAAAGUAACGAAAAACUCUUCCUGUUUUACGAUGGAGAGGGGAGAGGAAGAAGCAUAUCAUAGUUUCAAGUUUCAAGAAAAAUUACAUACAAUACAUGGAAGUCUAUUUAUAUUAGAAUUCAAUGGUGAACAAAUUUAAAUCUUGUACCCUUGAGAAGCCAUUAAAAAUGUAUUCAAAGAACACAAGAUUUUAAGUUGAAUAUCUACAACAUUCCUUCUUUCUACUCUUUAAGCAAAACAAAAAAAGGGAACAAACUAAAAGACAUCCUGCAAAGGAAAGGAAUGGAAUGACUGUUGUUAAUCAAGUGGACCAGUGCCAAACUCAACUUCAAAGUCUAGGUCAGGUGGUGAAGAAUGUCCAAGAUCAUAUAAGGAAACUACAGCACAUACACCUUACUAGUGUGGGAUUCUCAUACAUUAAUCGAACACCAAGACUAGACAUUUGUAGCAUCAGUUAACCUAGGUUGGCUAACAUCUAAUAGUCUAACAUCAAGAUAGAUCUGCCUCUAAUACCAUGUUUAAGAAAUUGGACCUUGUUUCUAUCUCAAAUGAAAGGCUAACUUAAUUUGUGAGGAGCCAAAGACCAUAUAAGGAAACUACAAUCCGCACACUUUGUUUUUAACAUAUAGAAGCUUACAAGAAAGUUCUGCAAAAGAAGCAUCAACUUUUUAUCUUAUUCCUCCACAUAAUCUUCAAAAAGGUCCCCACAGUCUUUAGCUCGCUCAACAGCUUUAAAAUGUUCAUCAUGUUCAAAUAUGGAGAUUGCCUUACUGAAUAAUCAAUAGCAAAUAGUUGGUGGAUCAAAUGGAACUUACAUAAGUAAUGGAUCAACUUCAAGGUACCAAAACACAUACAAACAAUGACCAAUAUUAGAAAACAAGCAACAGACAACUUAACAUUACAAGUGAAAGACAAACCUCCAUCUUGAUGAUGGUGACAGCUCCUUGCAAUCCUGUAAGAUUGAGAACAACGGACAUUGUUAUGAAAAAUACCACUUAUUCUUUUGAACAAGUCAAAUACCAGUCACUAACACAUCAUGAAUAUUAUGAUAAUAUCUUUUUAUUUUUGAAACUGGUAAUGUGAAUAUCAUGAUAUAUCAAAUAUAAGACACCCACAAAAGAAAAUUUCACUUACUUUUAAAAUUACCCUGAAAUCUUCCCGAGCUUUUUUCUGUUUAACACGCCUCUCUUCAGCUUCUAGUUUUCUCUUUUGGCUCAAAUACUGGAACAGACACACGACUUCAAAAUGAUCACUAUAGACCUUAGGUGUGUUUGGUAUGAAGGAAAAUGUUUUCCUAGAAAACAAGUUGGUUUCUUACUUGAUUUCUUAUGUUUAGUUGAUGAAAGGAAAAUAUUUUUUAGAAAAUUUUUUCUAGUGUUUGGUUGGUGAAUAAAAAAAUAUUUUUCAGAAAAUACAUUUGAGAGUUGUAUAAAAAUUUCAACUUAAGAGUGAGAUUGAAAGAGAGUUUUGGAAAAUGUUUUUCCUACUUUUGGAAGGGAAUUCAUUUUCCUUAAAUUUAAGAAAAAUAAGUUGAUUUGGAAAACAUUUUCCAAAAUAUUUAAGUCAACCAAACAUGAAACAAUUCAAUAUCAAACACAAUCUAUCUUUUUGCAAUAUGGUAUGCUGAAACAUUGAGGCAACAAUUAACCAUUCCAAUGCCGACUUGGAGAGAUACCUCAUUAAAAGCUUGCUUCUGCUCACAAAGGGAUUUUACAGCACCAUAUCUCCGGUCAUUAAUUACUGCUCUCAUGGCCUGACUAAUACAAUUCAUGUCAAAUGAUCUCCCUCAAUUGUUUGGUACGCACAAAACACUCAAGUAAUAAACCUGAUUCCACAUGCAAUCAGACCCAAUAUUUGCAGAUUCCAAAAGAGUUUUGAAUGUACUCUUUUCCUCCUAAAUAAAAUCAGAUACUUAAAAUAGAAAUAAGAGAAAUUUCGAGAACAUACAUUAAACGAGACAAAAAGCAAUAAUCAACUAUACCGCUUUGCUCUCAUAAACUAAUGGUCCCAGCUCGACUAUUUUCUCAUCUGAUGGAGUAGUACCUCCGAUUUCAGUUAUUACAACAUCUUUCUUGACAUUCUGCAUGUUAGGCACAACAUCAAUCACAAAGGACAAAAGCAAACCUCAUUGGAAUUUGUAGCAUAUUCUUCACCUGUUAGCAGUUGACUAACAACUACACUACAAAAUUGUUGGAUCAACAUCCAGCAUAACAGCUAUGAAAAGCUUUCUUGGUGUUUUAACCAGUAACCAGUAGUAAUUAACUAAUUGCAUAAGUAUUUCAGAAGGACAAAGUACCUCUCUAUUCUUCGAAGAAAAUCCAUCACCAUACACUACUGUAACUUGAGUUGUAGUAGUCUCAAAACUACAGAAAAAUUGAAUUCCAAAUAAGAAGCAACAUAAACCAGAGGCAAAUUUAUAACAUAUAAAUCUGAAAACAUGCACCGGUGGCGCGACAGAAUUUCCCAAGGUUACUGCUAUUCCAAUUUUCUCUGAAUUAGCAACAGCUGGCAAAGCAGGUUCUGAAGAAUUCUUCAUUUCAACUGUUCCAAUCAUCGGAGAAGAAACAUUACCAGAUAAACUUGAUGAUUCUAAAGCCACAAUAGUUGGUAAGUUAGCAGCUGGUGACACAGCAAUUGGGCUUGAUUUAGCAUCGUGUGCCGAGACUAAUAAACCAUCUGCACCCGGGGAUGAUGUUUUAACAACAGAAAUGGAUCCAAAAUCAGAAGCGUGCAAAUUCUCUCCAGGACUUGUAAAUUCUCUCCAGUAAGUUGAUGCGUCUGCCUUCUGUCCCAAUGAAAACUGAAUAAAAGUAGGUUAAGUCAAAAAAUAGAACAUAAACAGUACCCUGAGAGUAGAAAUCAAUAACUUCCAGCAGUACAAUACUGGAUGGAAGUGUUAGAAUAUGAAUGAUAUAAUGUCCCACAUAAAAAAGGACUAGCAUGUACUGUGUAGAAUAUAACUACAAGCAGGGUGGAAACAUUGCCAAGCUGCGGCUGAGCUACAACUAUCCAAGGGUGAUCAACUCAACAACAUUCGCUUGAUAAUCGUAUUUUGUAUAUAUAUAUAUAUAUAUAUAUAGGUCAAAUUCUGUCGUUUCUAAGUAUUUUUUAAUGAACACCCUCGCCACAAAAAACAAGACGGAGUGUGACAGUAAGGGUGUUCAAAUCUUGCAAUGAGGUUCUAAGUUCCAUACUCAACACAGCCCCCCCAUAAUUUUUUUUUUCAUUUGGACACGUUUGAAACUCAUAAACUACAGUUAUGCUUUUUUUGAUGAAUCAAUUUCUGAACAUGUGUUUUUUGUCCCAAUUAGCUCUUACAAAAGAGCUAGUAACUAGCAUGCCAGGUAUCAGAAUUUUGUUAAAAUAAACUUAAAGGUAAAUUUAUAAAGUGGUUGUUAUACUAGCUAUCUUGCAUGGGGCAGAGUGUUUGGCUGGUCAAGAGCUCGCAUGUUCGAAAGAUAAACGUAGAAGAAAUGAGGAUGUUGAGAUUGGUGUGUGGGCAUACUAGGAGAGAUAGAAUAAGGAACAAAGAUAUGCGAGAAAAAGUGGUAGUGCUCUCUGUGGUGGACAAUUAACAAGAAGACUAGAGGGUUGGGGAUAAAGAACCUAAAAAUUCAAAGUAAGGCUCUCGUGAUGUAAUGGUUUUGGAAAUAUGCAAACAAUAACCAGCUGCUAUGGAGGAAAGUGAUUGGGACUAAAUAUCCUGAAGAAGAUAGAUGGAUAAAUAAAGAAUUGACCACACCAUACGGGAUUAUCCUCUAGAGAUCUAUUAGACAAUAGUGGAAUGAAGUUAAAAGAAACUCAAAGGUUAAAGUGAUGGAUGGAAACAAGACUAGGUUCUGGAAGGAUAAUUGACAUGAGGAUGGGAAUAUGGAAGUUAUUUUUCCUGAUAUCUACAACUUGGUAUUGCUUCAAUAGAGGACUAUAGCAGAAUUAUGGACACCACAUGGGUGGAACUUCAAUUUCAGAAGGCAACUUAAUGAACGGGAGGUAAUGAGAGUAGUUGAAUUUUUUAAUACCAUGGACUUAUUCAAUGGACUGCAAACAGUGAAGGAUGUACUAUGGUGGAUGGGAAAUGAAAAAGGAAUGUUCAGUGUCAACAAAGCCUACAAGAUAAUGAACCAAAUAAAUCACCCAGAUCCAAGAUGGCCAUGGAAGAAAAUAUGGAAAAGUAGGAUACCUCACACAGUGUCGUGCUUUGUCUUUGUCUGGUUACUAACCAAGGAAGUAGUUCUUACACAAGAUAAUGUCAUGAAGAAAGGAAAAACCUUGUGCUCCAUAUGUUUCCUCUGUGGAGAAACUUAGUGAUGGUUAACCAUGUAUUUCUACAUUGUAAGUACACCCAACAACUUUGGAGAAUCGUCUCAAGACUAAAAGGCAUUUCCAGGACAAUGCCUAGGAAAGUAUCCAAGACUUUAAUAUGCUGGGAGAACCAGGUGUACAUGCGAAGAACAGAGGUAGAUGGAGAAUUAUCCCUGGUGCUAUAUGGUGGGCUAUAUGGAAAGAAAGGAAUUCUAGAUGUUUUGAAAGCAUAGAGAAUAGUGUGCAGAAGGUUAAACUCAAUUGCAAUUUUGCUUUUAUGUUUUUAGUGUAAUCAACUAUACUCUAAUGAUAUUACCUCGAUAAUUGAUGUUCUAGACUAAAUUUAGAGAUAGAACAGUUGAUUUUGGAGUACUCUUGUAUAUAAAGGUUUCAGUACAACCCAUGUACUGUGUGAUAUAAUACAAAGUUGCCAAGUUCAAAAAAAAAGAUAAUAAUUUUUCAAGUACUAAAAGUUUAUAAAAUAACAAAUAAAGCAAUUAAAUCUGAGUUCAAAUUAGGUGGGUUGGGUUAUGACCCGAAUUUUAGAGCAUUUCAACCCAACUCGUUUCAGCCCAAGUAGCUUUAGGGCGGGUUAAUAACCCGCCCAUUUAUUAACUCAGACCUCUUUGAUCCGCCCAAAUCCAGCCAACCCCGCCCAUUCGACACCUUUAUUUUAAAAGAAGUAAAGUGGACCAUGCCAGAACACAUACCAGAUCUAUUGAGUUGAAGUAAAGUGGACUAUCAAAGGACACACAACAAUCUGUUGAGUUGUUGGAUUAGUGGGGAUUAAAAAGAGUGAGAAGAAACGGGGGAGAACAAUCCUUCCUUGUAUUUGGUGGACUGUAUGGAGCGAGAAAAUUUGAAGGUAUUUUGAAGAUAAAUAUAAUUCCAUUCAGAAAGUUAAAUGAAAUAACAUUGUAGAUUUUUGUUUAUUGUUUAAGGGCCAAUGUGUACAGGAUGCAUAACAGGUAGUAGAUCUCUUCGAAUCCUAGCAUUAUUUUCAUUAUUUUUCAUUUCUUUUGGACUGUUAGCAUAAUCUUAACGCUGACGAAUACAAAGUAAUAUCUCUGAAAAAAAACUGUUUAUCUGAAAAAAAAAAGGAAUAAAAAUGUUCAAACUUCCUUACAGCUCCAGUUGUUGGUCCCUUAAUACUUGUCCCUCACAACCAGCCAAACUUUCUUUGAUAACCGUCAUGUUUGGGCCAGCUUGCACCUUGACUAGUUACACCAGGUACUGCUACCUCCCACCAGCACAGAUACUAGGUAACUCUGUCCAUCAAGGCUUGGACAGACGGUAAGAAAUCACCUAGUGUUUUUAUCUCUGUUGGAAAUUAAACCUGAGACCUCAUGGUUCUCAAUCUACUUCAUUGACCACUAUGUCACACUUUUGGGUGCAAGUGUGCAACCAGCCAAACUAUUAUUCUGUAAACCAGAAUGAGAAGUGUCAACCACAAUAUUAUAUCAAGUUUCCUCUCUCCAUAUCAUCAUUGAGUUACAAUAACAUUACAUUAAUCAGAAAGUAAAUAAAAUUGUUUAAAAUAGACCAAAUAUAAUCCUGUCGUGUAUGCUUAAACACAUUUUUUAGAACAAUAGUGUUAAAUAUAAAAUCUUUUAGAACUAUAUUAGAAAUAAAAGGUCAAUGCAAAUCCCAAAUGAAGCCUACAUAGUAUAGUAAGAUCGAGGAAAUUUGCUCGCUAAACAAAUUUUCAACAGAAAUCACAUAUACUUAGGAAAGAAAAAGAGUUUCUGCGAAGCUUCAUAGAAAAAGAAUCAUGUACUUCUUUUUCAUUGAUAAGCACAGGAAACUGGAUAAAACUACCCAUAAAAAUCUCGAUGACAUGAGACCUCACCUCCAUUUCUGUCAUUAUCUCUCGAGGUUUCUCCCAGGUAGAGAUUCUUGUCCUUCUAUUAUAAUAGUAUCUAAAAAUCAAUUCAAGAAUUGUAAGAAUGUUACUAAUUGGUUGGAGUAAUAAAGCCAUAGGAAAUAUGACAACAUUAGCAACCAUAACUGGCCUACUGAUCAUCAAAAGAUGCUGAAAAUAGCAAUACCUACUAGCAUUUAGACACAUGUAAAUAUGUAUGAUAAUAGAGAAAUGGGGUCAAAAUGAAGUUAUCGGUAGUGGUGUAUCAAGUUCUGCUGAUCAACAGUCAGGUAGAAUUUGGUAGCGGUGAACGGCAGCCCAUAUGAUAACUUUGACAAAGAGGACUGAAACAAAUGGGCCUAUUAUCUCCAGUGCUAAUGGAAGCAGAAUGAUGUACAAAGCACUAGAUGUGGAUACUUGAGGAUUUCUUGGCAGUGAUGGGGGCCAACAUAUCCACCACUUGUUCAUAGACAAGAAAUUAAGUGUUUGUCCAAAUCGGCAUGCUCUUUUUUCUGGAGAACACAAAGUGGUAAAAAGAUUGGAUCUAAAUGAAAAUGAUUGCAGAGCUCCUUUUCUUGUAUACUGUGGUUUUACACCUUUCUUGUUCACUGGAAUCUUAAUUUGCUUACAAAAAACUAUCAUAGAAUUCAAAUGUUGACACUCUCAGUCAACACACACCCAUUAACCCAUUAACUUAAGUAUGUUACUUGUUGACAACAUUUAUGCAAAACGGGUACAAUAAAACACAUUGAAUUCUUACUGGAAUAACCAAGGGAGUUGUUAAUUCUCCAGUCUUCUACAUAGUUGUCGCAGAAUUCACAUUAUGAUUAAUUAGUGGCAUCCAGGGUUAUACCCCUGAUGGAAACGUAUGAUUAUUUAUCUGUGUCUGAUACUGGGAGCCAGAAGAAUCAACAUUUACCUGCUGUUAAAGACGAUAACAAAAUGUAUUUCAUCAAUAUAUGAAUGGAACAUCGGAAACUUAUUGACAAUAACCAAAAAAGAUCUUCCCAAGGCCUUACAUUAUAUGAAGAAGAAACAGGUAAAUUUGGGGCACCAGAACCAGGCAUGUGGUUAUUUGACAUCGGAAGAUUUCGCUGAAAAUCAUGGGGAAUAGGUGGUCCCUAAGGAAUACUAUGCUUUCCUACUACAGGUCUACCAGUAACCUAUUGCAUAGGUUGAGGAAAUUGGAUUUGAGAAGGUUGAGACAUCGCAACAUUUGAAUGUCCAAGUGGCAGAAAUUAUUAAGAUGACCCGGAACCAUAAGGUUGUGCCUGUGGGCUGGAAGCAUAGGCUGAAACUGCUAAAGAUGUGGGGAAAAUAGUUAUCAUAAUGUCUCUACAUUCAAAAGUCAUUUAUACCUCCCCCGAGCCUCCACAACUUUACCUGCAAUGACAUGGAUGGAAUAGCACCAGGAGCAGGACCAGCCAGAGGAGGUAUAGGAGGCUUCUCAACCAAUAUCCAUGCAAGGAAGAACAAAUGAAAUCAGAAUUUAGCUACUUUUCAAUCAUAUUUAGUUAAUUUUCUAAUCAAUGUCGAAAGAUUGUAUCCAUGCGCAACUCCCUAAAUUAAUUUGAAAGACAAGGAAAGAAUUUUGAAGCCAAACCACAUAGUAACAUGAAACCAUUUUCUUCAUCUAAUAAAUAGAAAGCUUGAAACGAGAAUAAAGAGAGAUAGGAAAUAGAUGACCUAUCAUAGCGUUAGAAGAGAAUGGACAAAAUGAUAAGCAUCUUUACCUUAUGGCUUGGGUUCAACAUCUACUGAUGGUCUAAGUAUCUUUUCUUCGGGUGUAAAGAAGCACGUCUGUUAAUGCAAAACUAUGAUCAUGGAACUGAAACAUGAGGUAUGAGUAGGUAUUAGAAUAACUGAAAAAUACUGAGACCAGAAUGGGUUGAGCCUCACUCUUCCCUUCUGAUGUUCUAUGUCAUACUGACAUCACUACUAGAAUCUGAAAGCCUGACUUAGUUAUUCGCUCUAUCAUCUCCCCCUUAGCUUCAAGUCAUCAUAUUAAGUUUAGGAGAUCCCUUACUAGACUCUAAACUGAAGUACACUCACUGCAAUCUGGGGUUUGAAAAACUACUAUACACGCAUAUCAUGGCACUUAACCCAAAUGACUACACCUAAAAGUUGAAAACCCACUGUUAAUACUACCUUCUGAGAUACACUUUAUCAUUCUAUAGACCCAGUAGUCAUCAUAUAAUACUUGCAUACUUCUAACUUUGGGUCUUCAUAGGUAUCCCCAUAGUCGGAGUGCACACCCUCUAGUGCUUUAACUCUUAUUUCUAUUAGUUCAACCUUCAAAAACUCAAACUUAGAAUCUAGCUCUCAACAUGGAUAUCACUAAGACUUCAAUGAAUCAUACUACUUCCGACAUAGCCUACCAAUAUCGCGACUCCAAACUUACAUCUCUCUACUAUGAGAACUAAGAUCAUAUAAAAAGUCUCAACACUAUCAAUCAAACUCCUUAACUUGGCUAUUUAGAACGCCAUAUACCAUCUAACUAGUCUUUCUCCACCUAGCAACUCAACGGUACCACUCAUCACACAAAACGUGUAAUAGUCUUAGAAAAUACCGCAACCCCAGAUCACCUUGGGUAUACUUCUACAUUAUAUAUGCAACAUCAUACUUCACUACGAAUCAAAUAAACUUAAGCUCUUGCAUAUAUCUUUCAAUCCUAUUAGAUUACUUUCAUAAAACUAGUAUCAUUAACCAAGAAAUCAUCACAUCCACCUUCAUGGACAUCAAUUGUUCAAAACUUAAUGUCUAGUGCUAAACAUGAUUUUACAACCCAACCUUACACAUGAUUCUCACUUGGAUACCAUGAAAUAGACAUCAAGAAACACUAGUACACUAGAACUUCCAAACAAAAAAUAAUUGAUCUUGACCUUAUGGUGUUCCUUAUCAUAACUCAUUAGCACGUACUAUUUUAACACAUCAAGCCUAAUAAUUUUUUUCCCACAAAACAUACAUCAUUAAUCUCAUACCACUAUUUUUACCACCACAUUCUACAUUAAAUUCAAGCAUAUAGUCCUGUACCAAUCAUCUAUCACUACUGAAAAAUGCAACAUAAUAUGCUAGUCCAUAAAAUUUGGGACAUACUAUACAAGCGCCUAAAAAAUCACUACAUACCUUCUCACAAGUAGUACUAGUUUACAAUUACCAACGAAAACAAGGUCAAGGGGUAAAGUUACAUAAUAGACAUGAUCAACCUUAAUCUUAUAUUAUAACCCCAUACAAUCUUUUCUACUUAUACGGAUUUCUCACCUCAUACUUACAUACCCAAACAUACAUUUAGACUACUUUCAAAUUCCACAAACAACCAUGAGUCUAUACUUACAACUUACUGGCUAAUAUAGCCAUUUUCACACUUCAAGCAAUCGAGAAAUCACCCUAACUAAAAACUCCUUCUCUACCUUCUACUAAACUAACACACAAGGACAAAUCACCUCUUUACCAACUCAAUCUCAUGCAAACAGAUUCAGCUAUAUAUAUAUAUAUAUUAAACUAACACAAGAACAACAAGUUGGACAACAAGUUGCUAGUGAAUCGAAAUAGGCCUCACACAGCUUCACUAGACUUCGAUUUCGUAUUUUGAACAAGAAAAUGAGAUGAAUGACAAGUCAACUAUGCUAGUGAAUCAAAAGAUCCCCACAGAGCUUCACUAGACUUUAUUUUUUUCAACAACACCUUGAUGACAAGAUUACAUGAGAUACAAAUUUAAUAUGCAAUAUCCAAUGAACUAAGAAUACACAUCUUACUUUGUAUAAAUAAAAUCGGAGUCAAACACUUCCUCCACGAACUACCAUACCAUCAACACAUGCAACUAGUUACCACAUUAGUCUAUCACCAUAAGGAGGUAAAUCAUUCUCGAACAUCGGUUAUUAUACUAAAAUAUUCAUUUACACAAAAGUCACCCUCGCUCUGACUUCUAACUUUGUGACUUCACAUCACCAACUUCUUGGUCUAAUUUCACUACCAAUAGGUCAUGACAACAACACUUUAGCACAUACUACUAUUCGGGUAGAAAUAUAGUUCUAACAUUCUACUACACAUCAUCCCCCCUAAAGCAAAACAUUUGUAACAUAAAUUUGAAGGGGACUAAAUGCAAUUAAUACCUCAAGAUGAAAAUCACGAUUCCAUCAGGAUCAAUGUUUACAUCGGAAUCAAUACACAUUGAAGCACUAAUGGACUCUUCUCAAGUUCUUGCACAAAUUUUAACUCUUAUAUGGUUCAAUCAGAAAGGACCAUACCAUUUAGAUUCUAAACUUCUUCACUUGAAUCACCACAAUAAUGAGACAUAUCUGAGGACAUUAGAGUAAGGAAAGAAUUUGGGAUGUCUUUUUUUUUUUACUUCCGUAUGGGCGACACCAUAGCACGAAUUAGAGUAUGAAAGAGGAACAUUCUGACUCUAUUGCAUGAACUAGAACAUGAAGAAAGAGAGACAUUCCUAAACGCCUAGUAGCCUCCUACUUAUAAGUGUGGCGCGCUACACACCCAUAAACAAGACUCUACCCGACGCGAUUUCACAGACACCCUGGGACCAUGAACCGUGCUUUGAUACAAAGUUUGUCACGACCCGAACCGGGGCCCUGGCCGUGACGAGCAUUCUGAACAAUGACUAAAACAACCAUGUCCCACAAUAUAUAUCGACAUCUGAACAACCGUCAGCGAAAUCUCUAAUAUAUGACUGAAACAAAUUACUGUCUGAAAACUGGUCCCCAGUAGACCCAAAAAUACUAAAUGAUAAAUGAACUGACACAGAACUUCCGAAAUAUAGAAGGCUCACCACUUGAUUCUGCAAAUCUGUCGAAAGAGAUUUACUGGUUAUCUGAACCCCUAAACUAUGCCUCCAAACCUGGGAGAGAAGGGGGUCAAUAUAAAAGUACUAGUACGCAGAGAAACCAAAAACAAAAUAUAAUAUUUUUUUCCAAAUAUAGGUGAGAGCCAUUAUAAAGCAGUUCUAUAUCAAAUUAUUUGAAAACACAUGGGCACAAUGUAAUAGUUUUCAACAAUAAUGUAAUACAGCUGAGCUAGGUGGAAUACCCUGCAUAUAACAUUUACACCAACUGUCAAAUCUCGGUUGCCGCUGAGAUUAGAGUAUAAGUGAGAGGAAGACAUACAAGAUCACAUAGCAGGGUGUCUCGACCCAAUAAAGUAUAGUACUGCCCAAGAUCACUUAUCCUGGGCGCCUAACCAUAGUCCCAAUUUGGGAAUGACAUAAAGUCAAGUACACAAGAUCACUUAGCCAAGUACCAAAUCCCCAUAUCGGCAAACAUGGUUUCCAGCGAUGAGCCCUUACACUCAAACGCCUUCUUCGGGCAUCCACCUAUCUCAUGUAAAAUCAAUGCAUCAAACUCCAUUUAAUUCAAUCACAUAUCUUAUUCUGUAGGGUAUGGUCAUACCCGACUUACAAGCCAUCAAUAUCACAUCAUUCUUUCAUGCAACUAUUAUAUUCAUCAUAUUUCAACAUAACAACACUCUUAUUGUAAGUCAAAACCAUGACCAUUUUAAAAAUAUUUCAUGUCACGCUUGUCAAGAUGAUUUCAAACAUUUCAUAUCAUAUGAGAAUUUAAAACGAGAUCAUAUAAAAAGAGGGAUUUCAUAUAAUUCAUGCUCUCAAGUUAACAUCUUUUCGGAAUACAUGCAUAUACAUAUAUCAUAUAUCAAACCACUUCGGGAAUAGGCCUAAAGACCAAAUCAAUAUCAUAAAAUGUUUAAAAUGGGAUUAUAUUCAUAAUUUCAAAACCCCCAUUUUUAAAACAUAAAUUUUUAAGCCCAUGAGAUUUUUUAGAUAACCCCGCGUACCUCUAUAUGCGAAGAUGAUAGGUGCUUCUUGAAACCUACGUUCUAGGGAUUCCAACUAUGCAAUUCGUUUCAAAAACCCACGGUUGAAUCUUGAGUUGCUUAGGUUUUUAUUUUGAAACCCUCAGGAGAGUUCUUGAGAAAUUUUGAUGAAUGAAGGUGUAUUUUGGGGUAUUUUGGGAACUGAAUUUCGUGUUUAUGGCUAAAUAAGGGUGGAAAAAGGACCAUUUUGGCCCAAAAAUGGAGUGUUUAAGUCACUUGAGUAAUAAUAUAUGCGGCACAAACCUUAUCACAUAAUUUAGGUUGUGCGUCACACUCUUUAUCGCACACAUUAGAUUGUGCGUCGCACACCUUAUGGCAUAAGUUAGGGUGUGCGUCGUACACCUUAUGGCAUAAGUUAGGGUGUGCAUCGCACACCUUAUGCUGUACGAUACACUACACUUUGCAAAGCUAUAACUUCUUCCUCGGGUGUCAAAAUUUUGUUAAAUUGGUAUCGUUGGAAAGAUAAUUCGAAUAUCUUUCAUUUGAUAUAUAUUAGGAACUCUAAUUCAAUAUAUACAAAGAGUAAUGGUCGAUUGAAGUUGACCUAAGUCUCAACGCUCACUAAAAUUCGAAUGAUAGGAAAACUUUCAACUUGUCCUUGAGCUUGGGGACCUCUAUGAUCUCAAUUCAUGCUCAAAUAGGUUUCCACACUACAUAAUUUAUUAACACACUAAAUUUGCAUUGGAUUAUGGAUUUUGGAACCUUUAUGUGAAGAAAAUGACAAUUUUCGUUCUCGUCCGAAAUGCGGGGUGUUACAAAAUUUUGUUAGAAAAUGGAGUACAUUUUAGCUGCAUCGUACUCCAAAUACACUAAACUGAACUUUAAAAGUAAUAAUGCAUUUCUUACCUGUUGGUGUGUAGCAUUCAAAAGUUUUAUUGUCUUUGGUCGGAAGAUAGCCACAACGACGGUUUCAAGCAUGAAGAUUAAACUAAAAAGAAGCCAUGCUCGCUCUGGAGUUCCUGCUACAUGAUGCAAUAUUACUCUACAAUGUUGAAGCCACUUUCCUAAUCCUUGGAGUCUAAGUUCUUUCGAGAAUGAAAUAUGAUUAGGUAACACAUCCUAAACAUCAUUUGAAUCGGUGACAGGAGGUUUACUAUCGCGAUGUUCUCCAUCAGCAUCCAAACUACUUCUCUACAAUAAGGCUAGAAUCAUUGGGUCCAAUCCAUUCUCCUUCAGCAUCACUGCAAAAUUAGGAUCAAGCCCUUUAUCUUGCAAUAAAUUAGCUAAUUCAUGAUCAGUGUGUCUUCCUUUCCGCUUUAACAUAGAUGUAAUCCUCGGAUCACUCAACUUUUCUUGAAAUGCAAGUGCGAAAUUCAAGUCCAGUAUCUGUUGGUUUGCAGAAGUGGAUGUACUAGAAUCACAGCCUUGGCUUUCAAGGCCACUGCUAGAACAAAAAAACAAUGAACUAUUGUGCUCUAAUUUUCUGUCAACAUAUGAUGAUCCUACUUCAGUCUCUUGAACAACUGAACGAUAGGAACUACUACGUAGAGCUAGACUUAGUCUUUCACUGUCUAUGCUCUUAUCACUAUUAAUCCCCUCAAUAUUAUUCCAGGUACUGCCAUCACUAGUGCAAGGAACAAUUGCAUUAUCAAUAUGACCAGCAUCAGCACUACUACUACAUUUGAUACUUGAGCCACAACCCUCAGAAGAGCUUGCGGAGCUAUUUUGGUCAUUUCUGUGGAAACCUUCUCUAAGGCGGAUAACUGUGCUCUACAAGGCAUCUCGUCUAGCUGCUGAUGGGUCUGUAACUGAUAAAUGCCGUGAAACAGCAGCACCCAACAACACAGAUGUUACAAUUUCAUAACUGAUACAAUGUCCAAAGUACCUGAAACAAAAUUAUUGCAGUAAAAGAUUAGAAGAUUUUUUUUGAUAACAAAAGAUUAGAAGUUUCUAUUCAACAAAUAAUAUUAAAAGGGAUGCAUAUGCCACAAGUAUAAGAAGACUUAAUUAUGGAAGAAAAUGAAUUAGCAUGGGUUAAAAACAAACCAAUAAUGAACUCCAAAAUAGAUCAGGAACACUCGAGAUGUACCGGCAACAAAAAGUAUGAUGACUCGACUUUUCAGAAGCUUAAAGCCAUACAAGCAAACUCCUAAGUUCCAAUCUGAUUGAAUGAAAAGAUAGUGAAUUCAUUACUUACCACAAAGAUAUAAGAAAUUAUUUCACAAUACGAGUCAGAAAAGGAGACAGAUAUAUGUAGAAAAUGAACUACCAAGGAUUAUCACGGCAGCUGAUGUUGUAGCCCCAAGCCAGUUUGAUUUCUUUUCUGUCAGACCAUACAGGAUAGAAUACACAAGAAGUACUACAAGUGAACCAACAUAUAGAAGUCCAAGAUGCAGAGCCCUGCAGAGCCCAAGUUCAAAGUGAAGAAGGGUAAAUUAUAGACUUCAGAGAAAAUAUUGAAAAGAUAGUGCAGAAAAUAUGAUGAGCAGUAUAAAUGAGAACCCACUGAACACAUAAUAUAAUAAGGUACUUUCUAAUCUAAAGCAGCAUUUAAAUUAAUUUUCUUAGCAGUGGGAUUUUAAGAUCUACUAUUUUUACUGGACUACUGGAGAGUGUGUUUUGUUCUCUCAGAGUUUGUAUUCCUUUUACUCAAAUAGGUUUGAGUUACACCCAUUGUUUAGCGUUCUUUGGCUCUUAAUUUUAAAAGUCCAUUAGAAUGAUUAGAGGGCAGGGUGGAACUCCCUCAUAGCAAGUCAAAUGAAGUUUAAAACUAUAUAAAGAAGAUGAAACUAGAGGCUUCUGUAUGUGUCUCACAUACUUGGCAUAAACCAUGUGUGAAUGAGCACAACAGAAUCAAAUGUACUGAGACAAAGCAAGCAUUUGAUUGCAGAUCAAAUGGAAGAGUCUGCCAACCAACCAAAUUUAAGAGCAGCUCUGGUCCAUGCACCAUUUUGAGGUAAAGUUAUAUGGUUAAAAAUUUGGACGUUACUUAAUAUAUGCACAAACUGAAAAUGAACUGCCCAGUUAGACAAGUGCUUUUUGUAUCUACCCAGUGACAACCUUAGUGAAAGAAUACAUCAAUGAGAAGUUAACUCAGUAAGCUUAAUGAGCUUUCUCCUGCAAGGAAUGAAAGUGUGGAUGACCCAACAUCAAAUAUACGAUUAUUAUUAUACACACAAUCUCCAUACAACAGCAACAACAUACCCGAUGUAUAUUCGGGCCGAAUAUAUGCAAACUAUACCUCUACCUCAGAGACGAGAAAAAAAUGGUAGCACCAAUCCUCACUAAAUACUUCAUAACACAAAAAACAGCCAAUACUUACAAAACCAAAUAAAGCAAAAGAAGUUCAUUGUCUUGAUCACCAGCAAGUAAAACAAAUGUUUACAAUUGGAGAUUCAAAAAGGUUGCAAAAGAAAGAAGCAAACUUUCUAUUUAACAAGUAUCAAAGGGGGGAAAAUAAGAGUAAAACCAGUAAGUAUACGAGAAGUAUGAACACUAUAGUCAAUGAACAAAAUAUGAAUUGUAGUUUAGCCAUUUAGCAUCCAUCACUCCAACAGAGAAUUAGGUCUUGUAAGAAGGUCGAAAGAUUUGCCUAUCGAGUCUUUCAAGAUUAUGAUUUGACCCUCUUUCAUAAGAAAGUCUUCGUUGAGGGUAUCUACCUUCCUUUUCAACAUAUUGAUUCAUAAUUCAACGGCAUGUUCAUCUCACUGUAGCACUUAACUUCCUCCCACAUGAAAUCCCUCUCCUGAAACACUUUUGGUAGUAUCUCCUUCACAAUGCCAAGUUCCUUCAUGCAUUCUUGCAAAUCAUUAGUAAGCUGGUUGAUAUUUUCAUCCUUUUUUAGCAGCUGCCAGAAUCAACCGUAAACCAUGAAAAACAAGAAAGACACAAAGAUCACCAAUAACAUUUCAUCAAAAAUUCAAAACAAAACCAUAGCCUAGAAGUUCAACCAAAUCAUGAAUCCUUUUUAACUGUUAAAAUUCACAGUAGAUAACUCGUGAACUUGUCCAAGAAUUAAGUCAGAUGAACGAGCAAACUUACCGAAACCCCUUCGGGUAACUUUACCACAUCAGAGCAAAAUCAGAUCAAUGGGUUUGAGGAUAUCACAAAGUGUAUCAUGUUCUUGGUUGGUUCAACUUAUUACACAUUAAGGCGAUCAGACAUUUCAUAGAAGACUACCACAUGCCAGCAACUCAUGUAUACAAGUUCAUAAAGAAAAUCGUGAACUUCAGAUGGAACAAAGAUGAACCUAAAAUCAAACAGAAGUAGAAAGCUAAUGCAGAGAGAGUAAGAUAUGAACAGACUAUCAUAUAUGAAGACGAGGUAUCCAAAGUUGAAAAAUAAAAACUAUUUCGUUGCAAUGAGAUCUUAACAUUUCAUGCUUACCUGAAGCUCGAGAUAUUUCAACUUAGGUAUGGCAUAAGAAAGAGUGUCCAACGCAUUUCGCACUUCAUAUUUGAGAAUGUCGUUACCUCUAACUAUUGCGACUAGAUCAGCCUGAAGCUGCUUUAUGUCCAUCUCCUCGGAAUAGAGCUUCUCCCUUAGCAUAGUUGUUAGCAAAGUCUCUGAUUUAAGAUCUUUAACCUUUUCCUGGUAGUUUUCUCAGACAUAAUCUCUAUUGUCUUGAGCUACUCGAUAUUCCGUUUGUAACUGAGUGAGCUGCAACCUUAGAUUUUGAUUCUCCUCUGACACUUGCUCUAUUCUCUUAGACAAAUCUCCAAGGUAUUUCUCCGAAAAUGACAUAUUGAUUCUAUUAUCUACUUCCUUCUCAUUAAAUAAAGAGACUUCCCUUGGUAAAGAGACAUUCUACUCUACAAGCUCCCUCACCCUUUCAUAGAGUCUAUGUUGUUCAAUUUGGUAUUUCUCAAGUUUUAAAGACCAAUCACUGGAUCUUCUAUCCAACUACUUUUCCAUUAUUGAUUGUAACUCAUUCUUUUCUGUCUCCAAUCUUCGUGUCCAUGAAUCUAUUUCUGCCUGUAAUAUGCUAGCUUCUUCCUUAGCAGAAGCCCUUUCAGCAACUUGAUUCCAUAGCAUGCUUAAAACUUCAGAAGCCAUUUGUACCUUCUCCUUUGUCAAUCUUCUAAUAGUCUAAAUCAACACUGGAAUGCUAAGGUCUCUGCCAUAAGAAAUAUUUGUCAUUACUUUGGACAAGCAAAUGCAAAUUAAAACAUCAGUUUAAGUGUGAAAAAGAAAGCUAUAGCAAAAUGAUAUGCAUACCGGCUUGAAUCACGACCAGAUUUCUUAGGAUGAACUUUCUUACUAUGACCAUGGAGAGAUUUGCUCAGAUUCGUGAAAUUCUUUUUUCCUAACCCACUGUCAUAAAAGAAUCCAGAUGACAAUGAAACACUUCUCCUAGAAGAAACUUCCUUGGACUUUAAUGGUGGUGAAGGGGUCUUGUUUGCAUCAUUAGUUGAUGAUCAAAAAAAGAAGAAGUUGUUCUUCAUCAUCUCUAUGUAUGGAUACUGUACAUGAAUCAAAACUAGUGUCCAUGAGAUUUCAAAGGAUAAAGCAAAACACUCAUAAACAGCCACUCACAAAUCAUUAUCCAUUCAUGAAAAUACUGCAAGCUAACUAAAUACUUAUGAUACAAAGAAAAACAUCUCUCUUUCUACAUGCUUCUUCUUCAACAACAACAUACGUAACCCCUACCUUGGCAAGUAGAAAAUUUAUUUCCCAUAAAUCCUCGGCAAGGAAAGCAAAAACACGAGGAUAUUAACAACAGUAGCAAGUAUGAAAAUAGAGGUAUACGAUACAAAAAGUAGAAAAAAAAAUAUGUACUAAUACUACUACCAGAAGAGACAUGACGCGAAACUAUUUAGUACUAGUCUUCUACUGAAAAUAAAUAAAAUACCCCACAAACAAAUAGCCCAAGAACAAUUCAAAGAACUUAUCAAAUCCUUCUGAUAAAACAAAUAAUCAUGGUAAAUAAUUAAAAAAAAAAAAAGAGAAAUUACUGAAUCAAAGAGUUGAAAGAGUAAGAGCCGGCAAAAGGUUGUCAGAAUCUGUAGGAUUCUUGUCAUUUUUUCUUGAAAUGUAAAAAUAGCAAAGGACUAGAAUGGAGAAAACUUUAUUUCUGUGUCUUUCAUUCAUCAUCGUACAAUGCAUAUAUACAACUAACAAGGAUCUGUAAAUUGCAAGUAAAUAUUUACAAGGAUCUGUAUAUGGCAAGUAAAUAUUUACAAGGAUCCAUAAAUAUGACAAGUGAAUAUUUACAUACACAUAAUGAAAAACUUGAGAAAUACCCAUGAGAGAGAGAGAGAAGAAAAGUGUAACAAAUAUUUUGUGUUAUUCAAUGGCUAUAAAUAGCCAUAUGAGGUCAAAUUUUCCAUAUAAUAGAAAUAAGAUGUAAACUAUAAAUUAACUUUUUCAAAUUAGCACACAAAUUAACUUAAAUUAUGAAAUUAAAGAUAUUUAUUUUUUCAAAAUUUAACUUUUCCAUAUAAACAUCACUGAAUUGAUAUAAGCAAUAUUUUGAAACGUGAUAAAUUAAUUAAAUAACACAAAAAUAUUGUAAUAUUGUAUUUCUUUUAUCUCUAGAUCUUUUUUAAUACAUAAGAAAUACUAAAGUCAUACAAUAAUCUCCUUUCUUUUUAUAGUCCAAACUUACCAUUUAAAAAUCGUUUCAUUUGAAUUAAUAAGAUCAUAGUAGAUUGUACAAAAUCAGUUAAUAAAUGAUAUAUAUUUCCAUUAAAUAAAUAAAGUACGAUAUAAUUGUAAUAAGACUACACAAUCAACUAAUUAAUUUCACUUAAUUAGAUUAAAUUUUAUGAUCAUAAUAUAUAGACUAAAGUUCCUUAAAUUUAAUGUUGUAAAUUUCAAAAUACAUUUAUGGCUAAAGUAGUAGUCAAUGUUCGUUAUUUUUUUUAAUCAAUAUAUGUAUAUCAAUUAUAGAACUUUGCAUAUAUUCUUUAUUAAAAUAAUUGUCAAUAUUAAUUGAAUUUUACCAUAAUUUAAUCUAAUUAGUUUGAUAACAGUACAAUUAUUAUUAAUAUUAUAUAUUUUUUAACCAUAAAUUUGUCCUAAUUUUAUAGAUUAUUCUAUUUAGUUAAUCUACAAUUACAUAAAGGACUCAAAUAUGGAAACAAUUGAUAUUAAUUACCUUUAUAAUUUCAAAAAUUUAAUCCCAUGAAUUUCUCAUACUCUUAUAGUUUGAUUAUAGCAAAUUGAUAUUAAUUACCUUUAUAAUUUUGGGAAGAAUUUUUAAAAGUUAACGAUUAUUUUUUUCCUAAUUGUUGAUUUAUUUCUCAAAAAUUUCUUAUAAAUUUAUAAUUUGAUUGUAGUUAAUUGAUUAAUUAAUUAUCUUUUUAAUUUGCUAAAAACUCAAAUAAGGUACAAUUAUUUUUUCUCAAUUACAGAUUUUCUUAAAUUCAAUCUUUUAUUGUUUUACUAAAAUAGUUCAAAUUUAAUUGUUUUGAGGCAUGACAUCUUUUUGUCUAUAAAUCUUUUUUAAUACAUAAGAAAUGCUAAAGUNNNNNNNNNNNNNNNNNNNNNNNNNNNNNNNNNNNNNNNNNNNNNNNNNNNNNNNNNNNNNNNNNNNNNNNNNNNNNNNNNNNNNNNNNNNNNNNNNNNNNNNNNNNNNNNNNNNNNNNNNNNNNNNNNNNNNNNNNNNNNNNNNNNNNNNNNNNNNNNNNNNNNNNNNNNNNNNNNNNNNNNNNNNNNNNNNNNNNNNNNNNNNNNNNNNNNNNNNNNNNNNNNNNNNNNNNNNNNNNNNNNNNNNNNNNNNNNNNNNNNNNNNNNNNNNNNNNNNNNNNNNNNNNNNNNNNNNNNNNNNNNNNNNNNNNNNNNNNNNNNNNNNNNNNNNNNNNNNNNNNNNNNNNNNNNNNNNNNNNNNNNNNNNNNNNNNNNNNNNNNNNAUUUCAUUUGAAUUAAUAAGAUCAUAGUAGAUUGCACAAAAUCAAUCAAUUAAUUAUAUAUAUUUUUAUUAAAUAAAUGAUGUACGAAAUUGUUGUAAUAAAACUAUACAAUCAACUAAUUAAUUUCAAUUAAUUAGAAUCAAUUUUAUGAUCAUAAUAUAUAGACUCAAGAUCUUUAAAUUUAAUGUUUUAAAUUUUAAAAUAUAUUUAUGGCUAAAGUAGAAGUCAGUGUUCGUUGUUUUUGUAACCAAUAUAUGUAUAUCAAUUACGAAAAUUUGCAUAUAUUUUUUAUUAAAAUAAUUGUCAAUAUUAACUAAUUUUUAACUCAAUUUAAUGUAAUUAAUUUGAUAACAAUAAAAUUAUUAUUAAUAUUAUAUAUUUAUUUACCAUAAAUCAGUCCUAAUUUUAUAGCUUGAUUAUAGUUAAUUAAUCUAUAAUUACAUAAAGGGCUCAAAUAUGAAAACAAUUGAUAUUAAUUACCUUUAUAAUUUCGGCAAUUCAAUCCCAUGAAUUUCUCAUGUUUUUAAUAGAUUGAUUAUAUUAAAUUGAUAUCAAUUACCUUUUUAGUUUUGGGAAGAAUUUAAAAAAGGUAACGAUUAUUUUUUUUCCUAAUUACUGAUUUAUUUCUCAGAAAAUUCUUAUAUAUUCACAAUUAGAUUAUAGUUAAUUGAUUAUUUAAUUAUCUUUAUAAUUUUCUAAAAGCUCAAAUAAGGUAACAAUUAUUUUUUUCUAAAUUAAGGAUUUUCUUAUAUUCAAUCUUUUAUUGUUUUACUAAAAUAUUUCAAAUUUAAUUGUUUUGAGGGAUGACAACUUUUUGUAUCUAAAUCUUUUUUUAAUACAUAAGAAAUGCUAAAGGCAUACAAUAAUCUCCUUUCUUUUUAUAAUCCAAACUUACCAUUUACAAAUUAUUUCAUUUGAAUUAAUAAGAUCAUAGUAGCUUGCACAAAAUUAAUUUAUUAAUUAUAUGUAUUUUUUUAUAAAAAAUAAUGUACGACAUAAUUGUAAUAAAAUUACACAAUCAACUAAUUAAUUUCAAUUAAUUAGAAUCAAUUUUAUGAUCAUAAUAUAUAGACUCAAAUUCCUUAAAUUUAAUGUUGUAAAUUUUAAAAUAUAUUCAUGGCUAAAUUAAUAGUCAGUGUUCGUUGUUUUUUACCAAUAUAUGUAUAUCAAUUACGAAAAUUUGCAUAUAUUUUUUAUUAAAAUAAUUUCAAUAUUAACUGAUUUCUUUCUCAAUUUUGAUCUAAUUAAUUUUAUAACAAUAAAAUUAUUAUUAAUAUUAUAUAUUUAUUUACCAUAAAUCUAUCCUAAUUUUAUAGCUUAAUUAUAUUUAAUUAAUCUACAAUUACAUAAAGGACUCAAAUAUUGAAACAAUUGAUAUUAAUUACUUUUAUAAUUUUAAAAAUUUAAUCCCAUGAAUUUCACAUAUUCUUAUAGUUUGGUUAUAUCAAAUUUAUAGUAAUUACCUUUAUAAUUUUGGGAAGAAUUUAAAAAGGUAACGAUUAUUUCAUUUCCUAAUUACUGAUUUAUUUCUCAAAAAUUUCUUAUCAAUUCACAAUUUGAUUAAUUAAUUAUCUUUACAAUUUGCUAAAAACUCAAAUAAGGUGACAAUUAUUUCUUUUAUUAAUUAUGGAUUUUCUUAUAUUCAAUCUUUCAUUGUUUCACUAAAAUAGUUCAAAUUUAAUUGUUUUGAGGGAUGACAUAUUUUUGUCUAUAAAUCUUUUUUAAUACAUAAGAAAUGCUAAAGUCAUACAAUAACCACCUUUAUUUUUAUAAUCCAAACUAAUUGCAUAUUUGGAAUCCCCAGAACGCAGGCUUCAAGAAACACCUAUCAUCUUCGCAUUUAGAGGUACGUGGGGUUAUCCUAAAAUCUCAUAGGCCUUUAAAUUCAUGUUUUACAAUGGGGGUUUUAAAACUACGAUCAUGUUUUGAAUGUUUCUAUAAUAUUGAUUUGGCCUUUAGGCCUAUUUCCGCAGUGAUUUGACAUAUUAUAUAUGUAUAUGCAUGUGUUUUGAAAAGGUGUUAAUUUGAGAGCAUGAAUUAUAUGGAAUCCCUGUCUUGAUGUGAACUUGUUUUAUAUUUUCAUACGAUUUAAAUUGUUUGAAAACGUCUUGAAAAGCAUGAGAUGAAAUGUGUUGAGAAUUGAUAUGAUUUUGACUUGAAAACGAGAAGGCUAUUUGCGUUGAAACAUGUUGAAUACAAUGGUUGAAUGAGAAGAAUGAUGUGAUAUUGAUGGUAUGCAAGUCGGGUAUGACGAUACCCUACAGAAUAUGAUAUGUGAUUGAAUCAGAUGAAAUUUGAAUGCAUUGAUUUUACAUGAGAUAGGUGGAUGCCCGAAGAAGGCGUUUGAGUGUAAGGGAUCAUCACUGGAAACUGUGUUUGCCGACAUAGGAAUUUGGUACCCUGCUUUGUGAUCUUGCAUACCUGACUUUAUGUCAUUCCCAAGUUGGGACUAUAGUUAGGAGCCCUACUUUGUGAUCUUGUGCACAACCAUUAGGCCGAGACACCCUGUUGUGUAAUCUUGUGUGUCUUCCCCUCACUUAUACUCUAAUCUCGGUGGAAACCAAGGUUCAACAGUUGGUGUAAAUGUGAUAUGUAAGGUAUUCCACCUAGCUCAGCUGCAUUAAAUUGUUGUUGAAAACAAUUACAUUACGCCCAUGUGUUUUCAAAUGAUUUGAUGUGAAACUGCUUUAUAAUGGCUCUCAACUAUAUUUUGUAAAAAUAUUAUGUUUUGUUUUGAUAUCUCUGCGUACCGGUACUUUUGUAUUGACCCUCUUCCCUUCCAGGUUCGGAGGCACAGUCUAGGGGUCCAAAAAAUCAGUAGAUUCCUCAGACAGAUUUGCAGAGUCACUUGGUGAGCCUUCUAUAUUUCGGAAGGCCUGAUCUCUGGCAGUUUCAUUUAUCAUUUAUUAGUUUUGGAUCUACUGGGGGCCUUGUCCUAGUUUUCAGAUAGAUAUUUAUUUCAGUCAUAUAGUAGAGAUUUUGCAAACAUUAAUAGAGAUAUUGACUUGAGAUUAUGGGACAUUAUUCCCCGUUAUUGAUUUCAUAUGUUUCUUGACCAUGUUUCCGUAAUAUUAUUUAUCUUCCGUAUUUCUUUUAUCAUAUGAGUUAUGUACAUGAUUAUCAGACAAAUAAGGGUAUUUUGGGCCUUCAUGGUUCGGAAUGCUCGUCACAGCUAGGGCCCCAGUUUGGGUUGUGACAAACUUGGUAUCAGAGCACGGUUCAUGGUCCUAGGAUUUUUACAAAAUCACAUCGGGUAGAGUCUUAUUUAUGGGUGUGUAGCGCGCCACACUUAUAAGCAGGAGGAUACUAGGCGUUUAGGAAUGUCUCUCUUUCUUCAUGUUCCAAUUUGUGGAAUAGAGUCAAAAUGUUGCUAUUUCAUACUGUCAUUCGUGCUAUAGUGUCGCCCAUAUGAAGGUAAAGACAUCCCAAAUUCUUUCCUUACUCUGUUUUUCUUAGACAUGUCCCAUUAUUGGGGUGAUUCAAGUGCAAAAAGUUUAGAAUCUACAUGAUAUAGUCUUUUUCGAUUGUGUCAUAUAAGAAAAAAAAUUAUGCAAAGACUCGAGAGGAGUCUGUUGGUGCUUCAAUAUGUGUUGAUUCUGAUGUAAACAUUGAUCCUGAUGGAAUUGUGCUUUCCAGCUUAAGGUAUUAAGUGCAUCUAGUCCCUCCCAAAAAUCUUGAUACAGAUAUGGAUGGUGUAUAGCAGAAUGUUGGAACUGUAUUUCCACCCAAAUAGUAGCAUAAGUUAAAUUGUUGUUGUCAUGACCUAUCGGUAAUGAAAUUAGACCAAGAAGUUAGUGAUGUGAAGUCACAAAUUUAGAAGUCAGAGUGAGGGUUAUUUUUUGUGUAAAUGAAUAUUUCAGUUGAAUAACCGAUAUUUGAGGAUGAUUUACCCCUUUAUAGUGAUAAACUACUGUGGUAGCUAGUAGCACAUGUGGAUGGUAUGGUACUCCAUGGGGGAAGUAUUUUACUCUGAUUUUUAUUUAUACAGAGUAAGAUAGGUAUUAUUAGACCAUUAAAUAUUAUGUGUCAAUUUCCUAUCUCUUGUACUAUGUAAUAUUGUUAUCAUGGUGUUUUUGAAAAAAAAAAAAAUUUAAGUCUAGUGAAGCCAUGUGGGGAUCUUUCGAUUCACUAGCAUAGCUGUCUCAUGUAAUAUGUAAUCUUGUUAUCACGAUGUUUUUGGAAAAAAAAAUGUAAAAACUUUUUAAAGUCUAGUGAAGCCGUGUGGGCUCUUUCGAUUCACUAACAUAGUUGCCUUGUUAUUCAUCUCAUUUUUUGGUUCAAAAAUAUAAAAUUAGAGUCUAGUGAAGCCGUGUGAGGCCUAUUUUGAUUCACUAGCAACUUGUUGUUCUUUUGUUGGUUUAAUAUACGUAUGGCUGAAUCUGUUUGCAUAAGAUGGAGUUGGUAAAGGGGUGAUUCGUCCUUGUGAGUUAUUUUAGUAUAAUUUGAGGAAUUUGAAGGCAGUCUAAAUGUAUGCUUGAGUAAGUAAGUAUGAGGUGAGAAAUCCGCAUAAGUAGAUAAGAUCGUAUAGGGUUAUAAUAUCAGAUUAAGGUUGAUCAUGUCUAUUAUGUGACCUUACCACUUGACUUUUUUCGUUGGUAUUUGUAAACUAGUACUACUUAUGAGAAGGUAUGUAGCAAAUUAUGAGGUAUUUGGAUAGUACUAAAUGACUGGCAGAGAUUUUUCAAAGUUUUACAGGAGUUCUUGAAACUAUUUUCUAAAAAAUUAAGAGUACUUUGAAAAAAAUCUAUAUAAAUCUUUUACUUACUGAUUUCCUAGACAUCAAUUAGGACGGGGAGUCAGGGGUGGAAGUCCCAACAUGAUGAAAUACCUAAAAGAUGGCGAGGGCAAAUCAAGGAUAGUAGGAGGUCAACACGGAGUAGUUUCUUUCAAACUAAUCAUUUUUUGUGGAUGCAGGGAUCGAUACACAAAAUGAGCGUUUCUUUCGAAAAAUCCCCAAGCAAGUCGGGAGCCAUGAUAGAGCAUAUAAUGCUUAAUAACGGUACUUUUGGUAGCCUAAAAAUCGGCUCAACACCCAUUUAUUGACGACCUUUUGAAUUGUCCAUCUCAUUUCUUGAGAUCAUGGAGGACAAACAAAAGUGUCUUGUCUUCUUUACAAAUAUUGUAUUUAGAAUUUUUCUAAAAAAAAUAAUCGCUAGCAAAAGCAACUUUGUGUCUACUAAUCUUCUACCUUGAGUAUAGGUACAUGCAGAAAGCAAGACCUUGACAAAUGAUUUCAGGAGAAACUAUUUUUAAUUUACCGAAAGAACCAUUGCAUGUUAUUGCCAAGAGGUCCAUUGCAUAUCAUCGUUAUUCAAUAUCUGUUCACGCGCUAGAUACAACGCUGGCAUCGAGGAUAUCAUUAGCAUUUAAUAUAUCCAUUGACACAAAAGACACAAUGCUGGCGUCAAGGAUAUCAUCAUCAUUCAAUAUCUAUUGACGCGCUAGACACAACACUGGCGUCGAGGAUAUCAUCAGCAUUCAAUAUAUCUGUUGACACGCAAGACACAACACUCGCGUUAAGGAUAUUAUCAUCUUUCAAUAUUUUUUGAUGCGCUAGACAAUGCUGGCAUCGAGGAUAUCAUCAGCAUUCAAUAUAUCUGUUAACACACAAGACACAACGCUGGCAUCGAGGAUAUCAUCAUCAUUCAAUAUUUGUUGACGCACUAGACACAACGCUGGCAUCGAAGAUAUCAUCAUUAUUAUAUAUCUGUUAACACACAAGACACAAUGCUGGCAUCGAGGAUAUCAUCAUUAUGCAAUAUCUGUUGACAUGGAAGACACAAUGCUGGCAUCGAGGAUAUCAUCAUCAUGCAAUAUCUGUUGACAUGCAAGACACAAUGCUCGCGUCGAGGAUAUCAUCAUCAUGUAAUAUCUGUUGAUGCGUAAGACAUAACACUGUCAUCAAGGAUAUCAUCAUCAUUUUAUAUUUGUUGACACGCAAGAUAUAAAUGCUGGCAUCGAGGACAUCUUAUCAUUUUAUAAAUCAGUAUAUGAAUGCAUCGAGAGCAUACGAUUUGAAGGGACACCUUUAAGUCGCUAUCUAAGGAUGAAUGUAUAUAAGAUUUCUUGGAAAUUAACAAUUUGAGGGUCAUAUAUAAGUCAUAUUAUUUGAAAUAGGAUAGUGUGCAAGAUCACCUAUAAUUUGAUAGCCGGUAGGUCAUCCGUAAGCCACAACAACCUCCUAAUCGGAUAGUGUGCAAGAUCACCCAAAAAUCGAUAGUUCAAAUCCAUAAGUCGAAACUAAAUCCUUACCGGAGAAUAUGGAAGAUUAUCAAAUUGAUACGUCCAAGGAUUCUCUAUAAGCCGUGUCAUAUCUAAGAUCGAUUAUGUGCAGGAUUACCCAAAGACUAAUAAUUUGAGGGAUUAUCUAUAAGUCAUAUUUUAUCCAAGGUCGGAUGAUGUGCAGGAACACCUGAAAGAUAGCGAUUGGAGGGAUAUCUGUAAGCCAUCUCUUAUUCAAAGUAUGAUAAUGUGCAGGAUUACCUAAAAGCUAGAAAUCAAAAGGAUAUCUGUAAUUCACCUCGUAUCCAACAUCAAAUAAUGCGUAAGAUUAUCCAAAGAUUGAUAAUUUAAAGGAAAUUUAUAAAUUGAUCAUCGGCUAUAAAUGGUGAGAUUAUCCAAAGGGUUGCCACACCAGCACAAGACUACACGGUUGUAGAGACUGUUCUGCAUAAAGUAUCACUGGUGUCCAAAAUGGGCACCCACUUUGAAGACAUAUUCAACCGACAAAUGUCAUAAUUAUACAACAACCAAGAGGGUUGUUGUGUUUGGUCUUGUGGUUUAUUUCAUUCCAAACAGGUACAUGAAGAGAUGACUCCGCUUUUCAAGCCACAACUCAUGUGCAGAUAUGGUAAAAGACUGCAUACCUCUUUAGUGAAUUAUGUUUAGCACUAACACUUUUUGCUUGAAGCAUUGUCAAGAGUAUCCGAGAGGAUGAAUAUCUCAAAUGAACACCACAGGUGCAUAUGACUUCAAAUAAGAUGCAACACCCGAAUCCAACCCGUUUUCUUUUUCCUCUUUAUGAUCACGCAUGUUCCAUGAGAAUCCAUACGAGAAGAUGUCGAGAAUCUUCUAGAAACACACUUAGGUGUCUCAUCCAACGUUCAAAUCCCAAAAUUCUCGGAUAGAGGUUUACGAAUUCGUACAUAGAUGGAGUAUUUUCAUUGGCUUGUGAAGAUUAUUCCCUUUCCACCAAUUUCUAUUGGCGACUUUUUGGAAUUUCGUUCAAGAAAAUCAAAAUAGAGGUACAGUUCGUUAGGGUCCGGAUCUUUUGAAUUUCAAAAAUGAACCCUCAAUUUCCUUCUAUAAGUAGCUCUCUUUAGAGAAAGAAAAAGGGAUUUUUUUGGGGAUUUUGGAAUUUUUUUCACUGGCCUCUCCUUUCCUUUAUGGGUUCUCCUCUUCUUUCUCUUUGGAGUUCAAAAUUUUAGAGGCAAAGAGUGUUCAAAAGUUUUGGGUUGAAAAUUUAGGGUUAGAGAAAAUCUUCAAAAAUUCAGAAAUACACAAAAAAAAAAAGGGUUAGAAAGGGGGCUCUCAGAGGGAAAAAAUAUUCUCUUUACGCCUAAGAAACAUACAUUCUUAGGAGGUGCAUCUGAACUGUCGAAGCAGUUGUGAGUUUUUCAGUGGUCGGAAUCCUAUAAUCAGCUUGUUAUCCCAUUUUGCUGCCCCAAAAGAGGUAAAUACACCUUUCUUUUUAAUUUUGUUGUGGUUAUCAUUUUCUUCUUCGUGGUUCCACUUCUGUUUGCUGGGAAUGACUGCUGUAGAGGCCUGGAAGGCAUAGGAUUUUCAUGUUUGAUAUAUUGUUCUACUAAAAAACUCAUUAUUGCCCGUGUUUGAUUGGUUGUCGUUCAUGCUUGAUCUCUCUUAUUUUAUUUUGUUUGAAUGUUACAGUUAGCUUUAAUGCUUCGACUUUAGAAACUAUUUUGCUGGUCUCAUAUUCGAUGUUUCUUUGUAGUUCAUAGAGUAGGAGAAUAAAAUCUUUACGUAUUUUCUAAAUUCAAAAAAAUGUUCAAAGAAUAGAUAUUAGGCAGCCUGUUCGCAUAUCUUUUUCACUCAAACGCAGGAAAUUGUUAUAAAUAAGAACUAGAAUGUUAUUUUCUUUCGACUUGCCACUUUAGAUGUACAAUAGUCUUAUUUUAUUCUAAAGUUUAUUUUAAAAUAUGAGAGUGGACCAUAGGGAUGAAUUAUGUUUUCUUCAUGGCUAAUUCAAUUUGCCGUAAUUGACUCAUGAGAACAAAUUAAAGUUUGACGGGNNNNNNNNNNNNNNNNNNNNNNNNNNNNNNNNNNNNNNNNNNNNNNNNNNNNNNNNNNNNNNNNNNNNNNNNNNNNNNNNNNNNNNNNNNNNNNNNNNNNNNNNNNNNNNNNNNNNNNNNNNNNNNNNNNNNNNNNNNNNNNNNNNNNNNNNNNNNNNNNNNNNNNNNNNNNNNNNNNNNNNNNNNNNNNNNNNNNNNNNNNNNNNNNNNNNNNNNNNNNNNNNNNNNNNNNNNNNNNNNNNNNNNNNNNNNNNNNNNNNNNNNNNNNNNNNNNNNNNNNNNNNNNNNNNNNNNNNNNNNNNNNNNNNNNNNNNNNNNNNNNNNNNNNNNNNNNNNNNNNNNNNNNNNNNNNNNNNNNNNNNNNNNNNNNNNNNNNNNNNNNNNNNNNNNNNNNNNNNNNNNNNNNNNNNNNNNNNNNNNNNNNNNNNNNNNNNNNNNNNNNNNNNNNNNNNNNNNNNNNNNNNNNNNAAUGCUAUGGCUUAUUAAUUGUUAAAAUCUUGGACGUAUGUUAAUUUCUUCAUUCCUUUCUUUUCAUUCACCCCCUUGAAGUUCAAAUGGGCCCCUUCUCUCUUGUCAUUUCAUAAAUGGGCCAAUGAGGCCUAUCCUUCCGAGUUAAUCCCAAAAGAAAAUCCAAGAAUCCAUCACAUGGUGUAUGAAUACGAGGAAUCGAAAGAAGAAUGGGUUAAAGUUCCAUCUUUGAAGCGGCAAAGGGGACUUGAAAAUCUCGUUAUUUCUUCUUUAUUAAUUUAUUUAUCCAUUGUUUCCAUUAUUUAUUUAUUUACUUAUUUAUAUUUUUGUUUAUUUAGUGAAUUAUUUAUUUAUUCAUUUGGGCCUCGAAGCCAAAGUUGUAAAUUUAAAAUAGGUGGAACGAGACUUGAGCUAUUUGCUUACUUGUUUUACGUGUGUUUUACGAACCUAGUAAAAUCCUUAGUCAAGUCGCUAAAAAACUGGUUUUGUAUAAACACCAAAAUAUUUCUAAAAUUGCUUUUCUUUUCAAAAAAUAAACUUUUUCAAAGUUAAUCAAAAGACGAUUUUCAAACAAUCCGGAUAACCAUAAGUUAGCGAACAUUUUAGAUGCCUAAUACCUUCCUAAAACGUUAAUAGGAACUGCUUAUCUAGAAUCUCUAACUUAAAACGAUUUUUCUAUUUUGAAUCGUUUGCAGUAACUCUCUAACGGUUUCUUAAUUCCUUUUCAAAAUUAAGUGGCGACUCUCAAAAAGUCAAAAAUUCCGCAAAACAAUAUCAACCACAAUCACAUCCCCACAUCUACUACCCCCACCCGAAAGUAGCAGAAGAAUAAAGGUUUGUAGUAAUUCAAUCCUCUUGACGCUUGCGCUCCUUCUCUUUUAGUUCAUUAACAAAUUUGUUAAAUAUUUCAAGCAGCAAGCCCUUAUCACCCAUUAUUCUGUAAAAUAAUAACAGCAAAGAAAUUCACAUUCAAUAGAUUACGACAUAAUGAGAAUCAUGAGAUUAUGAAUAAAAAAGUAAAAAUCCAGAGCAUUUCAUUUUAUAGCCAAAGAGGCUAGACAAAUUAAAACUAGAGAUUUAGCAGCAUACUUCAUCAGAACCGUGAAACAAUCACAAAUGCCAGAAAUUAAAAAACUAAAACAAUCACAAAUGUCAUAAAUUUAAAAACUAACUGCUAGACCUAUUAACUGCUAGAUAUCAAAACAAGAUAACCCUUGCAAUUCUCUCUUCCCACAUACAUAGAUUAUACGCCAUGACCAUAAAUAACCUCCAAAAUCCAAAUGAUAUAUGAAGAAUAUCCUCAUUACAAAAUAGAAAAUGAUCGUUGAUAUCAUCCAGUUAUGUUGUUUAACCAGUUUCGUAGAGUAAAACUCUUAUCCACUAACUGUAAAAACAGAAAACUACAAGGCAAAUUUCUUUGAAUUAAGCAACUUAAUAUAUGUACGGUAGGUGUAAUAUUAAACACCGCCGUCCAGGAAAUAAAAACUAAGGAAAAUGGUACCAAAACUGAAGAAUUGGAAGCAAAAGCUAACAUCAAAUAUUUGAUCAAUGUGGUCCUCGUCUUUAUUCUUGAAGGUUUCAGGCUUACUUGCUAACCGACACACUACUAUUCUAUUAACUCUAUUACAAGAAGAUCCAAAUUUAAUGUGGGAUAGGUUAUGGUUGAUACUAAAUAAAAAUGCCACUAACCACAGUUGACUACCUACGAGUUGCCAAUUUAGCAAUCACAAACUGACCGAAUUCCAGUGAAACAUAACAUGGAAGUACUACUAAUGCUUUUGCACUCAAUCCACUCAUCUUAUGCAGGACCUGUCCCAAAGACAAAAAGGGGACAAAUACAUAGAAAUCCAUUUAGUGACUGGGGUACUUCAAUUUUCACAACAUUUAAUUCAACAUGGGUCGAUGUGAAACAGUAUACAGUGCUUAGCCAUAAUUAGACCUUUAAGUUGGUAUCUGUCAUUAGUGGAGAGCUAAUAUACUUGUCGAUUGCAACCUUAAAAUCAUCAAGCGUCCAGGCUGAUGUCAAUCCAAUCUGAAAGUAGAGACGGCUCAGCCAAAAUAUUAGGUACUAACUGAAGCACAACAAAGGUUAAAAUGAAGAGUGGUGAUUACCUCGACCAUCCUAAUUGCAUCUUUAAUUUGUGACUUGUGAUCAAGAUACUGAAGCAACAUACAAGUAACACAAAUUCAGAAUGCUUAUAAGUAACAAAAAUAGGAUACCAAAUGGAGCUUUGUCCAUGCAUUUGAGUUACCAUAAAGUUUAUAAAUUACAAGCAGGGUGAUGGGGAUGAAAUUUCUUUCAUGAAUACCAACAUUUCUCCACUUGUUCAAAGUCAUCUACAAUAUCACAAGACACUUGACACAUAAACUUAAUUGCACUGAUCAGGUUAAAUUGAAGGAAAAAUCAAGCACCCCUGUUUGGAUAAUAGAAAAAAAGUGAAUAAAUAAAAAUGGAUAGCAUCUCUGUUAACAGCGCUUUCGUUAUAUUUACUUAAUAAGAAUCAUUUAUGCACACAAACAGUAAUACAAACUUUAAAGAUAGAAGUUGACAUCUUUAUCUUACAAGGGAAAAAGAAAAGAUUUUCCGCAUCUGAGUUUAUGUAUAACUCUCACCAUCCCAUAGCAAGAGCCUAACUCAAGAAAACAUUACCAAAUUCAAUCACUGAAUAAGAGUACGAACAAGAUCAUUACCAUGCUAGGAUACCAGGUAAACUCCCUCUUUCAUCAAGCAAGGAGAUAAAUGCUAAUAACAUUUGAUCAUUCAACUUCAAUUCUUUUCGGAAAGGGCAGAGGAUGAAACAAUAUAUCGUUUAGUUAGGCGCAAGUGUGUAUUACGGCAAAAAAAAAUCAUAGUGAGGGAGAUGCAACUUUAUUUAGAGAAACAGAGAUGCUCUCAGGUUCUUUUUCCGAGGCUAAUCUUUUCUAAGCCUUUACUUUCAUUACAUCUCAACUACCUCUUCAGAGGCGAAUUCUGGCACUAAGUUUAUUUAGUCCAAUUUAUAUGGUUGAUAACACAAUAUUUUGAAUUAGGUUUUAAGUUGCACGAUAUCAUCCGAAGUUAAAUCAAAACUGGGGUGUGGUACAAAUGGACAAAACAUGGUCGAAACUUGACCAGACAAACUACUUUCAGGUCUCAUUUGUUUGCACUUAUUGGAUUUAUGAACCUGUUCAGACCUCAAACCAUUAAGUGCAUUUAUUUUUUUAGGAUUUUAGCUCUUAAUAGGUCUGAGUAGGUCUUAAUCAUUCAGAUGUGGAACCAAGUCUAAAUAUCAUUUACAGAUAUUCUUGUGUAGGAUAAAAUUCACCACUACUCUAUCCACAAUCACUUGCCACCACCACCAACCACUUUCACCAUCAAAACCAACAUCACUACCACCUACACUGCCAGCCGCUACCACACCUACAACUUCCAUUAUUCUAAUUAUAUCCACCGCCAACUAGGGGUGUUCACGGUUUAGUUUUUAACCAAACUGAACCGCGAUCCAAACCACACCGAUUAAAAAAACCUAUAUUUGGUUAGGUUUGGUUUGGAUUUGAAUUUUAAAAAACCGAUACUAAUUUUGUUUGGUUUGGUUUUCCUCUAAAAUAACCGACAAAAUAACCAAACCGAACCAAUAUACAUAUAUAUAUUAUAAUUAUUUAUAUGUUUUUCAUAAAUAUAAUCUAAAUAUUUGUUACAUUUUCUAUUUUAAUCAUGAUUUAACUUUAGUCGUAACACAUUCAGUCAUAUGUCUUCAUCUAGUUGACAAUACAUUAUGAGAUUUUAAAUGAAUUUCAUAUUUUGAAUGACAAAUGAUACUAAUUGUGAAAAUAAUAUCUUGUUAUAUAUUGAAAUUUACAGCUGAAAUUCUUUAGACUAUACACAAUCACUAAUUUUAACUUUCUUUUGAACCUUGUUGGGCAAGAAGUUUAUGUGUUUACCUUUUGGGGUUUAUCAUAUCAUUCUAUUAAAUAUAGUUUUUAAAAUUUUUUUUAAAAGCGUUCAUAUGGUGUUAUCAUGGGUUUGCCGAAGUAUAACACUCAGUUGAGAUCAUAUUUUCAAGAUUGAGAUACAACACUCAGUUGACAUCUCAUAUGUUAGAUUGGAUUUGUUUUUUAAAAUUCUCAAAUUUUAUCAUUAACUAAAGUUAUAAACCAAAAAACCCGAAUCAAACCGAACUAAACCGAUAAGAACCAAACAGAUGGUUAUUGUUUUUUUUGGUUAGGUUUGGUUUUAGAAAUUUAAAAACCGAUUAAGUUGGUUUGGUUAUGGUUUUGACCAAUAACCAAUCCAUAUCGACCCAUGAACACCCCUACUGCCAACGCCGCCACCAUCAACUGCUACCGGUCGAUCCCUACUACAAACCAACUCAUCUAUCAGAACUAGCAUUACCACUAAUAACCACCAACACAUCAUCAACUUCCACACAUCGCUAACAACCACUAACAGAUCAUCAACUUCCACACAUUCUUCGGACACCAUCACCACCACUGUCACCGGCGUCACCACCUCUACCACUACCAUCACAGCUAACAGCGUCUCCAAUGACCACUAACACAUCGUUAACCAUCAUGCAUAUAGUUUUCCUUCACCACAAUCAACACCUCCAACUACUAACAUUAACCAACUUCACAUCACAACCACCACUACCACUACUAAUCGCCAAUAUCAUGACAGUUACUACAAUGCCAUCUAUCUCUACUAUCACAACUAUCAUCACCAACAUUGCUAAUCACUAACAUCAAUUAAUUUAUUACAACCACCACCACCAUUACAAACCAUCUCCACUAUCACUAACAAACAUAAAUGUUUCUUUUUUUAAUCAAAUAAUAAUUUAAUUGCAUUAAAUUAAAAAACUUUCUAAUAUAUAAUUAUAUUAUAUUUAGAAAUAAAUAAAUUUUACACAUUCAGAUAUUGAGAAACACCCAACCUUAAUCAUUUAGUUUUCAGAUCUAGAGAUAAUAUCUUAACCGUUCAGAUGUGCAUUCAAAAUGAUUCAAAUAUAUGAAUAUUAAUAAAAACAAAUGCAGUCUUAGCUGAAACACAAUGGUAUGGUUGUGUGAUACUUUAAAGGAGUCCUCGAAAGCCAAAGAAACUACGUGAAAACAUGGAAGUUUGAUCAUCACUUCUCAGAGUUGUUCUACUCGAGAAACUAUAACAAUUAAGGUAAUAUAACCAUUAACAGCAUUCAACGGAGGAGAAGUCAAUUACAAUUGUCCGUGAAGUAGCAUUUAAUACAGCUUUGCUAGAUUGAAAGAAUCAUCUAUAUCUAUACUAAAUUAAAAGCAUGGAACCCCUAACUUAAAAGUUUGCGACAAUACCAUUCCUAUCAGCCUAAAUACCUACUAUCUAGUAAAAAAAGAGGAAACUAAUUGGCAUAAAGAGAAACAAUACAGAUGUUAAUAGGAACAACCAGUCAUUGUUCUUAUCUCAACAAAAUAUAUGUUAUUUAAAAAAAGCAAGCAGAGGGGUAACUCUCAAAUGUCAAUCUCAUGCUUUUAUCCUACCAAGUAUGUUCUAUUCUUUAAUGCACAACAACAAUAACAACAACAAAUCCAGUAUAUUUCCACAUACUAAUGCACUAACUUUCUUUUUUACCUAAUUAAUUGAACUUUUUAGUGAGGAUCUAAAUGAUUUUCAGACUUUGUUUAACAUCUGAUUCAUUAAGAUGUAUUAGUAAUAGGUUGAAUCUUUUGAAAAAAAACACUUAAUGGGCUGAUAUCUUAACCAUUAAGAUUCAGACCUUCAUUAAGUGAAAGCAAAUGAAAAGGGAUUGUAGUGUAAAGUCUAUAAAUAUGGCUUAGAAUAACAAAUGUAGUUGACACAAUUCAAUACUCCUAUUAUCAACCUAUUUCACCUGUUUCUCCAGCUCAUCCAUAACAUCUGUAAAUAAGUCUUUUGCUAUUGAUUCUAAAGUAUUUGAUGAGACAGCUACAUAUGCAGCAAAAUCUUUAAUCUGCAAGAACAAAAUAAAGAAGGAAAUUAUUGGAUGAAAAAAUCAAAAAGACAAAAAGGGAACUCAUGAAGGUAAUCACUCACUGAACACAAGAAAGAAAAACUAACUUUGAUGCAAUAAUCACGCCAGUUAGUUUUUGCAUUAAGUAUUCCCGCAGGAACAUGCUCUUCCAUCAGUUUUCGAAACUCAUCAAAAUUUUUACGUUCAGCUUUCCUCAAUUCUUCCUAUUUGAAUCAAUGGUGUAUGCCCAGUGAGAAAGAGAUAAAUCAAAGUCUCCAAACAUAAAUUUAAUUUUAACCCCCGAGUCUAAUAAGCAAUAUACCAUCCGUAGUUUCCUUUGCUCCUCCUCUUUGCUCUCUAAAUCACAUAUAUAUUCCUAAAACAGAAAAGGUUGCAACAUAACUUUAAAACAGAGGUGUACAAAUGAGAUGUUUGGAAAAAGUUAUUUAUGAUGUAUUAGAAAAAUGAGUUGUACCUGGAAAAUCUCCAAACGAUCAAUUUUGUCAAGGCGGGAGCAUCUUUCAUCAUUUUCCAAGCGGUCCUGAACUUUCCGCCACUGGCUACUGGCCUGAACAAAAGAACUCAGCAACAGUGGAACUAUAGAAGUUCUAUCUCCUGGAAAUAGAAAAACAUAAUCUAGGAACUGAUGCUAAUUCCACUAGAACAAAUACCUUAAUAAAGUCACAGGAUUUUAAAAAUUCUAAGUACUCCACUCUAUUGCGCUUCUGCUCCUCCAAUGCCUUCUCAUGCUCCUAAUAAAAUCCAGUACAAAGUAAAAAAAAUAAAAUUUCUCUAUAAAGAAGACAAUAUUUACAAAGAGACUUUAACUACACUUGCAUGAAAGUAUUGAAAAACUUUUUCUAUUUUACGACGGAGGGGGAGAGGAAGAAGCAUAUCAUAGUUUCAAGUUUCAAGAAAAAUUACAUACAAUACAUGGAAGUCUAUUUAUAUUAGAAUUCAAUGGUGAACAAAUUUAAAUCUUGUACCCUUGAGAAGCCAUUAAAAAUGUAUUCAAAGAACACAAGAUUUUAAGUUGAAUAUCUACAACAUUCCUUCUUUCUACUCUUUAAGCAAAAUAAAAAAAGGGAACAAACUAAAAGACAUCCUGCAAAGGAAAGGAAUGGAAUGACUGUUGUUAAUCAAGUGGACCAGUGCCUAACUCAACUUCGAAAACUAGGUCAGGUGGUGAAGAUUGUCCUUGAUCAUAUAAGGAAACUACAGCACAUACACCUUACUAGUGUGGGAUUCUCAUACACUAAUCGCACACCAAGACUAGACAUUUGUAGCAUCAGUUAACCUUGGUUGGCCAACAUCUAAUAGUCUAACAUCAAGAUAGAUCUGCCUCUAAUACCAUGUUUAAGAAAUUGGACCUUGUUUCUAGCUCAAAUGAAAGUCUAACUCAAUUUGUGAGGAGCCAAAGACCAUAUAAGGAAACUACAGUCCGAACACUUAGUUUUUAACAUAUAGAAACUUACAAGAAGGUUCUGCAAAAGGAGCUUCACCUUUUUCUCAAGUUCCUCCACAUAAUCUUCAAAAAGGUCCUCACAGUCUUUAGCUCGCUCAACAGCUUUAAAACGCUCAUCAUGUUCGAAUAUGUUCGAAUAUGGAGAUUUCCUUACUGAAUAAUCAAUAGCAAAUAGUCAGUGGAUCAAAUGGAACUUACACAAGUAAUGGAUCAACUUCAAGGUACCAAAACACAUACAAACAAUGACCAAGAUUAGAAAACAAGCAGCAGACAACUUAACAUUACAAGUGAAAGACAAACCUCCAUCUUGACGAUGGUGACAGCUCCUUGCAAUCCUGUAAGAUUGAGAACAACGGACAUUGUUGUGAAAAAUACCACUUAUUCUUUUGAACAAGUCAAAUACCAGUCUCUAACACAUCAUGAAUAUUAUGAUAAUAUCUUUUUAUUUUUGAAACUGGUAAUGUGAAUAUCAUGAUUUAUCAAAUGGAAGACAACCACAAAAGAAAAUUUCACUUACUUCUAACAUUAUCCUGAAAUCUUCCCGAGCUUUUUUCUGUUUAACACACCUCUCUUCAGCUUCCAGUUUUUUCUUUUGGCUCAGAUACUAGAACAGACACACAACUUCAAAAUGAUCAUUAUAGACCUUGGGUGUGUUUGGUAUGAAGGAAAAUGUUUUCCUAGAAAACAAGUUGGUUUCUUACUUGUUUUCUUAUGUUUGGUUGAUGAAAGGAAAACAUUUUUCAAAAAAUGUUUUCUAGUGUUUGGUUGGUGAAUAAAAAAAUAUUUUUCAGAAAAUACAUUUGAGAGUUGUACAAACAUUUCAACUUAAGAGUGAGAUUGAAAGAGAGUUUUGGAAAAUGUUUUUCCUACAUUUUGAAGGGAAUUCAUUUUCCUUAAAUUUAAGGAGAAUAAGUUGAUUUGGAAAAUAUUUUCCAAAAUUUUUAAGUCAACCAAACAUGGAACAAUUGGAUAUCAAACACAAUCUAUCUUUUUGCAAUACAGUAUGCUGAAAUAUUGAAGCAGCAAUUAACCCAUUCCAAUGCCGACUUGGAGAGAUACCUCAUUAAAAGCUUGCUUCCACUCACAAAGGGAUUUUAGAGCUCCAUAUCUCCGGUCAUUAAUUACUGCUCUCAUGGCCUGACAAAUACAAUUCAUGUCAAAUGAUCUCCCUCAAUUGUUUGGUACGCACAAAAUAGUCAAGUAAUAAACCUGAUCCUACGUGCAAUCAGACCCAAUAUUUGCAGAUUCCAAAAGAGUUUUGAAUGCAUUCUUUGCCUCCUAAAUAAAAUCAGAUACUUAAAAUAGAAAUAAGAGAAAUUUCGAGAACAUACAUUAAACAAGGGAAAAAGCAAUAAUCAACUAUACCGCUUUGCUCUCAUAAACUAAUGGUCCCAGCUCGACUGUUUUCUCAUCUGAUGGAGUAGCACCUCUGAUUUCAGUUAUUGCAGCAUCUUACUUGACAUUCUACAUUUUAGGCACAACAUCAAGCACAAAGGGAAAAAUCAAACCUCAUUGGAAUUUGUAGCAUAUUCUUUACCUGUUAGCAGUUGACUAACAACUGCACUACAAAAUUGUUGGAUCAACAUCUAGCAUAACAGCUACGAAAAGCUUUCUUGGUGUUUUAACCAGUAACCAGUAGUAAUUAACUAAUCUCAUAAGUAUUUGAGAAGGACAAAGUACCUUUCUAUUCUCCGAAGAAAAUCCAUCACCAUACACUACUGCAUCUUAAGUUGUAGUAGUCUCAGAACUACAGAAAAAUUGAAUUCCAAAUAAGAAGCAACACAAACCAGAGGCAAAUUUAUAACAUAUAAAUUUGAAAACAUACACCGGUGGCGCGACAAAAUUUCCCAAGGUUACUGCAAUUCCAAUUUUCUCCGAAUUAGCAACAGCUGGCGAAGUAAGUUCUGAAGAAUUCUUCAUUUUGACUGUUUCAAUCAUCGGAAUAGAAACCUUACCAGAUAAACUUGAUGAUUCUGAAGCCACAAUAGUUGGUAAGUUAGCAGCUGGUGACAUAGCAAUUGGGCUUGAUUUAGUACCGUGUGCCAAGACUAAUAAACCAUCUGCACCCGGGAUGAUGUUUUAACAACAGAAAUGGAUCCAAAAUCAGAAGCGUGCGAAAUGGUGUCCUUUUUACGUGCCAACUGUGAAUUUAUAAAUAAUUGAACUUUAUAAGAAUAGAGUUUCCAAGAAAACAGAAUAUUGCCCCUUCUUAUCAUGCUAGCAACUGUGAAUGCAUAAAGAUUUUAUGAGAACUAGAGCAUCCGAGAAAACAGAAUAUUAUCCCUUCUUAUCAUGCUAUUUAAAGCAUAUAACAAUCCCUUCUUAUCAUGCUAUUUAAAGCACGAAAUAAACCCAUAUUGGAUUUAAAUAUAACAUCACCUUGACUUCAUCAGGCAUUCUCCAUUUGGACGUUCUAGUAACCUUCUUGUAGUAAUACCUACAGAAAACAAACAAAGAAAUCAGCAUUAUGCACAAGUAACACACAAAAGUACCCACUGUAGAAGAACAAUUGGAAAGAGGCCAAAAAAAUAUAUAAGUUACACAUUUUCUUCCCUCAGGACUUGUAAAUUUUCUCCGGUCAGUUAAUGUGUCUGCCCUCUGUCCCAAUGAAAACAACAUAAAAGCAGGUCAAGUCAAAAAAUAGAACAUAAACAGUACCCUGAGAGUAGAAUUCAGUAACUUCCAGCAGUACAAUACUGGAUGGAAGUGUUAGAAUAUGAAUGAUAUAAUGUCCCACAUGGAAAAGGACUAGAAUUUACUGUGUAGAAUAUAACUACAAGCAAGGUGGAAACAUUGCCAAGCUGCGUUCGAGCUACAGCUAUCCAAGGGUGAUCAACUGAAUAACAUUCGCCUGAUAAUCACAUUUUGUAUAUAUAUAUAUAGGUUAAAUUCUGUCAUUUCUAAGUAUUUUUUUAUAAACAACCUUGCCACAAAAAAUAAGACUGAGUAUGAUAGUAAGGGUGUUCAAAUCCUACACUGAGGUUCUAUGUUCCAUACCCAACACAGCCCUUCCAUAAUUGUUUCUCCAUUUGGACACGUUUGAAAAUCAUAAACUACAGUUAUGCUUUUUUUCGAUGAAUAAAUUUCUGAACAUGCGUUUUUUGUCCCAAUUAGCUCUUGCAAAAGAGCUAGCAACUAGCAUGCCAUGUAUAAGAAUUUUGUUAAAAUAAACAUAAAGGUAAAUUUAUAAAAUGGUUGUUAUACUAGCUAUCUUGCAUGGGGCAGAGUGUUUAGCUGGUCAAGAGCUCGCAUGUUCGAAAGAUAAACGUAGCAGAAAUGAGGAUGUUGAGAUUGGUGUGUGAGCAUAGGAGAGAUAGAAUAAGGAACAAAGAUAUGCGAGAAAAAGUGGUAGUGCUCUCUAUGGUGGACAAUUUACAAGAAGAAUAGAGGGUUGGGGAUAAAGAACCUAAAAAUUCAAAGUAAGGCUCUCAUGUUGAAAUGGUUGUGGAAAUAUGAAAACAAUAACCAGCUGCUAUGGAGGAAAGUGAUUAGGGCUAAAUAUCCUGAAGAAGAUAGAUGGAUAACUAAAGAAGUGACCACACCAUACGGAGUUAGCCUCUAGAGAUCUAUUAGAUCUAUUAGACACUAGUGGAAUGAAGUUAAAAGCAACUCAAAGGUUAAAGUGAUGGAUGGAAACAAGACUAGGUUCUGGAAGGAUAAUUGACAUGAGGAUGGGAAUAUGGAAGUGACUUUUCCAGAUAUCUACAACUUGGUAUUGUUUCAAUAGAGGACUAUAGCAGAAUUAUGGACACCACAUAGGUGGAACUUCAAUUUCAGAAGGCAACUUAAUGACCGGGAGGUAAUGAGAGUAGUUGAAUUUUUUAAUACCGUAGGCUUAUUCAAUGGACUGCAGACUGUGAAGGACAUACUAUGGUGGAUGGGAAAUGAAAAAGGAAUGUCCAGUGUCAACAAAGCCUACAAGAUGAUGAACCAAAUAAAUCACCCGAAUCCAAGAUGGACAUGGAAGAAAAUAUAGAAAAGUAGGUUACCUCACACAGUGUCGUGCUUUGUCUUUGUGUGGUUACUAACCAAGGAAGUAGUUCUUACACAAGAUAAUGUCAUGAAGAAAGGGAAAACCUUGUGCUCCAGAUGUUUCCUCUGUGGAUAAACUUUAGAGACGUUUAACCAUGUAUGUCUACAUUGUAAGUACACCCAACAACUUUGGAGAAUAGUCUUAAGACUAAAAGUCAUUUCCAGGACAAUGCCUAGGAAAGUAUCUGAGACUUUAAUGUGCUGGGAGAAGUAGGUGUACAUGCGAAGGACAGAGGUAGAUGGAGACUUAUCCCUGGUGCUAUAUGGUGGGCUAUUUGGAAAGAAAGGAAUUCUAGAUAUUUUGAGAGCAUAGAGAAUAGUGUGCAGAAGGUUAAACUCAACUGUAUUUUGCUUUUAUGUUUUUGGUGUAAUCAACUAUACUCUAAUGAUACUGCCUCGAUAAUUGAUGUUCUAGACUAAAUUUAGAUAUAGAACAGUCGAUUUAGGAGUACUCUUGUAUAUAAAGGUUUCAGUACAACCCAUGUGCUGUUUGAUAUAAUACAAAGUUACAAAGUUAAAAAAAAAGAUAAUAAUUUUUCAAGAACUAAAAGUUUAUAAAAUAACAAAUAAAGCAAUUAAAUCUGAGUUCAAAUUGGGUGGGUUGGGCUAUGACCCGCAUUUUAGAGCAUUUCAACCCAACCCAUUUCAGCCCAAGUAGCUUUAGGGCGGGUGGAUAACCCGCCCAUUUAUUAACUCAGACCUCUUUGAUCAGCCCAAAUCUAGCCAGCCCCGCCCAUGUGACACCUUUAGUUUAAUAGAAGUAAAGUGGACCAUGCCAAAACAGAUCUAUUGAGUUGAAGUAAAGUGGACUAUCAAAGGACACACAACAAUCUGUUGAGCUGUUGGAUUAAAGGGGAUUAGCAAAAGUUAGAAGAAAUGGGGGAGAACAAUCCUUCCUUGUAUUUGGUGGACUGUAUGGAGCGAGAAAAGUUGAAGGAAUUUUGAAGAUAAAUAUAAUUCCAUUCAGAAAGUUAAAUGGAAUAGCAUUGUAGAUUUUUGUUUAUUGUUUAAGGGCCAAUGUGUACAGAAUGCAUAACAGGUAGUAGAUCUCUUCAAAUCCUCGUAUUAUUUUCAUUAUUUUUCAUUUUUUUUUUUGGACUGCUAGCAUAACCUUAACUCUGACGAAUGCAAAGUAAUAUCUCCAAAAAAAAAAUUGUUUAUCUCGAAAAGAAAAGAAUAAAAAUGUUCAAACUUCCUUACAGCUCUAGUUGUUGGUCCCUUAAUACUUGUCCCUCACAACCAGCCAAACUUUCUUUGAUAACCGUCGUGUUUGGGCCAGCUUGCACCUUGACUAGUUACACCAGGUACUGCUACCUCCCACCAGCAUAGAUACUGGGUAACUCUAUCCAUCAAGGCUUGGACAGACGGUAAGAAAUCACCUAGUGCUUUUAUCUCUGUUGGAAAUUAAACCUGAGACCUCAUGGUUCUCAAUCUACUUCAUUGACAACUAGGUCACACUCUUGGGUGCAAGUAUGCAACCAGCCAAACUAUUAUUCUGUAAACCAGAAUGAGAAGUGUGAACCGCAAUAUUAUAUCAAGUUUACUCUCUCCAUAUCGCCAUAGAGUUACAAUAACAUUACAUUAAUCAGAAAGUAAAUAAAAUUGUUUAAAAUAGACCAAAUAUAAUCCUGCCGUGUAUACUUAAACACAUUUUUUAGAACAAUAGUGUUAAAUAUAAAAUCUUUUAGAACUAUAUUGGAAAUAAAAAGCCAAUACAAAUCCUAAAUGAAGCCUACAUAGUAUAGUAAGAUCGAGGAAAUCUGCUCGCUAAACAAACUUUCAACAGAAAUCACAUAUACUUAGGAAAGAAAAAGUGGUUCUACGAAGCUUCAUAGAAAAAGAAUUGUGUACUUCUUUUUUCAUUGAUACGCACAGGAAACUGGAUAAAACUACCCAUGAAAAUCUCGAUGACACGAGACCUCACCUCCAUUUCUGUCAUCAGCUCUCGAGGUUUCUCCCAGGUAGAGAUUCUUGUCCUUCUAUUAUAAUAGUAUCUAAAAAUCAAUUCAAGAAUUGUGAAUGUUAUUUUAAUUGGUUGGAGUAAUAAAGCAAUAGGAGUCAGGUAGAAUUUGGUAGCGGUGAACGGCAGCCCAUAUGAUAACUUUGACAAAGAGGACUGAAACAAAGGGGCCUAUUAUCUCCAGUGCUAAUGGAAGCAAAAUGAUGUACAAAGCACUAGAUGUGGAUACUUGAGGGAUUUAUUGGCAGUGAUGGGGGCCAACAUAUCCACCACUUGUUCAUAGACAUGACAUUAAGUGUUUGUGAUGUAGACAUUAACCUAUUCAUACGAGUAACCUAUGUGAAUAUAAUCCAAAAGCAAGAAUUCUGGAAAGCCAAAUCGGCAUGCUCUUUCUUCUGUCUGGAGAACACAAAGUGGUAAAAAGAUUGGAUCUGAAUGAAGAUGAUAUUUUUGCAGAGCUCCUUUUCUUGUAUACCGUGGUUUUACACCUUUUUUGUUCACUGGAAUCUUAAUUUUCUUACAAAAAACUAUCAUAGAAUUCAAAUGUUGACUCUCUCAGUCAACACAGACCCAUUAACCCAUUAACUUAAGCAUACUUGUUGACAAUAUUUAUGCAAAAUGGGUACAAUAAAACACAUUGAAUUCUCACCAGAACAACCAAGGGAGCUGCUAAUUCUCCAGUCUUCUGCAUAGUUGUCGCAAAAUUCACAUUAUGAUUACUUAUUGGCAUCCAGGGUUGUACCCCUGAUGGAAACCUAUGAUUAUUUAUCUGUGUCUGAUACUGGGAGCCAGAAGAAUCUGCAUUUACCUGCUGUUAAAGACGAUAACAAAAUGUAUUUCAUCAAUAUAUGAAUGAAACAUCGAAAACUGAUUGACUAUAACCACAAAAGAUCUUCCCAAGGUCUUACAUUAUAUGAUGAAGAAAGAGGUAAAUUUGGCCCACCAGAACCAAGCAUGUGGUUAUUUGACAUCGGAAGAUUUUGCUGAAAAUCAUGGGGAAUAGGUGGUCCCUGAGGCAUACUAUACAUUCCUACUACAGGGAUACCAGUAACCUGUUGCAUAGGUUGAGGAAAUUGGAUUUGAGAAGGUUGAGACAUCGCAACAUUUGCAUGUCCAAGUGGCAGAAAUUGUUGAGAUGGCCCGGAACCAUAAGGUUGUGCCUGCUGGACUGGAAGCAUAGGCUGGAACUGCUAAAGAUGUGGGGAAAAUAGUUAUCAUAAUGUCUCUACAUUCAAAAGUCAUUUAUCCCUCCCCCAAGCCUCCACAACUUUACCUGCAGUGACAUGGAUGGAAUAGAACCAGGAGCAGGACCAGGCAGACGAGGUAUAGGAGGCUUCUCAACCAAUAUCUAUGCAAGGAAGAACAGAUGAAAUCAGAAUAUAGCUACUUUUCAAUCAUAUUUAGUUAAUUUUCCAAUCAAUGCUGAAAGCUUGUAACCAUGCGCAACUCCCUAAUUUAAUUUGAAAGACAAGGCAAGAAUUUUGAAGCCAAACCACAUAGUAACAUGAAACCCUUUUCUUCAUCUUAUAAACAGAAAGCUUGAAACGAGAAUAAAGAGAGAUAGGAAAUAGAUGACCUAUCACAGCGUUUGACGAGAAUGGACAAAAUGAGAAGCAUCUUUACCUUAUGGCUUGGGUUUAACAGAUACUGAUGGCCUAAGUAUCUUUUCUUCGGGUGUAAAGAAGCACGUCUGUUAAUGCAAAACUAUGAUCAUGGAACUAAAACAUGAGGUAUGAGUAGGUAUCAGGCUAACUGAAAAAUUCUGAGACCGGAAUGGGUUGAGCCUCACUCUUCCCUUCUGAUGUUCUAUGCCAUACUGACAUCACUACUAGAAUCUAAAAGCCUAACUUGGUUAUUCGCUCUAUCAUCUCCCCCUUAGCUUCAAGCUAUCAUAUUAAGUUUGGGAGAUCCCUUACUAGACUCUAAACUGAAGUACACUCACUGUACUCUGGGGUCUGGAAAACUACUAUACAUGUAUAUCAUGGAACUUAACCCGAAUGACUACACUUGAAAGUGGAAACCCCACUGUUAAUACUACCUUCUGAGAUGCACUUUAUCAUUCUAUAGACCCAGUAGUCAUCAUAUAAUACUUGCAUACUUACUAACUUCGGGUCUUCAUGGGUAUCCCCCAUAGUUGGAGUGCAUACCCUCUAGUGCUUUAACUCUUAUUUCUAUUAGUUCAACCUUUAAAAACUCAAACUUAGAACCUAUCACUCAACAUUGAUAUCACCAAGCCUUCAAUGAAUCGUACUACUUCCGACAUAGCCUACCAAUAUCGCGACUCCAAACUUACAUCUCUCUACUAUGAGAAUCAAGAUCAUAUAAAAGGGUCAACACUAUCAAUCAAAACUCUUUUACUUGGCUAUUUAAAACACCAUAUACCAUCUAACUAGUCUUUCUCCACUAGCAACUCAACGGUACCACUCGUCACACAAAACGUGUAAUAGUCUUAGAAAAUACCGAAACCUCAGAUCACGUUGGGCAUACUUCUACAUUAUAUAUGCAACAUCAUACUUCACUACGAAUCAAACAAACUUAAGCACUUGCAUAUAUCGUUCAAGCCUAUGAGAUUACUUCCAUAAAACUAGUAUCAUUAACCAAGAAAUCAUCACAUCCACCUUCAUGGACAUCAAUUGUUCAAAACUUAAUGUCUAGUGUUAAACAUGAUUUUACAACCCAGCCUUAUGCAUGAUUCUCACUUGGAUAACAUGAAAUAGACAUCAAGAAACACUAGUACACUAGAACUUCUGAACAACAAAUAAUUGAUCUUGACCUUAUGGUCUUCCUUAUCAUAACUCAUUAGCACGUACUAUUUUAACACAUCAAGCCUACUAAUUUUUUCCCACAAAACAUACAUCAUUAAUCUUAUGCCACUAUUUUUACCACCACAUUCUACAUUAAAUUCAAGCAUAUAGUCCUGUACCAAUCAUCUAUCACUACUAAAAAAAUGUCCUACAACAUAUAUUGACAAAGGGGAAAUAAUGUCCCACAACAUAUGUGGACAUCUGAACAACCGCUUGCGAAAUCUCUAAUACAUGACUGAAACAAAUUACUAUCUGAAAACUAGGACAAGGCCCCAGUAGACCCAAAACUACCAAAUGAUAAAUGAACUGACAGACAUCAGGCCUUCCGAAAUAUAGAAGGCUCACCACUUGAUUCUGCAAAUCUGUCGGAAGAGAUCUACUAGUUAUCUGGACCCCUAAACUAUGCCUCCAAACCUAGAAAGGAAGGGGUUCAAUACAAAAGUACUAGUACGCAAAGAAACCAAAAACAAAAUAUAAUGUUUUUUUCCAAAUAUAGGUGAGAGCCAUUAUAAAGCAGUUCCAUAUCAAAUCAUUUGAAAAUAUAUGGGCAUAAUAUAAUAGUUUUCAACAACAAUGUAAUGCAGCUGGGCUAGGUGGAAUACCCUACAUAUAACAUUUACACCAACUUUCAAAUCUCAGUUGCUGCCGAGAUUAGAGUGUAUGUGAGGGGAAGACACAUAAGAUCACACAGCAGAGUGUCUCGACCCAAUAAAGUAUAGUAGUUCCCAAGAUCACGUAGCCUAGGCUCCUAACCAUAGUCCCAAUUAGGGAAUGACAUAAAGUCAAGUACACAAGAUCACAAAGCAGGGUACCAAAUCCCCAUGUCGGCAAACAUGGUUUCCAGCGAUGAGCCCUUAUACUCAAACGCCUUCUUCGGGCACCCACCUAUCUCAUUUAAAAUCAAUGCAUCAAACUCCAUUUAAUUCAAUCACAUAGCUUAUUCUGUAGGGUAUCGUCAUACCCGACUUGCAAGCCAUCAAUAUCAUAUCAUUCUUUCAUGCAACCAUUAUAUUCAUCAUAUUUCAACAUAACAACCCUCUCAUUGCAAGUCAAAACCAUAACCAUUUUCAAAAUAUUUCAUGUCACGCUUGUCAAGAUGAUUUCAAACAUUUCAAAUCAUAUGAGAAUUUAAAAUAAGAUCAUAUAAAAAGAGGGAUUUCAUUUAAUUCAUGCCCUCAAGUUAACAUCUUUUUGGAAUACAUGCAUAUACAUAUAUCAUAUAUCAAACCACUUCGGCAAUAGGCCUAAAGACCAAAUCAAUAUCAUAAAACGUUUAAAACGGGAUUAUAUUCAUAAUUUCAAAACCCCAAUUUUUAAAACAUGAAUUUUUAAGCUCAUGAUAUUUUUGAGAUAACCCCACGUACCUCUAUAUGCAAAUAUGAUAGGUGCUUCUUGAAGCCUACGUUCUGGGGAUUCCAAAGAUGCAAUUAGUUUCAAAAACUCACGGUUGAAUCUUGAGUUGCUUGAGUUUUUAUUUUGAAACCCUAAGGAGAGUUCUUGAGAAAUUUUGAUGAAUGAAGGUGUAUUUUGGGGUAUUUUGGGAACUGAAUUACGUGUUUAUGGCUAAAUAAGGGUGGGAAAAGAACCAUUUUGCCCCAAAAAUAAAGUGUUUAAGUCACUUGAGUAAUUAUAUAUGUGGCGCAAACCUUAUUAGAUAAUAUAGGUUGUGCGGCGCACUCUUUAUCGCACAUAUUAGGUUGUGCGUUGCACACCUUAUGGAAUAAGUUAGGGUAUGCGUCGCACACCUUAUGCUGCACGACACACUCCAUUUUGGAAAGCCAUAACUUCUUCCUCAGGUGUCGGAAUUUUGCGAAAUUGGUAUCGUUGGAAAGAUAAUUCAAAUAACUUUCAUUUGAUAUAUAGUAGGCACUCUAAUUCAAUAUAUACGAAGAUUAAUGGUCGAUUGAAGUUGACCUAAGUUUCAACACUCACUAAAAUUUGAACGAUAGGAAAACUUUCAACUUGUCCUUGAGCUUGGCUACCUCUAUGAUCUCAAUUCAUGCUCAAAUAGGUUUCCACACUACAUAAUUUAUUAACAUACUAAACUUGCAUUGGAUUUAUGGAUUUUGUAACCUUUACGUGAAGAAAAUGAUGAUUUUCGUUCUCGUCCGAAAUGCGGGGUGUUACAAAAUUUUGUUAGAAAAUGGAAAAUACAACCAUAUGGAGUACAUUUUAGUUGCACCGUACUCCAAAUACACUAAACUGAACUUUAAAAGUACUAAUGCAUUUCUUACCUGUUGGUGUUUAGCAUUCAAAAGUUUUAUUGUCUAUGCUCGGAAGAUAGCCACAACGACGGUUUCAAGAAUGAAAACUAAUCUUAAAAGAAGCCAUGCUCGCUCUGGAGUUCCUGCUAUAUGAUGCAACAUUAAUCUACAACGUUGAAGCCACUUUCCUAAUCCUUGGAGUCUAUGUUCUUCCGAGAAUGAAAUAUGAUUAGGUAACACAUCCUUAACAUCAUUUGAAUUAGUGACAGGAGGAUUACUAUCGCAAUGUUCUCGAUCAGCGUCCAAACUACUUCUCUACAAUAAGGCUAGAAUCAUUGGGACUAAUCCAUUCUCCUCAGCAUCAAUACAAAAUUAGGAUCAAGCCCUUUAUCUUACAAUAAAUUAGCUAAUUCAUGAUUAGUGUGUCUUCCUUUCUGCUUUAACAUAGAUGUAAUCCUGGGAUCACUCAACUUUUCUUAAAAUGCAAGUACCAAAUUCAAGUCUAGUAUCUGUUGGUCUGCAGAAGUAGAUGUACUAGAAUCACCGCCUUGGCUUUCAAGGCCACUGCUAGAACAAACAACCAAUGAACUAUUAUGCUCUAAAUUUCUAUCAACAUAUGAUGAUCCUACUUCAGGCUCUUGAACAACUGAACGAUAGGAACUACUGCGUAGAGCUAGACUUGGUCUUCCACUGUCUAUCCUCUUAUCACUAUUAAUCCCCUCAAUGUUAUUCUAGGUACUUCCAUCACCAGUGUAAGGCACAGUUGCAUUACCAAGAUGACCAGCAUUAGCACUACUACUGCGUUUGAUACCUGAGCCACACUCUUCAGAAGAGCUUGCGGAGCUAUUUUGGUCUUUUCUAUGGAAACCUUCUCUAAGGCAGAUAACUGUGCUCUGCAAGGCAUCUCGUCUAGCUGCUAAUGGUUCCGUAACUGAUAAAUGCCAUGUAACAGCAGCACCCAACAGCACAGAUACUACAACUGCAUAACUGAUACAAUGUCCAAAGUACUUGAAACAAAAUUGUUGCAGUAAGAGAUUAGAAGAUUUUUUUUUAUAACAAAAGAUUAGAAGUUUCUAUUCAACAAAUAAUAUUAAAAGGGAUGCAUAUGCCACAAGUAUAAGAACACUUGAUUAUGGAAGAAAAUGAAUUAGCAUGGGUUAACAACAAACCAGUAAUGAACUCCAAAAUAGAUCAGGAACACCCGAGAUAUACCGGCAACAAAAAGUACGACGACUCGACUUUUCAGAAGCUUAAAACCAUACAAGCAAGCUCCCAAGUUCCAAUCUGGUUGAAUGAAAAGCUAGUGAAUUCAUCACUUAACACAAGGAAAUAAGAAAUUAUUUCACAAUACGAGUCAGAAAAGGAGACAGAUAUAUGUAGGAAAUGAACUACCAAGGAUUAUCACGGCAGCUGAUGUUGNNNNNNNNNNNNNNNNNNNNNNNNNNNNNNNNNNNNNNNNNNNNNNNNNNNNNNNNNNNNAGUACUACAAGUGAACCAACAUAUAGAAGUCCAAGAUGCAGAGCCCAAGUUCAAAGUGAAGGAGAGUAAAUUAUAGACUUCAGAGAAAAUGUUGAAAAGAUAGUGCAGAAAAUAUGAUGAGCAGUAUAAAUGAGAACCCACUAAACACAUAAUAUAAUAAGGUGACUUUCUAAUCUAAAGCAGCAUUUAAAUUAAUUUUCUUAGCAGUGCGAUUUUAAUAUCUACUGUUUUUACUGAACUACUGGAGAGUGUGUUUUGUUCUCUCAAAGUUAGCAUUCCUUUUAUUCAAAUAGAUUUGAGUUACACCCGUUGUUUAGCGUUCUUUGGCUCUUAAUUUUAAAAGUCUGUUAGUUGAGAACAUUUUGGCCUAUCUUCAUAUCUUCCAUAUCUUAUAANNNNNNNNNNNNNNNNNNNNNNNNNNNNNNNNNNNNNNNNNNNNNNNNNNNNNNNNNNNNNNNNNNNNNNNNNNNNNNNNNNNNNNNNNNNNNNNNNNNNNNNNNCAUCGUGUUUACACCAAAAAUAAAGAAGUGCUAAACUAUUCAUGUUGAUCUUCUGGACAUCCUCAAAACAACCCUUGUUUCUUUCUGUCCAAACUGUCCACCAUAUACAUGUUGAACAAUUUUCCAUCUCUCCUCCUUUAUUACAUUUACAUCCCCGUUCCAGCUGCUUAGUACUUUUUUAAUGCUCCCAGGCUCUACCCACCUGAUCCCCUUCAGGUUGAAAACAUUCUCUACAACUGCUCUGUCCAUUUCCAAUGUAAGAAAAAAUGGUUGAUUGAGUAAAGAAAGGAUCUUGGGCCUAACUUAACCCCAAAAGCUAGCACAUGAGAGGAGGAUUGCUCAAGUCCAUAUAAGAAGACCGAUAGUUCACUCCCCAACAAUGUGGGACUUUCACCCACUCUAACACCACCUUCACGCCCACGCCAAACAAGAGCGUAGUCCGGGAGCUCAAACGUGGAUGGACCUGCUGUUUGAGAAGGAAUAUCAACUGCUAUUUGUAUGCAAGAGAGAACAGAUGAGCUGUUAUUACUGAAUGCAUUGGGUCUAUCAGCACGUACAGGUUUAUGCAUUAUGCCAUUAGGUUUUGCAGCAGUUCCAAUAUUUUCAGCAGCACCACAAGUUGAAUUCUAAUGCACUGCAGUAAGGAAAGAAAACUUAAACAUUAACUUGAGACAACAACACAAGCUUCUCAAAUGCAGGUUCGAGCAAAAACAAAGAUAAUAAGCAAAUAGAAGGCAAUGAAGAUAAAGGAUAAGUCUAGAUAAGCUUAGGGACAGGCUCCAAACUGAACAUAGUGCUCGUCAUUCUUGUUGCAGAUAAGAUCAGACAACUUAUAAUUUUGACGUUAAGAGUUUCUUGUAGAGGGUGCUGAAUCCAUUUUGCAACUUGGGAGGCCUUGUAAAGCAUAGAAAGGCUCAUUUUUGUAAAGAAAAUACUGCCCACAUAGUAUAUAUGCUAUCAUUUUCAAAAAAAUAUGGUGCUUGCUGGUUUUACCAAUAUCAUGUAUGCUUGUACCUUCCAAUGCAACCUUCUGGCGAAAAAACUAACCACCAAUAGGCAUCUUUCACCAUAGAAGAUUCUAGGACUGUCUUACUAGGAAUUAGGUAAGUGCAAGUUCUUGAAGCAAAAUUGUUUGCAUCAUUGAAGAUUAGAAAGCCAGGUAUACAAGAGAUUAGACAUGUUAAAGAAAAAAUGACAGGUUUAAUAUCAGGAAAGACAUAGAAAACUCUCAUUGACAUAUAAAUGAUGGAUCCCAAAUACCUUCAGAAGUUACACACAAAAGGAAAAUGGUACAAAAACCAAUUCCACCUUCAUAAUAACUAUGUCUUCUUUAUGUAAGCAUAAACAUUAUCAGGAAAGACAUCAAAGAAUCUCAUUGACAUUUAAAUAAUGGUUCCCAAAUAACUUCAGAAGUUACACGCAAAAGAAAAAUGGUACAAAAACCAAUUCCACCUUCAUAAUAAUUGUGUCUACUUGAUGUAAGCAUAAACAUAAAGAACAUAUUAACAUACCAAAAAAUUAUCAAAAUGUUCUACAAUAUAGUGCAUAGUUUUUUUCGUUUUUUGAAAUUGAACGCAGUCCAUAGUUUAAAAAUAUGCAAACAACAUUUAAUGUGGCAGGUGAAGCAUCAAGUACUGGAAGGAAAAUUUAAAACAUGGUGGAGGCAAAUGAAAGAGAAUAUCUAAAAGAAUGAUCAGAGGGCAGGGUGGAAUUCCCUCAUAGCAAGUCAAAUGAAGUUUAAAACUAUAUAAAGAAGAUGAAACUAGAGGCUUCUGUAUGUGUCUCACACACUUGGAAUAAACUAUUUGUGAAUGAGCAUAACAGAAUCAAAUGUACUGAGACAAAGCAGGCAUUUGAUUGCAGAUCAAAUGGAAGAGUCUGCCAACUGACCAGAUUUAAGAGCAGCUCUGGUCCAUGCACCAUUUUGAGGUAAAGUUAUAUAGGUAAAAAUUUGGACAUUACUUAAUAUAUACACAAACUGAACAUGAACUGCCCAAUUAUACAAGUGCUUUUUGUAGCUACACAGUGACAACCUUAGUGAAAGAAUUCAUCAAUGAGAAGUUAACUCAGUAAGCUUAGUGAGAUUUCCCCCACAAGGAAUGAAAGUGUGGAUGACCCGACAUCAAAUAUACGAUUGUUAUUAUACACACAAUCUCCAUACAACAGCAAUCCUCACUAAAUACUUCGUAAGACAAAAAUCAGCCAAUACUUACAAAACCAAAUGAAGCAAAAUAAGUUCAUUGUCUUGAUCACCAACAAGUAAAAGAAAUGUUUACAAUUGGAGAUUCAAAAAGGUUGCAAAAGAAAGAAGCAAACUUUCUCUUUAACAAGUAUCAAAGGGGGGAAGAAUGAGAGUAAAACCAGUAAGUAUACGAGAAGUAUGAACACUAUUGUAGUUUGGCCAUUUAGCAUCCAUCACUCCAACAGAGAAUCAGGACUUGCAAGAAGGUCGAAAGGUUUGCCUAUUGAGUCUUUCAAGAUUGUGAUUUGACCCUCUUUCAUAAGAAAGUCUUCGUCGAGGGUAUCUACCUUCCUUUUCAACAUGUUGAUCUCAUAAUUCAACAGCAUGUUCAUCUCACUGUAGCUCUUAACUUCCUCCCACAUGAAAUCCCUCUCUUGAAACACUUUUGGUAGUAUCGCCUUCACAAUGCCAAGUUCCUUCAUGUAUUCUUGCAAAUCAUUAGUGAGCUGGUUGAUAUUUUCAUCCUUUUUUAGCACCUUCCAGAAUCAACUGUAAACCAUGAAAAACAAAAAAUACACAAAGAUCACCAAUAACAUUUCAUCAGAAAUUCAAAACAAACUCAUAGCCUAGAAGUUCAACCAAAUCAUGAAUCCUUUUUAACUGUUAAAAUUCACAGUAGAUGACUCGUGAGCUUGU